AACUGAUAAUUUGUAUCGUUUCCAGGAUGGCAAAGGAGUUUUUUGUUUCCGUUAUGAAGCAUCUGUCUCAUUAACUGUGAAGGGAACAGAGUAUGAAGUGAAAAAAAUCCUUCAUAUUUACACAACCAUUGAUCUGUCCUGCAACAAAUUUCAAGGAGAAAUUCCAGACGUUAUUGGAGAGCUUAGAUGGCUUGCAUUGCUCAACUUAUCUCAUAAUAGUCUAACAGGACCUAUCCCAUCAUUGCUGAGGAAUAUGAAAGAACUCCAAUCUUUAGAUUUGUCUUCAAAUCAACUGACAGGGGCUAUUCCACCUCAGUUAACUGCAUUGACAUAUCUAGAGGUCUUGAACCUCUCGGGAAACCAUCUUAGUGGAGAGAUUCCUCAGAAAGGACAGUUCAGCACAUUCAACAAUGAUUCUUAUCUUGGAAACUCCGCGUUAUGUGGAUCACCUUUGACGAAGAAAUGUGCAAACACAGCAUCACCUCCACAAGAAGUCGGAAAUGGUGAUGAAGAUGAUGCUGGUGAUGAAUUGACAUGGGAAGCAAUCGUGAUGGGAUAUGGAUGUGGACUGAUAUGUGGAUUGUCAUCUGCAUACAUUGUUCUCAAACUAGGAAAGCCUUGGUGGUUUGUGAGAUAUGUCGAAGUACUGCAACUGAAGUUGAUGAAAAGAUAUGCUUGAAGAAUGGUACUGGCCGAUCAAGACGAACUUGAAAGUUGUUGUCCUUGUGCAUUUCUGAACCAGUUGUGUACUAUUCUCUUUGUGGCUGCAUAAGUAUUUGGUAUUGUGUAAUAUUCUGUUUGGUCUUGAAUCAUAAUGAUUCUUCUUGCUCCAGGGUUAUUAAUAUAAACCUUGGUAUUGUGUGCUAGCUGUAAUAUUCUGUUUGAUCAAUGUUUAUACCAGUAAUUUUAUGCUCCGCAGUGCAUCAUGCAGCUCUCAUAUUAUCUCUAUGAUUAACCUGAAUUCAGUUUCAUUUUGUUUCCGAAUCUCAACUACUUCAACUUGAGCUACAAUAGCUUCACUGGUCUAAUACCCCCAGAUAUUGAAAAUUUAACAGAGCUGCAAUACCUUGAUUUUAGCUCUAAUAAACUCACUGGUGCAAUUCCGGACCAGGUAAGCCAUCUUCAAACAUUGCGAACCUUAAACCUGUUGGAUAAUCACUUGGAAGCUCCAAACUGGUCCGCUUUUUCCCCUCUGCCUUCUCUGACAAACCUCUGUCUCAAUAAUAAUAAUCUUUCGUCGAAAUUCCCAGACUUCAUAUCAAAUUACAUCUUUUAUACGAUAUAUUAUGAAAACACUAUAUUUUGUAAUGUUCAUCUUAUCCUACCAGCAAAAUUACAUCGCUAACAAAAUUAUAUCAAUUUUAUUUUAUAAACUCAAAUAAUUUAAUUUAUGAAACAACUCUAUGAGAUUCUUAUCAUGAGUUAGAAUUCAAAUAAAUAAAGAGUUCAUAUUGAUAAGUGGAAUUGAUGUGCAAGUAAGGGGUAUAAAAAAAUCUCAAAAUAACUCCAAAAAGCACAUGACAUGUUUGAUUUAAUAGAACUGGUACAUAAACAGGGGGACCAUUAUAUUUAUAAGCAAGUGACCAACAAUAGUUUACUACUGAUAUUUUGUGAUAUUUUUUGUGAUAUUUUUUGAGACCUUUAACAUUAUUCUGUGAAGUGGUAUACUACUGUUACUAGUUCUGAAACUUCAAACAAAGUAGGCGCAACAUUGUAAGAGUGAUUAAUAAAGUUGAGAAACAGUGUGUACAUUGAGCAGUAUGACAAUCAGGUUCAGCAUAUAAUACAAUCAGAUUCACAAUCAGGUUCACGAGAAACAUGCUGCAUUCCAAAAAGCCUUAUUAUCUUCUUCACUAAAUAACAAGGCAAAUACAGCAUAUAAAUACAAGUGUGCAGUGUGGUAUUAGAUUCAUAACCCAGUUGAGGAGAAACAUGGCACACUUUGUAAGGCCUUCUCACCUUCUUCUCUUUGUUUUCUUUCUCUCAUCACUUGAAUCCAUUCUUGCAACAAGACAAGAGGGGGAAGCUCUUGUGAAGUGGAAGAAUAGCCUAGCCCCUUCUUCUUUUCUCCACUCUUGGUCACUCACCAAUCUCGAAAAUCUUUGNNNNNNNNNNNNNNNNNNNNNNNNNNNNNNNNNNNNNNNNNNNNNNNNNNNNNNNNNNNNNNNNNNNNNNNNNNNNNNNNNNNNNNNNNNNNNNNNNNNNNNNNNNNNNNNNNNNNNNNNNNNNNNNNNNNNNNNNNNNNNNNNNNNNNNNNNNNNNNNNNNNNNNNNNNNNNNNNNNNNNNNNNNNNNNNNNNNNNNNNNNNNNNNNNNNNNNNNNNNNNNNNNNNNNNNNNNNNNNNNNNNNNNNNNNNNNNNNNNNNNNNNNNNNNNNNNNNNNNNNNNNNNNNNNNNNNNNNNNNNNNNNNNNNNNNNNNNNNNNNNNNNNNNNNNNNNNNNNNNNNNNNNNNNNNNNNNNNNNNNNNNNNNNNNNNNNNNNNNNNNNNNNNNNNNNNNNNNNNNNNNNNNNNNNNNNNNNNNNNNNNNNNNNNNNNNNNNNNNNNNNNNNNNNNNNNNNNNNNNNNNNNNNNNNNNNNNNNNNNNNNNNNNNNNNNNNNNNNNNNNNNNNNNNNNNNNNNNNNNNNNNNNNNNNNNNNNNNNNNNNNNNNNNNNNNNNNNNNNNNNNNNNNNNNNNNNNNNNNNNNNNNNNNNNNNNNNNNNNNNNNNNNNNNNNNNNNNNNNNNNNNNNNNNNNNNNNNNNNNNNNNNNNNNNNNNNNNNNNNNNNNNNNNNNNNNNNNNNNNNNNNNNNNNNNNNNNNNNNNNNNNNNNNNNNNNNNNNNNNNNNNNNNNNNNNNNNNNNNNNNNNNNNNNNNNNNNNNNNNNNNNNNNNNNNNNNNNNNNNNNNNNNNNNNNNNNNNNNNNNNNNNNNNNNNNNNNNNNNNNNNNNNNNNNNNNNNNNNNNNNNNNNNNNNNNNNNNNNNNNNNNNNNNNNNNNNNNNNNNNNNNNNNNNNNAUUAAAACGUCUUUUUCUUUGGAGUAAUAAGUUUUCAGGUUCUGUUUCCAAUGAUAUAGGUUUGCUUUCUGAGCUUGAAUUUCUCAAUCUUUACGAUAAUUUUUUUGAGGGGCCGCUUCCAUGCAUCAAAUAUAUUCAAGCUCUCCAAAUUAAGGGUUCUUUACCUUAACGGUAAUAAACUUCUAGGUUCUCUUUCCAAUGAUAUAGGUUUGCUUUCUGAGCUUGAAAGCCUCGAUCUUAACUCCAAUUUUUUUGAGGGGCCGCUUCCGCCAAAUGUAUUCAAGCUCUCCAAACUAAAGAUUCUUUCCCUUUAUGAGAAUAACUUUUCAGGUUUUAUUUCUAAGGAUAUAGGUUUGCUUUCUGGACUUGAAACCCUCUAUCUUGACUCUAAUUUUUUUGAGGGUCCGCUUCCCCCACAUAUAUUUAGGCUGUCCAAAUUAAGAGAUCUGGACCUCUCAUACAGUAGAAAUUUAUUUGAAGGAAGUAUUCCUAUUGGACUGGGACUCUUGACUAACCUCAGGUACUUAGAUCUAUAUUCCAAUAAUCUCAGUGGCUAUAUUCCAUCUGACAUUGGAAACCUGAAGCUACUAGAAGGUCUUAUUCUCGGUUCUAAUAAAUUGACUGGACCAGUUUCAAAGAUCAUUUCUAAUCUCACAAAUCUUAUAUAUCUUGAUGUAAGUGAUAAUAGUCUUAGUGGAAAUAUUCAGAGUGACUUGUGGAAAUAUAACGAUCAUCCAACUUUGGAAUACAUCAAUUUAAGUGGGAACCAUUUUACGGGUAUAGUUUUUCUCUAUAGAUCUUUUCCUUUUCUCAUAUGUAACUAAGCUGGUAAUCUGAUUAUUGCAGUUUUACCAAAGUUUCAACAAUCUUGACAGGUGAGCUUCCAACAACAAUUUGCAAUGUCACUUCCCUUUCGGUUCUUGAUUUGUCAAAUAAUGCGUUAAGUGGUGCACUUCCAAACUGUUUCGGGAAUCUUGCUGAUGGAUUGCUUUACAUUAAUCUUGCUCAUAAUCAGUUUCGAGGAACAAUACCAACUACUUUCUCCAGGAGUUGUCAGCUGACAUAUCUGAACAUGGAUGAUAAUGAGUUUGAAGGAUUGAUGCCCCCAUCUUUGGCGAACUGUAAGCACUUGAAAAUUUUUGAUAUUGGCAAUAAUAAAAUAGGUGGUACAUUUCCGUCAUGGCUUUAUGUACUUGGAGAGCUAGAAGUCCUUGUCUUGAAAUCAAAUAAACUCUAUGGUACAAUAAGUGGAAGGAGCAGUGAAGAUCCCUUCCCCAAGUUGCGGAUUGUGGAUCUGUCCAACAAUCAAUUCACAGGCCAUUUGCCAAUUCAAUACUUUAAGAAUAUGAAAUCAACUGAUAAUUUGUAUCGUUAUCAGAAUGACACAAGAGUUUUUUCUUUCCAUUAUGAAGCAGCAGUCUCAUUAACUGUGAAGGGAACAGAGUAUGAAGUGAAAAAAAUCCUUCAUAUUUACACAACCAUUGAUCUGUCCUGCAACAAAUUUCAAGGAGAAAUUCCAGACGUUAUUGGAGAGCUUAGAUGGCUUGCAUUGCUCAACUUAUCUCAUAAUAGUCUAACAGGACCUAUCCCAUCAUUGCUGAGGAAUAUGAAAGAACUCCAAUCUUUAGAUUUGUCUUCAAAUCAACUGACAGGGGCUAUUCCACCUCAGUUAACUGCAUUGACAUAUCUAGAGGUCUUGAACCUCUCGGGAAACCAUCUUAGUGGAGAGAUUCCUCAGAAAGGACAGUUCAGCACAUUCAACAAUGAUUCUUAUCUUGGAAACUCCGCGUUAUGUGGAUCACCUUUGACGAAGAAAUGUGCAAACACAGCAUCACCUCCACAAGAAGUCGGAAAUGGUGAUGAAGAUGAUGCUGGUGAUGAAUUGACAUGGGAAGCAAUCGUGAUGGGAUAUGGAUGUGGACUGAUAUGUGGAUUGUCAUCUGCAUACAUUGUUCUCAAACUAGGAAAGCCUUGGUGGUUUGUGAGAUAUGUCGAAGUACUGCAACUGAAGUUGAUGAAAAGAUAUGCUUGAAGAAUGGUACUGGCCGAUCAAGACGAACUUGAAAGUUGUUGUCCUUGUGCAUUUCUGAACCAGUUGUGUACUAUUCUCUUUGUGGCUGCAUAAGUAUUUGGUAUUGUGUAAUAUUCUGUUUGGUCUUGAAUCAUAAUGAUUCUUCUUGCUCCAGGGUUAUUAAUAUAAACCUUGGUAUUGUGUGCUAGCUGUAAUAUUCUGUUUGAUCAAUGUUUAUACCAGUAAUUUUAUGCUCCACAGUGCAUCAUGCAGCUCUCAUAUUAUCUCUAUGAUUAACCUGAAUUCAGUUUCAUUUUGUUUCCGAAUCUCAACUACUUCAACUUGAGCUACAAUAGCUUCACUGGUCUAAUACCCCCAGAUAUUGAAAAUUUAACAGAGCUGCAAUACCUUGAUUUUAGCUCUAAUAAACUCACUGGUGCAAUUCCGGACCAGGUAAGCCAUCUUCAAACAUUGCGAACCUUAAACCUGUUGGAUAAUCACUUGGAAGCUCCAAACUGGUCCGCUUUUUCCCCUAUGCCUUCUCUGACAAACCUCUGUCUCAAUAAUAAUAAUCUUUCGUCGAAAUUCCCAGACUUCAUAUCAAAUUGUCGAAACCUGACUUACCUUGAUCUUUCAUUAAACUUGUUAACAGGUGAUUUGGUUCUUGGUAAUACGGAAUCGCUCUAUCACAGAAGUAAUUCUUUUGAGGGGUCAUUUCCACCAAAUAUAUUAAAACUUUCAAAAUUAAGAGUUCUUUCCCUAUCNCUUUCCCUAUCAUAUAAUAGAUUUUCAGGUUCUAUUCCGCAUGAUAUAGGAAUGCUUCGUGUUUUGGAAUCCCUUUUUUUUAGUAGCAGUUCUUUUGAUGGCCUGCUUUCACCAAAUUUAUUUAAGCUUCCAAAAUUAAAAGUUCUUUCCAUGUCAUUUAAUAACUUUUCGGGUUAUAUUCCAAAUGAAAUAGGAUUGCUUCAUGAUUUAGAGUCCCUUUAUUUUAAUGGAAAUUCUUUUGAGGCCGUUUCCACCAAAUAUAUUCAACCUUUCCAAAUUAAAAGUUCUUUACCUCUCAAAUAAUAACUUUUCAGGUUCUAUUCCUAAUGAUAUAAGUGUGCUUCGUGAUCUUGAGAUACUUGAUUUGUCCUCUAAUUCUUUUGAAGGGAUUAUUCCAUUGGAGCUGGGGUUCUUGAAUAAGCUGAGCUAUUUAUAUCUUGAUUCCAAUCAAUUGACUGGACCGCUUUUGAAGAACAUGUAUAAUCUCAGUAAUCUUAUUGAGAUCAACUUUAGUGGAAACCGCUUAACAGGUUUGCUAUUCAUUCUUGUUUUCUUCUUUAUGUAACUUCUUUAUGUAACUUCUUCAAUGCUGAUGAAAUGAUCACGAACCACAAUUUCACCAAAGCUCCUUUAAUUUCAACAGGUGAGUUUUCGACAGCAAUUUACAGAGAGAGAAUUACGAUGUUAUUAGGGAAAUCUAAAGAGAAGGUGCAGAGACCUCGGCAUAAUGAUCCUCCAACCUCUCAUUAACAAUGUCCAGGUUUCUUUAAAAGUAUUAAAUGUUAUUAACAUAGUACUUAAUGGUGUUAUAAAGAGAGUCGUGAUGUAACACUAUAUUUUGUUUACGAGAUAUUUUAAGUGUAAGAAGGUCCAUGCUGAGUUGUGAACAAUUAUUCUCACGUAUAUUAUCAAUGGUGAACAUCUUUAUUAGUAAGAUUGUGCUUUUUAGUUGGAUUGUGGUCCUUCUGUUGCUCCUUGGUAAGAUUUUUCGUCCUAGGUGGGAUUGUUAGGCACAAUGCCAGUCUAAUCAAGUUUGCGAAGGAAGUGUUAAAUACUAGAAUUAUUAAACCUGUAUAUAAAUUUAGAUGUCUGCACAGCGUUGUUACAUUGUCGAGUAGACAACUAAUUUUAAUCUGGUGGCAGGAAAUAGGGAAUCAAGAAGAAGAUGCAGCCAACAAUGAGAAGCUAGAGAAGCAAUUGAACUACUCGAACAAGAGCAAAAGCGGAUAGAAGCAGAACCAGAUGUUAAACUAGAGGCAAAAAAGAGAGCCUCCAACAGGCUUAUUUUAAGGUAAAUUACAAGAAAAGAAAGUCUGCCAUCAAUGUUAGACAAAAAGAUAUGCCGAUGCUCACAGAUAAUAAUAGUAGCAGGCGUACUUACUCUCUCUACAUAUAAUACUGUAACAAAGGUUUUCAAUGAGCCAAUUUAUUCCAACUAAGCAGGCACUAAGCAGCCACGUCAGAUCCACCUUAGCAAUCACUUUGCAUUUGUGAUGAUGAUCACAAUUAAAUCUUUAUCCCAAUGAUUUUUCUAUUAAUCUUUUGUGGAAUUCUAUGUCUGCAGAGAGAGCAAUACGUGUUGGUCAUGGUUUCUAUAAGUGAAGGUGAGACAACAAUGGUGUUCUCUUUGCCUCAAUUACACCCCUAAUUGCUGGCUAUUUGAGCUGCUGAAAGUUUAAUAAUGGCAAUCGUUUGUAGCUCGAAGAGAAUGAUGUAAGAAUUUAAUCUCAAUAGGAAGCUGUAGAACACAACAAUAUUGCAUAUAGAAGCCAUCCAGCUGCACACCCUGAUCACGGAGUUUUUGAGUCUUUAGAAUGCAAAAAUACAAUGCACAUGGGUAUGCCUACAAGUGGAGAUAUUUAGAAAACUGCUUCUUGUGCACAGUUAGUUAAAUAUUUACUAAUAAUAUAUCUUCAAUAACAACAUUACAGCUACAGUUCAGCAAUGAAUGAUCAUCAAAUGGCUUCUGCAGCACCGACACAGAAUGCCAGUGGACUAGUGGAGUAAUUCCAGGGGAUGCUCUGAUCAUAAAUUCUCGCUGGUGAAUUGAAGAAUUGAGCUUGAGCUAAGAAGGUGAUCUGCAUAUAAUCUUUAACCAUUUUCUGAUGGUACAAAUGUUGCUAUUUAAAAAAAUAAAGAUCAAAUAAACAAAUAUUACUUUACUAAUAUUUUACAUAGCUGCUGCUGUCGAAAACUGGAAACUUGUUGUGUAUUAUAAAAAUAGCAAGGAACUGAACUAAAUAAGCGAGGCAGGUAACUAUUGGAACAAACUGGCAUAUACCUUCUCUUUUCUUAUACUUCUUGCUUGGGGGCAAUAAGUCGUCUCUACCAUAAUAAAGUAAAAAGUAGUCAAAUUACAACUCCCUUGGGUUUCCGUUUGAAUUAGGACAUGUGUGGUGCACCAUACUCUCUUGUCAAAUAUUUUGAAGUUUUGCAUAUUGCAGUUUCACUUUUCAAAGAAACCUCUCUGUCAUUGCUAUAUUAGUAUGCGACUGUUAUUUGGAUUAGUUAUGAUCUGUAUCUAAAAUUAAUGGCACAGAUCUUGAUUUCUAGAACACCAGGUAAUAUUCUCAGAAACAGUGAUAUUCUGUUACAAAGUGAUUGUUGUCGACCAUCUUUACACAUUUUUCUUAUUAUUAAAAAAUAAAUUUUAUAAAAUAGAUUUUUAAAAUAUAGAUACUAUUGAUAUGGUCUUUAUAAUAGAUAUUAGAUAUUAAAAUUUUUAUUUAUAAAAAUUUAUGGAUGAGUUAUUGUAAUAACUGAUUGUCGAGAUCCUAGGUUCCUGGCUAAAUAGGAGUCCAUAUAUUUUGUUAUAAUAUAAUCAAAUAUCAAAACAUUCCUAGGAGGUCUAUAAGUUUAUAACGGUCCGAUAAAGGAAACAUGAAUAAAAUUGAUCAAAAUAUUUUGACCAUUUCAGGUGAUAAUGAUCAUAUAAUUUUCAUAUGACAGAACAAUAAGCCGUAGAGUUUGCUUAGGGGAUUAUGUAGGUUGCAGCAAGAUUUUCAAAAUAAAGCUGAUUUAUCAUUCAUAUAUUUUUUUGGUCCUCUUGGUUUAUGAGUGCUCUUUGUAUCUCUUGCUCUUAGCAUGCAUCCCCUCCCUUUAGUAAAUCAGCUUUGUGCUCAAUUACCUAAUUAUAGAUGAUGUUUCCUAAAUGGAAUAUUUCAAUUAAAUAUAUUAAUUGCUAAGCAACAGCCAAUAUGUUGUGUUGGUUAUUAAAUUAUUGUAGGCAUUUAUUCUUACAGAUGGUUUGGAGAUAAUUUCGAGCAAUCUAUGAGUUUGAAUAAUAUGUCUUAACAGUAUAUAGGGCCAUGAGGAGCUUGGCGCUGCCAGCUUGCGCUUGCGGGAAGAUGAAGAUUUUACGAGAUUUAAAAAUAUUGCAACUAUAGAGCUAGGAAGAUAAGAGAUUGGAAGUUGGUAAUUCUCCCCUUUCCCAUCAGAAUUCAAUGACUCUUUGAAACUGUACUUUCGUGAAUUUUGUCUUAAUUUCAUCAGGCGACCAGAACAACUUCAGAGACAUAUGGUGAGUUGUUGUCGAGUAUUUUGAAGAGUAUCGUUCGCAGGGAAGGAUUGAUAUCAAUACCAAUUUCAAGUCUUUUAUCUCUUAUGAUUCAGAAGUGUGGAGAAGAAUUUGGUGGGAUUUUCUAUCAACUAAUUAAUGUAAUAAGUAAAUAAAUAUAAUAAAUAUGAGAGAAAACAACCCAAGAAUUAGAGUUCUUCAAUCGCUAUCAUGAAUGUCUAAUUUGUGUCUCUUGUUUGCUAAAAACAAUCCUUCUAAUAUUAAUAAACUCCUCUCCCAAGGUAGAUUAUAAUGCUUACAAUUAUCCAUUAAAAGCCACUCCCAUGGUCAAUCAAAGAACACUUGUAAACUAUUAAGAACCAAGGAUUUUAAGUCUCACAAUUCUCAUAUCAAUCUCCCGAUCUAAUACUCAAAUUGUGUCCAUCAUAUCAUGUACUAGAAUUAUAACUCCUCUCCCGAUUCGUUAUAACUCCUAGAGAUUCAAUCACAAGUUAGCUACUCCUGUAAUUGUAUAAAGAGCUCAAUGACAGAUUAACAAAUCAAGAGAAAACACAAUCCAACUAAACAAACAUAUUAAGCCAAAGAAUACUACCUAACUCUUGGAUCAAAGGAUUAGCUACUCAUGAUAAGAUGAAACAAAUAUAUAUUUAUACCACAAACCAUGAGCGUAAGAAUUUAAAUACGAAGAAUACAACUUGACGAAAGAGCUUGAAGUCCGGAUGAAUCCCUUCACUCCUUCUUCCAAUAUCUCUCACAAGUGCUUCUCUCCCUUUUCUCUCUAAAAAAGCUAUCUCUAUAUUAUUCUAUAUGAUACAAAGUUAGUUGUCUCUAAUCUCUAUCAAAACCCUAAUAUAUAUAAGAGUUUUCUUAAUUUACAAGAAAAUAAAAUAAUAUCCUAAAACUAGUUGGAUUCUGAUGCUGAAAUUCGUAGGCUUCUGUUCAGGCCUGAUUCUGGGCUGAUCCAGUUGGAUUUUGACAUCUGGACCACCUUAAACUUGUAGAAAAUUCCUAUAUCUUCGCGUGGGCUGUUGAAUCGCCCAAUUCUGACAUCCAGAACUCAAGUUACGGCCCAAACAAGAUUUGCUUCGCUGGCUAUAUAUAAAGUCCGAAUUUCCAUCUAAUUAAGCCCAAAUAAGCUUGAUUUAAUCCAACUUUAGGAAUAUUUAUUUUCCUGCCACUAAACACUUAAAAUCAAUUAGUAAUAACCCGAUUAUUUACAAAAUACUAAAAUUAUGGGAAUAAAAUCAUAUAAAAACAUAUAUAAAUAUAUGCUCUAUCAUGAGUUUUGUGUCCUGCUUCUCAUUUCACAUACAUUGCCUUUUAAGAAGGGUGUUCUUAUAUAAUUUUGGAAGUGCUAUUGCUAAUUUGUUUCAGGUAAUAGCUGCACCGCAUAUAUAAAAUAUACAAAAAAUGUUUUUCCCGGCCUUCUUAAAAGUUUGAAUAAUAUUCCCCCUGUCUUGUGAUUGCAAACAAUAAUUGUUUUUGUAUCCAAGUACUUAAGCUUUUCCAUUAACUUUUUGGAUUUUGAACCAUGAUUGCCAAUGAGCAUUGAUAAUAUAGCCUAGGCCUCGGUCAUUUGAAUUUUUUGGAUAUUGUCUAAAGGCUUUCAAUGUAGUGAUUCUGUGACAACGUUGGACAAUAAUGUGUACAAGCUGGAUUCAGCAGAUUUCUAACAUGUGUUGAUUAUUACUAAUUAUGGAUUUACUGGUAUAGCAAGAAAUUACAGGCCCGAGGUCUUAAAGUUUGGGUGUCAUCACUUUUCUGGUCUACUUGCAAUCUUUUCUUCUUACUACCUCUUCUAGCAGUGUGUAGUUCCACUUUGCUAUUAAAUGAGCAAGUUAAUGACUGUUUAGGGGAUUGAGAUCUGACAAGUCUUGCUACUUUUGAUGGGUUUGAUAGGUUUGAUGAGUGCUUAAGUGAUAUUAAUCACCAAACUUAUGUAUAUGCAUUUUGAUGUGUUGAUUAUUUAGCAUAGUUGCUGCAUAACAAAUAUUAGUUAAAGGAUGAGAUCUUCUAAAAGAAGUCAGAAAUGUAAAAGCCAAUGUCAAAGUGGAUUUGAUCAAAAAGAGAUUCGCAUGCUGAUUAUUACUUUUUUGUGCAGAAAAAAUGUGAUCUCAAACAUCCCCUGGCAAUGAGAUAUAUCGCAGGGCACAUUGUCAAUGUUUUAGAUAUGUUUACAUGUUUAGCUGAUCUGCAAAUUCCUUUACGUCUUGGUUUCUGUCUCAUGUGAUUAUAUUCUCAGCGUUUGGAACUUGGAAUUGCAUAGCUUACCGCCAACACAAUUAUACAACUUCUUUUACUCAGUGAAUGAUGCUACACUUGAGACUUUCAUUAUGAUAUUUAUCUUGAGACACAUGUUCCCCAGUUUUAUAACUGGUAUAUUUGGCCUUGCUUUGUAUUUUUAAAUAUUACUGUUCAAUGGACUUAUACUAAACCCUUGCUUAUAAACAAGUACUCUUCAUCUGUUUGUUUGUUUAACUAUAUGACAUUUUACAUGUUUUUAUAGGUAGAUGGGAAAAAGAAUAAGGUUUAUGGGCAGAAUCUUUGUUAUCUGGAAAAAUUGUUUCUUGAUUACAAAACACUAUAUUAUAACGUCGAUUCACAAUAACUUAAUUGAUCAGCGCUCGGAGUCUCCUUUCUAAUCAAGGCUGUGGAGUGUGGAGGCCUAGGGCCUGAGCAUAUAAGGAUAUUCACAAUAAUUUUUUUUUUUUAUGAAUUUAUUUUCAUAGAUAUUUGUGUGUAGUUCCUUAAAUUGGGAAUACGGCUCGAGAGGAUAAGGGAUUGUUUGGUUGUUUAGUGUGAUUGGUAUUUUACUAGAUCAGAGAGUUUAUUACCACAAGCAUCCUAUGCAUUAACACUUGUCAGCAGCUGAAUUCCUGACAUAACACAUGAAUUCAGAAGACAUGACACAUGAAUUCAGUAUUUGGAAUUUGAUUGAAAUUCUGAAUGAUUUAUUGUUUACCAGAGGUUAUAACCACUACUUGUAUAUGGUAUCGGGUGUGUCCAUCUCCGGAAGAUCUAAUUGGCGUUAUAUGUUAAAUUUUCAAUAAAUAUCUCCGGAAGAUCUAAUUGGCGUUAUAUGUUAAAUUUUCAAUAAAUAUCUCCGGAAGAUCUAAUUGGCGUUAUAUGUUAAAUUUUCAAUAAAUAUCUGGAUGUGUAUUUUUGAUUAUCGAAAGAGUUCCCAUAUUAUUAUGUCGUUUUAUUUUCCUUCACUUUUGGCAGCCCCAAGUGAAAGUGAUGACUAUUGGUACUUGAGUUUUUUUGGCUGAAAUCACUAAUAUAAUUGUUACACUACAACAAAACUGGCAUCAGACAACACUAGUCACACAACGGACGCUGGAAAAAGUGUUGGCCGAAACAAAGACACAACACUUUAUUUUCGUCCUCGAAAAACUAUUGUCUAACACCUACGACCUACAACGGUUAAAAAACUGUUGUCUAAUAAAUUUAAUCAGACAACGGUCUCUUAACUGUGGUAUUGUGUAAUGAUGCACGUUAGACAACUGUUUUUAGAGCCGAUGUGUGAAGAAACUUCAGACAAUAUUCCGAGAAACCGUUGUUGUAAUGAGACAAGUGUUUUAUUUGUUGUGUUGUUUACGAAAAGAUCAGACAAGGGUUCCAUAGAGUGUUGUGUGACUGGGAAGCUAACAUACAAGUGUUUUUGUUAGCAUCGUAUCAUGGCCUUAUAGACAAGCCUUUAGCUAGUAAAACGUUGUCUGACUGAAUGACUUAUAAGAAAAUAAAUGUACAUAAAAGAGUGCAAACAUUCAAAAGUCCUAACCAAAGUUACAAAUAUAUAUUCAUUUUCUUAGUAGUCAUAGGCUUUUCUAGCAUUAGAUCAAGUAUUGAUCAAGGAAAUGCGAAUUUUUAACUCAUAAAAAUGAAAGUUUAUUAUACAACGGUUUUCUUCCCAUAAAUCGUUGUGUCAUUUUCAAUGAUACAACUUAGAUGCUUAUAAAAACCGUUGUGUGUUAGACACUACGGGACAAAAAAUACCUUUUUAUAAUAAGACAAAAUUUACAAUUAACAAGUAAUGUUAAAAAAACAUACAAAAUGAAUAUAAAAAAUUUAGAUUUUUUUUAUACAUGACUAAUAUUGUUAGUUCUCGACAUCCGUACGGUUAGAUCAUCGAAAAAAAUAUUUAAAAAUUAAUAUUAUGCUCAUCUUAUACAUAACAAAGAUUNNNNNNNNNNNNNNNNNNNNNNNNNNNNNNNNNNNNNNNNNNNNNNNNNNNNNNNNNNNNNNNNNNNNNNNNNNNNNNNNNNNNNNNNNNNNNNNNNNNNNNNNNNNNNNNNNNNNNNNNNNNNNNNNNNNNNNNNNNNNNNNNNNNNNNNNNNNNNNNNNNNNNNNNNNNNNNNNNNNNNNNNNNNNNNNNNNNNNNNNNNNNNNNNNNNNNNNNNNNNNNNNNNNNNNNNNNNNNNNNNNNNNNNNNNNNNNNNNNNNNNNNNNNNNNNNNNNNNNNNNNNNNNNNNNNNNNNNNNNNNNNNNNNNNNNNNNNNNNNNNNNNNNNNNNNNNNNNNNNNNNNNNNNNNNNNNNNNNNNNNNNNNNNNNNNNNNNNNNNNNNNNNNNNNNNNNNNNNNNNNNNNNNNNNNNNNNNNNNNNNNNNNNNNNNNNNNNNNNNNNNNNNNNNNNNNNNNNNNNNNNNNNNNNNNNNNNNNNNNNNNNNNNNNNNNNNNNNNNNNNNNNNNNNNNNNNNNNNNNNNNNNNNNNNNNNNNNNNNNNNNNNNNNNNNNNNNNNNNNNNNNNNNNNNNNNNNNNNNNNNNNNNNNNNNNNNNNNNNNNNNNNNNNNNNNNNNNNNNNNNNNNNNNNNNNNNNNNNNNNNNNNNNNNNNNNNNNNNNNNNNNNNNNNNNNNNNNNNNNNNNNNNNNNNNNNNNNNNNNNNNNNNNNNNNNNNNNNNNNNNNNNNNNNNNNNNNNNNNNNNNNNNNNNNNNNNNNNNNNNNNNNNNNNNNNNNNNNNNNNNNNNNNNNNNNNNNNNNNNNNNNNNNNNNNNNNNNNNNNNNNNNNNNNNNNNNNNNNNNNNNNNNNNNNNNNNNNNNNNNNNNNNNNNNNNNNNNNNNNNNNNNNNNNUUUUUUUAUACGUGACUAAUAUUGUUAGUUCUUGACAUCCGUACGGUUAGAUCAUUGAAAUAAAUAUUUAUGAAUUAAUACACAACUAAUUGAAUACAUAACAAAGAUUAUAUCUACUACUUUUUAAAUUGUAAACAUAAAACACAUACUAAUACAUGCGUCCGAAGUACAAAAUUGUCUCGGUUUUACACAUGAACAAUACAUAUUUGCAUAUAUACAUAACAUAAAUAUAUUUUUUUAAUACAAAGAGUGCAAAAACAAGAAUUAAUCAAGGAAAUGCGAAUUUUUAACUCAUAAAAAUUACCUUUUUAUAAUAAGAAAAAUUUUANACGAUUGACUAGUGUUGUUAAAAACCGUUGUCUGAUGCUGUUUUUGUUGUAGUGUUAUAUUAAAUUCUUGUGCUAAAACUUGUAUGGUUUGCCCCGCCCGCGGCUUCAAACAGCCAACAAGGUAAGCUAUUAUACUCAGGGGACCGAAAAAGGUAACAAAUGCAUAAACGAUUAGCUUUUCUUCUUUGCUGCAUAGUUUUUUUUUUUUUGUCAGGUUCUUUGCUGCAUAGUUAAUAACAAAUAACAUGAUCUCAAAAAAAAAAAAGAGGCGCGUACUAUGAAUGUAAAAAUAACAAUUUCAAUACUCUUUUUCACUAUAGAAAAACAAAAUUAUUGUGCUAGAUCUUUGCCCGUGCCUUGCACGGGCUUUAAAGCUAGUUUUUUAUUAAUAUGUGAAACUCCAAUAUAUAUUAUUAUACGAUAUAUUAUGAAAACACUAUGUUUUGUAAUGUUCAUCUUAUCCUACCAGAAAAAUUACAUCGCUAACAAAAUUAUAUCAAUUUUAUUUUAUAAACUCAAAUAAUUUAAUUUAUGAAACAACUCUAUGAGAUUCUUAUCAUGAGUUAGAAUUCAAAUAAAUAAAGAGUUCAUAUUGAUAAGUGGAAUUGAUGUGCAAGUAAGGGGUAUAAAAAAAUCUCAAAAUAACUCCAAAAAGCACAUGACAUGUUUGAUUUGAUAGAACUGGUACAUAAACAGGGGGACCAUUAUAUUUAUAAGCAAGUGACCAACAAUAGUUUACUACUGAUAUUUUGUGAUAUUUUUUGUGAUAUUUUUUGAGACCUUUAACAUUAUUCUGUGAAGUGGUAUACUACUGUUACUAGUUCUGAAACUUCAAACAAAGUAGGCGCAACAUUGUAAGAGUGAUUAAUAAAGUUGAGAAACAGUGUGUACAUUGAGCAGUAUGACAAUCAGGUUCAGCAUAUAAUACAAUCAGAUUCACAAUCAGGUUCACGAGAAACAUGCUGCAUUCCAAAAAGCCUUAUUAUCUUCUUCACUAAAUAACAAGGCAAAUACAGCAUAUAAAUACAAGUUAUAAGUACAAGUGUGGUAUUAGAUUCAUAACCCAGUUGAGGAGAAACAUGGCACACUUUGUAAGGCCUUCUCACCUUCUUCUCUUUGUUUUCUUUCUCUCAUCACUCGAAUCCAUUCUUGCAACAAGACAAGAGGGGGAAGCUCUUGUGAAGUGGAAGAAUAGCCUAGCCCCUUCUUCUUUUCUCCACUCUUGGUCACUCACCAAUCUCGAAAAUCUUUGUAAAUGGACUGGCAUUACUUGUAACUCUGCAGGUUCAGUCUCUGAGAUUAACCUUUGUGAGAAACAACUUGAUGGAAUGCUGUCCGAGUUCGGUUUCACUUCAUUUCCAAAUCUCAAGAAUCUCACCCUGGCAGACAACUUCUUCUCAGGUCCAAUACCACCAGCCAUUGAGAAUUUAACACAGCUUCAAUAUCUUGAUUUAAGCAUGAAUAGUCUUAAUGGUCCCAUUCCGUUCCAGGUUAGCCAUCUUCAGAGCUUGCUCAUCUUGAACCUGUCACAGAAUGCAUUGCAAGCUCCAAAUUGGUCCCAUUUCUCUCCCAUGCCUUUCUUGCGCAUCCUCGACCUUAGUUUUAAUAAUCUUGUGUCGAAAUUCCCAGAAUUUAUAUCCAAUUCUCAUAGCCUGACUCACCUUAACCUUUCAAAUAACAAGUUUACUGGUCAUCUUGUGCAUAAAUUUACCAAUCUACAAAAUCUUGAAACCCUCUACCUUCAGAUCAAUUCUUUUGAGGGGCCGUUUCCACCAGAUAUAGUCCAGCUUUCCAAAUUAAAACGACUCUCCCUGUCAUGUAACAAAUUUUCAGGUUCAAUUCCCAAUGACGUAAGGUUGCUUUUUGGUCUUGAAUCCCUAAAUUUAGGCAACAAUUCCUUUGAAGGACCGCUUCCACCAGAUAUAUUCAAGCUUUCAAAGUUAAAACGACUUGUUCUUUGGAGUAAUAAGUUUUCAGGUUCUGUUUCCAAUGAUAUAGGUUUGCUUUCUGAGCUUGAAACCCUCCAUCUUUACUCUAAUUUUUUUGAGGGGCCACUUCCGCCAAAUUUAUUCAAGCUCUCCAAACUAAAAGAUCUCACCCUGUCAAGUAACAAAUUUUCAGGUUCAAUUCACAAUGAUAUAAGGUUACUUUGUGAUCUUGAAGACCUAUAUUUAGCUAACAAUUCCUUUGAAGGACCGCUUCCACCAGAUAUAUUCAAGCUUUCAAGAUUAAAACGUCUUUUUCUUUAGAGUAAUAAGUUUUCAGGUUCUGUUUCCAAUGAUAUAGGUUUGCUUUCUGAGCUUGAAAGCCUCGAUCUUAACUCCAAUUUUUUUGAGGGGCCGCUUCCGCCAAAUGUAUUCAAGCUCUCCAAACUAAAGAUUCUUUCCCUUUAUGAGAAUAACUUUUCAGGUUUUAUUUCUAAGGAUAUAGGUUUGCUUUCUGGACUUGAAACCCUCUAUCUUGACUCUAAUUUUUUUGAGGGUCCGCUUCCCCCACAUAUAUUUAGGCUGUCCAAAUUAAGAGAUCUGGACCUCUCAUACAGUAGAAAUUUAUUUGAAGGAAGUAUUCCUAUUGGACUGGGACUCUUGACUAACCUCAGGUACUUAGAUCUAUAUUCCAAUAAUCUCAGUGGCUAUAUUCCAUCUGACAUUGGAAACCUGAAGCUACUAGAAGGUCUUAUUCUCGGUUCUAAUAAAUUGACUGGACCAGUUUCAAAGAUCAUUUCUAAUCUCACAAAUCUUAUAUAUCUUGAUGUAAGUGAUAAUAGUCUUAGUGGAAAUAUUCAGAGUGACUUGUGGAAAUAUAACGAUCAUCCAACUUUGGAAUACAUCAAUUUAAGUGGGAACCAUUUUACGGGUAUAGUUUUUCUCUAUAGAUCUUUUCCUUUUCUCAUAUGUAACUAAGCUGGUAAUCUGAUUAUUGCAGUUUUACCAAAGUUUCAACAAUCUUGACAGGUGAGCUUCCAACAACAAUUUGCAAUGUCACUUCCCUUUCGGUUCUUGAUUUGUCAAAUAAUGCGUUAAGUGGUGCACUUCCAAACUGUUUCGGGAAUCUUGCUGAUGGAUUGCUUUACAUUAAUCUUGCUAAUAAUCAGUUUCGAGGAACAAUACCAACUACUUUCUCCAGGAGUUGUCAGCUGACAUAUCUAAACAUGGAUAAUAAUGAGUUUGAAGGAUUGGUGCCCCCAUCUUUGGCGAACUGCAAGCACUUGAAAAUUCUUGAUAUUGGCAAUAAUAAAAUAGGUGGUACAUUCCCGUCAUGGCUUUAUGUACUUGGAGAGCUAGAAGUCCUUGUCUUGCGAUCAAAUAAACUCUAUGGUACAAUAAGUGGAAGGAGCAUAGAAGAUCCCUUCCCCAAGUUGCGGAUUGUGGAUCUGUCCGAUAAUCAAUUCACAGGCCAUUUGCCAAUUCAAUACUUUAAGAAUAUGAAAUCAACUGAUAAUAUGUAUAAUUAUCUGAAUUCCACAGGAGGAAUAUAUUUCACUUAUGAAGCAGCAGUCUCAUUAACUGUGAAGGGAACAGAGUAUGAAGUGACAAAUAACCUUCAUAUUUACACAGCUAUUGAUCUGUCGUGCAACAAAUUUCAGGGUGAAAUUCCAAAAAUUAUUGGAGAGCUUAGAUGGCUUGCAUUGCUCAAUUUAUCGCAUAAUAGUCUGACAGGACAUAUCCCAUCAUUUCUGAGAAAUAUGAAAGAACUCCAAUCUUUAGAUUUGUCCUCAAAUCAACUGACAGGGGCCAUUCCACCUCAGUUAACUGCAUUGACAUUUCUAAAGGUCUUAAAUCUCUCGAAAAACCAUCUCAGUGGAGAGAUUCCUCAGGAAGGACAGUUCAGCACAUUCAACAAUGAUUCUUAUCUAGGAAACUCCGCGUUAUGUGGAUUACGUCUGACAAAGAAAUGUGCAAACACAGCAGGGAUUCCUCAGAAAGGACAGUUCAGCACAUUCAACAAUGAUUCUUAUAUAGGAAACUCCGCGUUAUGUGGAUCACCUUUGACGAAGAGAUGUGCAAACACAGCAUCACCUCCACAACAAGUCGGAAAUGGUGAUGAAGAUGAUGCGGGAGAUGAAUUGAGAUGGGAAGCAAUCGUGAUGGGAUAUGGAUGUGGACUGAUAUGUGGAUUGUCAUCUGCGUACAUUGUUCUCAAACUAGGAAGGCCUUGGUGGGUUGUGAGAUAUGUCGAAGUACUGCAACUGAAGUUGAUGAAAAGAUAUGCUUGAAGAAUGGAACUGGCCGAUCAAAACGAACUCGAAAGCAGUUGUCCUUGUGGACAUUUCUGAACCAGUAGUGUACUAGCUGCAUAAGUAUUUGGUAUUAUGUAAUAAUCCACAUAUUCAAUAUCACACUCUUCCUGUGAGGAAACAAAUAUGGAGAAACAUUUCUAUUUACAAAACUUUUACCAUUAUACACUCUUAUAGUACUGGUUAAUAGUUUGUUGUUCAGCCUAGUCCUAAACUGAAAUUAUCAGUUCUAUGUGAGUAUGCUUUCAAAUAAGAAUUAGGUGAUCUGCCUAGUCCAAAACUACUCUAAUACUAUAUCGCUGGUAGUCUUUCAGUUCAUCCUAUUGUAUACAAUAGUUUCUUCCUUUGACACAAAAAUGUCUGCAGUCAGUGUCACCACCACAGGAAGUCGAAAAUGGUGAUGAAGAUUGAUUUGCGGAUUGUCUUAUGGGUACAUUUUUUUCAAAAAAGGAAGGCCUUGGUGGUUUGUGAGAUACAUCGAAGUGCUGCAACUUAAGUUGAUGUUACCAAGAAUGAAAAAUAUUGUUCGACCAAGAUCAACAACUUGAAAAUGUGUUCUGAAUCUGUAAUAAUAUUAAAAUAUUAAAAUAUUAUUCAUUUAACAAUAUCGUCCAAUCAAUUUAAUUGAUUAUCAUUUAAUCAAUAUAUAUAGAUGGAUAUUAAUUGUCUUCCCUAGCUCCAACCAAUGAUGAAAUAACCUCCCUAUAAAUCUAUUGAGUCAAAAUUGCAAACAACACUUUCAAAACAUAGGUGCCGAAUAGUCCUUAUUUUAAAUUAAUCAGAAUUGAAUAUUUGAUGGCGCUAAAAAAAUCUGUUGAAAUUAGCAGUUUAUAAGGCAUAUAAAUAGAAGUGUGCGUUACUUUAAGGAUUCAUGAUCAAGUUGAGGAGAAAUAUGCACAGUAUAUAAAGCCUCAUCAUCUUUUUCUCUUUGUUUUCUUUCUCUCAUUACUCCCAUCCAUUCUUACAACACUAGCUGAAACAAGACGAGAGGGAGAAGCUCUUGUGAAAUGGAAGAAUAGCCUAGCCCCUUCUUCUUUUCUCGACUCUUGGUCCCUCACCAAUCUCGAUAAUCUUUGUAACUGGACUGGCAUUACUUGUAACUCUGCAGGUUCAGUCUCUAAGAUUAACCUUUUUGAGAAACAACUUGAUGGAAUGUUGUCCGAGUUUGGUUUCACCUCAUUUCCACAUCUCAACAAUCUCACCCUUGCAGACAACUACUUCUCGGGUCCGAUACCACCAGCCAUUGAGAAUUUAACACAGCUUCAAUUUCUUGAUUUGAGCAAUAAUUAUCUAGAUGGUCCCAUUCCUUUCCAGGUUAGCAAUCUUCAGAGGUUGCUCAUCUUAAACCUGUCACAGAAUGCAUUGCAAGCUCCAAAUUGGUCCCAUUUCUCUCCCAUGCCUUUUUUGCGCAUCCUCAACCUCAGUAGCAAUCCUCUAGCGUCGAAAUUCCCAAAUUUCAUAUCCAAUUCUCAUGGCCUGACUCACCUUAGCCUUAAUUAUAACGAGUUUACUGGUGAUUUAGUACGUGAAUCAAUAUUUGCCAAUCUGCAUAAUCUUGAAGUCCUCGGUCUUGUUGACAAUUCUUUUGAGGGGCCAUUUCCCCCGGAUAUAUUCAGGCUCUCCAAAUUAAAACGUCUCUCCCUGUCAGGUAACAAAUUUUCAGGUUCAGUUCCCAAUGACAUAAGGUUGCUUUGUGAUCUUCAAUCUCUAUAUUUAGCUAACAAUUCCUUUGAAGGACCGCUUCCACCAAAUAUAUUCAAGCUUGCAAAAUUAAAAGAUCUUGCUCUUUGGGGUAAUAAGUUUUCAGGUUCUGUUUCCAAUGAUAUAGGUUUGCUUUCUGUGCUUGAAAUUCUCAAUAUUCACUCUAAUUUUUUUGAGGGGCCCCUUCCGCCAAAUAUAUUCAAGCUCUCCAAAAUAAGGUUUCUUUACCUCGGGGGUAAUAACUUUUCUGGUUCCGUUUCCAAUGAGAUAGGUUUGCUUUCUGAGCUUGAAUCCCUAUAUCUUGGUUCUAAUGUUUUUGAGGGGCCGCUUCCACCAAAUAUAUUCAAGCUUUCCAAAUUAAAAUGGCUUGACCUCGCAGACAAUAGAAAUUUAUUUGAAGGAAGUAUUCCUAUUGGACUGGGACUCUUGACUAACCUCAGCUACUUAGAUCUAAGUUCCAGUAAUCUCAGUGGCUAUAUUCCAUCUGUCAUUGCAAACCUGAAGCUACUAGUAUUUCUUGAUCUCAGUUCUAAUCAAUUGACUGGACCACUUUCGAAGAUCGUUUCUAAUCUCACAAAUCUUAUACUUCUUGGUGUGGAUUAUAAUAGUCUUAGUGGAAAUAUUCAGAGUGAUUUGUGGAAGAACUCUAUAUCCUUACGUUACAUUGAUUUUGAAAAUAAUUAUUUUUCUGGAAACAUUCCUGAGGAAUAUAACGAUCAUCCAACUUUGGAAUACAUCAAUUUAAGUGGGAACUAUUUUACAGGUAUAUUUUCUUAAUAUAUCUUUUCCUUUUGUCAUAUAUAUGUAACUAAGCUAGUAAUCUGAUUAUUGCAGUUUUACCAAAGUUUCAACAAUCUUGACAGGUGAGCUUCCAACAACAAUUUGCAAUGUCACCUCCCUUUCGGUUCUUGUUUUGUCAAAUAAUAAAUUAAGUGGUGCACUUCCAAACUGUUUCGGGAAUCUUGCUGAUGGAUUGCUUUACAUUAAUCUUGCUAAUAAUCAGUUUCAAGGAACAAUACCAACUACUUUCUCCAGGAGUUGUCAGUUGACAUAUCUAAACAUGGUUAAUAAUGAGUUUGAAGGAUUGAUGCCCCCAUCUUUAGCGAACUGUAAGCACUUGAAAAUUCUUGAUAUAGGCAAUAAUAAAAUAGGUGGUACAUUUCCGUCAUGGCUUUAUGCACUUGGAGAGCUAGAAGUUCUUGUCUUGCGAUCAAAUAAACUCUAUGGUACAAUAAGUGGAAGGAGCAUAGAAGAUCCCUUCCCCAAGUUGCGGAUUGUGGAUCUGUCCAACAAUCAAUUCACAGGCCAUUUGCCAAUUCAAUACUUUAAGAAUAUGAAAUCAAAUGAUAAUUUGUAUCGUUAUCUGAAUUCCACAGGAGAAAUAUAUAUCUCUUAUGAAGCAGCAGUCUCAUUAACUGUGAAGGGAACAGAGUAUGAAGUAGCAAAGAACCUUCAUAUUUACACAGCCAUUGAUCUGUCGUGCAACAAAUUUCAGGGAGAAAUUCCAAAGGUUACCGGAGAGCUUAGAUGGCUUGCAUUGCUCAAUUUAUCUCAUAAUAGUCUAACAGGACCUAUCCCAUCAUUGCUGGGAAAUAUGAAAGAACUCCAAUCUUUAGAUUUGUCCUCAAAUCAACUGACAGGGGCUAUUCCACCUCAGCUAACUGCAUUGACAUUUCUAGAGGUCUUGAACCUCUCGGGAAACCAUCUUAGUGGAGAGAUUCCUCAGAAAGGACAGUUCAGCACAUUCAACAAUGAUUCUUAUCUAGGAAACUCCGCGUUAUGUGGAUCACCUUUGACGAAGAAAUGUGGAAACACUGUAUCACCUCCACAGGAAGUCGGAAAUGGUGAUGAAGAUGAUGCGGGUGAUGAAUGGACAUGGGAAGCAAUCGUGAUGGGAUAUGGAUGUGGACUGAUAUGUGGAUUGUCAUCUGCGUACAUUGUUCUCAAACUAGGAAAGCCUUGGUGGUUUGUGAGAUAUAUCGAAGUACUGCAACAGAAGUUGAUGAAAAGAUAUGCAUGAAGAAAGGUACUGGUAGAUCAAGAUGAAAAGAUAUGAAGAAGUAUUUGGUAUUAUGUAAUAAUCCGUUUGGUCGGGACUCAAAAUGAUUUCUCUUGCUUCAGGGGUAUUAAUAUUAACCUUGCUAUCUUGUUCAAUGUUAAUGCAAAUUAAAAAGAAUAUAAAAGCAAAAAAUUUGCAUCAAACACCUGUUGUACCAACAUGCAUCCAUUAAUUUGCUUUCAUCUAUUAAGUAACAAUUUAAGAGCGCUUCCACUCUGUUUAAGCAUGGAGAUUACACAAAGAAGGCAAGUCCAUGGAUUAACACGUAGUCCACAUCUAUGCUACGAACAAUUCACAUUGAUCUUAUAUCUGUUCAACAGUCUCCCGAAGAUAGGCCAUAAAUGUCAUCUGUGGCUCUUAUGUUUGUCAGUAAAGGAGAAUCUCUGAUGCCUAUAACCUGGUUUUCUUACAAGAUGCCCAGGUUAUCAUGGCCAUGCAGAAAAAUGCCCAAAAAUGAAUAGCUCAGGUCUCCCCAAGCCUUCCAGGACUCAUUCCAAGUCUUCGGAGGACCACUGCCUCCCCCUUUCAAAGAUGUGAUUGUAGCUCGAAAGUGAUAUAAAUUAUUUUCCCCACAUUAAAAAUAAAAAAUCAGAUUAAAUUAAUCAAUAAUAAAUUAAGGAUGAAAUCCAAAUUAAUCCUAAAUUUUGAUAAUAUAUAAAAAUUAUAAUUAUAAAUUAUAUAACCAAAUCAGAAUUGAAUUAACUUACUUGGCACUAGAAUUGCUAAAGACAGUAUAAUAAUUUAAUUGAUGAAAAGUCAAAGUCUUCUAAUAAAUCCAUAAAGAAUAUGAUAAUAUGAAAAUUAUAAUUGAAAAAUCAAAAUCAAUAGUGUAUUGGAAUAGUGUUCACACACUUAUAUAUCAAAAUUUGUGGUCCAAAAACUAUAGCACAAUAUCCUAAAUACAUCACAUUAAAUAAUAGCACAAAAAUAUUCAAUAAAUAAUUGAUUUCAUUCAUAAAUUUGUUAUUUUAAAAACUAAUAAUUUGGUUGAUGUUAACCUAUAUUUUAUAUAUAAUUUCGUCUUAUUUUAUUUUACUAGAAACAAUAUUUUUAUAAUAUUUAUUACAUUAAAUAUAUUAAAAGAUAUAAUUUUAUUAAAAAAAUUGAAUAAAAUUAAAAGGAUAAGUCUCGGCCUCUCCAAGUCUACAAGACUCAUUUCAAGUCCACCGAGGGCCUCAACCAUUGAGAGAUGUGAAAGUAGCUUGAGAGUGAUAUAAAUUAAUUAAAUUAGUUAAUAAUGAAUCAAGACUAAUCAUGAAUUAUGAUAAUAAUUAAAUAAAUUAUAAAAUUAAAUUAUACAAAUAACACUAAACCUUAGUUACUUUAUUGGUAAAAUAAAUAUAAUAUAAUAAUUAAAUUGAUGAAAAAUCAAAAUCAUCUAAUAAAUUCACAAAAAAUAUAUGAUCAUUAGUAUAUUAUAUUAGUAUCCACACACUUAUAUUUCAAAUCUAUCCUCCAAAAUUAUCAUCUCGAUAAACUAGCCGCAUAAAAUAAAAAUUUAACGAUAUUAGAUAUUUAGCUAUUUUCAUUAUAUAAUUUUUCCACACUAAAUAACAAAAUAUCUUUAUCAAAUUAUUAUUUAUGAAUUAAAUAUUCAAGUUAUAAUUCCAGCAUGCAGCGUAUAAAUAGAAGUGUGCAGUAUGAUAUCAGAUUCAUAACCCAGUUGAGGAGAAACAUGGCACACUCUGUAAAGCCUUCUCACCUUCUUCUCUUUGUUUUCUAUCUCUCUUAACUUGAAUACAUUCUUGCAACAACACAAGAGGGAGAAGCUCUUGUGAAAUGGAAGAAUAGCCUAGCCCCUUCUUCUUUUCUCGACUCUUGGUCACUCACCAAUCUCGAUGAUCUUUGUAACUGGACUGGCAUCACUUGUAACUCUGCAGGUUCAGUCUCUCAGAUCAACCUUUUCGAAAAACAACUUGAUGGAAUGCUGUCCGAGUUUGGUUUCACUUCAUUUCCGAAUCUCAACAAUCUCACCCUCGCAUACAACUUCUUCUCGGGUCCGAUACCACCGGCCAUUGAGAAUUUAACACAGCUUCGGUAUCUUGAUUUAAGCUUUAAUUCUCUCCAUGGUCCCAUUCCGUUCCAGGUUAGCCAUCUUCAGAGCUUGCUCAUCUUAAACCUGUCACAGAAUGCAUUGCAAGCUCCAAAUUGGUCCCAUUUCUCUCCCAUGCCUUUUUUGCGCAUCCUCAACCUCAUUAGCAAUCCUCUUGCGUCGAAAUUCCCAAAUUUUAUAUCCAACUCUCAUAGCCUGACUCACCUUAGCCUUAAUUUUAAUGAGUUUACUGGUGAUUUAGUACGUGAAUCAGUAUUUGCCAAUCUGCAUAAUCUUGAAUUGCUCAGUCUCGUUGAAAAUUCUUUUGAGGGGCCAUUUCCGCCGGAUAUAUUCAGGCUUUCCAAAUUAAAACAUCUUCACCUGUCAAGUAACAAAUUUUCAGGUUCAAUUUCCAAUGACAUAAGGUUGCUUUGUGAUCUUGAAUCCCUAUAUUUAGGCAACAAUUCCUUCGAAGGACCCCUUCCAUCAAAUAUAUUCAAGCUUUCAAAAUUAAAAAAUCUUGUUAUUGGGAGUAAUAAGUUUUCGGGUUCUGUUUCCAACGAUAUAGGUUUGCUUUCUGAGCUUGAAAGCCUCUAUCUUGACUCCAAUUUUUUUGAGGGGCCGCUUCCGUCAAAUAUAUUCAAGCUCUCCAAAUUAAGGAUUCUUUCCCUUUGGCAUAAUAACUUUUCAGGUUCUAUUUCUAAGGAUAUAGGUUUGCUUUCUGGACUUGAAACCCUCUUUCUUGACUCUAAUUUUUUUGAGGGUCCGCUUCCCCCGCAUAUAUUUAGGCUCUCCAAAUUAAGAGAUCUGGGUCUCUCAGACAAUAGAAAUUUAUUUGAAGGGAGUAUUCCUAUUGGACUGGGACUCUUGACUAACCUCAGGUACUUAGAUCUAUAUUCCAAUAAUCUCGGUGGUUAUAUUCCAUCUGACAUUGGAAACCUGAAGCUACUAGAAGUUCUUGAUCUCAGUUCUAAUCAAUUGACUGGACCGCUUUUAAAGAUUGUUUCUAAUCUCACAAAUCUUAUGUUUCUUGAUGUAAGACAAAAUAGUCUUAGUGGAAAUAUUCAGAGUGACUUGUGGAAAUAUAACGAUCAUCCAACUUUGGAAUUCAUCAAUUUAAGUGGGAACCAUUUUACGGGUAUAGUUUUUCUCUAUAAAUCUUUUCUUUUGUCAUAUGUAACUAAGCUAGUAAUCUGAUUAAUUGCAGUUUUACCAAAGUUUCAACAAUCUUGACAGGUGAGCUUCCAACAACAAUUUGCAAUGUCACUUCCCUUUCAAUUCUUGAUUUGUCAAAUAAUGGAUUAAGUGGUGCACUUCCAAACUGUUUCGGGAAUCUUGCAGAUAGAUUGCUUUUCAUUAAUCUUGCUAAUAAUCAGUUUCGAGGAACAAUACCAACUACUUUAUCCAAAAGUUGUCAGCUGACAUGUCUAAACAUGGAUAAUAAUGAGUUUGAAGGAUUGUUACCCCCAUCUUUGGCGAACUGUAAGCACUUGAGAAUUCUUGAUAUUGGCAACAAUAAAAUAGGUGGCACAUUUCCGUCAUUGCUUUAUGUACUUGGAGAGCUAGAAGUCCUUGUCUUGCGAUCAAAUAAACUCUGCGGUACAAUAAGUGCAAGGAGCAUAGAAGAUCCCUUCCCCAAGUUGCGGAUUGUGGAUCUGUCCAACAAUCAGUUCACAGGCCAUUUGCCAAUUCAAUACUUCAAGAAUAUGAAAUCAACUGAUAAUUUGUAUUGGUAUCGUAUUUCCACAGGAGAAUUAUUUUUCCAAUAUGAAGCAGCAGUCUCAUUAACUGUGAAGGGAAGAGAGUAUGAAGUAGCAAAUAACCUUCAUAUUUACACAGCCAUUGAUCUGUCGUGCAACAAAUUUCAGGGAGAAAUUCCAACGGUUACUGGAGAGCUUAGAUGGCUUGCAUUGCUCAAUUUAUCUCAUAAUAGUCUAACAGGACCUAUCCCAUCAUUGCUGAGAAAUAUGAAAGAACUCCAAUCUUUAGAUUUGUCCUCGAAUCAACUGACAGGGGCUAUUCCACCUCAGUUAUCUGCAUUGACAUUUCUAGAGGUCUUGAACCUCUCGAAAAACCAUCUUAGUGGAGAGAUUCCUCAGAAAGGACAGUUCAGCACAUUCAACAAUGAUUCUUAUCUAGGAAACUCCGCGUUAUGUGGAUCACCUUUGACGAAGAAAUGUGCAAACACAGCAUCACCUCCACAAGAAGUCGGAAAUGGUGAUGAAGAUGAUGCUGGAGAUGAAUUGACAUGGGAAGCAAUCGUGAUGGGAUAUGGAUGUGGACUGAUAUGUGGUUUGUGAGAUAUAUCGAAGUACUGCAACAGAAGUUGAUGAAAAGAUAUGCAUGAAGAAUGAUACUGGCCGAUCAAGACGAACUUGAAAGUUUGUUGUCCUUGUGGACAUUUCAGCUGAACCAGUAGUGUACUAUUCUCUUUGUGACUGCAUAAGUAUUUUGUAUUGUGUAAUGUUCUGUUUGGGCUUAAAUCAUAAUGAUUUUUCUUGCUUCAGGGGUAUUAAUAUAAAACCGUUUGGUCGGGACUCAUAAUGAUUUCUCUUGCUUCAGGGGUAUUAAUAUCAUCCUUGCUAUCUUGAACAAUGAUAAUGCAAAUUAAAAAGAAUGAAAAAACAAAAAUAUUGCAUCAAACACCUGUUGUACCAAGAUCCAUUAAUUUGCUUUCAUCUCUUACGCAACAAUUUAACAGCACUUCCACACUGUUUGAAAGAUUAUCAUAAAUUCGAGUUUUCCUCUCCAGCACCAAAUCCAAAUUAAUAUACAAUGCCACACAUUCCAGUCUCAGCUUCAGCUCCCAGGGUAGCAUUCAUUUAGCCAAGCACGACAGUGGCCGCUUACGUGCCUAACAAUAACAGUUGGGGAUUUGAGUGAACUUGCCUUGGUCCUGCCUUCAAAUGUCUGACAAUAACAGUUGGAUAUGUCGACAAAAAAAUUGUUCCUCACAGAGGAGCUAAUAGCAAUUGACUUCGAAUAAAUCCGACAGUUCUUUUCAUCCAGUUAUUAUUUCAGCAAUAUGUCUAGCAAAUAUGUAGUGCACUGGACACCAUACUACCAACACAAGUAGUAAAAGGAGAGACCAUUGUUUCGAAUGCUCGGAAAUUUGAACAGGGUUUUUUCCACCUGCCCCCUGACUUUUUACACAAACAGGUCAAGAAAAACAGAAGCCGGCUUCUGGAAAAAUGAAGCACUACUUUAUGAGUGACCAUUGUUUUGAAUGCUCGGAGAUGUGAAGUGGAUUUUUUCAGCCUGCCCCCAGACUUCUUUUUGUAAAACUAGAUUUCUUUAGCUCCGGUGUCUUAGUAUUGGAGAUUAUGAGUGACUGUAGAAAAGACUUUAAUAUGAGUGUGAGAUAUACCCCGGUGGAAACAGGACCUUGAUCCAAAGGGUCACGGGUUCAAACCUCACCUGAUCGGGUUCCACUCCACGCUCGGUCCACAUCUAUGCUGGAUUCAUAUUAAAAUGAUAAUGGAACACGGGCGUCCAUGGUUGGGGAUAUCAUAUUAAAAAGAUUAGCUGGGCACAGAUGAAUAUUUAUAUGGAUUUUAAAAACAAACUAUGACUUAAUAUAAGAAAAAUCAUUAUUUUUUAUUUUUCCGACUAAACAUUUGUUAGCCUUCUCUGGUGCCCAUCCAAAUCAUUCAGCGGGUUCUACUUUCAGCUCAUCACAAGAACAUCAUUCUGCAGGUACUUUCUUAUAUUGUUUGCCAGCGGUGACCGAGCCAGAAACUUUUUCGAGGAGGGGCCGGAAUAGAAAUAUUAUUUAAAUUUGAAAAUAUUAUAUAUCAUAUUGAAAAUAGUAUUAGUAACAAAAAUCCAUUUAUUUUAGGUUUCUAUGAGAAAACUCAGUCGUUUCAUUAAGAAAAUUUAAUUACUUAAUUACCAAACGGUUGAGGAUGAAGAUUUGAAAGAACGAGUUGCAACGGGGAGACUCAUAGACGCGACAGAAAAAAAUAGAAAAAGAUAUUGUUCAACAACCGAGUCUAUAUUAUUAAAAUUUAUGAUAAAUGAGAUAAUUUUAUUUUAUAAACUAACUAAAUACAUAUAAUAUAGUAUUAUAUGUAAUGCUACGUAAAAUUGGAUACAAGAUUUUGCACAAAAUGAUAUGAUAACUAAAGUGAAAUAUUUUAAUUGGUGCUAUUAAUGUAUAUAUACAUUUAUUACAAUUAAAACUUAACACAUAUUAUUAAUUUUGUGAAUAAAAUAUUUUUCUUAAUAAUAUAUAAGUAAAAAAAAUAAAAAUCUAGGAGGGGCUCAGGCCCCCUCUGGACCCCUCUAGCUCCGUCUGUAUACACCUAUCAUAUUAUUGACAGGUGGCUCUCUCAUAUUGCUCACAGGCGAACUCCUGCAUAUACUUUGUGAACCAAUCAUGACAAAAAUAUCAUCAUCCAAUCAAUUCGAUUAAUUAUUCUUUAAAUCAGUACAAAUAUUGUUAAAUAUAUGGAUGAUUAUCGUGUUUCCGCGAACCAAUCAUGAAAUGAAAUUACCUCUGUAUAAAUCCAUCGGAAAUAAGACAAUUAAUGGGGCCGUUUGGGCAAGCUUAAAAGAAGUGACUUCUUGCUUAAACUAGAGAAGUGGAGCAGAAGUGAGAAGUAAAUAAGUUAUUAAAGUGUUUGGAAAAGAAGCAGAAGCUGUGAGACAAAAGCUAGCAUUCUCAGCUUUUUAAAAGUGACUUCUUUACACAAACGGGUAAAAAAAGCAGAAGCCAGAAGCAGCUUCUGCUUCCGUUAAACAAACAGGCCCAAUAUCUCAAUCGAAUACACCCCGUGAGUUGUCAAACUCCUCGAAACGUAUUAAUCACUUUAGAAAUUUGUUCCACUGGCGCCAUUCAGUUCCAGAGUUGGUGGUAGGGGCCGUGCUUCUUGUGUUUCUUCUUUUCAUUAUUGACAUUGUCAUCUAGGUCCUUGCUUCUGGGCUUUGGAGAAGUAAACAAUGGAUCUAUUAGUCUUCCAUAUCGCUGAUACGCGCUAACGCGCAUUAUAGUGGAUUGAUCUUUAUUAGUGAUUUCUGUGGAGAUGCAUAAUCAUUAUAAGCUCCAAUAUAAAAUAAACCUAAUUUAAAGUUAGUAUGGGCAUUUGUGUUGAUAAUUUACGCAAUGUUAACAGGGAUUGCUCCCAAGUCUUGGACGGAUUCUUUCCAAGUCUUCUGAGGACCUAUUUGCACACUAAUUUGUCGCCAACUAAAAAUUCAACGAUAUUGCUAGCUCCCUCUACUAAUUUUUUGCGGGACGUUUUUUACUUUUAACACAUAUCUUUAGAUAGAAUUAGUAUUGUAAAAAGCGGGAAUCAGACUUAAUCGGUGAAGUCACAGAACAACGAUUAAUCGAUGAUUAAUUGGAUUGAUUGGGUAUCAAUCGGAUGAUUAAUGAAAUAAUCGGAUAUUUAAUCCGUUCGACGAGUUACGGAACAGGGAUUAAUCGUGAUUAAUCACCGACUUUUAGAACAGAGGAUAGGAUAAUAAAAUUAUUAUUUUUGAUUAUUUUUUUUGUGAAUAAAAAUUUUGAUUAUAUAUUUUUAUUAAAAAAGAAUUUAAAAUAAUAUUUUUAACUAACCGGUCCAAACAGCUAAAAGUGUGUGCCCAAGCGUCAUAUAAAAACGGAGGGAGCGAGCAUGUGCUGACUAACGGUUCAACUAACAGUUUACAAGUACUCCAUCUGUCCCAUUUAGUCCUAUUUAAUUAUAUACGUUUUUUUUUAACUGUUUGACACGCACUUCAAUGCUCUUCUAAAAUAUGGUUCUAUAACUUAUUUUUAAAAUUUUCUUUUUCUGAAUAAAAAUAUAACAUUCAAACUUUUAUUCAGAAAAAAAUAUCGUAAAAAUAAGUUAUAGAAUUAUAUUUUAUAAGAGCAUUAAAGUCCAUGUCGCGUCCCCGUCUUCUGAUGUAUAAAUUUGCGCAAUGUUAACGGGGAUUGCUCAUUUGCUCUCAAGUCUUGGACGGACCAAGUCUUCUAGGACCCAUCUGCACACUAAUUUGUCUGCCAACUAAAAAAUCAACGAUAUUGCUGCCUCUGCUAUUUUUUACCAGGACGUUUUUUACUUUUAACACAUGUUUAGAUAGGAUAAUAAAUAUUAUUAUUAUUGAUUAAUUUUUUUGUGAAUAAAAAUUUUGAAUAUAUAUUUUUAUCAAAAAAAGAAAAUUUUAAAAAUAAUAUUUUUAAGGGAAAUUAUUAAUGGUACUAUUGUGCUACUGGCUUUUCUAAAUGGUACUAUUUUGGUGUUUUCGACUUACAUGCAUUAUCACUUCCAUUAACGAUACUACCAUUCCGUCCCUCAAAACGUUAAAACCAUUAGUUGACCGUAUUUAUUUUGUAUUUUCCUUGUAAAAAAAACAAAAGAAUACAACUAAUAUUUGUAUUUUUUGUUUGUGUUCAAAUCGUCGAGAUAUGGAAGAGGUUAUCAGAAUUUUAGAAUUGAUUCGAUGUCCUUCAGAAAGUCAGGGGGAAACGGAAUGAGAUACGAGUUUUGAACAAGAAUCCAGUUUAGUUGUUGUUUAUCUUGAAAAACAGAUUUGGAAGUCAUAUAUUUUCAGCCUUUGGCUUCAUGUAUUUCUGUCUCAUCAUUCCCAGAUACUUGCUGAGGUUUAUAGUCACUGUUUAUUAAAUGUUGUCGUACAUUUUCCUGUAUUAUGCACCCAUGUGGCGCCUGUGUUUUGCAUGUCAUGCACAAUUUGCUCAACUACAUACAGGUCACAGGAUGAGUGCAUGUGCCAAAGGGAUUAGUGCAUUGAUCUGUGUAGUGUGAGGACACUGUGAUACAAGGCACAAUUUCUCAGAUUUCUUCUGUCAACACCACUCCCAUCCAUAGCUCCCACCUUUUCUCUCUCAAUCUCAUGUUUCUCUCUUUCUCUCGCAGCUCCGCCGCCACCACUACAUCAGUCUUCAAGAACUCAAGAAAAAAUAUGGAUAUCAGUUAUAUUUUUUGUGUUUUUUAAAGAAGUAUAUGAAAUAAAUAUAGUCAACUAAUGUUUUUAACGUUUUGAUGGACCGAAUGGUAGUAUCAUUAACGGAUCAUAAACUGAGUGGUACCACUUGUAAGUAAAAACCAGUGUUGUAAAAAGCGGGAAUCGGAUUUAAUCGGUGAAGUCACGGAACAAAGAUUAAUCGGAGAUUAAUCGGACUAAUCGGUGAUUAAUCGGAUAUUUAAUCAGUUCGGCGAGCUACGGAACAGGGAUUAAUCGGUCGUGAUUAAUCACCGACUUUUAGAACAGAGGUAAAAACACGAAAUGGUAUUAUUCAUAAAAGCCAAUACCACGAUGGUACCAUUAAUAAUUUCCCUAUUUUUAAUUACCGAGUCCAAAUAUUUAAACGUGUGUGCCCAAAAUUAAAGCCGCAUAUAAAAAAACGGAGGGAGCAUGUACUAACCGUUUCCAUAACAGUUUACAAGUAUAAGUUAUACUCCCUCUCAAUUUUUUUAUUUUUUUAUAUGACGUUUUGAUCUUGGGCACACAUUAUUAAGUGUUUUGACCGGAUAGUUAAAAAUAUUAUUAUUUAAAUUUUCUUUUCUGAAUAAAAAUAUAUAACCAAAAAUUUUAUUCACAAAAAUUUUUAGUGAUUUUUUCGUGAAUACCUAAGGCCAAUUUUUCAAAUAUUUUGUAAAAAUACCAAUUUUUUGAAAAUAUUUGCAAAGAUAAUGUAUUCAACCACAUGCAACCAUACUUAUAACCAGAUGUAACCAUAAUUGCAACCUCUGCGGGACCAAUUAACUGAAUUUGUAUUUGGUUGCACUAGUUAGUAUUUUCUUAAAGUUAGUAUUUUUGUAAAUAUUUUUAAAAAAAAGUAAAAUCGCAAAAAAAAAAAUCGAAAAAAUGGUUUGAUAAAUUUCUAAAUAUUUAAUCACAGAACAAUAACUUUUACAAUCCGAUCAACUCAUUUAAAAAUGUGUGUCAAAAGUAAAAAUGUCAUAUAUAUAUAUAUCAUAUAAAUGUCAUAUAAAUUUAAAACAAAGGGAUNCAUAUAAAUGUCAUAUAAAUUUAAAACAAAGGGAUAUAUAUUUUUUAAUAAAAUAUACUCCCUCUAUCCCAAAUAAGUGUCAGUGACAUUUUGCAAAAAUAGCUUGGGACAAUAGAUUUUUUUGCCACUCAACUUAAUGUGUUUUUAGAAAUUCGCCACCCAACUAAUUUUUUUUUCCUUUUACUCACUAAUGUUAGGUUUGGAUUUUUUUUAGCCACCAACUUAGGUUCGGAUUUGAUUACUAGUAUUAUGAUAAUUUUAUUUAUCACUAAACUUACUGCGUCUUUAGGAAUUAACCACUGAACUAUAAUUUUUUUAUUUUACUCACUAAUGUUAGGUUCAUUUUUUUUGUCACUGAAGUUAGGUUCGGAUUUGAUUAUUAGCAUUAUAUUAAUUAUGUGUAACAUUAUUAAAAUAUAGUGGUCUAUAAUAUUUUGAUGAUUUGGUAUAUGUCUGUAUCUUUAUAUAUAGUACUUUUUAUGUCUCCAAUGUCGUUUAACUUGAGUGGUAAGAAUUUUACACGCAUUUUAUGGCUUUUAAAAGAUGUAGUUUCAUAAAUAAUUUUAUUUUUUUCUUCCGAAUAAAAAUUCAGCGUUUUACACACAAAAAAAUAACAAAAAAAAGUUAUGAAGCUAUGUUUUAUAAGAGUCUUAAAAUACGUGCUAAGCAGUAGAAAAAACUGUAAACUAAUGAGAGGGACAUGUAGUAAUAAUAAUAAAAUGAUGCAUUAUAGAGGACAAUCAUCGAAAAUUAAGUUAACCUCUCUAUUUAUUUAUCUUGAAAAUUGUAGUAAAAUAAAGUUAUUAAAAUUUAUGAAGAUAAAUUUGAGAGAGAUCUUGGACUGAGCUAGUCAAUUGAAACUUUAAUAGCGAAAGAUGAUGCAUCAUAUCAAUCAAUUACACUUUAUCUUCUUAUCAUCAGGGAGGGUGAAUUGUUUGAAGUCAUUGAUUUCAUAUUCAUGAUUUAUUGAAUUUUAGAAUUCUAAUUACGAUUUUUCCUGGUUUUAAUUUUUCAUCGGCUCAUUUUAUAUUAUUUUUGUUAUAUAUAAGGAUAUAAACAUACGACACAUCAUCAAAAUAUUACAUACUAUCACUAUGUAUAAAUGAUGCGACAAAAAUUAUCAUAAUGCUAGUAAUUAAAUCCGAACCUGAGUAGUGGCUAAAAAAAAAUCCAAACCUAAUAUUAAUGGUAAAAGGAAAAAAAAAAUAGUUAGGUGGCAAGUUUCUAAAAACACUAUAAAUUGAGUGGCAAAAAAAAUCUAUUUUCCAAACAUAGCUUGGGGUAAUAACAAAACCUUAAUCAACGCAAGCACAGCAGACCGCAGGCAUAAGGCUUAUAAAUAGAAGUGCAGUAUUGUGUUGAUGGUCAAGUUGAGUGGAAAUAUGGUACACUUUGUAAAGCCUUGUUAUCCUCUUCUCUUUGUUUUCUUUCUCUCAUUACUUCAAUCCAUUCUAACAACACUACCUGAAUCCAGACGAGAGGGAGAAGCUCUUGUGAAAUGGAAGAAUAGCCUAGCCCCGUCUUCUUUUCUCGACUCUUGGUCACUCACUGAUCUCGAUAAUCUUUGUAACUGGACUGGCAUUACUUGUAACUCUGCAGGUUCAGUCUCGGAGAUUAACCUUUGUGAGAAACAACUUGAUGGAAUGCUGUCCGAGUUUGGUUUCACUUCAUUUCCAGAUCUCAACUAUCUCACCCUCGCAGACAACUUCUUCUCGGGUCCGAUACCAUCAGCCAUUGAGAAUCUAACACAGCUUCAAUAUCUUGAUUUAAGCAUGAAUAGUCUCAAUGGUCCCAUUCCUUUCCAGGUUAGCCAUAUUCAGAGCUUGCUCAUCUUAAACCUGUCACACAAUGCAUUGCAAUCUCCAAAUUGGUCCCAUUGCUCUCCCAUGCCUGUCUUGCGCAUCCUCGACCUUAGUUUUAAUAAUCUUGUGUCGAAAUUCCCAGAAUUUAUAUCCAAUUCUCAUAGCCUGACUCACCUUAACCUUUCAGAUAACAAGUUUACUGGUGAUCUUGUGCGUGAAUUUACCAAUCUACAAAAUCUUGAAACCCUCUACCUUCAAGAUAAUUCUUUUGAGGGGCCGUUUCCGCCUGAUAUAGUCCAGCUUUCCAAAUUAAAACGUCUCGCCCUGUUAGGUAACAAAUUUUCAGGUUCAAUUCCCAAUGACAUAAGGUUGCUUUGUGUUCUUGAAUACCUAUAUUUAGGCAACAAUUCCUUUGAAGGACCACUUCCACCAAAUAUAUUCACGCUUUCAAAAUUAAAAUUACUUGUUCUUUGGGGUAAUAAGUUUUCAGGUUCUAUUUCCAAUGAUAUAGGUUUGCUUUCUGAGCUUGAAACCCUCGUUCUUGACUCUAAUUAUUUUGAGGGGCCACUUCCGCCAAAUAUAUUCAAGCUCUCUAAAUUAAAGGUUUUUUCCCUUGUGUACAAUAACUUUUCAGGUUCUGUUUCCAAUGAUAUAGGUUUGCUUUCUGAGCUUGAAUAUCUCCGUAUUGGCUGCAAUUCUUUCGAGGGACCGUUGCCAACAAAUAUAUUCAAGCUUUCCAAAUUAAGUAAACUUGACCUAUCAAAUAAUAGUAAUUUUUUUGAAGGAAGUAUUCUUAUUGGAUUGGGACUCUUGACUAACCUCAGCUACUUAGAUCUAGAUUCCAAUAAUCUCAGUGGCUAUAUUCCAUCUGAGAUUGGAAACCUGAAGCUACUAGUAUUUCUCGAUCUUAGUUCUAAUCAAUUGACUGGAUCGCUUUCAAAGAUCUUUUCUAAUCUCACAAAUCUUAUAUAUCUUCAUGUAUAUGAUAAUAGUCUUAGUGGAAAUAUUCAGAGUGACUUGUGGAAAAACUCUGUAUCCUUGCGUUUCGUUGAUCUUGCAAAUAAUUAUUUGUCUGGAAACAUCCCUAAGGAAUAUAACGAUCAUCCAACUUUGGAAUACAUUAAUUUAAGUUGGAACCAUUUUACAGGUAUAUUUUCUCUAUAUAUCUUUUCCUUUUCUNCUCAUAUGUAACUAAGCUUGAUUAUUGCAAUUUUACCUAAGUUUCAACAAUCUUGACAGGUGAGCUUCCAACAACAAUUUGCAAUGUCACUUCCCUCUCGGUUCUUGUUUUGUCAAAGAAUGGAUUAAGUGGUCCACUUCCAAAUUGUUUCGGAAAUCUUGCUGAUAGAUUGCUUUCCAUUAAUCUUGCUAAUAAUCAGUUCCGAGGAACAAUACCAACUACUUUCUCCAGCAGUUGUCAGCUGACAUAUCUAAACAUGGAUGAUAAUGAGUUUGAAGGAAUGUUGCCUCAAUCUUUGGCGAAAUGUAAGCACUUGAAAAUUCUUGAUAUUGGCAAUAACAAAAUAGGUGGUAUAUUUCCGUCAUGGCUUUAUGUACUUGGAGAGCUAGAAGUCCUUGUCUUGCGAUCAAAUAAACUCUAUGGUACAAUAAGUGGAAGGAGCAUAGAAGAUCCGUUCCCCAAGUUGCGGAUUGUGGAUCUGUCCAACAAUCAAUUCACCGGCCAGUUGCCAAUUCAAUACUUUAAGAAUAUGAAAUCAACUGAUAAUUUGUAUCGUUAUCGGAAUUCCACAGGACCAUUAUCUUUCUCUUAUGAAGCAGCAGUCUCAUUAACUGUGAAGGGAACAGAGUACGAGGUAGCAAAGAACCUUCAUAUUUACACAGCCAUUGACCUGUCAUGCAACAAAUUUCAGGGAGAAAUUCCAAAGGUUACUGGAGAGCUUAGAUGGCUUGCAUUGCUGAAUUUAUCUCAUAAUAGUCUGACAGGACCUAUCCCAUCCUUGCUGAAAAAUAUGAAAGAACUCCAAUCUUUAGAUUUGUCCUCAAAUCAACUGACAGGGGCUAUUCCACCUCAGUUAACUGCAUUGACAUUUCUGGAGGUCUUCAACCUCUCGGGAAACCAUCUUAGUGGAGAGAUUCCUCAGAAAGGACAGUUCAGCACAUUUAACAAUGAUUCUUAUCUAGGAAACUCCGCGUUAUGUGGAUCACCUUUGACAAAGAAAUGUGCAAACACAGCAUCACCUCCACAAGAAGUCGGAAAUGGUGAUGAAGAUGAUGCUGGUGAUGAAUGGACAUGGGAAGCAAUCGUGAUGGGAUAUGGAUGUGGACUGAUAUGUGGAUUGUCAUCUGCGUACAUUGUUCUCAAACUAGGAAAGCCUUGGUGGUUUGUGAGAUAUAUCGAAGUGCUGCAACUGAAGUUGAUGAAAAGAUAUGCUUGAAAAAUGGUACUGGCCGAUCAAGACGAACUUGAAAGUUGUUGUCCUUGUGGACAUUUCUGAACCAGUAGUGUACUAGCUGCAUAAGUAUUUGGUAUUAUGUAAUAAUCCGUUUGGUCAGGACUCAUAAUGAUUUCUCUUGCUUCAGGGGUAUUAAUAUUAACCUUGCUAGUUAAUUCAAAUUAAAACAAAUAUAAAAUCAAAAAAUUUGCAUCAAACACCUGUUAUACCAACAUCCAUUAAUUUGCUUUCAUCUCUUACGUAACAAUUUAACAGCGAUUCCACACUGUUUUAGGCAUGGAGAUUACACAAAGAAGGCAAGUCCAUGGACUAAUAUACGAACAAUUCAUAUUGGUCUUCCAUCUGUUCAACCGUCUCCCGAAGAUAGGCCAAAAAUGUCAUCUGUGGUUCUUAUCUUUGUCAGUAAAGGAGAAUCUCUGAUGCCUAUACAACCUGGUUUUCUUACCGAAAGGAAUGUAGGUGAAACCAGGGGCAUAAAAUGAAUCGGGACUAAAAUCUGCUAAAAUGAUAAUUAUUUACUCAUCAUUCGAGAUUAGUCGGGCUCGAAUGAAGAUUUAUAUGGAUUUUAAGAACAAACUAUGACUAAAUAUGAAAAAAUCAUUAAUUUUUCCGACUCAAUAUUUUUAGCCUCCCCCGGCCCUGGGUGAAACCAUAAGCUUCUCUGGUGCACAUCCAAAUCAUUCAGCUGGUUCUACAUUCAGCUCACCCACAGGAACAUCAUUCUGCAGGUACUCUCUUAUCUGUACUUUCUUAUAUUGUAUGCCAGAAAAUUUAAUAUCGACAAACUGCACAAUACACCUCGAUCUCAUAUUAUUGACAGGUGAGCUCCUCUCAUAAUGCUCACAGGCGAACUCCUGCAUAUAUACUUUGUGAUGUCAUUGAUGAUCGAUAGGCUUGAAAAAAAAUUAUGACAAAGAUUCAUAAAAUAUCUACUUCCAUCCUAAUUCAGUAUUCAAUAUUAUUCAUUCCGUAUCAUCAUCCAAUCAAUUCUAAUAGUUCUUCUUUAAAUCAGUAUAAAUAUUGUUAAAUAUAUUGAUGAUGGUUGUCUUUCCGCGAACCAAUCAUAAAAUUACCUCUGUAUAAAUCCAUCGGAAAUAAGACAGUUAAUAUCCCAAUCGAAUACACCCCUGUCAGUUGUCAAACUCCUCGAAACGUAUUAAUCACUUUAGAAAAUUUGUUCCACUGGCGCUAGUCAGUCCCAGAGUUGGUGGUGGGUGCUUCUGGGCUUUCGAAAAGCACCCAUUUACUCCAUUGUUUAGAGAAGUAAAACCCCACCUUCCGCUCAUUUGAUUGAUCAGCUGAAUUAGGCAGAGUUUACAUGGUCAUGAUCAUAGUCUCCCAUUUCCCAGAUACGCGCAUUAUAGUGGAUUUAUCUUUAUCAGUAAUUUCUGUGGAGAUGCAUAAUCAUUAUAAACUCCAAUAUAAAAAUUUAAAGUUGGUAUGGGCAUUUGUGUUGAUAAUUUGCGCAAUGUUAACAGGAAUUGCUCCCAAGUCUUGGACGGACUCUUUCAAAGUCUUCUGAGGACCCAUCUGCACACUAAUUUGUCUCCCAACUAAAAAAUCAACAAUAUGUUACUCCCUCCGUUUUUCUUAAACGAGGUUAAAAUUUUUGACACAAGAUGGGUUGACAGUAUAAUAAAAAUUUUUGUGAAUAAAAUUUUUUUUAUUUAGAAAGAUAAUCUUGAAAAUAAUAUUAUUAACUAAGUUAAAUCACUUAAAAGUGUAUGUCCAAAAAUUAAAGCGGCAUAUAAAAAAAAGGGAGGGAGCAUGUACUAACUGUUUCCAUAACAGUUUACAAGUAUAAGUUAUACUCCCUCUCUAUUUUUUUAUAUGACGGUUUGAUUUUGGGCACACAUUUUUAAGUGUUUUGACCAGAUAAUUAAAAGGGGUUUUCUCAUAAAUACCUAAGUCUAAAAUUAUUUUUACGAAAAUAUUAUAUCUUUUUUUAAAUAUUUUGCAAAAAUACCAAACUUUGUAAAUAUUUACAAAAAUACGGUAUGCAACCCGUUGCAACCACAUGCAACCUUACUUGCAACCAUAUUUGCAACCCCUGCGGGGUCAAUUAACUGAAAUUGCAUCUGGUUGCGUUUAGUUGCAGACCGUAUUUUUGCAAAUAUUUUCUAAAAAGUUAGUAUAUUUGCAAUUUUUUUAAAAAUAUAAGAAAAUCGCAAAAAUUAUAACAAAGCUUCAAGAUUUUUAACAGGUGAGCUUCCACUAAAAAUUUGCAAAGUCACUUCCCUUUCGCGUCUCAUUAUGUCAGAUAUUGGUCAAGUGGUGCACUUCCACAGUGUUUGGGGAACCUUUCUUUGCUUGGUUUCAAUAAUCUUGCUAAUAAUCAAUUUCAAGGACCAAUACCAACGACUGUCCAAGACUUGUCUGUGCAUAUCUAAACAUCCAUAACAAUCACUUUGAAGGUUUGUUGCUCCAAUCUUUGGCAAACUGUAAACACUUACAAAUUCUUGAUAUUGGAAACAACAAAAUAGGUGGUACAUUUCCGUCAUGGCUAUUUACUGUUGGAGAGCUAGAUGUCCUAGUUAGGACGGUAUUUCGACUAGAGCAAGCCGAGUUUUGAGCGGAGCCCAAUUCGAGCCAAGUUUAAUCGAGUCGAGCCGAGUCAGUUCGUUUGGCUAAUCGAGCCUAAAACUCUGUCCGAACUCGACUCGUUUAAUUUCACGAGUUGAGUCAAGCCAGCUCAUUUAGCUAAACGAGUUGGUUUUAACGAGUUAAACGAGUGAGCUCGUAUAAUUUUAACUUAAUCGAGCCUGGAUCUCUAUCCGAACUAUUGGCUCGUGUAAUUUCGCGAGUCGAAUCGAGCCGGCUCGUUUUAUUAAACAAACCGAAAUUUUUGCCCAAAUUUUGCUCGUUUAACAAGCCGAUCUGAACCUAGUUAAAUGAGUUCGAGCUAGUCGAGCUCGCAGCUUGCGAGCUCGCCGGACAGCUCUAGUACUAGUCUUGCGAUCAAAUAGGUUUCACGGUAUAGAAAGUGGAAGGAACACAAGGCAUCUGUACUUUCUUGUACUGUAUGCCACUUUGACAGUAAAAUUUAUACUCCCUCCGUCCGAAUGAAUUGUAUACAGUUUACUUUUUGGGACGUCCCAUCAAUUGUAUACAUUCCUAAAGUAGUAAACUUUUAUAAUAUAAAACAUCAUUAAACCAACUACUUUCUUCCCCUAUCUCCAUUCUAUAAUAAUAUAAACACUAUUACACCCACUACUUUCCUCCACUAUCUCAAAUUUAUUAUUAAAUAUAAAUGGGUCCCACCACUAUACUCACUUUUCAUCCAACUUUACUCAUUUCUAAUAAAAUUUCUUGGUCUCCGUGUCCCAGCCAUUUGUAUACAAAUGACUGGGACGGAGGGAGUAUCAACAAACUGCACGAUUAAAUCCUCGUACAAUUGACAGGUGAACUCCUGCAUAUGUUCUGAACUAUUACGUACUAUAUUAUGCAAGCUGUUUGCAACUUUCAUCAAAAUUUUCAAACAUUUCUUAAUAUGUUUUUUCAAAAAAUUCUCGGGCCCUCUUAAGGCCUAUUAUUAUUGCAACUCUCACGUUAUGGACCACUAUGUAUUUUACAAGCACGACGAAUCAUGUGGUCAUUAUGGACUCCCCAAGCCUUCGAGGACUCACUCCAGGUCUUAGGAGGACCACUGCCUAGCUCACCCUUUCGGAGUGAUGUAAAUUAUUUUCUAGACACUAAAAAUAAGUAUUCAGAUUAAUCAUUACAAAAUUAAGGAUAUAAAAUCAGAAUAAAUCCUAAACUUUGAUGAUACAAAAAAAUUAUAAUUGUAAAUUAUACAAUCAAAUUAAAAUCGAAUUAACUUCCCUCACACUUAAAAUUUAUAGCGAUCAAAUCAAAAUCGAAUUAACUUUCCUAUUACUAAAAUAUAAUUACAAUAUUAUUAGAUAAAGAGAAUAUAUAAUAAUCAAGAGAAAAUAGAUUUUUUUUUGCCACUCAACUUAUCGUGUUUUAAGAAACUUACCACCCAACUAAAUUUUUUUUCCUUUUGCUCACUAAUGUUAGGUUUGGAUUUGUUUUUAGCCACCAACUAAGGUUCGGAUUUGAUUACCAGCAUUAUGAUAAUUUUUUUUGUCACUAAACUUAUUGCGUCUUUAGAAACUAACCACUCAACUAAAUUUUUUUUUAUUUUACUCACUAAUGUUAGGUUCAGUUUUUUUUUGUCACUGAAGUUAGGUUCGGAUUUGAUUAUUAGCAUUACAUUAAUUCUGUGUAGCAUUUUUAAAAUAUGGUAGUACUCUGUGAUAUUUAGAUGAUUUGAUAUAUGUCUGUAUUUUUAUAUAUAGUAUAUUUUAUGUCUCCAAGAUCAUUUACCUUGGGUCAUAAGAAUUUUACACGCAUUAUAUGACUUUUAAAAGAUGUAGUGUCAUAAAUAAUUUUAUUUUUUUUUCCGAAUUAAAAUUCAGCAUUUGAAUUUUACACACACAAAAAUCGCAAGAAUAAGUUAUGAAAUUAUGCUUUAUAAGAGUCUUAAAAUACGUGCUAAACGGUAGAAAAAACGGUGAAAUAAUGAGAGGUACAUAGGAGUAAUAAUAACAUAAAAUGAUGCACAAGUUAGUAUAUUGGACUAAUAUUCACGCAUUUAUAUACGAGAAUAUAUGGUCCACAAGUUAGUGCACAAUGUCCAAGAAUCUUUAUCAAAGUAACACGGCAAGCAUGCAGCAUAUAAAUAAGAGUGGGCAGUAUGGUAUUGCAUUCAUAACCCACUUGAGGAGAAAUAUGGCACACUUCCUAAAGCCUUCUCACCUUCUUCUCUUUGUUUUCUCUCUCUCGUUACUUCAAUCCAUUCUACCAACAAGACCAGAGGGAGAAGCUCUUGUGAAAUGGAAGAAUAGCCUAGCCCCUUCUUCUUUUCUCGAUUCUUGGUCACUCACCAAUCUCGAUGAUCUUUGUAACUGGACUGGCAUUACUUGUAACUCUGCAGGUUCAGUCUCUGAGAUUAACCUUUAUGAGAAACAACUUGAUGGAAUGCUGUCCGAGUUUGGCUUCACUUCAUUUCCGAAUCUCAACAAUCUCACCCUCGCAUACAACUUCUUCUCGGGUCCAAUUCCACCAGCCAUUGAGAAUUUAACACAGCUUCAAUAUCUUGAUUUAAGCAUCAAUAGUCUCGAUGGUCCCAUUCCGUUCCAGGUUAGCCAUCUUCAGAGGUUGCUCGUCUUAAACCUGUCACAGAAUGCAUUGCAAGCUCCAAAUUGGUCCAAAUUCUCCCCCAUGCCCUUUUUGUGCAUCCUCAACCUCAGUAGCAAUCCUCUUGCGUCGACAUUCCCAAAUUUCAUAUCCAAUUCUCAUGGCCUGACUCACCUCAGCCUUGAUCAAAACGAGUUUACAGGUGAUUUAGCGCGUGAAUCAAUAUUUGCCAAUCUGCAUAAUCUUGAAGUCCUCAGUCUUGUUGGCAAUUCUUUUGAGGGGGCCAUUUCCGCCAAAUAUAUUCAAGCUUUCCAAAUUAAAACAUCUUAGCCUGUCAGAUAACAAACUUUCAGGUUCAAUUCCCAAUGACAUAAGGUUGCUUUGUGAUCUUGAAUACCUAUAUUUAGGCAACAAUUCCUUUGAAGGACCGCUUCCACCAAAUAUAUUCAAGCUUUCAAAAUUAAAACAUCUUAUUCUUUGGGGUAAUAAGUUUUCAGGUUCUGUUUCCAACGAUAUAGGUUUGCUUUCUGAGCUUGAAAGCCUCUAUCUUGACUCCAAUUUUUUUGAGGGGCCGCUUCCGCCAAAUUUAUUCAAGCUCUCCAAACUAAAGAUUCUUUUCCUUUAUGAGAAUAACUUUUCAGGUUUUAUUUCUAAGGAUAUAGGUUUGCUUUUUGAACUUGAAACCCUCUAUCUUGACUCUAAUUUUUUUGAGGGGCCGCUUCCCCCACAUGUAUUUAGGCUCUCCAAAUUAAGAGAUCUGGGUCUCUCAGACAAUAGAAAUUUAUUUGAAGGAAGUAUUCCUAUUGGACUGGGACUCUUGACUAACCUCAGAUACUUGCGUCUAUCUUCCAAUAAUCUCGGUGGCUAUAUUCCAUCUGACAUUGGAAACCUGAAGCAACUAGAACUUCUUGAUCUCGGUUCUAAUCAAUUGACUGGACCGCUUUCAAAGAUCGUUUCUAAUCUCACAAAUCUUAUAUAUCUUGAUGUGAGUUAUAAUAGUCUUAGUGGAAAUAUUCAGAGUGACUGGUGGAAAAACUCUGUAUCCUUACGUUACAUUGAUUUUGAAAAUAAUUAUUUGUCUGGGAACAUUCCUAAGGAAUAUAACGAUCAUCCAACUUUGGAAUACAUCAAUUUAGGUGGGAACCAUUUUACAGGUAUAUUUUCUCUAUAUAUCUUUUCCUUUUGUCAUAUGUAAAUAAGCUAGUAAUCUGGUUAUUGUAGUUUUACCAAAGUUUCAACAAUCUUGACAGGUGAGCUUCCAACAACAAUUUGCAAUGCCACUUCCCUUUCGGUUCUUGUUUUGUCAAAUAAUGGAUUAAGUGGUGCACUUCCAAAAUGUUUCGGGAAUCUUGCUGAUGGAUUGCUUUACAUUAAUCUUGCUAAUAAUCAGUUUCGAGGAACAAUACCAACUACUUUCUCCAGGAGUUGUCGGUUGACAUAUCUAAACAUGGAUAAUAAUGAGUUUGAAGGAUUGUUGCCCCCAUCUUUGGCGAACUGUAAGCACUUGAAAAUUCUUGAUAUAGGCAAUAAUAAAAUAGGUGGUACAUUUCCGUCAUGGCUUUAUGCACUUGGAGAGCUAGAAGUUCUUGUCUUGCGAUCAAAUAAACUCUAUGGUACGAUAAGUGGAAGGAGCAUAGAAGAUCCCUUCCCAAAGUUGCGGAUUGUGGAUCUGUCCCACAAUCAAUUGACAGGCUAUUUGCCAAUUCAAUACUUUAAGAAUAUGAAAUCAACUGAUGAUUUGUAUAGUUUCCGGAAUUCCACAGGAACCGCAUCUAUCUCUUAUGAAGCAUCGGUCUCAUUAACCGUGAAGGGAACAGAGUAUGAAGUAGCAAAUAACCUUCAUAUUUACACAGCCAUUGAUCUAUCGUGCAACAAAUUUCAGGGACAAAUUCCAAAGGUUACUGGAGAGCUUAAAUGGCUGGCAUUGCUCAACUUAUCUCAUAAUAGUCUAACAGGACCUAUCCCGUCAUUGCUGAGAAAUAUGAAAGAACUCCAGUCUUUAGAUUUGUCUUCAAAUCAACUAACAGGGGCUAUUCCACCUCAGUUAACUGCACUGACAUUUCUAGAGGUCUUGAACUUCUCGGGAAACCAUCUUAGUGGAGAGAUUCCUCAGAAAGGACAGUUCAGCACAUUCAACAAUGAUUCCUAUCUAGGAAACUCUGCGUUAUGUGGAUCACCUUUGACGAAGAAAUGUGUAAACACUGUAUCACCUCCUCAGGAAGUCGAAAAUGGUGAUGAAGAUGAUGCUGGUGAUGAAUUGACAUGGGAAGCAAUCGUGAUGGGAUAUGGAUGUGGACUGAUAUGUGGAUUGUCAUCUGCGUACAUUGUUCUCAAACUAGGAAAGCCUUGGUGGUUUGUGAGAUAUAUCGAAGUACUGCAACUGAAGUUGAUGAAAAGAUAUGCAUGAAGAAAGGUACUGGUAGAUCAAGAUGAACUUGAAAGUUGUUGUCCUGGUAGACAUUUCUGAACCAGUAGUAUACUAGCUGUGUAAGUAUUUGGUAUUAUGUAAUAAUCCGUUUGGUCGGGACUCAAAAUGAUUUCUCUUGCUUCAGGGGUAUUAAUAUUAACCUUGCUAUCUUGAUCAAUGUUAAUGCAAAUUAAAAAGAAUAUAAAAGCAAAAAAUUUGCAUCAAACACCUGUUGUACCACAGGCUUCCGACUCAAUAUUUGUUAGCCUCCCGUGCCCUGUGUGAAACCAUAAGCUUCUCUGGUGAAUAUCCAAAUCAUUCAGCUGGUUCUACUUUCAGCUCACCGCAGGAACAUCAUUCUGCAGGUACUCUCUUAUCUGUACUUUCUUAUAUUGUAUGCCAGAAAAUUUAAUAUCGACAAACUGCACAAUACACCUCGAUCUCAUAUUAUUGACAGGUGAGCUCCUCUCAUAAUGCUCACAGGCGAACUCCUGCAUAUACUUUGUGAUGUCAUUGAUGAUCGAUAGACUUGAAAAAAAAUUAUGACAAAGAUUCAUAAAAUAUCUACUUCCAUCCUAAUUCAGUAUUCAAUAUUAUGCAUUCCGUAUCAUCAUCCAAUCAAUUCUAAUAGUUCUUCUUUAAAUCAGGACAAAUAUUGUUAAAUACAUGGAUGAUGGUUGUCUUUCCGCGAACCAAUCAUGAAAUUACCUCUGUUUAAAUCCGUCGAAAAUAAGAAAAUUAAUAUCCCAAUCGAAUACACCCCGUGAGUUGUCAAACUCCUCGAAACAUAUUAAUCACUUUAGAAAAUUUCAACAAUCUUGACAGGUGAGCUUCCAACAACAAUUUGCAAUGUCACCUCCCUUUCGGUUCUUGUUUUGUCAAAUAAUAAAUUAAGUGGUGCACUUCCAAACUGUUUCGGGAAUCUUGCUGAUGGAUUGCUUUACAUUAAUCUUGCUAAUAAUCAGUUUCAAGGAACAAUACCAACUACUUUCUCCAGGAGUUGUCCGUUGACAUAUCUAAACAUGGAUAAUAAUGAGUUUGAAGGAUUGAUGCCCCCAUCUUUGGCGAACUGUAAGCACUUGAAAAUUCUUGAUAUAGGCAAUAAUAAAAUAGGUGGUACAUUUCCGUCAUGGAUUUAUGCACUUGGAGAGCUAGAAGUUCUUGUCUUGCGAUCAAAUAAACUCUAUGGUACAAUAAGUGGAAGGAGCAUAGAAGAUCCCUUCCCCAAGUUGCGGAUUGUGGAUCUGUCCAACAAUCAAUUCACAGGCCAUUUGCCAAUUCAAUACUUUAAGAAUAUGAAAUCAAAUGAUAAUUUGUAUCGUUAUCUGAAUUCCACAGGAGAAAUAUAUAUCUCUUAUGAAGCAGCAGUCUCAUUAACUGCGAAGGGAACAGAGUAUGAAGUAGCAAAUAACCUUCAUAUUUACACAGCCAUUGAUCUGUCGUGCAACAAAUUUCAGGGAGAAAUUCCAAAGGUUACCGGAGAGCUUAGAUAGCUUGCAUUGCUCAAUUUAUCGCAUAAUAGUCUAACGGGACCUAUCCCAUCAUUGCUGAGAAAUAUGAAAGAACUCCAAUCUUUAGAUUUGUCCUCAAAUCAACUGACAGGGGCCAUUCCACCUCAGUUAACUGCAUUGACAUUUCUAAAGGUCUUAAAUCUCUCGAAAAACCAUCUCAGUGGAGAGAUUCCUCAGGAAGGACAGUUCAGCACAUUCAACAAUGAUUCUUAUCUAGGAAACUCCGCGUUAUGUGGAUUACGUCUGACAAAGAAAUGUGCAAACACAGCAUCACCACCACAAGAAGUCGGAAAUGGUGAUGAAGAUGAUGCUGGUGAUGAAUUGACAUGGGAAGCAAUUGUGAUGGGAUAUGGAUGUGGACUGAUAUGUGGAUUAUCAUCUGCGUACCUUGUUUUCAAACUAGGAAAGCCUUGGUGGUUUGUGAGAUAUAUCGAAGUACUGCAACUGAAGUUGAUGAAAAGAUAUGCAUGAAGAAUGGUACUGGCCGAUCAAGACGAACUUGAAAGUUGGUCCUUGUGGACAUUUCAGCUGAACCAGUAGGUACUAUUCUCUUUGUGACUGCAUAAGUAUUUUGUAUUGUGUAAUGUUCUGUUUGGUCUUAAAUCAUAAUGAUUUUUCUUGCUUCAGGGGUAUUAAUAUAAAACUUGGUAUUGUGUACUAGCUGUAAUAUUCCGUUUAAUCAAUGUUAAUACCUGUAAUUUUAUGCUCCUGACUGCAUCAUGCAGCUCUCAUAUUAUCUUCAUAUGUGUAUUUAUUUGGAUAUUGAAGUUGCAUGGACAUAUGGAUAUGUGUUAACGGGGAUUGCUCCCAAGUCUUGGACGGACUCUUUCCAAGUCUUCCGAGAUCCUAUUGGUUCAAAUUAGUCCAAUUUGAACUGCCAUCAAAUGCAACUCUGUAGAUUCUGUCUCUGAGAUUAACCUUUCAGGACAUCAGCUCAAUGGUACACUUGCUGAAUUCAGUUUCGUUUAAUUUCCGAAUCUACAAAUUAAGCUACAAUAACUUCACUUGUCCAAUACCCCCAGACAUUGGAAAUUUAACAGAGCUGCAACACCUUGAUUUUAGCUCUAAUAAACUCACUGCUGCAAUUCCGGACCAGGUAAGCCAUCUUCAAACAUUGCGGACCUUAAACCUGUAGGAUAAUCAACUUGGAAGCUCCAAACUGGUCCGCUUUUUCCCCUAUGCCUUCUCUGACAAACCUCUGUCUCAAUAAUAAUAAUCUUUCGUCGAAAUUCCAAGACUUCAUAUUAAAUUGUGGUAACCUGACUUACUUUGAUCUUUCAUUAAAUAUGUUAACAGGUAAUUUGGUUCCUUCAUCAAUUUUUAGAAAUUUGUAUAAUCUUGAAUUCCUUUAUCUUUCUAGCAAUUAUUUUGAGGGGCCUUUCCCGCCANNNNNNNNNNNNNNNNNNNNNNNNNNNNNNNNNNNNNNNNNNNNNNNNNNNNNNNNNNNNNNNNNNNNNNNNNNNNNNNNNNNNNNNNNNNNNNNNNNNNNNNNNNNNNNNNNNNNNNNNNNNNNNNNNNNNNNNNNNNNNNNNNNNNNNNNNNNNNNNNNNNNNNNNNUUUCCCUAUCAUAUAAUAGAUUUUCAGGUUCUAUUUCCAUAUGAUAUAGGAAUGCUUCGUGUUUUGGAAUCCCUUUUUUUAGUAGUAGUUCUUUUAAUGGCCCACCUCCACCAAAUUUAUUUAAAUUUUCUAAAUUAAAAGUUUUUUCCCUAUCAUUAAUAACUUUUCGGGUUCUAUUCGAAAUGAAACAGGGAUGCUUCAUGAUUUAGAGUCCCUCUAUCUUAAUGAACAUUCUUUUAAGGGGCCGUUUCCACCAAAUAUAUUCAACCUUUCCAAAUUAAAAGUUCUUAAUUACCUCUCAAAUAAUUCCUUUUCAGGUUCAGUUCCUAGUGAUAUAAGUGUGCUUCGUGAUCUUGAGAUACUUAAUUUGUCCUCUAAUUCUUUUGAAGGAAUUAUCCCAUUGGAGCUUGGGUUCUUGAAUAACGUGAGCUAUUAUUAUAUCUUGAUUCCACUCAAUUGACUGGACCGCUUUUGAAGAACAUUUAUAAUCUCAGUAAUUUUUUGUGUUGGCUUGAAUGGAUCAUUCCAUUCCCUCCAAAACUCAUUCCGUUCAUGUCAACCAAACAGAGCAUCAAUUACUAGUUACUGGGAAAUGCAUUAGCCUAAAUGUUCCUGGUUCAUUGUUACCGGUAUUUCUUAACUGCUGUGAUUGCAAAUUCAGUUGCAGAUUGUUCAUAUAUAUCUAGAGAGACCUGACAUAACUUUAGCCUCUGAUAUACAGCUUCCUUUCACAGUUGUGCCUAUUCACCUAGACGCGUUUUUAACUGCAUAAUGUUGGGUCAACUUCCGACCAUUUAUUUUCUCAUUUGAAAUUAGUGUAUUAAAGUUCGACUUUAAGAAAAUAUAUAGUUUUGUUAAACAAAAAUUCCAAAAGGUUUGGUACGUUUUGAGCUGGGACUUUGAAAUUGUUUGUCGUUAAAGAUGAAGAUUCACUUUUUAAGUUAUAUUAAUCUGUAGUGGUAGACUGGUAGUUUUUCUUUAUUGCUACUUUCCUUGUGCGUUCUUUAUAUUGAUUUAUUAUUUAAUUCGUAAAGUGUUGCGAACUACAUUCCUGCAAAAGUAAAAUCAGUGGAAUUUGUUUGAUAGCAUGAUGAAUAUUUAAAGGGGUUAAUUAUCAAAUUGGUCACUGAAGUGACUUUAAUGUAUCAAGUUGGUCACUGAACUCAAAACGGUAUUAAGAUAGUCACUGAAGUGGACAUAAAUAUCAAACAGGUACCUUGAAAUAUAAGUUCAAGCAGUAAAGAUAUUAUUUAUAAAAUUUUACACAUUAUUUUUAAAUGUUACCACAACCAACUAAAAGGUUAUGACUUCUAGUAUUUAAAUUAAUAUAUUUAUUUUAUCAAGUUUAUUUAUUAUUUAUAUUUUAUUAUAUAGUUAUUUUCUUUGUUUUAAUUAAAAAUAAAUAAUAAAUAAACUUGAUAAUAUCUAAAUAUAUUAUCAUAAAUAUUAGAAUUCAUAACCUUUUACUUGGUCUAGGUAACAUUCAAAAAUAAUGUGUAAAACUUUAUAAAUAAUAUUAUCUUUAUAUUCUUUCCUUUUCUAUGUACCUAUGCUAAUUAUCUGAUUAUUAAAAUUAUAACAAAGCUUCAAGAUUUUUAACAGGUGAGCUUCCACUAAAAAUUUGCAAAGUCACUUCCCUUUCGCGUCUCAUUAUGUCAGAUAUUGGAAACAACAAAUAGGUGGUACAUUUCCGUCAUGGCUAUUUACUGUUGGAGAGCUAGAUGUCCUAGUUAGGGCGGUAAUUCGACUAAAGCAAACCGAGUUUUGAGCGGAGUCAAAUUCGAGCCAAGUUUAAUCGAGUCGAGCCGAGUCGGCUCAUUUAGCUAAUCGAGCCUAAAACUCUGGUCGAACUCGACUCGUUUAAUUUCGCGAGUCAAGUCGACCCAGCUCGUUUAGUUAAAUGAGCUGGUUUUAACGAGUCAAGCGAGUGAGCUCGUAUAAUUUUAACUUAAUCGAGUCUAAAUCUCUACCCGAACUAUUGGCUCGUGUAAUUUCACGAGUAGAAUCGAGCUGGCUCGUUUUAUUAAAGAAGCCGAAAUUUUUGCCCGAAUUUGGCUUGUUUAACAAGCCGAUCUUUCAUCAAAAUUUUCAAACAUUUCUGAAUAUGUAUUUUCAGAGAAUUUCUCCGGCACUCUUAAGGCCUAUAAUUAUUGCAACUCUCACGUUAUGGACCACUAUGUAUUUUACGAGCACGACGAAUCAUGUGGUCAUUAUGGACUCCCCAAGCCUUCGAGGACUCAUUCCAGGUCUUAGGAGGACCACUGCCUAGCUCACCCUCUCGGAGUGAUGUAAAUUAUUUUCCAGACACUAAAAAUAAGUAUUCAGAUUAAUCAUUACAAAAUUAAGGAUAUAAAAUCAGAAUAAAUCCUAAACUUUGAUGAUACAAAAAAAUUAUAAUUGUAAAUUAUACAAUCAAAUUAAAAUCGAAUUAACUUCUCUCACACUUAAAAUUUAUAGCGAUCAAAUCAAAAUCGAAUUAACUUUCCUAUUACUAAAAUUUAAUUACAAUAUUAUUAGAUAAAGAGAAUAUAUAAUAAUCAAGGGAAAAUAGAUUUUUUUUUGCCACUCAACUUAUUGUGUUUUAAGAAAUUUACCACCCAACUAAAUUUUUUUUCCUUUUGCUCACUAAUAUUAGGUUUGGAUUUGUUUUUAGCCACCAACUAAGGUUCGGAUUUGAUUACUAGCAUUAUGAUAAUUUUUUGUCACUAAACUUAUUGCGUCUUUAGAAACUAACCACUCAACUAAUUUUUUUUUUAUUUUACUCACUAAUGUUAGGUUCAGUUUUUUUUUUGUCACUGAAGUUAGGUUCGGAUUUGAUUAUUAGCAUUACAUUAAUUCUGUGUAGCAUUUUUAAAAUAUGGUAGUAGUCUGUGAUAUUUAGAUGAUUUGAUAUAUGUCUGUAUUUAUAUAUAUAGUAUUUUUUAUGUCCCCAAGGUCGUUUACCUUGGGUCAUAAGAAUUUUACACACAUUUUAUGACUUUUAAAAGAUGUAGUUUCAUAAAUAAUUUUAUUUUUUUCUUCCGAAUUAAAAUUCAGCGUUUGAAUUUUACACACAAAAAAAUCGCAAAAAUAAGUUAUGAAACUAUGUUUUAUAAGAGUCUUAAAAUACGUGUUAAACGGUAGAAAAAACUGUAAACUAAUGAAAGGUACAUAGGGAGUAAUAAUAACAUAAAAUGAUGCACAAUCAUCGAAUUAAGUUUUCCUCUCUCUCUAUAUAUUUAUUUUGAAAAUUAUAAUAAGAUAAAGUUAUUAAAAUUUAUGAUAUAAAUUUAAAAGAGAUCUUAGACUGAGUGGCAAAAAUUUAGUUGGAUGGUAAGUUUCUAAAAAUACAAUAAAUUGAGCGGGAACAAAAUCUAUUUUCCCAAUAAUCAAAGUGAUGAAAAAUUAAAGUCAUCUAAUAAGUCCAGAAAAAAUAUGACCAUUAGUAUUUUGGAAUAAUAUUCACGCAUUUAUAUACGAGAAUAUAUGGUCCACAAGUUAGUGCACAAUGUCCAAGAAUCUUUAUCAAAGUAACACGGCAAGCAUGCAGCAUAUAAAUAAGAGUGGGCAGUAUGGUAUUGCAUUCAUAACCCACUUGAGGAGAAAUAUGGCACACUUCCUAAAGCCUUCUCACCUUCUUCUCUUUGUUUUCUCUCUCUCGUUACUUCAAUCCAUUCUACCAACAAGACCAGAGGGAGAAGCUCUUGUGAAAUGGAAGAAUAGCCUAGCCCCUUCUUCUUUUCUCGAUUCUUGGUCACUCACCAAUCUCGAUGAUCUUUGUAACUGGACUGGCAUUACUUGUAACUCUGCAGGUUCAGUCUCUGAGAUUAACCUUUAUGAGAAACAACUUGAUGGAAUGCUGUCCGAGUUUGGCUUCACUUCAUUUCCGAAUCUCAACAAUCUCACCCUCGCAUACAACUUCUUCUCGGGUCCAAUUCCACCAGCCAUUGAGAAUUUAACACAGCUUCAAUAUCUUGAUUUAAGCAUCAAUAGUCUCGAUGGUCCCAUUCCGUUCCAGGUUAGCCAUCUUCAGAGGUUGCUCGUCUUAAACCUGUCACAGAAUGCAUUGCAAGCUCCAAAUUGGUCCAAAUUCUCCCCCAUGCCCUUUUUGUGCAUCCUCAACCUCAGUAGCAAUCCUCUUGCGUCGACAUUCCCAAAUUUCAUAUCCAAUUCUCAUGGCCUGACUCACCUCAGCCUUGAUCAAAACGAGUUUACAGGUGAUUUAGCGCGUGAAUCAAUAUUUGCCAAUCUGCAUAAUCUUGAAGUCCUCAGUCUUGUUGGCAAUUCUUUUGAGGGGGCCAUUUCCGCCAAAUAUAUUCAAGCUUUCCAAAUUAAAACGUCUUACCCUGUCAAGUAACAAAUUUUUAGGAUCAAUUCCCAAUGACAUAAGGUUGCUUUGUGAUCUUGAAUUCCUAUAUUUAGGAAACAAUUCUUUUGAAGGACCGCCUCCACCAAAUAUAUUCAAGCUUUCAAAAUUAAAACAUCUUGUUCUCUGGAGUAAUAAGUUUUCAGGUUCUGUUUCCAAUGAUAUAGGUUUGCUUUCUGCGCUUGAACUUCUGAAUCUUCACUCUAAUUUUUUUGAGGGGCCGCUUCCGCCAAAUGUAUUCAAGCUCUCUAAACUAAGGUUUCUUAACCUCUGGGGUAACAACUUUUCAGGUUCUGUUUCCAAUGAUAUAGGUUUGCUUCCUGAGCUAGAAAUCCUCAAUCUUCACUCUAAUUUUUUUGAGGGGCCGCUUCCGCCAAAUAUAUUCAAGCUCUCUAAACUAAGGUUUCUUAACCUCUGGGGUAACAACUUUUCAGGUUCUGUUUCCAAUGAUAUAGGUUUGCUUCCUGAGCUAGAAAUCCUCAAUCUUCACUCUAAUUUUUUUGAGGGGCCGCUUCCGCCAAAUGUAUUCAAGCUCUCUAAACUAAGGUUUCUUAACCUUUGGGGUAAUAACUUUUCAGGUUCUGUUUCCAAUGAUAUAGGUUUGCUUCCUGAGCUAGAAUUCCUCAAUCUUCACUCUAAUUUUUUUGAGGGGCCGCUUCCGCCAAAUGUAUUCAAGCUCUCUAAACUAAAGUUUCUUCAUCUUCGAGGUAAUAAGUUUUCAGGUUCUGUUUCCAAUGAUAUAGGUUUGCUUCCUGAGCUUGAAAUCCUCAAUCUUCGCUCUAAUUUUUUUGAGGGGCCGCUUCCGCCAAAUGUAUUCAAGCUCUCCAAACUAAGGUUUCUUUCCCUUAAGGAAAAUAAAUUUUCAGGUUCUGUUUCCAAUGAUAUAGGUUUCCUUUCUGAGCUUGAAUACCUAUAUCUUGACUAUAAUUUAUUUGAAGGAAGUAUUCCUAUUGGACUGGGACUCUUGACUAACCUCAGCUACUUAGAUCUAAGUUCCAAUAAUCUCAGUGGCUAUAUUCCAUCUGACAUUGGAAACCUGAAGCUACUAGUAUUUCUUGAUCUCAGUUCUAACCAAUUGACUGGACCGCUUUUAAAGAUCGUUUCUAAUCUCACAAAUCUUAUGAAUCUUGAUGUAAGUGAUAAUAGUCUUAGUGGAAAUAUUCAGAGUGACUUGUGGAAGAACUCUAUAUCCUUACGUUACAUUAAUUUUGCAAAUAAUUAUUUGUCUGGGAACAUUCCUAAGGAAUACAACGAUCAUCCAACUUUGGAAUACAUCAAUUUAAGUGGGAACCAUUUUACAGGUAUAUUUUUCUCUAUAUAUCUUUUCCUUUUCUCAUAUGUAACUAAGCUGGUAAUCUGAUUAUUGCAGUUUUACCAAAGUUUCAACAAUCUUGACAGGUGAGCUUCCAACAACAAUUUGCAAUGUCACUUCCCUUGCGGUUCUUGUUUUGUCAAAUAAUGGAUUAAGUGGAGCACUUCCAAAUUGUUUCGGGAAACUUGCUGAUAGAUUGCUUUCCAUUAAUCUUGCUAAUAAUCAGUUUCGAGGAACAAUACCAACUACUUUCUCCAGGAGUUGUCAGGUGAAAUAUCUAAACAUGGAUAAUAAUGAGUUUGAAAGAUUCUUGCCCCCGUCUUUGGCGAACUGUAAGCACUUGAAAAUUCUUGAUAUUGGCAAUAAUAAAAUAGGUGGUACAUUUCCGUCAUGGCUUUAUGUACUUGGAGAGAUAGAAGUCCUUGUCUUGCGAUCAAAUAAACUCUAUGGUACAAUAAGUGGAAGGAGCGUAAAAGAUCCCUUCCCCAAGUUGCGGAUUGUGGAUCUGUCCAACAAUCAAUUCACUGGUCAUUUGCCAAUUCAAUACUUUAAGAAUAUGAAAUCAACUGAUAAUUUGUAUCGUUAUCAGAAUUCCAAAGGAUAUCUAUCUUUCCAUCAUGAUGCAGCAGUCUCCUUAACUGUGAAGGGAACGGAGUAUGAGGUAGCAAAGAACCUUCAUAUUUACACAGCCAUUGAUCUGUCGUGCAACAAAUUUCAGGGACAAAUUCCAAACGUCACUGGAGAGCUUAGAUGGCUUGCAUUGCUCAAUUUAUCGCAUAAUAGUCUAACAGGACCUAUCCCAUCAUUGCUGAGAAAUAUGAAAGAACUCCAAUCUUUAGAUUUGUCUUCAAAUCAACUGACAGGGGCUAUUCCACCUCAGCUAACUGCAUUGACAUUUCUAGAGGUCUUGAACCUCUCGAAAAACCAUCUUAGUGGAGAGAUUCCUCAGAAAGGACAGUUCAGCACAUUUAACAAUGAUUCUUAUCUAGGAAACUCCGCGUUAUGUGGAUCACCUUUGACGAAGAAAUGUGCAAACACAGCAUCACCUCCACAAGAAGUUGUAAAUGGUGAUGAAGAUGAUGCUGGUGAUGAAAUGACAUGGGAAGCAAUCGUGAUGGGAUAUGGAUGUGGACUGAUAUGUGGAUUGUCAUCUGCGUACAUUGUUCUCAAACUAGGAAAGCCUUGGUGGUUUGUGAGAUAUAUCGAAGUACUGCAACUGAAGUUGAUGAAAAGAUAUGCAUGAAGAAUGGUACUGGCCGAUCAAGACGAACUUGAAAGUUGUUGUCCUUGUGGACAUUUCUGAACCAGUAGUGUACUAGCUACAUAAGUAUUUAGUAUUAUGUAAUAAUCCGUUUGGUCGGGACUCAUAAUGAUUUCUCUUGCUUCAGGGGUAUUAAUAUUAAACUUGCUAUCUUGAUGAAUGUUAAUGUAAAUUAAAAAGAAUAUAAAAUCAAAAAAUUUAAAUCAAACACCUGUUGUACCAAGAUCCAUUAAUUUGCUUUAGUCUCUUACAUAACAAUUUAAUAGCACACUUCCACACUGUUCACACGUGUAAUGUAUAAAAAUUCCAGUCUUCUUCGGAGGCCUACAGCUUCAACAACCUCUCAAAGAUGUAGCAGUUGCUUGACAGUGAUAGAUAUAUAUUAGAUAAACACUAUGCAAUAACCAAAGUGACAGAAAAAUCAAAGUCCGCUAAUAAAUUCAUAAAAAAUAUAAUAAUCAACAACAAGAAUCAUAGUCUUACAAGUUCAUAUAAAAUAUAGGAUCAUUAGUAUUCCACAUGUAUAUUUUCUUCUCUUUCUUUUCGAGUUUUCCUCUCCAGCACCAAAUCCAAAUUAAUAUACAAUGCCACACAUUCCAGUCUCAGCUUCAGCUCCCAGGCUAGCAUUGAUUUAGCCAAGCACGACAGUGGCCGCUCUUGGUCCUGCCUUCAAAUGUCUAACAAUAACAGUUGGAUACGUCGACAAAAAUAUUGUUCCUCAUCAUACUGAGGAGUUAUUGAAUUCGACAGUUUUACACAAAGAAGACAAUUCCAUGGACUAAUCUAUUAGUAACACGUAAGCUAUAAACACGUAGUCCACAUCUAUGCUACGAACAAUUCAUAUUGGUCUUCUAUCUGUGCAACAGUCUCCCGAAGAUAGGCCAAAAAUGUCAUCUGUGGUUCUUAUCUUUGUUAGCAAAGGAGAAUCUCCGAUGCCUAUACAACCUGAUUUUCUUACAGAAAGAAAUGCAAGUGAAACUAGGGUCGGAUACCAUGUUAAAUGAUCAAUUCUCCUAAAACUAGGUUCAGGAUGAUCAUGAUAUAUUCUAACAUCAAGAUUAGCAGGACUAAAAUGAAGAUUUAAAUGGAUUUUAAAAACAAGCUCCUACUGAAUAAAAAGAAUCAUUAAUUUUUCUGACUCAACAUAUGUUAGCCUCCCCUGGCCCUGGGUGAAACCAUAAGCUUCUCUGGUGCACAUCCAAAUCAUUCAGCUGGUUCUACUUUCAGCUCAGCACAGGAACAUCAUUCUGCAGGUACUCUUGUAUCUGUAGUUUCUUAUUAAUUUAUUAACAAAAUUUAGCUAUUAAAUAUUUUGAUAAAAUAUCUAUUUAUUAAAAUAUUUUUUUAUUUAAUUGGUCUGAUAAAAAUAUUAUUGAUAUAUAAAUUUUACCUUUUUUCUGAAACAAAUUAUAAUUUUUGCUUCAAGCUUUUGUAUGAUAAGUUGAGAAAUAUUAGUUUUCUUUAUCACCGUGAGAGUAGAUCCUCGUUCCACAAAAAUUUGUAACUGAAAAAUAAAAUAGAGCCCUAAAACUUUUCGAUAAAUAUGGACUAAACAAUUUUGAUGCUCAAGUCUCAAUAGGAUUUAUAAACGGUCAUGAUGAGUUUGAUUAUCAAUGACACCAAAAAAAUAUUAGAAUUAUAUUUAAGUUAUAAAUUUGUCAAUAAAUUGUGUGAUAAUCAUACUUUCCAAGUCUUCUUCAGAGGCCUCCUGCCUCAACAACCUUUCAAAGAUGUAGUAGUUGUUGCUCGAGAGGGACAAAUAUAUUAGGUAAAGACUAUGCAAUAAUCAACGUGACAGAAAAACCAAAGUCCUCUAAUAAAUUAAUAAAAAAUAUUAUAAUCAAUAUCAAGAAUCAUAUUAUCAUAGUCUUCUAAGUUCAUAUAAAAUAUAGAAUCAUUAGUAUAUAAAUAGAAGAGUGCAGAGUAAAGCCUUUCAUAAUCCAGUUGAGGAGAAAUAUGGCAUACUUUGUAAAGCCUUAUCACCUUCUUCUCUUUGUUUUCUUUCUCUCAUCACUUGAAUCCAUUCUUGCAACAACACGAGAAGGAGAAGCUCUUGUGAAAUGGAAGAAUAGCCUAGCCCCUUCUUCUUUUCUUGAUUCUUGGUCACUCACUCAUCUCGAUAAUCUUUGUAACUGGACUGGCAUUACUUGUAACUCUGCAGGUUCAGUCUCUGACAUUAACCUUUUCAACAAACAACUCACUGGAAAGCUUUUUGAGUUUGGUUUCACUUCAUUUCCAAAUCUCAACAAUCUCACCCUUGCAGAUAACUUCUUCUCUGGUCCAAUACCAUCAGCCAUUGGGAAUUUAACACAACUUCGGUAUCUUGAUUUGAGCAAUAAUUAUCUCAAUGGUUCCAUUCCGUACCAGGUUAGCCAUCUUUCAAGAUUACACAUCUUAAACCUGUCAGAGAAUGAACUGCAAGCUCCAAAUUGGUCCGAUUUCUCCCCCAUGCCUUGUUUGACCAUCCUCGACCUUUAUCAAAAUAAUCUUAUGUCGGAAUUUCCAGAAUUUAUAUCUAACUCGCGUAACCUGACAUACCUUGACCUUUCAUAUAACAAGUUCACAGGCGAUCUUGUGCGCGAAUCAGUAUUAACCAAUCUAGGUGAUCUUGAAACCCUCUAUCUUAAUGAAAAUUCUUUUAGGGGGCCAUUUCCACCAGACAUAUUCAAACUUUCCAAGUUGAGAGUUCUUGCCCUGUUCAAUAAUUUUUUUGAGGGGCCGCUUCCGUCAAAUAUAUUCAAGCUCUCUAAACUAAGAUUCCUUUUACUUUGGAGUAAUAAUUUUUCAGGUACUCUUUCGAAUGAAAUAGGUUUGCUUUCUGAGCUUGAAGACCUAGAUCUUCACUCCAAUUUUUUUGUGGGGCCGCUUCCGCCAAAUAUAUUCAAGCUGUCUAAACUAAGAACCCUUUUCCUCUGGGGUAAUAACUUCUCAGGUUCUAUUUCCAACGACAUAGGUUUGCUUUCUGAGCUUGAACACCUAUAUCUCGACUCCAAUUCUUUUGAGGGACCUUUUCCAACAAAUAUUUUCAAGCUUUCCAAAUUAAUACAACUUGGUCUCGCAAACAAUACAAAUUUAUUUGAAGGAAGUAUUCCUCCAGGACUGGGGCUCUUGACUAACCUAGAGGACUUGUCUCUUGCUUACAAUAAUCUUGGUGGCUAUAUUCCGUCUUCCUUUGGAAACCUAACACUACUAGUAUAUCUUAAUCUCGCUCGUAAUCAAUUGGUUGGAACACUAUCAAAGACCAUUUCUAAUCUCACAAAUCUGUGGUUUCUUGAUGUACAUCAUAAUAGUCUCUCUGGGAAUAUUCAGAGUGACUUCUGGAAAAACUCUACAUCACUGCUUUACAUUAAUUUGGCAGACAAUAAUUUUUCUGGGAACAUUCCUAAGGAAUAUAAUGUUCUUCCAAUCCUGGAUCACAUCAAUUUUAGGGGGAACAACUUUACAGGUAUUUUUAAUUCCAUAUUUUUUCCUUCUGUUGUAUUUAAUUAUGCUAACAACUACUGCCUCUGUUUUCAAAUACAUAUCGUUUGACUUUUUGGCACAAAACUCUAUAAUAAUUCUAACUAUAAGGUCAAUGAACUUAGAAAUAUAUGUCAAAAAGUCAAACGUCAUAUAUUUGAAAUUAGAGGGAGUAUGGCUUAAUGACCUUUUAGCCCUUAAAGUUUGGGUAGAAGUUCCGAUGCGGCGUCGAAGUUUAAAAACGUACCUUUCGACCCUCAAAGUAUCUUUGUCGUACCUUUUAACCCUUAUGGCGUAUACCGGUAUAUAACGGGUGGGCAAAGUUGACAUUUCACACGUGAGGGUUAAAUGGGGCAUUAAACAUUAAGGGUUAAAAGGAACAUUUAAUAUAUUUUAAUGUAUUAUUUAGGGAUUAAAAGGAACGAGAUGUAUACUUUAAGGGUUAAAAGGUACGCCCAAACUUCACCCCGAAUAUGAAUUGUCAAGUUUAUCCCCCGAUUUGUAUCGGUAUUUUUAAAAAGGGCUAAAAAGUACGACAAAGAUACUUUGAGGGUCGAAAUGUACGUUUUUAAACUUUGAGGCCGCAUCGGAACUUCCACCCAUUCUUCGAGGGCUAAAAGGUCAUUAAGCCGAGUAUAUAUUACAGUUUUACCAAAGUUUCAACAAUCAUGACAGGUGAGCUUCCACCAACAAUUUGCGAUGCAACUUCCCUUUCGAUUCUUGAUCUGUCAAAUAAUGGAUUAAGUGGUGCACUUCCACAUUGUUUGGGGAAUCUUGCUGAUAAAUUGAUUUCGAUUAAUCUUGCUAAUAAUCAGUUUCGAGGACCAAUACCAACAAAUUUCUCCAAGAGUUGUCGUCUGACGUAUCUUAACAUCUAUAACAAUCACUUUAAAGGAUUGGUUCCCCAGUCUUUGGCAAACUGUAAGCACUUGCAAAUUCUUGAUUUUGGAAAAAAUGAAAUAGGUGGAACAUUUCCGUCAUGGCUUUUUACUCUUGGAGAGCUAGAAGUCCUGGUCCUGCGAUCAAACAGAUUUUUCGGGAGAAUAACUAGAAGGAGCAUACCACACCCCUUUCCCAAGUUGCGGAUUUUGGAUCUAUCCAACAAUCAGUUCACCGGCUAUCUGCCAAUUUCAUACUUCAAGAAUAUGAAACCAAAUGAUAAUAAUUAUGAUUAUUUCAACAACACAAACGAAGCCUAUUACGUUUAUCAAGUUUCUAUCACAUUAAAUGUGAAAGGAAGCGAGCAUGAAGUGACAAAUAUUCUUUAUAUUUACACGGCCAUUGAUCUGUCGUGCAACAAAUUUGAAGGAAAAGUUCCAGACAUUACCGGAGAGCUUAGAUGGCUUGCAUUGCUAAAUUUAUCUCAUAAUAGUCUUUCGGGGCCUAUUCCAUCACAACUGGGAAAUAUGAAAGAGCUCCAGUCUCUAGAUUUGUCGUCAAAUCAAUUGACAGGUGUUAUUCCGGAUCAACUUACUAGUAUGACAUUUCUUGCUAGUUUGAACCUGUCAGAAAACCAUCUUUCUGGGAAAAUCCCUCGGAAAGGACAGUUCAGCACUUUUGGCGAAGAAUCUUACUUAGGUAACUCGGCCUUGUGUGGAGUUCCUUUGACAAAGAAAUGUAUAGACGAAGUGCCCCCUUCACAAGUUGGAAAUGGCGAUGAUGAAAAUGUUGAUGAAGAUGAUACCGUUGAUGAAUUCAAUUGGAAAGUGAUCCUGAUGGGAUAUGCAUGUGGAUCAAUAGGCGGAUUGUCUGCAGGAUACAUUGUCUUCACAGUUGGAAAGCCUUGGUGGUUUUUGAGGUACAUUGAGACACUGCAGCAGAAGUUGAUGUGAUGCGCAACUAGAAACAACCUUAUCUUAGAAUGAAUCUGAUCAAUGUUAGCAUAUACUGAACUUUUUUUUUUGUAAAUAUGAUUUCAAGUUCUCAUACUAAUACAAGAACCACUUGUUAAAUCUUGACCAUGCUAAGAGGAUGCUGAAUGCUGAUUUAACACUUUGCGAUGCAAAGCAGGGGCGCAUUAGUAUUUUAUAUGUGUUGAUAAUUUGCGCAAUGUUAACAGGGAUAGGUCUUCUUCUCUGCCAGAUCUUCGACAGACUCUUUCAAGGUCUUCUGAGGACCCAUCGGCUCGAAUUAGUCCAUCGUGAAUUAUGAUCUGAGAGCUAUCUGCACACUAUUUCCAGGUCUUCUGUCUCGUUAACUAUGAAAGGAAGAAAUCAUGAAGUGAAUAAAAUUCUUCAUAUUUACACAAUUGAUCUAUCAUGCAACAAAUUUUGAGGAGAAAUUUCAGAGGUUUCCGAAGAGCUUAAAUGGCUUGCAUUGCUCAAUCUAUCUCAUAAUGAUCUUACUAGACAUCUCCCCGUUGCUCGCCAUUAGAAAACAGGGAUUAUUCACUCGUCCGCCGCACCGCGAACUCAUUCUUAGGUGCUCGGAGGUUUUUGAGGAUUCUUGUUGAUUAUUAAUUUUGUGAUUUUGUUGAAUACUCUAUCACUUAAUAAUGUAAUAAUUGUGUUAUUAAAUAAUUAUAUUUUAAAUUGUUAAGGAUAUUGAACUAUUUGUUUGAUUAUUUGGUUUAAAUAUAAAUGUAACUCUUGAAAUACAUUUAUUAUAUAUAUAUUUAACAUGUUAAUAUUUACUGAAUCCCUCGCAUCCGAAUCCCGAUAUUUUUAAAUUUACGGAUUCUCGUAUUCAUGUACCGUGCACUACCAUACCUUCAACCACACUCAUACUUUCUAGCUGCUCGGAAAUAUGAAUCAAUCUUUAGAUUUGUCUUCAAAUCGAUUGACGGAGGCUAUUCCACACCAGUUAGGCAGUUAACUAGAUUGACAUUUCUAGAGGUCUUGAACUUCUCAGAGAAUAAUCUUACCGGGAAAAUACCGCAAAAAGGAAAAAUCAGCACUUUCGAGAAUAUAUGAGUCAGUGUGGUUCACCUGUCUAGACCAAAAAUGUCAUCUGAGAUUCUUAUGUUUUUUAGCUAUAUAUGAGUGGAAGAAAAUUGUCGAGUCGAGGUUAAUCGAAUAAGGCGAGCCGGCUCAUUUUAAUUUAAUUGAGACAAAACUUCUACGGAGUUCGACUCCUUUAAUUAAACGGCUAUGAAAUCUCAUUAAAGUCAGCCUUGUAUAUAAACUCAAGCCAGGUCGAGUUUUAUUGAACAAAUUUCAGCUCAAACCAGUCGCGAGCAGCCCAGCUCAAGUUCGAGGCCUGCUCAUCUGUCUUCGAGUCUUGGACGAGAUUUGAAUCAUCAACUCCUUCCAAAAAGAGUAUUACACUGACAAAAAUGCAGUAACAUGUUUAAUUUAAAAGUAUAUCAUCUGUUCCCGCAGUUUAAUUUUACCCAUAUUUUUGAGAUUCAUAUAAAUUAUAAUUCCAUAAUAUUUUUUCAAUCAUAUUGGUUUUGAAUAAAAAUAUAAAUAUCAAACUUUUAUUUUUAAAAAAAUUAUAAAAUUAUAUUUUAUAAGAGUCUCAAAUACGUGGGAAAGUGGGAGUAUUAAUUUCGCCCACUAAGUCACUGACAGGUUUGUUAAUUUGUUUCCAUUUGAAGGUGUACACUGCAUAUUUUCACCAGGGAUGGCAACAAGUCGAAUCAGUUCAGAUAUAUCAGAUAUCUCAAUCCAAAUCCAAAUUAUUUUUAAAAUCCAAAUCCAAUCGAGUUUCACAUAUCAAAUUCAAAUCCAAAUUCACGGGUUUCAGAUCGGGUUCAGGUUUGUUUGGGUUUAUCCAAAACCCGAAUCCAGAAAUGUAAGUAGUAUUGUAAAAAUAUUAUUUUUUAUUUUUUCACCCUUGAAUUUCAUUAUAUUUAAAACUAAACUACACACAUUCACACUUUAUCUAUCCAUAUUAUAAACACAAUUUAGUAUAUUUAAAAUUGAAAAAAAGUAUAUUAGUAUACUACAUACAUAUAUUUGGAUAUUUGGAAAUUUUUUCGGGUUUUGUGUUUGGAUCGAAUUUAGAUUUCGGGUCCGGUUUUGAUACGGAAUACUUAAUAUCUAAAUCCAAAUUCAAACUGGUUCGGGUCUAAAAAUUAAAUUCAAAUCCAAAUCCAAAAUAUCAUGUUCGUUAAAAUUCAUUCGGGUCGAGGUUGAGUAUCCAUUCGGAUCAGAUUUUUCUCUAACCAAUAAAUUUUGUAAAUGGUCUGCACAAACGCAGUUACCGGCCCAUUUCCGUAUGAAGCCCAUGAACAAUUAUUUGUUCUGUAUAUUUUUCAAUCAAACCAAACCCAAACGCUAACAGCAGAAUUAAUUAAAUUCCUUUCACAUGUGAUUUUGUAAUGGGCCUACAUUACAAAAAUACUGUAGGACUAUCCCACUAUCCCUGACCCUACAUGUUUUCUCAAUAAUUUUGAUAAAUAUAUUAAACAGAUAUUGAACUGUUACAAAAAUAUAACGUCUGUUUUUCAAAUAAGUAACGUACGGUUUCCGAGAGAUAAAGUUUGACUUAUAUUGACAAGAUAACGCUUGAAUUUAAUAUCUUUUUAAAAAAAACUAAUAUAAAAUCUAAAUUAAAUCUUCUUCUUAAAUGAGAAUCCAGAAAAAUCUCAAAAAUUCACAACUACAUCAAUAAAAUAUAAUAUCCAACAUUAAAUAAAAAUCUUUCAAUAUCCAUUUUUUGUGUAAUUUUCAACCAAUCUGCUCUAAUUAUUUCGUCACCUUUUAAAAUUUAAAAUUUUUAAAUACUCAAAACAAUUACCCUAACCGCCAACCACCUUAGAAUUAUAAAAUCUUAAAAUUAAAUGCUAAUAAGAUUAUCAGUGUUACUCACCUAAACCAAAACGGUUACAAAAUCUAACGGCAAUAUUAUAAACUUUUAAAAAUUAAAUUUUUAAUUAAUUUGGCAAGUGGUAUUCAUAUAGAACAAAACAGUUACAAAAUCAAACUGCAAAUUAUAAAAUCUUGAAAUUAUAUUUAAUACUGUAAGAUUUAGCAUGUGGGUCCCACACAAUCAGAAAAUAAUAUGAACACGAAAUCUUGCUCUAUUAAAUACACACACCUGUACAUACAUAUAUAAACACCCACCGCCUCUUCAACUUUCCAACAUCAAAACCCUCGUAAUUCAAUUGGGUUUCUGCUGUUAUUCUCCCCUCUCUCCUCUCUCUCGCCGAGAUUUUUAUAUGCAUACAUGCGUGGGUAUAUGUAUAUGUACACCCCCUUGGCAAAAACACAGACUAAACACUAAAAGAACCCACAGAAUCAUACCCAUGUUAUGGAUAUUAUCUGGGGUUUGUUGAAAUUGUUGUAGAAGGCCUAAAGAUUUGAUUUUGGAGUAGCCCAUUUGGUUCUUGAUUGAAUUUGGUUGUGUUUUGAGUGUGAAAAGGCAAGAUUUUAUGAUUCUUGAUGGAUGAAAGUGCUAUGUUUGGCUUGAAUGGAGAUAAUGANACAAAAUCUUGAAACGCUGUUUCUUGAUGGUAAUUCUUUUGAGGGGACGUUUCCACCGAAUAUAUUCAGGCUUUCUAAAUUAAAACACCUUUCCCUAUCUGCUAAUAAGUUUUCAGGUUCUGUGCCGGAUGACAAGUUGGUGUCGAAAGUGAGAAUGUUGCGGUAGGGGGUGAUUCGGAUGAGCUUGUUGUUGUUGGGGAGACAGGGCAGGUAUAAUGCUGCAUUUGUUGUUUUUGUCGAUAUUAUGUGUUGCUUUUGUGUUUUUUGUUAUGUUUUCAUAUGUUUAGUCCGUUAUUUUUUGGAGAAUUAAGUAGUCUGAUGAAUGUUGAUUAAUCCAAUAUAUAAGCUGGGCGUUUUUGUUUAAUGUGCUUAUUAUGAUUAUAUUAUUUUGUUUGAUAAUUGAAUUGUGUUUAGAUUGUUAAUCCAAAGCCAAGGUCAAAAGACGUAAGGUAACAUUGAUGUUAAUUGAUAAAACUAACCUCAGAAAGUAGAUUGUUUGAGGCAAUAGAGAGUGUGAGCCUCUAUCAUGACAAUUUAAGAAGUUUAUAGUUGAGUCGUUGACUGCAUUACUAUCAAAUGCAUAGGGGUAUGGAAAUGAAAACGGUUAAUAACAUAUGGGCAUUUAACCUAAUAAUUUGACAACUCGACACUCGGACUUGUAUAUGUAAGUUGUAGUAGAUGCAUACGGUGUUUUAGUAGUUUAUUUGUGUACAAAUUAUUUCAUUGGGUAUUAUUUGAAGUGAAUAGUAUAUUGGAUUCAUGCAUGUUCAGACUUUAAUAUCAACAUCUUUCAGAUUUUUCUGGAUAAUGGUUAAUAAAUUCUUUGUUUAAUAAUGACCGCUUCACUUAAUGUCAUUUCUCUUCUUUCUUUUUUUAAUUAUCGGAGUGGAUAUUUAUUUAAUUUUUUCUGAUUUAUGUUGCAACUUCCAAUAUAAUUUGUUUGGGUGCUAUACUUUGAUGGAUUAUAGGUCGCAUGUCGAGACUAUCCUCACCCACGAGAUCUUUGUGCUAAACUUCCCUUUACAUCUACUCCUCAUGAANUGCUAAACCAGGUAAUAAUAUUUUUUCUCAGAAUUAAUUAUUACACCUCUUUUCAGUGCCGAACGUUCUGCGUAUCUUAUUUGACCAUUGUCUGUUGCAGUGUCACUGUUAUGUUUGUGAUGCACCGGCUCCAUGUCUCAAAUGGGGAACUGGCAUAUCUGUCAGUGACCAUUGUCAUGCCACUGGGAAGGUGGAAUUCUGGAAUCAACAAAGCCUAAAUUUUUUGAAAAGGCUUUAAAAAAUUUGGAAUUUUUUAAAAAAAUGAAAAAUGUAAAAAUUAAAAAAAUCUAAAAAUAUCUGGAAAUUCAAAAAAUAUACCUAAAUUUUUGAAAUUAAAAAAUUUUAGAAUUUUUCCAAAUUUUCAGAUUUUUUCAAAGUUUUAAAUUUAUUUUCAAAAUUUUUAGAUUUUUUCGAUGUUUUUUCAUAUUUUUUAAAGUAUUUUAAAAAAAUUCAACUUUAUUAAAAAAUCGAUAUUUAUAUUUUUCUCAAAGUUUUUUUUAUUUUUUUUAAAGGAUUCUGUUAAAGGCAGCUGAUAUUUAACGUCGCAGUGACCUAUUUGCAAACUUUUAUUAGUUCAGUGAGUUGACUGCAACUUAAAUCGAGUUCUGUGAUCCGUUUGCAAACUUUUUAAGUUCAGUGACUUAACUGCAAGUUGGCCAUGAGUUCAAUGAUCUUUUCGCCUAUUAACCCGGACUAAAUCUACUAAAAUGAUAAUUAUGGACUCACAAUGUAUAUUUUUAAUUUAUAUGUUUAGUUAAAAAUUGGUUAAUUUGACUUUCGAAAAUCAAAAUGAACAUGUAAAAGGAGAUCGUGGUAAUAAGCCCCUCAACGUGUGUAAAUGUUAAGUAAAAGGGAUAUGUUUAUUUUUAUUUUAAAAAAGAAUUAAAAAUAUUAUUUUACAAAUUAAAUUAUAAAAUACUCUCUAUAUUCCAAAUUAGUGAGUUCGUUAAUUUUAGGCACACUAAUUUAGAUGAUUUAACUGCAUAGCUAUAUAAUUUAUUUUUAAUAUUUUUAAAAAACAAUUAAAAAUAAUUUCACGAAUAACAGAUGAUCAUUAUCUUUUAAAUCACAUGCUGAAAAUCGGAUGUUGCCCUUAUCAUUAUCACAUUUUUAAGUAGUAAUGUCUCGAAAAUUAAAUAUUAGAUCCAAUAUGAUUUCAAAUAUCACUUUAUAAUAUUCUUUUUUGUCAUAAUAUCACUUAAUAAUGUUAAAUGAGUGACGUUUAUAUUUUUUUUAAAGUGUUACACAAUGAGAAACUCUAAAAAAUAUAACGGUAGAUAAUGUAGUAUCAUAUCAAAACAUUACUUUAUCUAACCAGAACAUAAUAUUCCAAGGACAAUUUAACUUUUUUUAUAAUAUUCAGAACCUUCUUUUUUUUUUUUGAAUAAAAGACAAAUUUCAUUAAUACGAAAUGUCAUACAGAAAAAUCUCCAACAAUACAUCUCGAGGAGACAUAAACACUUUUUGACAAUUUAAAGAACAGGAUAAUUUAGCUACUAGAUGAGCUACUCCAUUCGCUUGUCGUUUAACAAAUGAAACUGAAUAACAUGGCUUCGAAUUUAAAAUAAGCUUGCAGGCAUUCAAGAUGUGACCAACUUCUAAAAGAUUUUCCUGAGAGUCAUGCAAGGCUUUAAUGGCCAGGAGAGAGUCUGAUUCAAUUUCCACCACCUCAUGAUUUAAUGAGCACAACCACGGGAGACCUUCAAAAGAGAAAAGGCCCCCAGUAACCUUUUUUUAGUGUCAAAUGCCCUAGUUGUCAUUAUAAUAAAAAAUGGCCCUCAUUAUCACUCUAUAACACUACUUAAACUCACGUUCUGUUUUUCCAUCAUAAACGGCACACGCAACAGUGUUUCCAGGUUUAAUACUUUUUAAAAAAAGUCUAACGUAACAUGAAGUUACGUUCACUGAUCUGAGUUUUUUUUUCAUAUUACUCACAUCUUGCUUAUUUCCAUAUAGAAAGAAAUUCACUCACUAGUCAACGUUAUAACAAAUUAUAAUAAUAUUUAACCAGUGCACCCCAAAGGGUAGCGGCUGCGGUUUCCUACGUUAAAAAGAAUAUUUAAGCGUUCAUACAUGGGGUUUAGAAAAAUUUGUUUAUAAUUGUAAAUUAAUUUUCUGAACGUUAGGGUUUAGGAUUGAGGGUGUAGGGCCGGUAGGCCCUACUCCCUCGAGCCUAAAACCUAAUUAAUGCGAGGCUGAAGGGCCGAAGGCCCUGAAGCCGAGAAAUCGGCAGAAUAAAUAAAUUUACAAUCGUUAACAUUUAGGGUUUAGAUUUGGGUUGCAGAAUGAUUAAUUCAUACUGUAAAUUAAUUGGCCGAACGUUAGGGUUUAGGAUUGAGGGUGUAGGGCCGGUAGGCCCUACUCCCUCGAGCCUAAACCCUAAUUAAUGCGAGGCUGAAGGGCCGAAGGCGAGAAACCGGCGGAAUAAAAAAAUUUACAAUCGUUAACAUUUAGGGUUUAGGUUUGGGUUGCCAUAAUGAUUAAUUCGUACUGUAAAUUAAUUGGCUAAACGCUAGGUUUUAGGAUUGAGGGUGUAGGGCCGGUAGACCCUCCUCCCUCGAGCCUAAACCCUAAUUAAUGCGAGGCUGAAGGGCCGAAGGCGAGAAACCGGCGGAAUAAAUAAAUUUACAAUCGUUAACAUUUAGGUUUAGGUUUGGGUUGCCAUAAUGAUUAAUUCGUACUGUAAAUUAAUUGGCCAAACGCUAGGUUUUAGGAUUGAGGGUGUAGGGCCGGUAGACCCUACUCCCUCGAGCCUAAACCAUAAUUAAUGCGAGGCUGAAGGACCUUCAAGCCCUAAACGCUCGAGCCUAAACCCUAAUUAACUCGAGGCUCUAGGGCCGUGAGACCCUAAAGCCGAGGAACCGGAAUUAAAAUAUAAAACAAAAUUUUAAAUGGCGUUUAAAGUGGCGACAGAAUUGUAAGUUGGGUGUUAAGCUAGCAAACGACAUUAAGUUACGUUUUAGAUUUUUAGGUUAUUAAAAAAUAAAAAAAAAAAUCAAGAACGUCACAUGAAGGCACGUUUUACUUCUGAUAUCAAGAACGUCACAUGAAGGCACGUUUUACUUCUGAUAAACACACCAGCACGUGACUAAAGUCUCGUUUUCAUAUAUAACAGCAAUUGAAGUGACGUUUUGCUUUUUUUAGUUUAAAAUAAUAACCCCAUAACGUGACCAGGAGUCACGUUUUAGUAUAAAUCCUAAACGCUGCUUCAGAACAUGUUUUGGAGUGACACCCGGGGCCAUUUUACGGGAUUGUGACUUUAAGGUCCAUAUUGUUACUGAUGGUGACUCACAGGGCCAACACCCCCUUCAAAAAUAGCGCUUGCUUCGGCUUCAAGGACAGUAGCCACCAUGGCUUUACAUAUUGUUUUACCCAUCACAAAAACUCCCUCGCUGUCACGCAGAACCAAACCCAACGAGACCGAGGCCUCACCGAAACGCACACCUGCAUCAACAUUUAGUUUGAGAACUCCAUCCGUCAGCUUUUUCCACUUCACUCGAGAAGAAGAUGCGGAACUAGAAGUACUACCAACCUGAACAACACGCUUAGCUUUAGCCUCCUUCCAGUCAGAAAUAAUCUUAGCGCUCCAAUCCAUAGCUAUAGCAGCUGUAACAACCUUGUGAUCCCAAACCUUCUUGUUUCGAAAAAACCAAAUUCCCCAAAGAACUCGAGCAAUAUUAAAAGUUUCAUGAUCAGGACCUGAUUCAAACCUAGCAAGUAACCAAGAGGGGGCAAACUCCACCAGAGACAAAUCAAAGACCAUACCUGAGUAUUGCCAACAUAACAUUGCAAACUGGCAGGUGAAAAAUAUGUGAAUAAGGUCUUCGUCACCAGAGUUACACAUGGGACAGUCAAGAGAAAGAUUUACUCCCUUAGAUUGUAAUCGACUUUUCACAGGCACAUUAUUCCUGCAAAAACGCCAUAAAAACACUUUGAUCUUAAGAGGAACCUCCAACUGCCAGAGUUUCUUCCACCCACUAGAUUGUGUAACAGUGCCAGUGCCAAUAUUUUGGGCAUGUCAAAACUGGUAACCUGUUUUCACAGAAUUUUGGCUGUUAGUAGUCUUUGACCAAGCUAGACGAUCCACGGUCGACCUACAGGGAACAUAAGUUUUUAAAAAUUAUGUAAUUCAUUCAAUUCCGUAUCAGACAAUACAUCUUAUCAUCGGUGAUAAUGAAAAUAGUGUAGAUGUUUGACCUAGUCCCUGUUUGACAACCAAUAUAAUAAGAAAUAAAUUCUUAUUUUUCUAAAAAAUAUAUUUUUGUAUAUAAAUGUUAAAGAGAUAUUUCUUAUUUGUUGUUUGAAAAAAGUAAAGACUUAUUUCAGAAUAAAAAAAAAUUAUUGUACAUUCUCUUUAUUUCUGAAAAUAAGUUUGGUCAAAUCAUCCAUAAUUCACGUAAUUCAAAAGCCCAUUAAUUUUUUUUUUCUUGCUAAUUGAUCAGCACACGCACACGUUUCCAACUUCCCGCAAAGGGUACAGGAGUACCACCGGAGUACCAUCACACCGACGCUUUGUUGGGCCCAAUAAUUGGCUGAAGUUGAACGGGGCUUUCUGCCUCCGCUGGACCCCAGUUGGGAGGACUCUUUCCAAGUCUUUCGGAGCCUCUUUCCCAUUGACUCCAACUUUCCAGGGUGUAUACAAAUUUUUUGAAAGAGGGUGUAUACAAAUUAUUCACGGCCAUCAAAUCAACCAGCGUAGCUGGUGAACAAAUAUUAUUGUUUAUUAUAAUUUUAUUUAAUUUAAAUGUGAUUAUAAGAACAUAAGAGGACGUUUGAAAGUGUGGGUCUUAUUUCAAACAGUAGAUUUAAAAAAAUAUGAUUUCAAUUGUUAUUUAAAAUUCUUAAAUUUAUAUUAUAUUAAAAUGUUCUUAUUCUAAUUAAUGAGUCACUAUUCGUAUUCUCAAGCAUGUUAGUUUGUUAAAAUUUAAAAUUUCAAAUGAAAUUAGGCUAAAAGACCAUAAUAUCAAAGCAAAAUCUCAUUAUCCAAUAUAUUGGUGGGCAAAAAUAUUAAACCUGGCUAUUCAUUAAUAUUGGUUCUUUAUUCAAAUUAUGUCAAAUUUAUAUAAAAUUUCGAAAAUUAUUUAUGAAUAAGAGUCGGCAUUCAUAUAUUUAUUAAGGAUACAAGUGAGAAAAUGUUAUUAAAUUAAUAUUUUUUUAAUAUACGUAAGUUUUUUAAAAUAAAUUUGUAGCGUGGGACGGGAGUAUUAGACUGAUUCUGGCUUGGAGUGAAUCAGCCCAUAAAGUUUACAGGGUAGAUGACCAUUCUUAAAUCUUAAAGAAUCUUACGGUGACAGCUAACUGAACGACUCGGUUUCAGAAGUGCUGAAAAGUUUCGACGUAAACUACAAUUUGCCUAGCAUGUAAUUUCCAUGCAUUUUCUCGUUACUAGUGACAGAUAACUUUUUUGAUAUUUAUAUAUUUUUAAUUAUAAUAAAGAUACUAGUGAUUAUGGUUAGCUUUUGGAGUACUUUCGGAGUACUUGGAAAUUUUCUUUUCGAGAAAGACGAGAGUACCUAUUUCAAUUUUUUACCAAAAAUUAUAAUUGAAAACAACGGACUUUUAUACUUAUCAUAACAAUUUUUAACAUCUUGUUUAGAAAUAACCUGUUGUUGUAUUAUGCAAAAGUAAUAUCACUAGUUUCUAUAUUCGUAUUCUAAUGAUAAUAAAAACAUCUCUAAUUCAUUAAAACUCUUACAUAGAAAAUGAUAAAAAAAAAAAAGAAGAUAUAAAAUAAUUUAUUAAAAAUAUAUCAAAGNGAAGAUAUAAAAUAAUUUAUUAAAAAUAUAUCAAAGUUUUUGCACUCGGUUAUAAUUAUUGUGUAAUUUCUUUUUUCAAUUCCAAGAUAUUGUUAUAAGAAAAUUUUACAUCAUAUAUAUAUUACAAAAAAAAUUAAUGUAUUCUAUAUAUAUAUAUAUAUAUAUAUAUAUAUAUAUAUAUAUAUAUAUAUAUAUAUAUAUAUACAAUAAANNNNNNNNNNNNNNNNNNNNNNNNNNNNNNNNNNNNNNNNNNNNNNNNNNNNNNNNNNNNNNNNNNNNNNNNNNNNNNNNNNNNNNNNNNNNNNNNNNNNNNNNNNNNNNNNNNNNNNNNNNNNNNNNNNNNNNNNNNNNNNNNNNNNNNNNNNNNNNNNNNNNNNNNNNNNNNNNNNNNNNNNNNNNNNNNNNNNNNNNNNNNNNNNNNNNNNNNNNNNNNNNNNNNNNNNNNNNNNNNNNNNNNNNNNNNNNNNNNNNNNNNNNNNNNNNNNNNNNNNNNNNNNNNNNNNNNNNNNNNNNNNNNNNNNNNNNNNNNNNNNNNNNNNNNNNNNNNNNNNNNNNNNNNNNNNNNNNNNNNNNNNNNNNNNNNNNNNNNNNNNNNNNNNNNNNNNNNNNNNNNNNNNNNNNNNNNNNNNNNNNNNNNNNNNNNNNNNNNNNNNNNNNNNNNNNNNNNNNNNNNNNNNNNNNNNNNNNNNNNNNNNNNNNNNNNNNNNNNNNNNNNNNNNNNNNNNNNNNNNNNNNNNNNNNNNNNNNNNNNNNNNNNNNNNNNNNNNNNNNNNNNNNNNNNNNNNNNNNNNNNNNNNNNNNNNNNNNNNNNNNNNNNNNNNNNNNNNNNNNNNNNNNNNNNNNNNNNNNNNNNNNNNNNNNNNNNNNNNNNNNNNNNNNNNNNNNNNNNNNNNNNNNNNNNNNNNNNNNNNNNNNNNNNNNNNNNNNNNNNNNNNNNNNNNNNNNNNNNNNNNNNNNNNNNNNNNNNNNNNNNNNNNNNNNNNNNNNNNNNNNNNNNNNNNNNNNNNNNNNNNNNNNNNNNNNNNNNNNNNNNNNNNNNNNNNNNNNNNNNNNNNNNNNNNNNNNNNNNNNNNNNNNNNNNNNNNNNNNNNNNNNNNNNNNNNNNNNNNNNNNNNNNNNNNNNNNNNNNNNNNNNNNNNNNNNNNNNNNNNNNNNNNNNNNNNNNNNNNNNNNNNNNNNNNNNNNNNNNNNNNNNNNNNNNNNNNNNNNNNNNNNNNNNNNNNNNNNNNNNNNNNNNNNNNNNNNNNNNNNNNNNNNNNNNNNNNNNNNNNNNNNNNNNNNNNNNNNNNNNNNNNNNNNNNNNNNNNNNNNNNNNNNNNNNNNNNNNNNNNNNNNNNNNNNNNNNNNNNNNNNNNNNNNNNNNNNNNNNNNNNNNNNNNNNNNNNNNNNNNNNNNNNNNNNNNNNNNNNNNNNNNNNNNNNNNNNNNNNNNNNNNNNNNNNNNNNNNNNNNNNNNNNNNNNNNNNNNNNNNNNNNNNNNNNNNNNNNNNNNNNNNNNNNNNNNNNNNNNNNNNNNNNNNNNNNNNNNNNNNNNNNNNNNNNNNNNNNNNNNNNNNNNNNNNNNNNNNNNNNNNNNNNNNNNNNNNNNNNNNNNNNNNNNNNNNNNNNNNNNNNNNNNNNNNNNNNNNNNNNNNNNNNNNNNNNNNNNNNNNNNNNNNNNNNNNNNNNNNNNNNNNNNNNNNNNNNNNNNNNNNNNNNNNNNNNNNNNNNNNNNNNNNNNNNNNNNNNNNNNNNNNNNNNNNNNNNNNNNNNNNNNNNNNNNNNNNNNNNNNNNNNNNNNNNNNNNNNNNNNNNNNNNNNNNNNNNNNNNNNNNNNNNNNNNNNNNNNNNNNNNNNNNNNNNNNNNNNNNNNNNNNNNNNNNNNNNNNNNNNNNNNNNNNNNNNNNNNNNNNNNNNNNNNNNNNNNNNNNNNNNNNNNNNNNNNNNNNNNNNNNNNNNNNNNNNNNNNNNNNNNNNNNNNNNNNNNNNNNNNNNNNNNNNNNNNNNNNNNNNNNNNNNNNNNNNNNNNNNNNNNNNNNNNNNNNNNNNNNNNNNNNNNNNNNNNNNNNNNNNNNNNNNNNNNNNNNNNNNNNNNNNNNNNNNNNNNNNNNNNNNNNNNNNNNNNNNNNNNNNNNNNNNNNNNNNNNNNNNNNNNNNNNNNNNNNNNNNNNNNNNNNNNNNNNNNNNNNNNNNNNNNNNNNNNNNNNNNNNNNNNNNNNNNNNNNNNNNNNNNNNNNNNNNNNNNNNNNNNNNNNNNNNNNNNNNNNNNNNNNNNNNNNNNNNNNNNNNNNNNNNNNNNNNNNNNNNNNNNNNNNNNNNNNNNNNNNNNNNNNNNNNNNNNNNNNNNNNNNNNNNNNNNNNNNNNNNNNNNNNNNNNNNNNNNNNNNNNNNNNNNNNNNNNNNNNNNNNNNNNNNNNNNNNNNNNNNNNNNNNNNNNNNNNNNNNNNNNNNNNNNNNNNNNNNNNNNNNNNNNNNNNNNNNNNNNNNNNNNNNNNNNNNNNNNNNNNNNNNNNNNNNNNNNNNNNNNNNNNNNNNNNNNNNNNNNNNNNNNNNNNNNNNNNNNNNNNNNNNNNNNNNNNNNNNNNNNNNNNNNNNNNNNNNNNNNNNNNNNNNNNNNNNNNNNNNNNNNNNNNNNNNNNNNNNNNNNNNNNNNNNNNNNNNNNNNNNNNNNNNNNNNNNNNNNNNNNNNNNNNNNNNNNNNNNNNNNNNNNNNNNNNNNNNNNNNNNNNNNNNNNNNNNNNNNNNNNNNNNNNNNNNNNNNNNNNNNNNNNNNNNNNNNNNNNNNNNNNNNNNNNNNNNNNNNNNNNNNNNNNNNNNNNNNNNNNNNNNNNNNNNNNNNNNNNNNNNNNNNNNNNNNNNNNNNNNNNNNNNNNNNNNNNNNNNNNNNNNNNNNNNNNNNNNNNNNNNNNNNNNNNNNNNNNNNNNNNNNNNNNNNNNNNNNNNNNNNNNNNNNNNNNNNNNNNNNNNNNNNNNNNNNNNNNNNNNNNNNNNNNNNNNNNNNNNAAUCAUCUGACAGGGCCUAUCCCCCAAAAAGGACAGUUCAGCACAUUCAACAAGGAUUCUUACCUAGGUAACUUUGCCUUGUGUGGAUUACCUUUAACUAAUAACUGUACACACACUGUGUCACCACCACAAGAAGGCGGAACUGGUGACAAUGAUGCCUAUGAUGAACCCGAUUGGGAAGUGAUCCUCAUGGGAUAUGGAUGUGGACUAAUAUGCGGAUUGUCCACUGGGUACGUUGUCUUCACAUUCAGAAAGCCUCAGUGGUUUAUGAGAUACACUGAAAGCGUGCAACAGAAGUUGAUGAGAUGAUGCAUGUUGAGUACCGUUCAAUCAUGAAGCACAACUGGAAACAAUGUUAUCUUAGGAAAACAUGUGUUCUGAACCAGUAGUGUUUGCACAAAAUUUGUGGUGCUAUGUAAUACUUAUAUAAUUGUACGUAUGAUUAUUGAUUAGUCGUUGAGAAAAUGCAUUUUAUUUCAGUGUCAAUGAUAAUCUACAUGUUUUGGAUACUUCCAGCUUCUCAUACUAAUAUAGGAACCACUUGAAAAAUUUUGCGAUGCAAAGCAGGGACUCAUGAGUAUUUUCAUAUGUGUAUUAGUUUUGAAGAUAAAAGUUGUAUGGACAAUUGUGUUGAUAAUUUGCGCAAUGAUAACUGGGAUAGGUCAUCUUCUCUCCCAAGUCUUGGAUGGACUCUUUCCAAGUCUUCUGAGAACCCAUCAGCUCAGAUUAGUCCAUACAAUGUCAAGGGUCCUAUGAUAUGGUCUACUAACAGCCCAGUGUCGGUAAUAAAUCCAAUUGCAUAUAACCUAUUCAAAAUCAAUCCCCUAUAAACAAUCAUCUCUAAAAACUAUUCACAUAAAAUAAAAUUUUAAAAAUAUAAAAUAUCUAGUUGUUUUCAAUAUAUAAUUUUCCACAGUAGAUAACAAAAUAUCUUUAUCAAAUUAUAUUAUUUAUGGGUUCAAUAUUUAAGCUAUAAUUCCAAUAACACGGCAAGCAUGCAUGCAGCAUAUAAAUAGAAGUGUGCAGUAUGUAUGGUAUUCAUAACCCAGUUGAGGAGAAACAUGGCACACUUUGUAAAGCCUUCUCACCUUCUUCUCUUUGUUUUCUUUCUCUCAUCACUUGAGUCCAUUCUUGCAACAAGACGAGAGGGAGAGGGAGAAGCUCUUGUGAAAUGGAAGAAUAGCCUAGCCCCUUCUUCUUUUCUCGACUCUUGGUCACUCACCAAUCUCGAUAAUCUUUGUAACUGGACUGGCAUUACUUGUAACUCUGCAGGUUCAGUCACUGAGAUUAACCUUUUCGGAAAAAAACUUGAUGGAAGGCUGUCCGAGUUUGGUUUCACUUCAUUUCCAAAUCUCAACAAUCUCACCCUUGCAGAUAACUUCUUCUUGGGUCCAAUACCACCAGCCAUUGAGAAUUUAACACAGCUUCAGUAUCUUGAUUUAAGCUUUAAUUAUCUCGAUGGUCCCAUUCCGUUCCAGGUUAGCCAUCUUCAAAGGUUGCUUGUCUUAAACGUGUCACAGAAUGCAUUGCAUUCUCCAAAUUGGUCCAAUUUCUCAAACAGAUGAAAUUAUGCAACUGAAAUUGAUGUAGUCUUAAAGAAUUCUCAGGCACUUAAACAUGUUUCAAAGAAUUCUCAGGCACUUAAACAUUUGGACGGGUUCUUUGGAAGCCAAGAUGCCCAGGUUAUCAUGGCCAUGCACAAAAUGCAGUAUAAAAAAAAAAUGAAUACCUUAAGAGAGAUUGCUCUGGGUCUCCCCAAGCCUUCUAGACUCAUUCCAAGUCUUCUGAGGACCACUGCCUCGCGCUUUCAAAGAUGUGAUGGUAGCUCGGGAGUGAUAUAAAUUAUUUUCGGGACACUAAUAAUAAAUAAUCAGAUCAAAUUAAUCAUCAAUAAUAAAUUGAGGAUACGAAAUCAAAAUUAAUCCUAAAUUUUGAUAAUAUAUAAAAAUUACUUUACGUACACUGUUUGCACGCAUUUUGAGCUCGUAUAAAGUAUAGUUUCAUAACUUUUUUUAAAAAAUUUCUUUUUUGAUAAAAGUUUAAACGUCAAACUUUUAUUCAGAGAAAAAAAAUUAAAAAAUAUAUCACGGAACUAUACUUUAAAUUAGUAUGGAAAAACGUGCCAAAAUUAACGUAAAGAAAUGAGGGGAACAAAGAUAGUAUAAUUAUAUUAUAAAUUAAAAUUGAAAUAACUUACGUGGCACUGAAAUUGAUAAAGGCAAUAUGGUUAAAUUGAUGAAAAGUCAAAGUCCUCUAAUAAAUCCAUAAAGAAUAUAAUAAUCAAAACGACGAAAAUUAUAAAUGAAAAAUCAAAAUCAUCCUAAUAAGUACACAAAAAGAAUAUGAUCGUUAGUGUAUUGGAAUAGUGUGCACACACUUAUAUAUCAAAAUUUGUGGUCCAAAAGCUAUGGCACAAUAUUCUAAAUACACCACAUUAAGUAAUAGUUCAAAAAUAUUCAAUAUAUAAUUGUUUUCAUUCAUAAUUUUGUUAUUAUUUUAAAAAAUAAUUUGGUUGCUGUUAACCUAUAUUUCAAUUAUAUAAUUAUAUUAUUUUUUAUUUUAUGUAUCUAGAAACAAUAUUUUUGUAAUAUUUAUUACAUUAAUUAUAUUAAAAGAUAUAAUUUGUUAAAAACUUGAAUAAAAUUAAGAGGAUAACUUUAUGUCUCUCCAAGUUCACAGCACGGGUGAGCAUUGGGUUCGGAUAUCCAUAUACCGAAUGGAUAUAUCAAAUCAAAACUAAUCAUGAAUUAUGAUAAUAAUUAAAUAAAUUAUAAUUAAGCUAUAUGAAUCAACUCCAAAUGACAACAACAGCACCAAACCUUAGUUACUUUAAUAUUGGUAAAUAAAUAUAAUAUAAUAAUCAAAUUGAUGAAAAAUCACAUCAUCUAAUAAAUUCACAAAAAAUAUAUGAUCAUUAGUAUAUUAUAUUAGUAUCCACACACUUAUAUUUCAAAAUCUAUCCUCCAAAAUUAUCAUCUCUGUAAGCUAGCCACAUAAAAUAAAAAAUUUAAAGAUAUUAGAUAUUUAGUUAUUUUCAUUAUAUAAUUUUUCCACACGAAAUAACAAAAUAUCUUUAUCAAAUUAUUAUUUAUGAGUUAAAUAUUCAAGUUAUAAAUCCAGUAUUCAGCGUAUAAAUAGAAGUGUGCAGUAUGAUAUCAGAUUCACAUAACCCAGUUGAUGAGGAGAAACAUGGCAUACUCUGCAAAGCCUUCUCACCUUCUUCUCUUUGUUUUCUUUCUCUCAUCACUUGAAUCCAUUCUUGCAACAACACGAGAGGGAGAAGCUCUUGUGAAAUGGAAGAAUAGCCUAGCCCCUUCUUCUUUUCUCGAUUCUUGGUCCCUCACCAAUCUCGAAAAUCUUUGUAACUGGACUGGCAUUACUUGUAACUCUGCAGGUUCAGUCUCUGAGAUUAACCUCUGUGAGAAACAACUUGAUGGAAUGCUGUCCGACUUCGGUUUCACUUCAUUUCCAAAUCUCAAGAAUCUCACCCUCGCAUACAACUUCUUCUCGGGUCCAAUACCACCAGCCAUUCAGAACUUAACAAGGCUUCAAUGCCUUGAUUUAAGCUUUAAUUAUCUCAAUGGUCCUAUUCCGUUCCAGGUGAGCCAUCUUCAGAGCUUGCUCAUCUUGAACCUGUCACAGAAUGCAUUGCAAACUCCAAAUUGGUCCCAUUUCUCUCCCAUGCCUUUCUUGCGCAUCCUCAACCUCAGUUACAAUCCUCUUGCGUCGAAAUUCCCAGAUUUUAUAUCCAGUUCUCAUAGCCUGACUCACCUUAGCCUUAAUUAUAACGAGUUUACUGGUGAUUUAGUACGUGAAUCAGUAUUUGCCGAUCUGCAUAAUCUUGAAAAGCUCAGUCUUGUUGGCAAUUCUUUCGAGGGGCCAUUUCCGCCGGAUAUAUUCAGGCUUUCCAAAUUAAAACAUCUUAGCAUGUCAGAUAACAAACUUUCAGGUUCAAUUCCCAAUGACAUAAGGUUGCUUUGUGAUCUUGAAUACCUAUAUUUAGCCAACAAUUCCUUUGAAGGACCGCUUCCACCAAAUAUAUUCAAGUUUUCAAAAUUAAAACAUCUUGUUCUUUGGGGUAAUAAGUUUUCUGGUUCUGUUUCCAAUGAUAUAGGUUUGCUUUCUGAGCUUGAAACUCUCGAUCUUAGCUCUAAUUUUUUUGAGGGGCCGCUUCCGCCAAAUGUAUUCAAGCUCUCCAAACUAAAAGUUCUCACCCUGUCAAUUAACAAAUUUUUAGGUUCAAUUCCCAAUGACAUAAGGUUACUUUGUGAUCUUGAAUACCUAUAUUUAGGCAACAAUUCCUUUGAAGGACCGCUUCCACCAGGUAUAUUCAAGCUUUCAAAAUUAAAACAUCUUUUUCUUUGGGGUAAUAAGUUUUCAGGUUCUGUUUUCAAUGAUAUAUGUUUGCUUUCUGAGCUUGAAACCCUCGAUCUUAACUCUAAUUUUUUUGAGGGGCCGCUUCCGCCAAAUGUAUUCAAGCUCUCCAAACUAAAGAUUCUUUCCCUUUAUGUGAACAACUUUUCAGGUUUUAUUUCUAAGGAUAUAGGUUGGCUUUUUGAACUUGAAACCCUCUAUCUUGGCUCUAAUUUUUUUGAGGGGCCGCUUCCCCCACAUGUAUUUAGGCUCUCCAAAUUAAGAGAUUUGGACCUCUCAGACAAUAGAAAUUUAUUUGAAGGAAGUAUUCCUAUUGGACUGGGACUCUUGACUAACCUCAGGUACUUAGAUCUACAUUUCAGUAAUCUCAGUGGCUAUAUUCCAUCUGACAUUGGAAACCUGAAGCUACUAGUACUUCUUGAUCUCAGUUCUAAUAAAUUGACUGGACCGCUUUCAAAGAUCAUUUCUAAUCUCACAAAUCUUAUAUUUCUUGAUGUAAGUGAUAAUAGUCUUAGUGGAAAUAUUCAGAGUGACUUGUGGAAAUAUAACGAUCAUCCAACUUUGGAAUACAUCGAUUUAAGUGGGAACCAUUUUACGGGUAUAGUUUUUCUCUAUAGAUCUUUUCUUUUUCUCAUAUGUAACUAAGCUAGUAAUCUGAUUAUUGCAGUUUCACCAAAGUUUCAACAAUCUUGACAGGUGAGCUUCCAACAACAAUUUGCAAUGUCACUUCCCUUUUGGUUCUUGAUUUGUCAAAUAAUGAAUUAAGUGGUGCACUUCCAAACUGUUUCGGGAAUCUUGCUGAUAGAUUGCUUUUCAUUAAUCUUGCUAAUAAUCAGUUUCGAGGAACAAUACCAACUACUUUCUCCAGGAGUUGUCAGCUGACAUAUCUAAACAUGGAUAAUAAUGAGUUUGAAGGAUUGUUGCGCCCAUCUUUGGCGAACUGUAAGCACUUGAAAAUUCUUGAUAUUGGCAAUAAUAAAAUAGGUGGUACAUUUCCGUCAUGGCUUUAUGCACUUGGAGAGCUAGAAGUCCUUGUCUUGCGAUCAAAUAAACUCUAUGGUACAAUAAGUGGGAGGAGCAUAGAAAAUCCCUUCCCCAAGUUGCGGAUUGUGGAUCUGUCCAACAAUCAAUUCACUGGCCAUUUGCCAAUUCAAUACUUUAAGAAUAUGAAAUCAACUGAUAAUUUGUAUAGUUAUCAGAAUGACACAGGAGUUUUUUCUUUCCAUUAUGAAGCAUCUGUAUCAUUAACUGUGAAGGGAACAGAGUAUGAAGUGAAAAAUAUCCUUCAUAUUUACACAACCAUUGAUCUGUCCUGCAACAAGUUUCAAGGAGAAAUUCCUGACGUUAUUGGAGAGCUUAGAUGGCUUGCAUUGCUGAACUUAUCUCAUAAUAGUCUAACAGGACAUAUCCCAUCAUUGCUGAGAAAUAUGAAAGGACUCCAAUCUUUAGAUUUGUCUUCAAAUCAACUGACAGGGGCUAUUCCACCUCAGUUAACUGCAUUGACAUUUCUAGAGGUCUUGAACCUCUCGGGAAACCAUCUUAGUGGAGAGAUUCCUCAGAAAGGACAGUUCAGCACAUUCAACAAUGAUUCUUAUCUAGGAAACUCCGCGUUAUGUGGAUCACCUUUGACAAAGAAAUGUGUAAACACAGCAUCACCUCCACAGGAAGUCGGAAAUGGUGAUGAAGAUGAUGCUGGCGAUGAAUGGACAUGGGAAGCAAUCGUGAUGGGAUAUGGAUGUGGACUGAUAUGUGGAUUGUCGUCUGCGUACAUUGUUCUCAGACUAGGAAGGCCUUGGUGGUUUGUGAGAUAUAUCGAAGUACUGCAACUGAAGUUGAUGAAAAGAUAUGCAUGAAGAAAGGUACUGGUAGAUCAAGAUGAACUUGAAAGUUAUUUUCGUGGAUGACAUUUGUGAACCAGUACUGUACUAGCUGCUUAAGUAUUUGGUAUUAUGUAAUAAUCCGUUUGGUCGGGACUCAUAAUGAUAUUUCUUGCUUCAGGGGUAUUAAUAUAAACCUUGGUAUUGUGUACUAGCUGUCUGUUUGGUCGUGACUCAUAAUCUUUCAUGUAUUAACAUAAGGUUUUAAUACAUCCCGUACCAGGUUAGCCAUCUUCAGAUAUUACACAUCUUACUGCUGUCGCAUAAUGAAUUGCAAUCUCCAAAUUGGUCCAACUUCUCUUCCAUGCCCUUUUUGCGCAUCCUCGGCCUUGGCAGCAAUAAUCUGGUGUCAAAAUUCCCAGAAUUUAUAUCUGACUCUCAUAGCCUCACUUUCCUUGACCUUUCUUUUAACAAGUUUACAGGUGAUCUUGUGCUUGAAUCAAUUUUUACCGAUCUACAUAAUCUUGAAAACCUCCAUCUUGCUGGAAAUUCCUUUGAGGGGCCGAUUCCACCUAGAGUAUUUAAGCUUUCCAAUUUAAAAGUUCUUGAACUCACGGGUAAUAACUUUUCUCGUUCUAUUUCCAACGAUAUAGGUUUGCUUUCUGAACUUGAGACCCUCUAUCUUGACUUCAAUUUUUUUGAUGGACCAAUUCCCCCAAAUAUAUUCAACCUUUCCCAAUUAAAAAUUCUUGAACUAACAGAAAAUAACUUUUCUGGUCCUGUUUCCAAUGAUAUAAGUUUGCUUUCUGAGCUUGAAAACCUCAAUCUUGCCUUAAAUUCUUCUGAUGGGCCUUUUCCAUCAAAGAUAUUCAACCUAACCAAAUUGAGACAUCUAAAUCUCUAUGGCAAUAAGAAUUUAUUUAAAGGAAGUAUCCCACUGGAUAUCAGAAACCUGAAGCUCCUGGAAUCUAUUAAUCUCGGUUCUAAUCAAUUGGUUGGACCACUUUCAAUGCUCAUUUCUAAUCUCACUAAUCUUAAGAUGGUUGGGCUAAGCGAUAAUAGGUUUUUUGGCAAAAUUCCUAGUGACUUCUUGAAAAACUUGCCAUCCUUACACGUCAUUGAUCUUUCAAAUAAUAAUUUGUCCGGAAAUAUUCCCAGGGAGUAUAACGUGCAUCCAAUUUUAGAAUACAUCAAUUUAAGUGGAAACCAUCUUACAGGUUUACUUCUCCCUCAAUAUAUUUUAUUUUCCUUUUGUAUGUUACAUUGAUUACACUUUUACCGAAGCUCAAACAAUUUUAACAGGUGAGAUCCCAGCAACAAUUUGCAAUGCUACAAACCUUUAUAUUCUGGUUCUGUCAGAUAAUGGAUUAAGUGGUGCCCUUCCGCAUUGUUUGGGAAAUCUUGCAGAUAAAAUGCAUUGCAUUGAUCUCGCUAAUAAUCAGUUCCGAGGACCAAUACCAACAACCUUCUCAGAGAGUUGCCAGUUAAGAUAUCUAAACAUGUAUGACAAUCAGUUAGAAGGACUUUUGCCCCGAUCUUUGUCAAACUGUAAGCACUUGAAAAUUCUUGACAUCGGGAACAACAAAAUGGGCGGUACAUUUCCUUCAUGGCUAUUCACUCUCAGAGAGCUAGAAGUCCUAGUCUUGCAAUCAAAUAAACUGUAUGGUCCAGUAAGUGGAAGGAGCACACAUCACAUCCAUUCCCCAAGUUGCGGAUUCUAGAUCUCUCCAACAACCAAUUCACGGGCUAUUUGCCAAUUCAAUACUCUUUAAGAAUAUGAAACCAGCUGCUGAUAACAUUUGUCUUAGGAUGACACAUGUUCUAAACUAUGACAAUAGUAUGCAAUCUCGUUUAAUACUUUCAUAUUAUGAACUAGUUCUGUUGAAUAAAUAAAUAUUAUUAAUUAAUCAAUCAUGUGCGCUCGAGUUUCCCUGGCCAGAUGCCCAGAUUAUUAGAGCAUCUCCAGCAGAGUCUUAACCGGUUCUCUAAAUAUAUAAUAAAAUAUGUAUCUUUUAAGGGAUUACUACAUUUUAGUGAAUGAGAACUCCAACAACAUUCCCUAUUUACAUUCUCUAUUAUUAUUAUAAUAUUAUAUUCAACUUGUAAUAAGAGAGAGAAAGUUUGGAAAGAGUAAAAGUGAGAAAAAAUAAGUGAAUAUUUUAUUCUUCAGAAUAAUAUAAGGAAAGAAAAUGCCAAAACAAUUAACUAUAAUCUACGCAAUAAUUUUUUAUAUUGAUUAGACGUUAUCUUUAUCAAUAUUUAGUCAGAUAUUCGGAUAUAUAUCAUUCCCUUUGUUUUUAUACCAUCUUUUUUUUGACUUUCGGGCCAAAUCACUACGUGGGUUGACUGGAUAGUAGAAAUUAAUAUUUUUGUCUGUUUUUUAAAAUAAAAAUCUGUAUUUUUAUUUUGAUUUCGAAGAAUAUAAUCCAUAAGGUAAAUAAUUUUUAANNNNNNNNNNNNNNNNNNNNNNNNNNNNNNNNNNNNNNNNNNNNNNNNNNNNNNNNNNNNNNNNNNNNNNNNNNNNNNNNNNNNNNNNNNNNNNNNNNNNNNNNNNNNNNNNNNNNNNNNNNNNNNNNNNNNNNNNNNNNNNNNNNNNNNNNNNNNNNNNNNNNNNNNNNNNNNNNNNNNNNNNNNNNNNNNNNNNNNNNNNNNNNNNNNNNNNNNNNNNNNNNNNNNNNNNNNNNNNNNNNNNNNNNNNNNNNNNNNNNNNNNNNNNNNNNNNNNNNNNNNNNNNNNNNNNNNNNNNNNNNNNNNNNNNNNNNNNNNNNNNNNNNNNNNNNNNNNNNNNNNNNNNNNNNNNNNNNNNNNNNNNNNNNNNNNNNNNNNNNNNNNNNNNNNNNNNNNNNNNNNNNNNNNNNNNNNNNNNNNNNNNNNNNNNNNNNNNNNNNNNNNNNNNNNNNNNNNNNNNNNNNNNNNNNNNNNNNNNNNNNNNNNNNNNNNNNNNNNNNNNNNNNNNNNNNNNNNNNNNNNNNNNNNNNNNNNNNNNNNNNNNNNNNNNNNNNNNNNNNNNNNNNNNNNNNNNNNNNNNNNNNNNNNNNNNNNNNNNNNNNNNNNNNNNNNNNNNNNNNNNNNNNNNNNNNNNNNNNNNNNNNNNNNNNNNNNNNNNNNNNNNNNNNNNNNNNNNNNNNNNNNNNNNNNNNNNNNNNNNNNNNNNNNNNNNNNNNNNNNNNNNNNNNNNNNNNNNNNNNNNNNNNNNNNNNNNNNNNNNNNNNNNNNNNNNNNNNNNNNNNNNNNNNNNNNNNNNNNNNNNNNNNNNNNNNNNNNNNNNNNNNNNNNNNNNNNNNNNNNNNNNNNNNNNNNNNNNNNNNNNNNNNNNNNNNNNNNNNNNNNNNNNNNNNNNNNNNNNNNNNNNNNNNNNNNNNNNNNNNNNNNNNNNNNNNNNNNNNNNNNNNNNNNNNNNNNNNNNNNNNNNNNNNNNNNNNNNNNNNNNNNNNNNNNNNNNNNNNNNNNNNNNNNNNNNNNNNNNNNNNNNNNNNNNNNNNNNNNNNNNNNNNNNNNNNNNNNNNNNNNNNNNNNNNNNNNNNNNNNNNNNNNNNNNNNNNNNNNNNNNNNNNNNNNNNNNNNNNNNNNNNNNNNNNNNNNNNNNNNNNNNNNNNNNNNNNNNNNNNNNNNNNNNNNNNNNNNNNNNNNNNNNNNNNNNNNNNNNNNNNNNNNNNNNNNNNNNNNNNNNNNNNNNNNNNNNNNNNNNNNNNNNNNNNNNNNNNNNNNNNNNNNNNNNNNNNNNNNNNNNNNNNNNNNNNNNNNNNNNNNNNNNNNNNNNNNNNNNNNNNNNNNNNNNNNNNNNNNNNNNNNNNNNNNNNNNNNNNNNNNNNNNNNNNNNNNNNNNNNNNNNNNNNNNNNNNNNNNNNNNNNNNNNNNNNNNNNNNNNNNNNNNNNNNNNNNNNNNNNNNNNNNNNNNNNNNNNNNNNNNNNNNNNNNNNNNNNNNNNNNNNNNNNNNNNNNNNNNNNNNNNNNNNNNNNNNNNNNNNNNNNNNNNNNNNNNNNNNNNNNNNNNNNNNNNNNNNNNNNNNNNNNNNNNNNNNNNNNNNNNNNNNNNNNNNNNNNNNNNNNNNNNNNNNNNNNNNNNNNNNNNNNNNNNNNNNNNNNNNNNNNNNNNNNNNNNNNNNNNNNNNNNNNNNNNNNNNNNNNNNNNNNNNNNNNNNNNNNNNNNNNNNNNNNNNNNNNNNNNNNNNNNNNNNNNNNNNNNNNNNNNNNNNNNNNNNNNNNNNNNNNNNNNNNNNNNNNNNNNNNNNNNNNNNNNNNNNNNNNNNNNNNNNNNNNNNNNNNNNNNNNNNNNNNNNNNNNNNNNNNNNNNNNNNNNNNNNNNNNNNNNNNNNNNNNNNNNNNNNNNNNNNNNNNNNNNNNNNNNNNNNNNNNNNNNNNNNNNNNNNNNNNNNNNNNNNNNNNNNNNNNNNNNNNNNNNNNNNNNNNNNNNNNNNNNNNNNNNNNNNNNNNNNNNNNNNNNNNNNNNNNNNNNNNNNNNNNNNNNNNNNNNNNNNNNNNNNNNNNNNNNNNNNNNNNNNNNNNNNNNNNNNNNNNNNNNNNNNNNNNNNNNNNNNNNNNNNNNNNNNNNNNNNNNNNNNNNNNNNNNNNNNNNNNNNNNNNNNNNNNNNNNNNNNNNNNNNNNNNNNNNNNNNNNNNNNNNNAUAUACACUUCCAUUUCCACUUUCCAGUAUUAAGUUUAGAAUUAAGAUCUUAACAACAUAGCAAUCAUUUAAACCUCGAAGAAAAUUGUGCACAUUAACAAGACCAAAGAGAAAACAGAUAGCAUAAAAUUGUGUAACACGUAUAAUUUAAAUCCACUUCUCAGUAUACUCCACAUUCAAGGUGAUCUAACUGCUACAAUAUUCUAAUUUUCACAGCUACGACACUGAACAAUAUAAGAACCAGUUUACUGUAAGUUUACUGAACAUAUAUAUACGACAUUGAACAAUAUAAAAUAGCUAUCCUUUGUAAGACCAAAAACAAAGGACACUAGCUAGCUAAUUCAAUAUACAAAACCACUCCAAUCAGUUUAUGAUAAGCAACUACAAACAUACAAAUACAUAUAAACAUACAAAUACAUAUAAACAUACUAUCUCAUUUUCCAAAAACCACAACUACAAACUAUCUCAUUUUCCAAAAACACACACUGAAAUACAUAUAUACAUACACAUACAACCACAAGGAUACCCAAACUCAAGUAAUAAAUAAGAAAUUACCUCCUCCAACUCGAAGAGAGCUUGAAUAGACUUGAACAGAGCUUGAACAGACUCCGAGCUCGAACUCCCUACAAACUCGAACUGAAGUACGAGCACCCACUAAACCCACAAACUCCACACUCGAACUGAACUCUGAGAUCUGUUGAAAAAACGAAUUAAAGAAGCAAAUGAGUAUUGUAAUCGAACAAACAUCAGUUUAUUAGGUACAAAUCAACCUUUAUCGCACAAAUUUAAGGAUGAAAUCGGCCGAAUUGGAACCUAGGGUUCGCUCGCUGAGAAAGGGGGAAGAACGGGGAGAGAGAAUGUAUUUUGUACAAAUGAUUUAAUUUAGGUAGUUUUAUUAGUUUUAUGUCUUUUUCCUUUUAAUUUUAUGUUUAAAGACAGGUGUUGAUGUCUUGUUCAGACAACACAUCAACUAAGCAGCGGGGUUUUAAAGGCGGGGUUUUUUUGUUUGUGAAAAAUUUGGCUAAGUGGGGAAUAGAAGCGGGGAAGCGCGGCCAAUUUUUUAAAAACAUGUUUUAGACAUCGGUUCUACACUAAGAUGAUGUCUAGUUUUUUAAUAGACAUCGGUUUUUAAAAUUUCGAUGUAAAAAAGGGUUUUAACAUCGGUGGUUUUUUUAACCGAUGUCUAAUCUGUGAUGUCUGAUCCUGUUUUUCUAGUAGUGAUCACUGCAACAAAAUAUUAGUUACGACGGAACAAUGUCGCUGGACUUUAUUUGUUUACAUUUUUUUAAUAGUAGUUAAUUUUUAAACUUGCGACGGAAAACAUACGACAGUCUACUUCGCGAGAGAAAAUCAUUUUAUUUUAUUUUUUAGCGCCAGAAUUUUAAUACUAAACUACUAUAGGGCCGUUUGGGCUAGCUUAAAAAAAGUGAUUUUUUACUUACAGUAAAGAAGUGGAUUAAAAGUGAGAAGCAAAUAAGUCAAUAAAAUGUUUGGAAAAGAAGUAGAAGCUGUGAGAGAGAAGUUAGCAUUCUCAGCUUCUUAAAAGUGCUUCUGCUUAUUUACAUAAACGGGUAAAAAAAAAAAAGCAAAAGCCAGAAGCAGCUUCUACUUCUCGAAACAAACAGGGCCAAUAUAUAUGAAGGAAACUGAUCUCUAUUGUUUUCAGCUUGCUCAUCCAUGGUAAGUAAUCCGUCGAAAAAGUUAGUUUGUUGUCGUGGUGUCUUAUCAUGAGAGAAAAUGGUAAUAUCGCAAAAUAUUUGCAACUGAAAGAUAAAUUAUAGUUCUAGAAACCAUUUAGGUAACGAUGCGCGGAGUUAUUUUCACUCACUUAGAAUUAAUGAUAAAUAUUUGCAACUGAAAGAUACAUUAUAGUUCUAGAAAAGGAUCCACGGAAUUAUUUUCACUCACUUAGAAUUAAUCCUAAGUUAUUGUGAGUUUUUGAAUAUGGAUUAUCUCAAAUUUUAUUAAAACACAUAUCGAUUCAUAUAGACAAAUUUGCCUACCUAAUAUUAUAAUAUUUAUGGCGAAGUUGUAUGAACAAUUGUGUAGAUAAUUAUACUUUACAAAGCAUACUUCUGCUAGCUGAAUUUUGAUUAAAAAAUCGAAAGGGAUAGGUCUGGGUCUCUCCAAGUCUUUGAGGACUCAUUCCAAGUCUUCUGAUGAGGACAAAAUAUAUCGCUGGUAGUCUUUCAGUCCUUCCUAGAGUAUUUUAUGCUCUGCACUGCAUUUGUGUUGAUAAUUUGCGCAAUGUUGAUGAGGAUUGCUCCAAGUCUUGGCGGACUCUUUCCAAAUCUUCCGAGGACCUAUCGGUUCAAUUUAGCCCAUUAAAAAUUUUAUUAUCUCAAAGCUAUCUGCAAAAUAAUAUAUAAGGUAAAAAUGAAUAUAUACCAUUGUUUUGUGAUUAAGUUGUAUAGGCAAUAUGCAUUGCAAAAUCAGCAACAGGAUAUAUGAAUACUAAUUAAUUACCUGAUAUCAGUAUGAACAAAUACUUUCUAUGUAGUUGUAAUAUUAGUCUUCUUUAAAAGUUAUCAUGAGGGAAGGUAUAUAUUGUGAUGCGGGAGAAAUAUUGUCACUGAAAAUAAUUAUAAUUCUAAAAUUUCCAUUAUACACUUUUUUUAGUGUUUGUACGUGGUAAGUACUUCAGACGACAUUUCUCGCGUAUGCCUCCGAUUAAGAAUUUGAUGUUCAGCCUAGUCCUAAACUAAAAUUAUUAUAAAUGUGUACUUCAAAAUUAUAUAUAUUGCUGGUAGUCUUUCAGUUCUUCCUGGUGUAUGCAAUUGUUUCAUUCAAUACCAAUUAUUUUAUACUAUGCACUCUGAUAUCAUGUUGAGAACAAUCCAUCAAAAACUUUAAACCUUAAUUAAGGUGUUAGAGGAAAAUACCAAUUAGAUCUUAUGCUAUAUUUCAAUACUUCCAACACUCUGCGAUGCAAAGCAGGGACUCUUGAGUAUUUUCAUAUGUGUAUUAGUUUUGAAGAUAAAAGUUGUAUAGAGAAUUGUGUUGAUAAUUUGCGCAAUUGCGCAAUGAUAACUGGGAUAGGUCAUCUUCUCUCCCAAGUCUUGGAUGGAAUCUUUCCAAGUCUUCUGAGAACCCAUCAGCUCAGAUUAGUCCAUACAAUGUCAAGGGUCCUAUGAUAUGGUCUACUAACAGCCCAGUGUCGGUAAUAAAUCCAAUUGCAUAUAACCUAUUCAAAAUCAAUCCCCUAUAAACAAUCAUCUCUAAAAACUAUUCACAUAAAAUAAAAUUUUAAAAAUAUAAAAUAUCUAGUUGUUUUCAAUAUAUAAUUUUCCACAGUAGAUAACANNNNNNNNNNNNNNNNNNNNNNNNNNNNNNNNNNNNNNNNNNNNNNNNNNNNNNNNNNNNNNNNNNNNNNNNNNNNNNNNNNNNNNNNNNNNNNNNNNNNNNNNNNNNNNNNNNNNNNNNNNNNNNNNNNNNNNNNNNNNNNNNNNNNNNNNNNNNNNNNNNNNNNNNNNNNNNNNNNNNNNNNNNNNNNNNNNNNNNNNNNNNNNNNNNNNNNNNNNNNNNNNNNNNNNNNNNNNNNNNNNNNNNNNNNNNNNNNNNNNNNNNNNNNNNNNNNNNNNNNNNNNNNNNNNNNNNNNNNNNNNNNNNNNNNNNNNNNNNNNNNNNNNNNNNNNNNNNNNNNNNNNNNNNNNNNNNNNNNNNNNNNNNNNNNNNNNNNNNNNNNNNNNNNNNNNNNNNNNNNNNNNNNNNNNNNNNNNNNNNNNNNNNNNNNNNNNNNNNNNNNNNNNNNNNNNNNNNNNNNNNNNNNNNNNNNNNNNNNNNNNNNNNNNNNNNNNNNNNNNNNNNNNNNNNNNNNNNNNNNNNNNNNNNNNNNNNNNNNNNNNNNNNNNNNNNNNNNNNNNNNNNNNNNNNNNNNNNNNNNNNNNNNNNNNNNNNNNNNNNNNNNNNNNNNNNNNNNNNNNNNNNNNNNNNNNNNNNNNNNNNNNNNNNNNNNNNNNNNNNNNNNNNNNNNNNNNNNNNNNNNNNNNNNNNNNNNNNNNNNNNNNNNNNNNNNNNNNNNNNNNNNNNNNNNNNNNNNNNNNNNNNNNNNNNNNNNNNNNNNNNNNNNNNNNNNNNNNNNNNNNNNNNNNNNNNNNNNNNNNNNNNNNNNNNNNNNNNNNNNNNNNNNNNNNNNNNNNNNNNNNNNNNNNNNNNNNNNNNNNNNNNNNNNNNNNNNNNNNNNNNNNNNNNNNNNNNNNNNNNNNNNNNNNNNNNNNNNNNNNNNNNNNNNNNNNNNNNNNNNNNNNNNNNNNNNNNNNNNNNNNNNNUGUAUUAGUUUUGUAAGAUAAAAGUUGUAUGGACAAUUGUGUUGUAUAAUUUGCGCAAUGAUAACUGGGAUAGGUCAUCUUCUCUCCCAAGUCUUGGAUGGAAUCUUUCCAAGUCUUCUGAGAACCCAUCAGCUCAGAUUAGUCCAUACAAUGUCAAGGGUCCUAUGAUAUGGUCUACUAACAGCCCAGUGUCGGUAAUAAAUCCAAUUGCAUAUAACCUAUUCAAAAUCAAUCCCCUAUAAACAAUCAUCUCUAAAAACUAUUCACAUAAAAUAAAAUUUUAAAAAUAUAAAAUAUCUAGUUGUUUUCAAUAUAUAAUUUUCCACAGUAGAUAACAAAAUAUCUUUAUCAAAUUGUUAUUUAUGGGUUCAAUAUUUAAGCUAUAAUUCCAAUAACACGGCAAGCAUGCAGCGUAUAAAUAGAAGUGUGCAGUAUGUUAUCAGAUUCAUAACCCAGUUGAUCAGGAGAAACAUGGCAUACUCUGCAAAGCCUUCUCACCUUCUUCUCUUUGUUUUCUUUCUCUCAUCACUUGAAUCCAUUCUUGCAACAACACGAGAAGGAGAAGCUCUUGUGAAAUGGAAGAAUAGCCUAGCCCCUUCUUCUUUUCUCGAUUCUUGGUCCCUCACCAAUCUCGAAAAUCUUUGUAACUGGACUGGCAUUACUUGUAACUCUGCAGGUUCAGUCUCUGAGAUUAAUCUCUGUGAGAAACAACUUAAUGGAAUGCUGUCCGAGUUUGGUUUCACUUCAUUUCCAAAUCUCAACUAUCUCACACUCGCAGACAACUUCUUCUCCGGUCCAAUACCACCAGCCAUUGAGAAUUUAACACAGCUUCAAUAUCUUGAUUUGAGAAAUAAUUAUCUAGAUGGUCCCAUUCCGUUCCAGGUUAGCCAUCUUCAGAGCUUGCUCAUAUUAAACCUGUCACAGAAUGCAUUGCAAGCUACAAAUUGGUCCAAUUUCUCUCCCAUGCCUUUUUUGCGCAUCCUCAACCUCAGUAGCAAUCAUCUUGUAUCGAAAUUCCCAGAAUUUAUAUCCAAUUCUCAUAGCUUGGCUAUCCUUGACCUUUCACAUAACAACUUUACAGGUGAUCUUGUGCGUGAAUUUACCAAUCUACAAAAUCUUGAAACCCUCUGGCUUUAUUGUAAUUCUUUUGAGGGGCCAUUUCCGCCGGAUAUAUUCAGGCUCUCCAAAUUAAAACGUCUCUCCCUGUCAAGUAACAAAUUUUCAGGUUCAGUUCCCAAUGACAUAAGGUUGCUUUGUGAUCUUGAAUCCUUAAACUUAAGCAACAAUUCUUUUGAAGGACCGCUUCCACCAAAUUUAUUCAAGCUUUCGAAAUUAAAGAGUCUUUUUCUUUGGAGUAAUAAGUUUUCAGGUUCUAUUUCCAAUGAUAUAGGUUUGCUUUCUGAGCUUGAAUUUCUCAAUCUUUACGAUAAUUUUUUUGAGGGGCCGCUUCCAUGCAUCAAAUAUAUUCAAGCUCUCCAAAUUAAGGGUUCUUUACCUUAACGGUAAUAAACUUCUAGGUUCUCUUUCCAAUGAUAUAGGUUUGCUUUCUGAGCUUGAAACCCUCAAUCUUCGCUCUAAUUUUUUUGAGGCUCCGUUUCCGUCAAAUAUAUUCAAGCUUUCCAAAUUAACAAUUCUUGACCUCGCAUACAAUAGAAAUUUAUUUGAAGGAAGUUUUCCUAUUGGACUGGGACUCUUGACUAACCUCAGCUACUUAGAUCUAACUUCCACUAAUCUCAGUGGCUCAUCUGCCAUUGGAAACCUCAAGCUACUACUAUAUCUUGGUCUCAGUUAUAAUCAAUUGACUGGACCGCUUUCAAACAUUGUUUCUAAUCUAACAAAUCUUAUAUUUCUUGGUGUGGAUCAUAAUAGUCUUAGUGGAAAUAUUCCGAGUGACUGGUGGAAAGCCUCUGUAUCCUUACUUUACAUUGAUCUUGGAUAUAAUUAUUUGUCUGGGAACAUUCCUAAGGAAUAUAAAGAUCAUCCAACUUUGGAAUACAUCGAUUUAAGUGGGAACCAUUUUACAGGUAUUUUUUUCUCUAUAUAUCUUUUCCUUUUGUCACAUGUAACUAAGCUAGUAAUCUGAUUAUUGCAGUUUUACCUAAGUUUUAACAAUCUUGACAGGUGAGCUUCCAACAACAAUUUGCAAUGCUACCUCCCUUUCGGUUCUUGCUUUGUCAAAUAAUGGAUUAAGUGGUGCACUUCCAAACUGUAUUGCGAAUCUUGCUGAUGGAUUGCUUUACAUUAAUCUUGCUAAUAAUCAGUUUCGAGGAGCAAUACCAACUACUUCAUCCAAAAGUUGUCAGCUGACCUAUCUCAACAUGGAUAAUAAUGAGUUUGAAGGAUUGCUGCCCCCAUCUUUGGCGAACUGUAAGCACUUGAAGAUUCUUGAUAUUGGCAAUAAUAAAAUAGGUGGUACAUUUCCUUCAUGGCUUUAUGCACUUGGAGAGCUAGAAGUCCUUGUCUUGCGAUCAAAUAAACUCUAUGGUCCAAUAAGUGGGAGGAGCAUAGAAAAUCCCUUCCCCAAGUUGCGGAUUUUGGAUCUGUCCAACAAUCAAUUCUCAGGCCAUUUGCCAAUUCAAUACUUCAAGAAUAUGAAAUCAACUGAUAAAUUGUAUCGCUAUCAGAAUGCCACAACAUUAACGGGUUUCCAAUAUGAUGCAUCAGUCCCAUUAACUGUGAAGGGAACAGAGUAUGAAGUGAAAAAUAUCCUUCAUAUUUACACAGCCAUUGAUCUGUCCUGCAACAAGUUUCAAGGAGAAAUUCCUGACGUUAUUGGAGAGCUUAGAUGGCUUGCAUUGCUGAACUUAUCUCAUAAUAGUCUAACAGGACCUAUCCCAUCAUUGCUGAGAAAUAUGAAAGAACUCCAAUCUUUAGAUUUGUCGUCAAAUCAACUGACAGGGGCUAUUCCACCUCAGUUAACUGCACUGACAUUUCUAGAGGUCUUCAACCUCUCGGGAAACCAUCUUAGUGGAGAGAUUCCUCAGAAAGGACAGUUCAGCACAUUUAACAAUGAUUCUUAUCUAGGAAACUCCGCGUUAUGUGGAUCACCAUUGACGAAGAAAUGUGCAAACACAGCAUCACCUCCACAAGAAGUCGGAAAUGUUGAUGAAGAUGAUGCGGGUGAUGAAUUGACAUGGGAAGCAAUCUUGAUGGGAUAUGGAUGUGGACUGAUAUGUGGAUUGUCAUCUGCUUACAUUGUUCUCAAACUAGGAAAGCCUUGGUGGUUUGUGAGAUAUAUCGAAGUGCUGCAACUGAAGUUGAUGAAAAGAUAUGCAUGAAGAAUGGUACUGGCCGAUCAAGACGAACUUGAAAGUUGUUGGACAUUUCUGAACCAGUAGUGUACUAUUCUCUUUGUGGCUGCAUAAGUUUUUGGUAUUGUGUAAUAUUCUGUUUGGUCUUGAAUUUCAGGGGUAUUAAUAUAAACCUUGGUAUUGUGUAAUAUUCUGUUUGAUCAAUGUUUAUAUCAAUAAUUUUAUGCUCCUCACUGCAUCAUGCAGCUCUCAUAUUAUCUUCAUAUGUGUAUUAUUUGGAUAUCAAAGUUGCAGGGACAUAUGGAUAUGUGUUAACAGGGACUGCUCGGUCUUGGACGGACUCUUUCCAAGUCCUCUGGGGUCCUAUCGGUUCAAAUUAGUCUAUUAUCUGCAUACUAAUUUGUCCAACUCGGGCUUGAAUAGUAAAGAUAAAGAGUGCGAGUUGAGUUUCUCAAAGUAUGAGUACAAUAUCGUUUUUGAAUGAUAGUUAGGGGUGCGAUAUGCAAUUACCUCAAAAAUAUAUGAUCAUUAGUAUAUUAUAUUAGUAUCCACACACUUAUAUCUCAAAAUCUAUCCUCCAAAAUUAUCAUCUCUAUAGGCUAGCCACAUAAAAUAAAAAUUUAAAGAUAUUAGAUUUUUAGUUAUUUUCAUUAUAUAAUUUUUCCACGCAAAAUAACAAAAUAUCUUUAUCAACUUAUUAUUUAUGAGUUAAAUAUUCAAGUUAUAUAAUUCGGACAUGCUGGGUAUAAAUUGAAGUGUAACGCCUAAUUUCCGGGGUCUGGGAGUAGUUGGCGGGGUAUGAGAGAGCAGGCUAUUUAGAAGUCUUGGUCAUGAAAACUUCCAAGCUAAACUUCGACAACGGAAUCUUCUGAGGCUACUAUUCUAAAGCACGCAUAAUCAUUGUAUCCAUUUUCCGACAAAAAGUCUAUUUAAGCAAAUGAAAUACAAACAACUGAGUGGAAUGCUGACCGAAAGUCUUUUUGACUAAGCUUAUGAUUUAUUAGUACAUGAUUAAUAUGAUAAGCUAAGCUGAGAGCAUAAGAUAUCGUGUGUAUAAUUUUGUGUUUAUUAAUGACUUAUAAAUUAUUAAAAAUAUAAUAAGAAAAAUAAAAAUGAUUUAUAACUAAUUUAUGUUUUAUGAGUAAUUUUUAUUAGAAAAAAGUUUUAAAAAAUUAUUUCACUGGAAAAAAAACCUCCAACUAACUUUUGGCUCUAAGUCAGUUUUUGAUUUAUUUAUGACUUUAUGUCGGAUUCUGAUUUUUACACAAAAAUCUGGUUUUAAACCUCUGAGUUUGGUUUCACUUCAUAUACAAACCUCAACAAUUUCACCAUCAAACACAAUGACUUCUCCAAUCUCCGGUCCAGUACCACCAGCCAUUGAGAAUUUGGCACAACUUCAAUUCCAUACCAGGUUAGUCGUCUUCGGAGAUUACACGUCUUAGACCUGUCAAAUACAAAUUUCAAUCUCCAAACUGGUCCGAUUUAUCUUCUAUGCUUUUUGUUGAGUCCGGCUCAUCUAAAGCCUUAAGAUGUUAGAGGAAGCACCCAAUGAAUCUUAUAUAUGCUAUAUUUUAACAAUUCUGAGCACACUCAACCUUGGUAUUAAUAAUAUUGUGUCGAAAAUUCCAGAAUUUAUAUCUAAUUCUCAUAGCCUAACUUUCCUUGACCUUUCCAUAUAACAAAUUUACAGUUAAUCCUGUGCUUGAAUCAGUAUUUGCAACCAAAAUUAUGCAAUUAUAGUGCAGGUAGUCUUCCAGUUUACGCUCUACACUCCAGGAUAAGCUCGCAUAUAAUUGACAGCUAUAAUCCUUCCAACACUUUGUGAUGCAAAGCAGAGGGAUAGGUUGGCUUAAAAAUAUAUAAGGUCACUUAUGCAUCGCUCUUCACACACUUAGACCCUGUUUGUGUGGGCUUUAAGUCCCGGCUCAAGCUAUUUCGACUUAAUCACUUCCGAGACCAAUACCAACAAGUUAAGAUAUCUAAAUAUGUAUGACAAUCAGUUAGAAGGACUAUUGCCGGGCAACAACCUUCUCAAAGAGUUGCCAGUUAAGAUAUCUAAACAUGUAUGACAAUCAGUUAGAACUUUAGAAGGACUAUUGCCCCCAUCUUUGUCAAACUGUAAGCACUUAAAAAUUCUUGACAUCGGGAACAAUAAAAUGGGUGGUACAUUCCCUUCAUGGCUAUUUAAUCUCGGAGAGCUAGAAGUCCUAGUCUUGCGAUCAAAUAGACUGUACGGUCCUGUAAGUGGAAGGAGCACAUCACAUCCAUUCCCCAAGUUGCGGAUUCUAGAUCUCUCCAACAAACAAUUCGCGGGCUAUUUGCCAAUUCUAAACUUUAAGAAUAUGAAACCAGCUGCUGAUGAUAACGCGUAUAGUUAUAAAAAUAAGUCACAAGGACUAAUUAAUUACAUCUAUGAAGCAUCUAUCUCCUUAAAUGUGAAAGGAACAGAGUAUGAAGUGAAGAACAUUCUUCAUAUUUACACAGCCAUUGAUCUAUCGUGCAACAAAUUUCACGGAGAAGUUCCAAAGAGAGCUUAAAUGGCUUGCAUUGCUCAAUCUAUCUCAUAAUAGUCUUGCCGGACAUAUGUUCUGAAUUAUUAUUAUGCUUUCAUCAAUAUUUUCAAACAUUUCUCAAUAUGUAUUUUCAAAGAAUUCUCAAGCCCUGGAACAUUUGGACCGGUUCUUUGGAAGCCAAGAUACCCAGGUUAUCAUGGCCAUGCACAAAAAUGAAUAAAUUAUUCCAAGUCUUCCAUGACUCAUUCCAAGUCUUCGGAGGAGACCCUGAGCACAAAGAUGCUCAGGGUCUCCCCAAGCCUUCCAGGACUCAUUCCAAGUCUUCGGAGCACGGUCUCGCCUCGCCCUUUCAAAGAUGUGAUAGUAGCUCGAGAGUGAUAUAAAUUAUUUUCCCGACACUAAAAAUAAAUAAUCAGAUCAAAUUAAUCAAUAAUGUAUUAAGGAUGAAAUCCAAAUUAAUCCUAAAUUUUGAUAAUAUAUAAAAAUUAUAAUUAUAAAUUAUAUACCAAAUCAGAAUUGAAUUAAUUCCUUGGCACUAAAAUUGAUAAAGAAAGUAUAAUAAUUUAAAUUUAAUUGAUGAAAAGUCAAAGUCUUCUAAUAAAUCCAUAAAGAAUAUGAUAAUCAAAAUAAUGAAAAUUAUAAUUGAAAAAUCAAAAUCAUUAGUGUAUUGGAAUAGUGUUCACACACUUGUAUAUCAAAAUUUGUGGUCCAAAAACUAUAGCACAAUAUCCUAAAUACACCACAUUAAAUAUUAGUUCAAAAAUAUUUAGUAAAUAAUUGUUUUCAUUCAUCAUUUUGUUAUUUAAAAAACUAAUAAUUUGGGUUGAUGUUAACCUAUAUUUUAAUAUAUAAUUAUAUUAUUUUCGUCUUAUUUAUUUAACUAGAAACAAUAUUUUUAUCAUACAUCAAUUAUAUUAAAAGAUAUAAUUUUAUUAAAAAAAUUGAAUUAUUAUUUAUGAAUUCCAGCAUGAAGCGUAUAAAUAGAAGUGUGCAGUUGAUCAGAUUUAUAACCCAGUUGAUCAGGAGAAACAUGGCAUACUCUGCAAAGACUUCUCACCUUCUUCUCUUUGUUUUCUUUCUCUCAUCACUUGAAUCCAUUCUUUCAACAAGACGAGAGGGAGAAGCUCUUGUGAAGUGGAAGAAUAGCCUAGCCCCUUCUUCUUUUCUCGACUCUUGGUCACUCACCAAUCUCGAAAAUCUUUGUAACUGGACUGGCAUUACUUGUAACUCUGCAGGUUCAGUCUCUGAGAUUAACCUUUGUGAGAAACAACUUGAUGGAAUGCUGUCCGAGUUUGGUUUCACUUCAUUUCCAAAUCUAAACAGUCUCACCCUCGCAGACAACUUCUUCUCGGGUCCAAUACCACCAGCCAUUCAGAACUUAACAAGGCUUCAAUACCUUGAUUUAAGCUUGAAUUAUCUCAAUGGUACCAUGCCUUUCUUGCGCAUCCUCAACCUCAGUAGCAAUCCUCUUGCGUCGAAAUUCCCAGAUUUUAUAUCCAGUUCUCAAAGCCUGACUCACCUUGACCUUUCAUAUAACAUGUUUACCGGUGAUCUAGCAUGUGAACCAUUAUUUGCCAACCUGCAUAAUCUUGAAGUCCUCAGUCUCGUUGAAAAUUCUUUUGAGGGGCCAUUUCCACCGGAUAUAUUCAGGCUUUCCAAAUUAAAACAUCUUAGCCUGUCAGUUAACAAACUUUCAGGUUCAAUUCCCAAUGACAUAAGGUUGCUUUGUGAUCUUGAAUACCUAUAUUUAGCCAACAAUUCCUUUGAAGGACCACUUCCACCAAAUAUAUUCAAGCUUUCAAAAUUAAAACAUCUUGUUCUUUGGGGUAAUAAGUUUUCAGGUUCUGUUUCCAAUGAUAUAGGUUUGCUUUCGGCGCUUGAAGCCCUCGAUCUUUAUUCUAAUUUUUUUGAGGGGCCGCUUCCACCAAAUAUAUUCAAGCUCUCAAAACUAAGGAUUCUUUCCCUUGGGAACAAUAACUUUUCAGGUUCUGUCUCUAAUAAUAUAGGUUUGCUUCCUGAGCUUGAAACCCUAUGUCUUGACUCUAAUUUGUUUGAGGGGCCGCUUCCCCCACAUAUAUUCACGCUCUCUAAAUUAAGAUAUCUAGACCUCUCAAACAAUAGAAAUUUAUUUGAAAGAAGUAUUCCUAUUGGAUUGGGACUCUUGACUAACCUCAGGUACUUAGAUCUAUAUUCCAGUAAUCUCAGCGGCUAUAUUCCAUCUGACAUUGGAAACCUGAAGCUACUAGUAGGUCUUAAUCUCGGUUCUAAUAAAUUGACUGGACCAGUUUCAAAGAUCGUUUCUAAUCUCACAAAUCUUAUAUUUCUUAGUGUAAGAAAUAAUAGUCUUAGUGGAAAUAUUCAGAGUGACUUGUGGAACUUCCCUAAGGAAUAUAACAAUCAUCCAACUUUGGAAUACAUCGAUUUAAGUGGGAACCAUUUUACAGGUAUCUUUUCUCUAUAUAUCUUUUCCUUUUCUCAUAUGUAACUAAGCUAGUAAUCUGAUUAUUGCAGUUUUACCAAAGUUUCAACAAUCUUGACAGGUGAGCUUCCAACAACAAUUUGCAAUGUCACUUCCCUUUCGGUUCUUGAUUUGUCAAAUAAUGGAUUAAGUGGUGCACUUCCAAACUGUUUCGGGAAUCUUGCUGAUGGAUUGCUUUACCUUAAUCUUGCUAAUAAUCAGUUUCGAGGAACAAUACCAACUACUUUCUCCAGGAGUUGUCGGCUGAAAUAUCUAAACAUGGAUAAUAAUGAGUUUGAAGGAUUGAUGCCCCCAUCUUUGGCGAACUGUAAGAACUUGAGAAUUCUUGAUAUUGGCAACAAUAAAAUAGGUGGUACAUUUCCGUCAUGGCUUUAUGCACUUGGAGAGCUAGAAGUCCUUGUCUUGCGAUCAAAUAAACUCUAUGGUACAAUAAGUGGAAGGAGCAUAGAAGAUCCCUUCCCCAAGUUGCGGAUUGUGGAUCUGUCCAACAAUCAAUUCACAGGCCAUUUGCCAAUUCAAUACUUUAAGAAUAUGAAAUCAACUGAUAAUUUGUAUCGUUAUCAGAAUGACACAGGAGAUUUUAUUUUCCAUUAUGAAGCAUCUGUCUCAUUAACUGUGAAGGGAACAGAGUAUGAAGUGAAAAAUAUCCUUCAUAUUUACACAGCCAUUGAUCUGUCGUGCAACAAAUUUCAGGGAGAAAUUCCAAAGGUUACUGGAGAGCUUAGAUGGCUUGCAUUGCUCAACUUAUCUCAUAAUAGUCUUACUGGACCUCUCCCAUCACUGCUUGGAAAUAUGGAAGCACUCCAAUCUUUAGAUUUGUCUUCAAAUCAACUGACAGGGGCUAUUCCACCUCAGUUAACCGCAUUGACAUUUCUAGAAGUCUUAAACCUCUCGAGAAACCAUCUUAGUGGAGAGAUUCCUGAGAAAGGACAGUUCAGCACAUUCAACAAUGACUCUUAUCUAGAAAACUCUGCGUUAUGUGGAUCACCCUUGACGAAGAAAUGUGUAAACACUGCAUCACCCCCACAGGAAGUCGGAAAUGGUGAUGAAGAUGAUGCUGGUGAUGAGUUGACAUGGGAAGCAAUCGUGAUGGGAUAUGGAUGUGGACUGAUAUGUGGAUUGUCAUCUGCAUACAUUGUUCUCAAACUAGGAAGGCCUUGGUGGUUUGUGAGAUAUGUCGAAGUACUGCAACUGAAGUUGAUGAAAAGAUAUGCAUGAAGAAAGGUACUGGUCGAUCAAGACAAACUUGAAAGUUGUUGUCCUGGUAGACAUUUCUGAACCAGUAGUGUACUAGCUGCAUAAGUAUUUGGUAUUAUGUAAUAAUCCAUUUGGUCGGGACUCAUAAUGAUUUCUCUUGCUUCAGGGGUAUUAAUAUUAACCUUGCUAUCUUGAUCUGUGUUAAUGCAAAUGAAAAAGAAUGGAAAAACAAAAAAAUUGCAUCAAACCUGUUGUACCAAGAUCCAUUAAUCUGCUUUCAUCUCUUACGCAACAAUUUAACAGCACUUUCACACUGUUUGAAUGAUUAUCAUAAAUUCGAGUUUUCCUCGCCAGCACCAAAUCCAAAUAUACAAUCCCACACAUUCCAGUCUCAGCUUCAGCUCCCAGGCUAGCAUUGAUUUAGCCAAGCACGACAGUGGCCGCUUGUGUGCCUAACAAUGACAGUUGGGGAUUUGAUGGAACGUGCCUUGGUCCUGCCUUCAAAUGUCUAACAAUAACAGUUGGAUAUGUCGACAAAAAAAUUGUUCCUCACACUGAGGAAUAACUCUGACAGUUCUUUUCAUUGUGCCUUGGUCCAGUAAGUGGAAGGAGCACAUCACAUCCAUUCCCCAAGUUGCGGAUUCUAGAUCUCUCCAACAACCAAUUCACGGGCUAUUUGCCAAUUCAAUACUUUAAGAAUAUAUGAAACCAGCUGCUGAUAAAGCGUAUAGUUAUCAAAAUAAGUCACAAGGACUAAUUAAUUACAUAUAUGAAGCCUCUAUCUCCUUAAAUGUGAAAGGAACAGAGUAUGAAGUGAAAAACAUCUCUUUAUAUUAUAGCUCCUGAUGCGUGAUUUGUACAGUUACCACACUGCUUAAUUCUUCACCUCAAAGUUCCACCUUAUUACAAAAAUGCCACCGCUCUAUUAAGCGGCACCCACGUAAGCUCAUUGCCACCACGUGCUAUCUUCCUGCUGUCUUUUGUUUAUUUUAUUCACUAAACCGUACUUACCCGAAGCUUAUGUAACAAGCUUACAUUCUUUACAUUUUACUCAUUUCAAAAUUUAAAACCCAGCCUCCACGGCUCCCUUACAAAAGUAACCGGUUUGAACGUAAAGUUUUCAAAACUAACCAGCCUACGUUCAACUUUUCAAAACUAACCAGCCUAAAUCAAAAAAAGUCGGGCGACCCUUACCUGUUUUUUUCCCGAGCACCGGUCGCCCUCCUCAGGGGCGUCCCCCAUUGGAGUUCAUCAAGCACAGGUCGCCCUCCUCAGGGGCGUCCCCCCUUGAAGUUCUGUGACGUGGUCCGCCCAAUCACGGGCGACCACGUGUGACACUACCCCCUUAAAACCCCCUCCCAGCCACACAAACACACAAUUACACACACAUUUGCACACACUCAGUUUGAAAACAACACUGCAGCAGCCACAGCAAGGAGCCGAAAGGGGAGAUUUUGGUAAAGGAAGGAAGAAAAGUGGGAGAGGAUCGCCCGAGCUAGCAUCAAGGUCGCCCACCCUAGCAAAAAAUUUGAAGGUACUACCUUAUUCCUCCCCUAAAUAUUAGUAUAUAAAGCCUUGAUUUGUAAUUUAUUACUUGAUUAGUUUGUCUUGCAUGUUACAAAUAUCGAUUAUGUUCAUGAUUAUGGCUAAUUUAUAGACUAGUGUUAUAAUUACCGGCUUGAGAUUAGUGUUAUAAUUACCGGAUUGAGAUUUGGUACAUUAUGAUUUUUAAAUUUGUUAAAAAAUUUAAAGAUUUAUAAUAGAAAUUAAGGAUAAUUUAUAGAUUUGAUAUGUUGGAAUUUAAGAUUUUAUGCUUUUUAGAUUUUGUAGGUAGUAAUUAAAUUUAGUUGGAGAGAAAAAAUAUAAUAUAAUAUUCGAAUUAAAAAGAUAUUGAGAAUAUAAUAUUCGAAUUAAAAAAUAUUCGAAUUAAAAUAUAUUAAAAUAUAAUAUUCGAAUUAAAAAUAUAAUAUAAUAUUCGAAUUAAAAUAUAAUAUAAUAUAUAUUCGAAUUAAAAAAUAUUCGAAUUAAAAUAUAUUAAAAUAUAAUAUUCAAAUUAAAAAUAUAAUAUAAUAUUCGAAUUAAAAUAUAAUAUAAUAUAUAUUCGAAUUAAAAAAUAUUCGAAUUAAAAUAUAUUAAAAUAUAAUAUUCGAAUUAAAAAAUAAUAUAAAAUAUAUUGAGAAUUAAAAAAAUUAGAAAGCAAAUAAAAUAUUCGGAUAAAAAAGAUAUUAAUAGCUAAUAUUAAAAAAAAUCGAUUUAUAAUAAUAAAAAUUCGAAAAAAAGCAAAAUAAUCGAAUUAAAAUAAAAUUUUCGAACAUAUAUUAAUAAAAAUCUUAAUUAUAUUAAUAUAUAAUUCGAAUAUAUGAAAUUUCGAGAAUUAGAAUAUUUAUGAAAUUAAGAGAAUUAAAAUAAAUAGGAAAUUCGAACAAAAAUUAAUUUAAGGUACGCUCUCGAUUCUCUCUAAAUUAAUGUGUAUAUAUAUAUAAUGACUUGAUUUGGAUUAUUGUUGUUUUAUUAGCUUGAGUUGCAUGUUAUAAGAUCGGUUAGUUUAUUGAUUGUGGCUUGAGAUUUGUUAUAAUUGAAAUUAAGGCUAAUUUAUAGAUUUGAUAUGUUGGAAUUAAGGCUAAUUGAAAUUAAGGCUAAUUUAUAGAUUUGAUAUGUUGGAAUUAAGGCUAAUUGAAAUUAAGGCUAAUUUAUAGAUUUGAUAUGUUGGAAUUUAAGAUUUUGUGCAUGUUAGAUUUUGUAGGUAGUAAUUUAAUUUAGUUAGAAACAAAAGCUUUGAAUUCGAAUUACAAAUAUUAUGUUGGAAUGAGAUUUUGUAUAUAUACAAAAGCUUUGAAUUCGAAUUAUAAAUAUAUUUGAAAAUUGUUGGCGCAGAUGGAUCCUGCAGCUUAUCAUCCCGGGCCGGUUAACGGCACUUUGUUGACAUUGCAGGACACGCAUAGGUCCACUUUUGUGUGGAACAGUAGUACGGUAAUGACUUGAUGGACUGUUGUUUAUUAAAGUUAAUGUUUGCUUCACUAUAAACUGCUGACAAGUUCCUGUAUUUUAAAUUGCAGGACAUUCCUGAUCUUAGAGUCAGGACGAACUUCGGUGAGUACUGGAAUGUAGUUGACCAAACCAGGCCGCCUCAGACGAUAAUAGAUGCUAUUAAUGAUGCGGGCUUUGAGUGGGUGUUCAGGUUGGGUCAGGUCAAGCAUGACAGGGGCUUGAUCACUGCUUUUAUCGAGAGGUGGCGUCCAGAGACGCACACUUUUCAUCUACCUUUCGGGGAGGCCACCAUUACACUGGAGGAUGUCCAUCACAUUCUCGGGUUACGAACCACUGGCCGGCCAUUUAUUCUACAUGGCUUCACCACCACAGCUCGCGAGAGAUUGGCCAUGAUACGCGAUGUUCUUGGAGUGACUCCUAAGCCGGCUGAUGUGAGGAAGAACGGCUUGAGGAUCGGUUGGUUGAUUGAAAAAUUUGGCGACUGUGCCCGGUUGGACGAGGCAGCGGAGGAUUUUGAUGCACAGACUAUCUUUCACAUCAGGGCACACCUACUGUGUGUUAUUGGAUCGUUGUUUCCUGAUAGCAGCGGGAACUAUGUGAAUCUCAACCUCCUUUGGAUGCUACGUGACUUGCAGAGCGUGGAUGGUUAUAGCUGGGGGAGUGCUGUUCUUGCAUACCUUUAUAGGAAGAUGUGCGAUUCCACCCAUAAAGUCACAACCGGCUUCAUUGGCUACGCCACCACUACGCCAUAUAUGAUCUAUCGCAAUGGUAUGAACGCGAGUGUUGCAAAAUUAUGUUGCAAUAGAGACACUGAUCCAUAUCUACCGCAACGAUAACCAUUCAUGUCAAUUAUAUGUUGCAAUAGCAAACAUUAUGUGUUGCAGCUUGUAAUAUACUUGUAAAAGUGUUAGCUUAAAGUAUUAUAAUAUUAUUUUAACAUUAAAUAAUAAUUUAAAUUAUUUUAACAAUAUUUUAAAGUGAUAUGCAAAUUAAAUAAAUAAGAUACGCGAUGAUAUGCAAAUUUUAUUCAUAAUAAUUAAAAAAAUUAAAAUAGGAAUUUUAAAAGUAAUUAAUUUUUUUAAAAGCAAUGAAAAGUAAAAAUAAUUAAAUUCCCCUUGUUUUGAUAUCAGAACUGAUAUAUAAGUUUCAAAAAUAAAAAUAUAGAUAUACGAAUUAUAAGUAGUAAUAAAUACAUAUAAUGAAUUUUGUUCCUAAAAUAAUUACAUGAAUUUUAUUUGUUAAAAUAAUAAAGUAUAGGUGCAGACGUGCAGUACAUUAUUUGACUUUAUUGAACUGGGCAAAUAUCGAGCUCAAAGCGGGUAAAAAUUAGGCUUACAGCCGCCCAAAUUUUCAGCCAAGUUUGAAAUUUUCACACAUACACUAUACACGCUCGAGUCUCCUUGAAUACCCUCAACACUCACUACACUCUCUCCCUCGCUCAACUCUCUCUCCCUUCUCUACUCUCUCUCUCUUGUUAAUCUCUCUGAAGCUAAUCUCUCUCUGGCCACCAUUUUCACUCAAUCUCGCCAUCACUUUUAAUUAACUUGGAUUUGCAUUUAUAGUUGGAGCACAGUUGAUUUGUGGGUCGAGGUUCCAAUUCUUCAAUUAGGGUUUUGGCUUUUCAAUCAGGGUUUUGGUUCUUCAUUAAACUUCAAUUAGGGUUCAAUUACUUACAUAUAAUCUCUUAAACUUCAUCUGAUAUCUCUUUCUCUUUGAUUUCAGGUGUUCUUAGUUUGGGUUUGCACUCCAAGACUUUAUUAUAAGGUAUUUUUGAAUUUAGGGCUUCAUGUUAUGAGUUUAUUUGCAUUUAGUGUUCUUUGUUUUUAUGUUUAUUUGGUUUAUUAUCUUUAUCUAGUUUAUUUCCUUUGAUUUUUUGUUUUUUUUUUCAUUUGUUUUGUGAAAUUGCAAUACUCUGUUUUUGUGUUAAUUUUUUUGUUGCUUAAAAGUGUUCAACAACAAUAUUCUUCUUAAUUAUAAAAGAUCUAUCACGAGGAAGAGGUCCCUGUUUUGUAUAAUAUCUUGUAUGUCUUUUCUUUUCUGUAUAUUAUUAAGCUACCUUGGGGCAUCCUUUUUCUAGACCAGAUUUCGUGCGCAAUCUUUAGUAAAGAGCAAAUAUUCCGAUUCUUUUGCAUUUGUCUCAAUGUCAGUGCUUUGCAUAUAUGGAUAUAUUUUACAUGAAAAUGGUGCUUUUGUUGUUGGCCUGCUUAAUGUUCAAGACAUGUAGUCAACUCAGUUUAGUGUGACAAUAAGACUUUCUCAUUUCAUUAUGAUUCUCACAUAUUUUAUGCUCGUCACAGUACAACACAGUUUUGUAUUUGGUGUGAGUGAGCAGUAAAGAAUUCUAUGGAAGAUGCUAGUGACUACCGGUGGUAUAUAACCAGGUAAAAAUAAUGCUCAGUUGAUAAUCCUUAUAAGGGAGGCUCUUACUAUUUCUUCCUCUUUAACAUUGAGUUGUUUUAAUGUACAUACUAGCUGGUUGCUCAAGUGUUCUAUCAUUAUAAUGUAUACAUUGGAUACAAUAUUUGUUCAAUGAGGUAUCUAACUAGCUUGCUGAUGGCCGGGGACUAUAGAUUUAUUCAUUGCUAAUUGGUUAUAUUCGUUGUACCUGUUAUGCCUCAAUCAUAAUGGCAUAGUGACAAUAAAAGGAAAACGAAUUAUAAAUAUUUCACAUAGCAUGCUCUAGUUAUCUACAACUAUUGUUUUGGACUUCUGGUUUGGCAUUUAUAAUAAGUUGGCAUAUGUCUUUGAAUUCAUAUAGUUUGUAGCAUGACCUAAUUGGCACAAGUCAUCCUCUGCCAUGUCUUAUAUCUUUAGUUAGUAAGAAUUAAUAUUUCCCAUGUUUCAGCCACUAUACAAAUAUUGAUCAUGGACGAAGUUCUUACCCUGUUUAGUAUUAAUUUCAUUAUCUGCUGCAACUUUAUUGUGUUAUCUGUGCACUGCCCAACUAAGUACACAUAAUUUGAGUUUAAAAUAAAGCAUGCUUCUUUACUGGAGCUCAGCUUAGUAGUUGCAUUGUAUUGUUGCAGGAGAAGCUUAAGCCGUUAAUGGAUCAACUUAACAAAGUCAAAGACUUGACUGUUCCAGAAUUUGGAAAUUUCCGAACUUGAGAAGUGCGAGCAAAUGCAAGAAUAUGUUUAUAUAUAAUAGUGUAGUGUAGUGGGAUGUUUGGUUGGAUUCGUUUAAUACUUUGAUUUGGUUGGAUUUGUUAGGUAGUUUUGUUUGGUUGGAUUUGUUAUAAACUUUGAUUUGUAUGAAAGAAUAGUUUAAUGUUUCAGUGGAUAUAGUGAAAUAUUGCAAAGUUGUUAAUUUAGUCUUGCAUUAGCACAUAUAUGUUGUAGUAGCUAAUAUAUAUAUGUUUCAAUUUAUAACAAAAAAUGUUGCAAACAUGCAACUGAAAAACAGGUGUCCAAACAUAGGACCCACAUGUGUGACCCACGUGUGGGUCCCACUUUUUUUGAAAUCAGGAGGUCUAACGUAACAUAAUAUAUUUGUUGCUAUAGGGUAGUCAGAUGUUGCAAUAUCACGUCUAUUGUAACAUAAAAAGCCGUGUUGCAGUAGGUUACCCAAAUGUUGCAAUAGAAGCCUAGGGCAACAUGAAAAAAUGCAACUUAAAUUUUAUGUUGCAAUAGCCCUUUUUCGGGCUAUGGCAACAUAUUUUGGGGUUAUGGCAUCAUUUUUUUGAUGUUGUCNNNNNNNNNNNNNNNNNNNNNNNNNNNNNNNNNNNNNNNNNNNNNNNNNNNNNNNNNNNNNNNNNNNNNNNNNNNNNNNNNNNNNNNNNNNNNNNNNNNNNNNNNNNNNNNNNNNNNNNNNNNNNNNNNNNNNNNNNNNNNNNNNNNNNNNNNNNNNNNNNNNNNNNNNNNNNNNNNNNNNNNNNNNNNNNNNNNNNNNNNNNNNNNNNNNNNNNNNNNNNNNNNNNNNNNNNNNNNNNNNNNNNNNNNNNNNNNNNNNNNNNNNNNNNNNNNNNNNNNNNNNNNNNNNNNNNNNNNNNNNNNNNNNNNNNNNNNNNNNNNNNNNNNNNNNNNNNNNNNNNNNNNNNNNNNNNNNNNNNNNNNNNNNNNNNNNNNNNNNNNNNNNNNNNNNNNNNNNNNNNNNNNNNNNNNNNNNNNNNNNNNNNNNNNNNNNNNNNNNNNNNNNNNNNNNNNNNNNNNNNNNNNNNNNNNNNNNNNNNNNNNNNNNNNNNNNNNNNNNNNNNNNNNNNNNNNNNNNNNNNNNNNNNNNNNNNNNNNNNNNNNNNNNNNNNNNNNNNNNNNNNNNNNNNNNNNNNNNNNNNNNNNNNNNNNNNNNNNNNNNNNNNNNNNNNNNNNNNNNNNNNNNNNNNNNNNNNNNNNNNNNNNNNNNNNNNNNNNNNNNNNNNNNNNNNNNNNNNNNNNNNNNNNNNNNNNNNNNNNNNNNNNNNNNNNNNNNNNNNNNNNNNNGCUUAUCCUCGUAUGUAGUUUGUUUAUGGUUAUGUACCUGACCAUGUACUCGUACAUUUUUAUUUCUUGAUCUGAUUAUGUACUCUUAGUCUAGUAGAUCGGUUGUUACGUUAUUAUGCAGUUCUUGUGCAUUCUUAUGUCAUAAUGUUUUAUAAUGAUUCAAGCAUUGAAAUUCAUAUGGACAAUAAAGGAAACCUAACAUAACAUAAUAAACGACAGAACACUAAAACACAUACACAUGUUGAUCUUUCUCGAAACCAGUAAAACUGACUUUAUUUUGACUAAACUUUACAUAUAUCAAAUAACUGAAAAAAAUAAUAUAAAAUUUGAAUUACUUGAACAACAAAAGUUGAGACAUUACAUAUAAGAUACAAUACAUAUAGUAAUGGGGGUGAUCUUUUGGAGAAAAUACCUAACUCAAAGGGAUUUCUUCAAAUAAUUUGAGAUGGGUCAGAGCUUCAAGAAUCUGUGUACUCUGCUUUUACAAGUACAAAGUGGGAAAAAGUGAGACAUAAAUAAAAUGUAGUGAAGUAUUUGAGAUGGGAGAAAGUAAAACUAACUUAAUUUCAUAUUAAUAUUGUGAAGAUAUUAGCAUAGAAUGAUAAAUAUACAUUUCUACUACCCAUUUAUAAAAGAAAUAUUAUAAAAUAUAAAACUCUACGCUUUAAAUUUAAAUUGUUUUAAGUUGUUUUCUAUUAAAUUAUUUUCCCCACAGGGGAAAAUAAUAUUAAAUUGUUUUAAUAUUAUUGUUUUAUUAUUAUUUGAUUAUUAAAUUAACGAGUACAUAAUUUGUAAAGUUUAGUGCUAAGAUAUAUAUAUUAUUUAAUUUUAUUAAUUAUAUUAAUUUCACAAAACAAUUAAAAUUUGAUUUUAAAUAAAAUAUUAAAUAUAUAAUACAAUAAUAUUAAAUGGCGUAUAAUCAGUGUUACAGAAAUCGGGAAUCGGACCUAAUCGGUUGAGCUACCGAUUCAGGGAUUAAUCGGAAAUCGGAGAUUAAUCGGACUGAAAAUCGGAUUUAUUUUAAUAUUAAAAUAUUAUUUAUUAUUUAGUUAUUAUUAUAUUAGGUAUCUAGUAACUAAUAUAUUUACUAUAUUCAUAAACUCUAUAAUUAUUCAUAUUUAAAGUAAUAUAGUAUUUUAAUUCUAAUAAUUUAUCACAUAUACUUCUAUUAGAAAAUAUGUUAUAAGGAUUAAUCGGAUUUUAAAAAUCGAAUCGGUGGCCGACCUUGCAGGAGAUUAAUCGAGGAUUAAUCAGUUAAAUCGGGGAUUUUUAGAACAUUCGGCGUAUUAUAAUACAAUUAUAUCAAAAUUUAAAAAAAAAUCAGUACCUCAGUUUGGGUAUCGGUCAGCCACCUAGGACAAGUGAAUGAGUGAAACCGCUACAAAAAAUGUAGUAGUAUGGGUCGCCCCUGUCAAGGGCGAUCCUAACUGUAUUUUGUAACAGUAUGGGUCGCCCCUGACGAGGGCGACCUGAACGGGGAAAAACUUCAGCUUGGGUCGCCCGACUUUUUUUGAUUUAGGCUGGUUAGUUUUGAAAAGUUGAACGUAGGCUGGUUAGUUUUGAAAACUUUACGUUCGAACUGGUUACUUUUGUAAGGGAGCCCAGCCUCCACCAUUGCAGCUCUGAGCAGCCAUGAACCAGGUUAUACUCCAGUCUCCUUUUCUCCCCCGCGUGUGUAAGUCUGUACUGCAGCCCACAUUUUCAACACGCUUCUGUCCUAAGCUUCGCAAGAAAUAUCUUUUUUUUGAAAUUCAAAAAAUUUGCGCACCAUAUCAUCGUCCAGCCAAACCACCAUCGGCGAAUCAGCAAAUAUACAUAUCAGAUCUAAUAUACACCAAUCUGAGCUUUGAUGACUGAGGUUUGAUUUGUGUUUUAUUUAAUAAAAUGAUAAAAUGAUGUCUUCUUUCAUGAUCAUGCGAUUAAUCGAUUGUAACUUUAAGGGAGAUGGAACAAGCAAUUCACGACGUCUAUUUACCUCCGAAGACAUGAUUAGUGGUAUGGUUACAUAAAUUUAACUUCUCUAUUUUUCUACCAUGUGUGGCCUAAUUGUUUCAUCUCUUGCUUUGUAGGUUAUCAGUCCAAAAAGCGGAGGAAAAGGGGCUACACAAUUAAGAGAUGAAACAGUAUUGAGCAUGUGAGCUUUAAAACUUGAUGAUUAAAUUUUUCAUAUUAUAUUUGUUCUGUAUUUAGAAAUUUGUGGAGGAUGUGUUUGAUAAUAUGUCUGAGAGAAGAAGUUAAUAAAUUUAUCGUGUUGAGGAUGUGUUUGAUGAUAUGUCCGAGUGAAAAAAUUAAUAAAUUUAUUUUCAAAAUGUUGCGAACAAAUUGUAAUUUAUAUCUAGCAGCUUCAAAUAAUUUUUUUUAGAGCAAAAAGAAUCGCAAUUGCAUGUGAAGAGAUGCACCUCCCUGAUAUUAGACUUUUAGUGUAAUUGCAUGUGUAACUAAACCGCUUGACUAUAAUGUUGGUGUAGAGUACGGAGCUUUAAUUUAUGAUGUUCUCCUCAAUCUGUCCAAAUUAUAGCUGAUCGUGGGAAUCAACUUUAGGGUAAGCUCUGCUCUGAAACUCAUUUUCUUAUAUUGGAACUUGGUUAUUUCUUAAAUGAAACGACUUUGACGUUUUCACCGAGUAGUCAUAGAUGCGUGAGUUGUACAAUAGUAAAAGAAAAAUAAAUUACAUAAAGACUGUCUGAGGUAAAAUAGUAUACAAGCUGCAAUUUUAUAUUUGGUACAUUGACGUAAAAAGUUAUUGUUAUGUUCAGGGGGAGGUGCUGAGAAAUGACAUGAUUAUAUCAUACGAGCGGCGACAAACUACUGAAGUUGCAAAAGAAAUGAUCUUAAAGAAAGCAGAGAAAGUGGGGGAGUUUUUUCAAGAAAAGAAUUUAAAGAGGAGAUGAGAUGCCAGAGUAUUACGCGCUAUUGCCGAAACAGGAUUAAAAACUAUAUUGGGUAUCUCUUCUUGAUCUCUUGAUUAAUUCCACUAGGAAGCUUCAAUAUUAUAUAGGAAGUUUUCUUUUUAAGCUUAAUUUUGAAUUUGAAUCCUCAAACUAUAACUACUGUAUAUCUCUUUAUAUUAUAGCUCCUGACGCCGGGAACUUCCCCUUCUACAACCAGCCCAACUGUACAUAACAGUUGCUUGCUUAUGAAUUUCAAAUUUAUAUUAUAAUGUUUAUAUGUAAUAUUGAAUCAAAGUUGCUUGCUUGCUUAUGUAAUAUUGAAUAUCUACUGUUGGAUGAUUGUUAACUGCUGUGUUACCAAGUGUUUGAUUAAAUUCCUACAAGUUUUGUUUGAAUUUUGUUCUUUAUUUAUCAUUAGUAUGUUUCAUUUUUAUGUUUGACUCUAUGCUAAUCGCUGAUAAGAUUUCUAUGAUUAUAGGAGAUGAGUGUUCUUAUGGCAUGAAUGAUAUUGGAAAAGUGAAAUGUGUUGAUGCUUUGUGUAAAUAAAUCAUGAUCUGCCGUUAUAGUUUUCUGUUUGUUUUCAAUUUGUGUGUACCUAGGUGGUUGUUACUGAGCAUUGAUCAACUGUGUUAAUUAAUUUAUUAAAAUGGAGUUGAGUCUGAGAACUAAAGGGCAAUUAUAUACUUCUUUAGGCUUUCCUUAACAUGUUUUUAUUCAUUAAAAAAAAUCGAUGAGUUUUUAUAAAUAUAUAUACUCUGUUAUUUUCUCUGUACCUAAUUAAAAGGAUUUUAAUUCGAAUUAUAGGUGUUUGUCAUGUGAAUAUUAUCUAAAAGAUAAUGGGGCCGUUUGGGUUAGCUUAAAAGAAGUGACUUUUUGCUUAUAGUAAAGAAGUGGAGUAGAAGUGAGAAGUAAAUAAGUUAAUAAAGUGUUUGGAAAAGAAGCAGAAGCUGUGAGAGAGAAGCUAGCAUUCUCAGCUUCUUAAAAGUGCUUCAACUUCUUUACACAAACAGGUCAAGAGAAGCAGAAGCCAGAAGCAGCUUCUGCUUCUCUUGGCCAAACAGGCCCAAUAUCUUUAAGGUCUCUUGCAUUGGUCAUUUAAUGUGUUAAUUAAAAGUUUACAUUUAAAUUUUUUGAUCUAAUAAUUUUGGAUAGAUGGUUUGUGAGGUUAAUGAAUGAACUAAUAUGGAAUGAUAAAAUGUAGGAGGUCUGGAAAGAUGGGUUUCAAUGCAGGUUUAUUGCUACUUUCCUUCAGGUCUGCAUUGCUUUGGUCUGUCUUCAGGACUGAGACUGUGAUUGGUUUCGGAACAGACACAAGUAUAUAUAUGGACCAAUGCAAAGCACCUGAUUAUCAUACUUUAGGCUUUUGCUCUGCUUUCUAUGGUAAAAAAAAGUGACAUUACUUCGAAUCUGAUACAGUUUAUCCAAGAGCUUGCUUCAAUAUUAAGAAUGCAAUACGUGUUGCAGAUAAAAUUUUGACCAGCAACAUUGGGGCACCCAACCCAAAUCUAGCAACAUUGGCCGUGGAGCUUUAAAUAUCUCCGUAAGAUUCUUUUCCCUCGCAGGCAGGCAUCUUUUUCUGCGAAAAAUAUACAAGAAAAAAGGACUAAUUUGUUUAAUUGAAAAUAAAUUUCGGAUGAGUUGGAUUAAGAAUCAAAUGGAGAGUCCUGUUUUGGUUUCAUUUUGAUGGAGAGGUUGCUUAGGUCCUGUUUUGAUCGAAAGGUUGAAAAAAUAUUUGGUAUUUUUUGGUCUCAUUUUGGUUUGUUUCGUUCCUUCACAGGUGUGCAACAAGUGAUGAUAGUAUUUAAACAUGAUUAGCAAACUGCCCAGCAAUCCAUGCAUGGCAAGGGGAAUGCACAGCUUAAUGAUUUCAGUCUCCGUACCAUCCAAGUGCAACAAAAAUCAAUUAUCUUGUGAUGUCUAGGAUUCUACAAAAGUAAGAAGCCUUCAUUCAUCUUCAUUCAUCCCCUGUUACUAGAAAAGCAUUGGUAGCCUAUAAGCAGGUACACUAAGUAGCUCACCUAAUUUUUGCAUUUCAGUAUCAACGGAAAGUGGUGCAGGACUCCACUUUAUAAUUAAAUUAUGUGUCUAAAUUAUGCGUGUUGUAAUGUUUAGUGACCAUGUUCCAGACCCGACAUGUCCUUACUUGGCAGAUCAAGUUAUCCAAGAUUUGGGAAGGAGUUUCGCCUUUGAGAUCUCCAACAAGUAAGAAGAAAUAAUGUCAAGGAAUGAACUAAUGUAAAAUGAUAAGAAGAUGAAGGUAUAAAACAAUGAUUAUAAUGUAGGCUUCUUCGUAAUGUAAUGAACAAAAUAAUGGAGUAACUAUAACUAUUCUUGCUGCAAGCCUGUGUUUGUUUAAUGCUAUCUGGCAGUAGUUUAGCAUUGGUAUAUUCCUUAAGGUGGAUUUGGAUAGAGUGAGAGGAGACAUUACUUAUCUUUACCUAGCUACUGCUUUUCAUGAGAUUUGGGCAGAGCGUAACAUUAGAAUUCAUCAUCCUAAGAGUUUUAAAGUUGCAAACCGGCUUAUCAAGGACAUAAUAGCCUCUGUUACUAUUUUUACAUGCUCCUCUAUUGUUGUGUGAACUUGCUGAACUCCUUUUUUCUGUUGUUCUACUUACUAAAAUCUUUUUAAUUUUCUUUUGUUAGGUACACUAAGUGGUUCACUCAAUUUUGGCAUUUUAGUAUCAUUGGCAAGUGGUGUAGGACUCCAUGAUUCUGUGUUGUCCACAAGCAACGAAAAAAANNNNNNNNNNNNNNNNNNNNNNNNNNNNNNNNNNNNNNNNNNNNNNNNNNNNNNNNNNNNNNNNNNNNNNNNNNNNNNNNNNNNNNNNNNNNNNNNNNNNNNNNNNNNNNNNNNNNNNNNNNNNNNNNNNNNNNNNNNNNNNNNNNNNNNNNNNNNNNNNNNNNNNNNNNNNNNNNNNNNNNNNNNNNNNNNNNNNNNNNNNNNNNNNNNNNNNNNNNNNNNNNNNNNNNNNNNNNNNNNNNNNNNNNNNNNNNNNNNNNNNNNNNNNNNNNNNNNNNNNNNNNNNNNNNNNNNNNNNNNNNNNNNNNNNNNNNNNNNNNNNNNNNNNNNNNNNNNNNNNNNNNNNNNNNNNNNNNNNNNNNNNNNNNNNNNNNNNNNNNNNNNNNNNNNNNNNNNNNNNNNNNNNNNNNNNNNNNNNNNNNNNNNNNNNNNNNNNNNNNNNNNNNNNNNNNNNNNNNNNNNNNNNNNNNNNNNNNNNNNNNNNNNNNNNNNNNNNNNNNNNNNNNNNNNNNNNNNNNNNNNNNNNNNNNNNNNNNNNNNNNNNNNNNNNNNNNNNNNNNNNNNNNNNNNNNNNNNNNNNNNNNNNNNNNNNNNNNNNNNNNNNNNNNNNNNNNNNNNNNNNNNNNNNNNNNNNNNNNNNNNNNNNNNNNNNNNNNNNNNNNNNNNNNNNNNNNNNNNNNNNNNNNNNNNNNNNNNNNNNNNNNNNNNNNNNNNNNNNNNNNNNNNNNNNNNNNNNNNNNNNNNNNNNNNNNNNNNNNNNNNNNNNNNNNNNNNNNNNNNNNNNNNNNNNNNNNNNNNNNNNNNNNNNNNNNNNNNNNNNNNNNNNNNNNNNNNNNNNNNNNNNNNNNNNNNNNNNNNNNNNNNNNNNNUUUUACAUGCUCCUCUAUUGUUGUGUGAACUUGCUGAACUCCUUUUUUCUGUUGUUCUACUUACUAAAAUCUUUUUAAUUUUCUUUUGUUAGGUACACUAAGUGGUUCACUCAAUUUUGGCAUUUUAGUAUCAUUGGCAAGUGGUGUAGGACUCCAUGAUUCUGUGUUGUCCACAAGCAACGGAAAAAAAGCCUGCAGAAAUGUUUCGAAUACUUUGAACGAAAUAAAGGUACAUUAUUAGGCAAGUGAUUGUGGCGGCAGAGAUAGCAGUUUGAUUGCUACACAAUUAUGUGUUUCACAAGAUUUUGCUAUUUUAAAUUAUAGUAAAUUUGAUUAAAUCCCACUCGGAAAGUUUGAAAUUUCUUGAUGUUGCUUAGUUAAAAUUUGGAUAUGGACAAUUAUGAUAUUUGUGAAUUUGGGUUCUUUUUAUAGGUGAUUUUUGAACAUUGCUAGAAUGAUAUAUGAUCUCAGGCCUCACACUCUUAACAUCUUUACGAGGCUUACGAGGUUCGAGAUGAGUUGGUUACUUAACAUGAUUCGUUUAAUUUAAUUAUGUGUUUGUGUAGUUGGGUUGAUUUGUUGUUUGUUUCGUUUAAUUGUACAAUUAAGGAGAUGGUGUUUACAAUAAUAAUAUUGAAGAUAGUUUGUAACUAGAGUAUGUUGUUAAUAAUUUGGUUAUGAGAAAUUGAGGCCGACACAAGUUUAAUCUGGCUUUCUCGAGAUGAUCUGACCUCGAGAAGAAAGAUUAUCUCAAAGUAGUUUUGUAAGUUGCUUCUCUCUGUUUUUGGACAAUGUAAAUUCUUACAUUACAUCUGCCUCUUGCAGGUAACAUCUUUGCUUUUAGGCUCUUUAUAUCGCCGAUGUAAGUUUUGCUCCAUAAAUUUCAGUGUUUGGCUAGAUCUCCUACAACUGUACUUUUAAAGAAAAAUAGAAGAAAUCAAGAACUGAGUUUACUGUACUUUUGCAGUGAUAAUCAGAUAUGUACCGGUUUUGCUUCGCAUAGUCACACCUUUUCUUUGUACAAUUGCAGACCCACUUUUAGGGGUAUUAUGAUGAGGAACGAGUGUACAGAAGACUUCUCAGGUCUUCCAUAUCUAUAUGCCCUCCUGCACUGCUUGAUUUGUGCCUGGUAUGGCAUGUCGUUUAUGUCAGAUGAUAAUGUGCUUGAUAACUGUAACCUUAUACAGCUACAUUUACUUUAAAUGUCUUGAACACAGUGGUUGCAAAUAAUGGUUAAAUGAUUAAUAUUUACACUGAUCUACUGCUUUUACACUGAUCACUGCUUAUGAUGUUGAAAAACCAAAAUUUGGUGGAGAAAUUGGGAUCAAUGGAGGGAGCUUGCACUGACACACGAAAUCUGUCAAAGCCUAGAUUACAAAGUAAUACUUUACUUGACUGAUCGACGGUUCAACUCAGCAGGAUAUGGAGUAUGCUCGCAGUGUACAUAACAUCCAAUCUCCCAAGGUCUCAUCAUCUACUUUGGAGACAACCUCAAAAUGGGUGUAGUUGCACUUGCACCCAAAAAUGAAGCCAGUGCAAAAAUCAAAGAGAUGACCCAUUUGUUAAAAAUGUUGAGGCUGAAGAGUACAAGGGAACCAAGGUCAGAGAUGUCUCCUCCGCUAAGAGAUGAGGAAAUAUGGCAGUCGUUGGUAUUUGGGAAAUGCAUGUUAGCAAAUACAUGGAUUAUAAAUUGUAUGAGUGACAGGAUGAUAAUAUAGCGUCUCAUAGUCUAAUAUUGCCAAUGACAGGGCUAAUAGCAAUAGCACUUUCAAAAGUAGGUUUGCAGCUGUGAAAUUCACUCAAAGUUGUGAAAUUUGUGAAAUUUGCUUUUGCUCUAACAUGUAAUACCCCGGGUUCCAUUCUUUUGUUUACUUGAAUUUGAAUUGUAUUGUUAUCUUUGUUUUUUUAUUAUAAUUAUCCAAAAAUAGAUGUCCAUCUUGACUUUUGGUUGGUUAUUAGACAGAGGAAUUGAGCCCGGAAAUAAAAGUGUUACUAAUUAUCAUCCAUUAUUAAAGCAAUUAUUAUAUUAGACCAAUUUUAUUUUUGCACUAUUUGAAAUAUUCACUUUAUCUGAAUGAUGAAUGGUUCUUCUUUCAGUUAAUACAGUGUCAUUCACUGGUUAACAAAUGACCUCUUAAAUUAUUCAUGAAAUCAUUUAAAAAUAUAUAAAGUUUAAUUGACAAAUUUAUCUUUUUUAAUAAAAUUAUACUCAAAUUUUUGGUUGAAAUGUAUGUAGCUUUAAGAUUAUAAUCACUUUUAGCCGAAAGUACUUUAAUAUUAGUGUUCAUAAAAAUAAUUUUUGAAUAACUUAUUAAUGAUUAAUUAUUUUAUGUAACGGUUUAAUAAAAUUAUACAAAUAUAAUGAUUUCUAAUUUGAGAAUAGUUUUUUAUAGUUCAAAACAAAAUUUAUAAUAAAAAAAUUUAACGAGUUAUCAGUAAUUAAUAAUAUACAUUUACAAUUAAAUUAUCCAAAUUAAUUAUAAAAUAUUAAAAUUUAAAAUAUUUGACUAAAGUGCGAGGCGUCACCGCUCGGCGACGUCGAGGGGCACUUGAUAGAAUAUGACUUUUCAUAUAUUACAAAGUUUAGCUAUAUAAUUAUUUUGAUUAUAAGAUAUUAAAAUAUAAAAUAUUCGACUAAAGUGUGAGGCGUCGCCGCUCGACGACACCGAGGAGGACUUGAUAAAAUAUGACUUUUCAUAUAUUACAAAUGUUUAGCUAUAUAAUUAUUUUGAUUAUAAAAUAUUAAAAUAUAAAAUAUUCUACUAAAGUGUGAGGCGUCACCGGUCGGCGACGACGAGGAGCACUUGAUAGAAUAUGAUCUUUCAUAUAUUACAAAGUUUAGCUAUAUAAUUAUUUUGAUUAUAAGAUAUUAAAAUAUAAAAUAUUCGACUAAAGUGCGAGGCGUUGCCGCUCGGCGAGCCGAGGAGUACUUGAUAAAAUAUGACUUUUCAUAUAUUACAAAUGUUUGGCUAUAUAAUUAUUUUGAUUAUAAAAUAUUAGAAUAUAAAAUAUUCGACUAAAGUGCGAGACAUCGCCGGGGAGCACUUGAUAAAAUAUGACUUUUCAUAUAUUACAAAUGUAUUAUAUAAUUAUUUUGAUUAUAAAAUAUUAAAAUAUAAAAUAUUCGACUAAAGUGCGAGGUGUCGCCGAGGAGUACUUGAUAAAAUAUGACUUUUCAUAUAUUGAAAAUGUUUAGCUAUAUAAUUAUUUAAAUUAUAAAAUAUAAAAUAUUCGACUAAAGUGCGAGGCGUCGCCGAGCGGCGACGCCGAGAAGUACUUGAUAAAAUAUGACUUUCAUAUCUUUAAAAAUAUUAUGUAAUUUUCGAACGUAAAUGAAUUUUAAUUACGAAUUAACUUUUAUAAAUACUCAAGUUAUACAACGGUUUUUGUUGAAUUUGAUUUUUAUUUUACACUGAACUUUUAUUUUUAUAACUACAAAAUCACAAGUUAUAUUUAAUAUUUUUUUUAUAACUCAAUUGUUGUUUUCUUGCAUAUAAAAGUUUGUAAGUAUAAGUAAUGGAUAUAAUAACGUCAUAUUAAUUUUCAAAAUAUAAUCAAUAUUUUAAAUCUUAUUGACAAAAAAAGGACUAAAUUCUAUCUAUUAUUUUAAAAUAUUAUUUUAAAAUAUUAUUGUAUAUACAAAUACUCACAAAUACUCCAUGACGCUGACGAACAUCCAAUAAUCAUUAUCAGGUAGUGAAAGAUCUGAGGAACACAUUAAAAUUUGUACUUCAAUAAAACACAAUUGAAAGAUGAAUUUUAGCCAAAAUAAAUAUGCAUGAAUACAGGUUGGCAAAUUGGCGUAACAACCACUGAGCUACUCAAGUACAAGGACUCGAUGAAAGGCCUCUACUACUCCCAGAACCUGAAAAUGCUAUUUCUAUAAUUCCAUCACGUUAUUUAUCUUAUUUAAUGUACUGUUCUGUGAUAACGUAUGGGAACUCGCUAAUAUGGAAUGCUAGCUUUGCAUUUGGUCUCCUCGCCAUAUUCACAAAUCAUUAGGAUUCAUAUAGAAUUGGUGCGUGUUCAAAACAGAAUUUUUUCAAGCACAAGAUCAGCAAAAAUAAAUUUAUUAAUCUUCUGCAAUUUAAAAUGCCCAGCAAGGCGGGCAUAAAUACUAGUUCUUCAUAUUUACACAACCAUUGAUCUGUCUUGCAACAAAUUUCAAGGAGAAGUUCCAAAGGUUACAUGAGAGCUUAAAUGGCUUGCAUUGCUCAAUCUAUCUCAUAAUAGUCUCACCGGACAUAUCCCAUCACUCCUCGGAAAUAUGGAAGCACUCCUAUCUCUAGAUUUGUCUUCAAAUCAAUUGACAGGGGCUAUUCCACACCAAUUAACUAAAUUGACAUUUCUAAAGGUGUUGAACCUCUCGGGAAAUAAUCUUACUGGGGAAAUCCCGCAAAAAGGGCAAUUCAGCACUUUUGGAAAUGAGUCAUACUUGGGGAACCCGGCCUUGUGUGGACUUCCUUUGACGGAAAAAUGCAUGCAUGCAGUGUCACCAACUCAAGAAGUCGGAAAUGGUGAUACUGAUGAAGAUGACGAUGCUGAUGAUGAACUUAAUUGGGAAGCCAUCCUGAUGGGAUAUGGAUGUGGAUUGAUAUGCGGAUUGUCUUUGGGGUACAUUGUUUUCAAGAUAGGAAAGCCUUGGUGGUUUGUGAAAUACAUUAAAAUACUACAACUGAAAUUGAUGAAAACAUGCACAAAGCAUAGCAGACGAAAGACUUGAGGAGAUGUUGUCUUAGGAUGCAAUCUCGUUUAAUACUUUCAUCAUUAUUCUCCAAGAUGUCUGAACAUGUAUUUUCAAAGAAUUCUCAGUUCACCUUUAGCCUUAUAAAGUAAAAGACAUUUUAAAGGCACUCUCAACUUACACCUAUAUAUACACGUACGGUUCACUUCAGUACAAAGAUUAUUAGCCAUGCAAAACAUGCAGAACCACUAGUAAUGCAGAAAAACAAAAUAUCAGUUUUCUCCAAAUAUCACUACAACAAAACUGCCAUUUUACGACGGAAAUCUAAUAUUCUAAAGGUUUACGACCAAACUAUGUUGGUGGACUUUAUUUUAAUUUACAGUUUUAACAGUAGUUAAUUUUGGAUAUCUAAACUUGCGACAGAAAACAUACGACAGUCUACCUCGCGAGAGAAAAUCAUUUUAUUUUAUUUUUUAGCGCCAGAAUUUUAAUACUAAAAUAUUAUAUAUAUGAAGGAAACUGAUCUCUAAUGUUUUCAGCUUGCUCAUCCAUAUGUAAGUAAUCCGUCGAAAAAGUUAGUUUGUUGUGGUGGUGUCUUAUCAUGAGAGAAAAUGAUAAUAUCGCAAAAUAUUUGCAACUGAAAGAUAAAUUAUAAUUCUAGAAACCAUUUAGGUAACGAUGCACGAAGUUAUUUUCACUCACUUAGAAUUAAUGAUCAUAAAUAUUUGCAACGGAAAGAUACAUUAUAGUUCUAGAAAAGGAUCCACGAAGUUAUUUUCACUCACUUAGAAUUAAUUGUAAGUUAUUGUGAGUUUUUGAAUAUGGAUUAUCUCAAAUUUUAUGAAAACACAUAUUGAUUCAUAUAUACAAAUUUGCCUACCUAAUAUUAUAAUAUUUAUGGAGAAGUUGUAUGAACAAUUGUGUAGAUAAUUAUACUUUACAAAGCAUACUUCUGCUAGAUGAAUUUUGAUUAAACAAAAUCGAAAGGGAUAGGUCUGGGUCUCUCCAAGUCUUUGAGGACUCAUUCCAAGUCUUCUGACGAGGACAAAAUAUAUUGCUGGUAGUCUUUCAGUCCUUCCUAGAGUAUUUUAUGCUCUGGACUGCAUUAUGCAGCUCUCAUAUAACUUUGCGAUGCAAAACAGUGGCAAGUAAGUAUUUCCGUAUGUGUAUUUAUUUGUAUAUUAAAGUUGCGUAACAUUUGUGUUGAUAAUUUGCGUAAUGUUGAUGAGGAUUGCUCCCAAGUCUUGGACGGACUCUUUCCAAAUCUUCUGAGGACAUAUCGGUUCAAAUUAGUCCAUUAAAAAUUUUAUGAUAUGAAGCUAUCUGCAAAAUAAUAUAUAAGGUAAAAUGAACCAUUGUUUUGUGGUUAAGUUGUACAGGCAAUAUGCAGUGCAAAAUCAGGAACAGAAUAUAUGAAUACUAGUAAUAUGAUAUCGGUAUGAACGAAUAUUUUCUAUGUAGUUGUUAUUGUGAUGCGGAAAAAAUAUUGUAACCAAAAAUAAUUAUAAUUCUAAAAAUUUCCAUUAUACACUUUUUUAGUGUUCGUGGUACUUCAAAUGACAUUUCUCGCGUAUGCCUCCAAUUAAGAACUUGAUGUUCAGCAUAGUCCGAAACUAAAAUUAUUAUAAGUGUGUAAUUCAAAAUUAUAUUGCUGGUAGUCUUUCAGUUCUUCCUAGUGUAUGCAGUAGUUUCAUUCGAUACCGAUUAUUUUAUGCAUUGCCCGAGAACCAGUCUAUCUAAAACCCUAAGAUGUUAUAUUUUUAUACGUGUAUUAGUUUUGAAGAUUAAAGUUGUAUGGACAAUUGUGUUAAUAAUUUGCGCAAUUGCGCAAUGAUAACUGGGAUAGGUCAUCUUCUCUCCCAAGUCUUGGAUGGAAUCUUUCCAAGUCUUCUGAGAACCCAUCAGCUCAGAUUAGUCCAUACAAUGUCAAGGGUCCUAUGAUAUGGUCUACUAACAGCCCAGUGUCGGUAAUAAAUCCAAUUGCAUAUAACCUAUUCAAAAUCAAUCCCCUAUAAACAAUCAUCUCUAAAAACUAUUCACAUAAAAUAAAAUUUUAAAAAUAUAAAAUAUCUAGUUGUUUUCAAUAUAUAAUUUUCCACAGUAGAUAACACAAUAUCUUUAUCAAAUUAUUAUUUAUGGGUUCAAUAUUUAAGCUAUAAUUCCAACAACACGGCAAGCAUGCAGCAUAUAAAUAGAAGUGUGCAGUAUGGUAUUGCAUUCAUAACCCAGUUGAGGAAAAAUAUGGCACCCUUCCUAAAGCCUUCUCACCUUCUUCUCUUUGUUUUCUUUCUCUCAUCACCUGAGUCCAUUCUUGCGACAACACGAGAAGGAGAAGCUCUUGUGAAGUGGAAGAAUAGCCUAGCCCCUUCUUCUUUUCUUGAUUCUUGGUCACUCACUCAUCUCGAUAAUCUUUGUAACUGGACUGGCAUUACUUGUAACUCUGCAGGUUCAGUCUCUAAGAUUAACCUUUUUGAGAAACAACUUAAUGGAAUGCUGUCCGAGUUUGGUUUCACUUCAUUUCCAAAUCUCAGCAAUCUCACCCUCACAUACAACUUCUUCUCGGGUCCCAUACCACCAGCCAUUGAGAAUUUAACCCAGCUUCGGUAUCUUGAUUUGAGCUAUAAUUAUCUGGAUGGUCCCAUUCCGUUCCAGGUUAGCCAUCUUCAGAGCUUGCUCAUCUUGAACCUGUCACAGAAUGCAUUGCAAGCUCCAAAUUGGUCCCAUUUCUCUCCCAUGCCUUUCUUGCGCAUCCUCAACCUCAGUUACAAUCCUCUUGCGUCGAAAUUCCCAAAUUUUAUAUCCAAUUCUCAUAGCCUGACUCACCUUAGCCUUAAUUUUAAUGAGUUUACUGGUGAUCUAGUACGUGAAUCAAUAUUUGCCAAUCUGCAUAAUCUUGAAGUCCUCAGUCUUCUUGGCAAUUUUUUUGAGGGGCCAUUUCCGCCAGAUAUAUUCAAGCUUUCCAAAUUAAAACAUCUUCACCUGUCAGGUAACAAAUUCUCAGGUUCAAUUCCAAAUGACAUAAGGUUGCUUUGUGGUCUUGAAAACCUAUUUUUAAGCAACAAUUCCUUUGAAGGACCGCUUCCACCAAAUAUAUUUAAGCUUUCAAAAUUAAAACAACUUGUUCUUUGGAGUAAUAAUUUUUCAGGUUCUAUUUCCAAUGAUAUAGGUUUGCUUUCUGAACUUGAAACCCUCAAUCUUCAAUUUAAUUUUUUUGAGGGGCCGCUUCCCCCACAUAUAUUUAGGCUCUCUAAGUUAACAGGUCUAGAACUCGGAGACAAUAGAAAUUUAUUUGAAGGAAGUAAUAUUCCUAUCGGACUGGGACUCUUGACUAACCUCAGGUACUUAGAUUUACAUUCCAGUAAUCUCAGUGGCUAUAUUCCAUCUGACAUUGGAAACCUGAAGCUACUAGUACUUCUUAGUCUCGGUUCUAAUCAAUUGACUGGACCGCUUUCAAAGAUCGUUUAUAAUCUCACAAAUCUUAUAUUUCUUGAUGUAAGUAAUAAUAGUCUUAGUGGAAAUAUUCAGAGUGACUUGUGGAAAUAUAACCAUCAUCCUACUUUGGAAUACAUCGAUUUUAGUGGGAACCAUUUUACAGGUAUAUUUUUUCUCUAUAGAUCUUUUCCUUUUGUCAUAUGUAACUAAGCUAGUAAUCUGAUUAUUGCAGUUUUACUGAAGUUUCAACAAUCUUGACAGGUGAGCUUCCAACAACAAUUUGCAAUGUCAUGUCCCUUUCGGUUCUUGAUUUGUCAAAUAAUGAAUUAAGUGGUGCACUUCCAAACUGUUUCGGGAAUCUUGCUGAUGGAUUGCUUUACAUUAAUCUUGCUAAUAAUCAGUUUCGAGGAACAAUACCAACUACUUUCUCCAGGAGUUGUCAGCUGACAUAUCUAAACAUGGAUAAUAAUGAGUUUGAAGGAUUGUUGCCCCCAUCUUUGGCGAACUGUAAGCACUUGAGAAUUCUUGAUAUUGGCAAUAAUAAAAUAGGUGGUACAUUUCCGUCAUGGCUUUAUGUACUUGGAGAGCUAGAAGUCCUUGUCUUGCGAUCAAAUAAACUCUAUGGUACAAUAAGUGGAAGGAGCAUAGAAGAUCCCUUCCCCAAGUUGCGGAUUGUGGAUCUGUCCAACAAUCAAUUCACAGGCCAUUUGCCAAUUCAAUACUUUAAGAAUAUGAAAUCAACUGAUAAUUUGUAUCGUUAUCAGAAUUCCACAGGAGUUUUUUCUUUCCAUUAUGAAGCAUCUGUCUCAUUAACUGUGAAGGGAACAGAGUAUGAAGUGAAAAAUAUCCUUCAUAUUUACACAGCCAUUGAUCUGUCCUGCAACAAGUUUCAAGGAGAAAUUCCUGACGUUAUUGGAGAGCUUAGAUGGCUUGCAUUGCUCAACUUAUCUCAUAAUAGUCUGACAGGACCUAUCCCAUCAUUACUGCGAAAUAUGAAAGGACUCCAAUCUUUAGAUUUGUCCUCAAAUCAACUGACAGGGGCUAUUCCACCUCAGAUAACUGCACUGACAUUUCUAGAAGUCUUAAACCUCUCGGGAAACCAUCUUAGUGGAGAGAUUCCUCAGAAAGGACAAUUCAGCACAUUCAACAAUGAUUCUUAUAUAGGAAACUCCGCAUUAUGUGGAUCACCAUUGACGAAGACAUGUGCAAACACAGCAUCACCUCCACAAGAAGUCGGAAAUGUUGAUGAAGAUGAUGCGGGUGAUGAAUUGACAUGGGAAGCAAUCUUGAUGGGAUAUGGAUGUGGACUGAUAUGUGGAUUGUCAUCUGCAUACAUUGUUCUCAAACUAGGAAAGCCUUGGUGGUUUGUGAGAUAUCUCGAAGUACUGCAACAGAAGUUGAUGAAAAGAUAUGCAUGAAGAAUGGUACUGGCCGAUCAAGACCAACUUGAAAGUUUGUUGUCCUUGUGCACAUUUCUGAACCAGUAGUGUACUUGCUGCAUAAGUAUUUGGUAUUAUGUAAUAAUCCGUUUGGUCGGGACUCAUAAUGAUUUCUCUUGCUUCAGGGGUAUUAAUAUUAACCUUGCUAUCUUGAUCAAUGUUAAAGCAAAUUAAAUGAAUGAAAAAACAAAAAGUAUGCAUCAAAUCCGCUCCUGCUGUACCAAAAUCCAUUAAAUUGCUUUGGUCUCUUACCUAACAAUUUAACAGCACACUUCCACACUGUUCAUACCUAAUUUGCGUGUAAUAUGAAAACUAAGAGGCAUGGCUUUUGUCUCUAUAAGUCUUUGAGAACUUAUUCUUCCAAGUCUUCUUCGGAGGCCUGCUGCCUCAACAACCUUUCAAAGAUGUAGCAGUUGCUCGAGAGUAACAUAUAUAUUAGAUAAAGACUAUGCAAUAAUCCACGUGACAGAAAAACCAAAGUCCAAUUAGUUUUCCAAGUUCAUAAAAAAUACUAUAGGAUCAUUAGCAUUACAUUAGUAUUCCACUAGCAUACAGCAUAUUAUAAGACAAAAGUAAGCGGAAAUAAACAUAAUUUCAAUAGAUUUAACUUACUCUUCAGAAUCGAUAAGUUUGGAACACGUUGAUUGAGCACAAGACGAAGGCCACACAUGCGCAUCAUCUGAUGCAGCUAUAUAUGGUGCCUUUACAGUUGCUCAUACAUAUAGUGAAACAAUAAGGAUCAACUCCUCCAUUGUACGUACACAUUUUCAUACAAGCUAUAAAGCAUGGUGAUAGAGUCUUUGCAAUCUCGUCAUGACCGGCACAUCCGAUUAUGAUAAACUCUAGCAGGAUCAUCCAAGUAAUAAUUUUCAUAAUGAUAUUAAUUAUCAUUGUGAAUAGUUGCAUUGAGUUAUAUAUGUGUGUGUAUAUAUAUGCAAUGGAUUUUGUGGUUGAGAAUAUCUAUUAGAUUUUGUAUAUCCAUAACAAUUAUUAAAAUUUAAACAAGAAUAUCUAUUAUUGGUUGUGGUUGACUAUUGUAGUAGUCCAAGAAAUCAAUGCAAGUGAAAUCUAUAUUAUAUUUUAAAAGAUUAUACAUGAAAUACAAAAGGUUUUUUUAGGACUGCUGUUAAAAAUUGUUAUGUUGUACGAAAAAAUGCUGAUAAAAAGAGUGUUAUACGAAAAAAUGCUGAUAAAAAAAAUGUCGUAUAAAUCAGAUAUGACAGCUUCCCACAAAAACUAAAAAAAACAGUUUUCCGUAAUAAUAUGGGAGAGGAAAAACUGUUUGUAGAUUUAUAGAACAAUUUUUCGGUAAAAAACUGUUGUUGUUUUCGAGAGUAAUGACAAACAGUGCCGAAAUCAUUUUGCAGGUAGUUAAUCUCACUUCCAUAUAAUAUACUCCUAUAUAUUACCGAAAAAACAUGAAAUGAUGCAAACCUCAUACUAUUGACAACAGCUAAACUCCUUGCAAUACUUUCAGCUGCAAAAUCCAUCAAAUUUUUUGAUUUAUCAUGUAACUGUUUGACAGAGUACUUCCAAGCCUAAGUAUCAAAAAUCACUACCUUACGAAAUAUAUCUCACCCUACCUUCUCUGCUUAACUGUUUCGAGUGCUUUUACCAAGCAUAUUUUCCAUUAAGCGUGAAAGGCACAGAAUAAUUAGGAUCACCGAAUAUCCCAUCAGUGCUGGGGAAUAUGGAACCAUCUUAUCAAUUAACUAGUUUAACAUUUCUUGCGGUCUUGAACCUCUCAGAAAACCAUCUUAUCCUAAUGUGCCGACUUCCUUUGACGGAGAAAUGGUGAUGCUGAUGCUAAUGAUAAUGAACUCAACUGGGGAGUGAUCCUUAUGGGAUACGGAUGUGGAUUGAUAUGCGGAUUUUCUUUGGGGUUUAUAUUUUGUGGUUUGUGAGAUACAUUGAAGUACUGCAGCUGGAGUUGAUCAUUAUAAAGAACAUAGGCAAGUUAAUCGCUUAUUGAAAUUAGUAAUUGUCAAAAGUAAAAUGUUGAAAUUACUUUUUUCGAUUGAAAUCAUUGAAAAAAAGUCUCUGUCGAAAUUGAUCUGCCAAAAUUAUGUUUAAUAUCUACGGCCAAGAUUAUCUGUCGAAUAUAUUUCCCGACAAUUUUAAAAGACAAAUUUUUCGCCUCUCAGCUGUGAGCGGGAACAGAUAUUUUCGACAGAAUUCCAUUGAAAUUAGCUAAUUUCAACAUAAAUUUUCUAUCGAAAUUACUUGAGUUCUUUGUAGCUUGUUUUCACAAAUACGCUGAUAGCCUUUGGGGACGGGUAUAUUGUUUUCACAAAGCCCUGGUGGUAUGUGAGAUGCUUCGAAGGACUGCAACUGAAGUCGAUAAGAACAUGCAGAAAGAAAACCGAUCCAUCUUGAUAAACUUGAAAAAUGUUGUCAUAUGGUGAUAUAUACUCCCUGGCCCCAGUCUCUUGGAAAGAACUUGGUUGAUUUUUUUUUUUCAGUAUUGUUGGAGCUGUCAUACUAGUGCUAGUGUGCCGACUAGCACUAGUAUGACAGCUCCAACAAGUAUCCAUCCCUAAUAAUUGCAGCAAAUUAAAAAAUAUAGCUAUAUCUUUUUAGCAAUGGUGCAAUUUGGAAAGCUUUCUCAUCAUCUUCUUCUUUUCUUUAUCUCAUUACUCUCAUCUAGUUCCACUGUCCUAUCUGCAACAAUUCGCGAAGGAGAAGCUCUUGUGGAAUGGAAGAACAGCCUAUCCCCGAAUUCAUUUCUUGGUUCUUGGUCACUAAUUAAUCUCACUUAUCUUUGUAAUUAAGUGGACUGGCAUUGUAUGCAACUCUGCAGGUUCAGUCAGUCAGAUUAAUCUUCAAGAACUCACACUUGCUAACCUCCGUUUCUUUUCGUUUCCAAAUCUCACCAAUCUCAACAUUACACAUAACAACUUCACUGGUCCAAUACCACCCGAGACUUUAGCUAUAGUAAUCUCAAUGGUACCCUUCCAUACCAGGUCAGCCAUCUUCAGAGGUCGGUCGUCUUAGGCCUCUAAUUUAAUCACUUGAAAGCUCUAAGCUUGUCCAAUUUUUCCCCCAUGCCUAUACUGGUUGGUCGCGGUCUUGGUGGUAAUAAGCUGGCGUCAAUUUUUCCAGAAUUCAUAUCUAAUUGCUAUAACAUGAUUAACCUUGAUCUUUCAUUUAACAUGUUAACUGGUGAUCCCUUCAACAACUUGCGAAUCUUGGAUCUCUUCGACAAUGAAUUCACUGGUUACUUGCCAAUCCAAUAUUUUAAUAAUAUGAAACCAGUUAAUACCGUGAUUGAUUAUUACAACAUAACAGUGAAUCAUGAUUAUCAAGCAUGUCUUGUUAACAUUUUGCACUCGUAUUAAUUGUCUUAUAUAUGACUAACUCAUCUUGCACUCGUAUUAAUUGUCUUAUAUAAUACUAAUAACAAAAAUAUGAGGCGGUGCUUAGUCAGAUGAUUUUAGUUGUUAAAAUAUUUUUGUGUUAUUUAUAGAUAGUGAAACAUGUCUAAUAUUUUAUCAAUUUUGUUUCGUUUCUUGAGAUUUCCAAAUAUUUAUUGGGACAUUGUACCAUGGUGUAUUUCACAUAUUCGCAAUUUUAAUUAUUUUGUAUUUUUAUUUUAAAGAUAUGAUAAAGUUUAUUUAUUUAUUUGUUUUUAUCUUAAAAGCGAUUUUCGAGUGUUGCUUAAACCUCGAAGAUUCCAAUCGAGUUUUAUUCUCGGAUCUGUUUCGGAAUUGAGCUUGGCCUUGAUUGUUUUCUGAAUAAAUCAGAUCUUUUGAAAUCAAAGGUUCGAUUGUGUUUUCCCGUCUCGCCUUUUGGCGUGUGUUGAUUUAGUACCCAAUUUUUGGGUGAUUCUGCGUUGUUAUAUUUGUGGUUGUUAUGUCUUUCUGUGUUAUCAAUGAGAAUGAUUGGGAUGGAGUUUUGGGAGAUUUGGCUUAUCGCAUCAUUACAUCUUUCGGCAUGUCUAUAGCUGGCUCCCGGCAUGUAGAUAGCUGGGGUAUGCUUGGAACGGUGGCGAUCGCAUGUGCUCACCUGUCACAAAUUAUAGUUGUUCAUUAUUCGAGGGCUCUUGUUCCUCGUUGCUUAGUUUUUACAACUGAGUCGUCUGAACACCGCAACAGCCAUGGAACUAUUGUGAAGGUCAAUUGUGAAGCUAUCAUUUUCGAGAUUGAUGUAGGCUGGAUUACUCGAGAAGCUUUUGUAUUCAUUUUCAGUUUCAAGAAUUCUUGAAUUCAGUGUGUUAAGCAGUCUGGAAACAAUGCGGCUAUUUGAUUAGCUCGUUUUAUUGUUUAUCAACCUGAUUGCAUUGUCAGUUGGGGAUUUGUCCCGAUUAAACUUGUUUUAAUAUAAUGGAAUGAAUUUGCAUUUUGUCAAAAAAAAAAAAAAAAAGCGAUUUUGAGUUGUUUGAGUUAGAUAUAUACUCCUACUGUGGUUCAACUAGUUUUGCCAUAAGUGAAUAACUUCCGGUCAAUAUUUUGAAAUUUGUCGUUAUCUUCUAAUUAAAAUAAAGGGUUAAAUAGCUACUUCAUCAUUAAUAUCGUUGAAAAUUUGCAGCUGAGUCAUGUUGUUGAAAAGACUUUCAAACUGCAUCAUUAAGUAAUUAAAAAAUUUCAAAAACACCACUCUCCGUCAGUUAUGUUAAACAAUUAACGGAAAGUUCGAAAAAAAAUAAAGAAAAGACAAAAAAACAUUAAAAAAAUUUGAAAAAAAAACCCGAAAAAAUGUGAAUAAACUAUGAUAUUUUUUUUCUUUUUUUGAAAAAUGUGAAUAAAAUCAAAAAAUCAAAAAAAAUGGGAAACCAAAAGUGGCAAGCUUUUUUUUUUUUUGUUCCUUUCAAAUUUUCUAAAAUCUGGGGAAAAAAGAACUUGCCAACUAAUUUUUUCCAAAUUUUUUCAAAUUCUUUUCAGAUUUUUGAAUUUUUUUCCAAUUUUUUCCUCACUUUUUUUCUGUUUUUUUUUGAAUUUAUUAAGAUUUUUUUUGUUUUUUCUGCUUAUUCUGAAUUUUUUAAGAUUUAUUCGCAUUUUUAAAAAAUAUUUUUGAAUUAUCCGUUAAGUAAUUAAUGGAACUGACGGAGAGUGAUGCUUUUGAAAGUUUUUAAUUACUUGAUAAUGCGUUUGAAAAUUUUUUCAACAACAUGACUCAGUUGCAAGUUUCCGGCGAGGUUAGUAAUGAAUUAGUUAUUUAACUCUUAAUAAAAAUCUAUCUAAACAAUAUUAUAAAUAUAAUGUUAUGGGUUCGAUGAGUCGUGUAAAACAUGGAAGAAGUUUAGGUGGGGUAAAAAGAGCCUAGCUGUGUGAUUUCCAUUCUGUUAUACGUGAUAUACUGUAGUUGAUCAUCUCCUUUGUCCGCUUCAUCCUGUGCAACCUUAACCUUUAAGGAAAAACUUAUGAGAUUCUCUAGUGCAUCUAAAUUCUUGUGUGAAGAAUGUGAAGAAAAAUGUUAGUCUCAGAUUAUUUUUCCUAAAAUGCUUGCAUGUUACAUUUUAUAUGUAUGUCCUGACUUUAAGUAUAAUUUAGCAUUUUUAUUUAGUAUUGUGUAAAAAUAAUAUAUUUUAUUCAGUCUUAUUAAAAAUAUAAUCAUGUUAUACUGUAAAAGUAUUUGUGAAUUUCUUUGUUACAUAUGUGUUUAAAUUAUUUUAUUUAUAUAUGUUUUACAAUUUUUUACAAAUAUAUAGGUUGAGUAUUGCAUAGGAAUAUAAUUACACGUUAGCAAAUAUGAUUAUGUGUAAACUGUUCUGCGUGCAUGUAUAUUGCUGCUAAGUUUUAAACUUCUUACUAACCGGAAUAAUUUUGACAGAUGUGUGGAACUUGAUUAAUUUAGUUGCACUAUAAGAGAAAGCGUUUUUGUCAAUAAAAAUUGUUAAGGAAAUUAGUCCGUUGGUAGUUCUCAACGGAUUUGUAACAAUUUGACUGGUCAAUGUUCUGUCAACCAAUUCGUAAUGAAAUACCCACACUUAUUUACAACGAGAUGUUCUAUUAGGAAAUAUAGCCACACAAUGGAAUAAUAACAAAAGACCAAGGAAUGAGCAACAGACUAGCAACGAAAGUAUCUGUUAUUACAUUCGUUGAUAUUCCCUUGAUAAAUACUAGACUUUUUAGCACUUUGGUGGCUUGUACUAUUUCAAAUUUGCACGUUAGUGGCCGACCUUUAAAAGUCAUCAAUUGUGUUGCUGAACUUAUUUUUUUUUAACACAUUAGGGGCUCCGCAUCAUAUCCGUUAAAUCGAAGUAACGGCGUCAAAUGAUCAAUACAUAUCUCCUCCUCCUCUUAUUUCCCUCCAAAUUAAAAAACGAAACGGCUACCCUCUUUUCCGAAGCAAGAACGACGACGAAUUCCUGCUUACAGAGAUGAGUUGGUUCCGGCGUCUUAAAGAGGAUGCUGAUGUGUAUUAGCCUCGACAGUGCCCCGAUUACUGUAGUAAGCUCUUCAACUUUUCUUCUUUGUAGCAUAUGAAAUGAGUUUAAUUGACCAUUAUUUCAGUGUUUGUUGUUGUUAGUGGCUAGUUGUUUAGUAUUAUGGACCUGCAAUUGCUUUAUACUAUUAAAAUGAAAGAUUCUGCUUGUGGGUUUUUAAAAAUUAAGGCUUUUACAUAGUCCAAGAUUCGGUCAUUAUAAAAUCAAUUUAUGCCUGUUUUAGUAUAGUGCUUGUUGUUAGUGGCUAUUUGUUAAGUAUAGUGUUGUUUAUUGUAAAUAAAACUGUUGCUUUGCACUCUACAUUUGCAGAACCUGGUGAUUUUACCCUAAAAAUAUAUCAUGGGGCCGAUUGGGUAGAUAACCCUAGGGCAUAUGUGGGAGGUACAGUAGAUUUCUUUGACUUCUGUAAUGCUGAUCAGAUCAGCAUAAUUGAGAUAUAUAGUAUGUUGAAAGAGGUUGAUGAGUUUGGGUUUCACCAACUGUGGUAUAAGCUACCUGGCACUACAUUCGAUAGAGCUUUUGUACUAAAUAAUGAUGAGGAGCUAAUGACCAUGUGUGAGCUUAUAUCUGAUGUGGAUAAGUAUAUGGAGAUUUAUGUCACCACUAUGGCACAUCUAAGUAUAGUGCCCUAUAGAGAUUUAGAGGUUGAAUUUGUUGAACCAACUCCUAAAGAAGCACCUGAAAAGAACAAUCCAUCACCUGAAAAGAUCAAUCCAGCACCUGAAAAGAUCAAUCCAGCACCUGCAAAGAUGUAUCCAGCACCUGCAAAGAGCAUUCCAACUGUGGGAAAUGAUGAUGAUCAGGAAGAGUUUGAGUUUGAUUUUGACAAUACACGGUUUUGGGAUACCACCCAAAAUGAAAUUGAAAUUGUGCAACAAGUUAGGGAAAUGGAGGGGUUGGAAGAGGAAUUUUCAGACACAGAUUCUGAUGAUGAGGAUUUUGUGCCAGAAGAAAAGGAAAGUAGUGAUGAGACCUUCCACUGUGAUAGUUCCAAUCAAGAUAAUUCUGAUGAUGAUUUGUUGUUUGAUGAUGAUUACUACCAUCCUUACCAGCAGAUGGAAACCAACAAAGAAAAAUAUACAACAACAACAACACAGCAAGAAUUUUCCAGUUCCUUGCUUGCUUCUGCGCCUCGGAUAGUUCUUCACUGUAGAAAUCCUUGUACUCAUCUUUGGCCUUAAUCAUUUCAGCAAAACAUUCAUCGUCCUUGUUCUUCAAACGCCUUAUCAGUCCAUUGAUUACACUCUUGCUGCGCGCAUCAAACUCGGGUUCAACCCACUUGAAGAAAUUGCACCUUCCAUUCACGCAAGUCAAGAAUCUUCUACCCGGAUUGUACUCCGUCCACGAUGUCUUCUCCACUGCCCAGCUUCCACACAUACAUUGUUGAUUCAUCUUUGCAGAGCUUUUUGGUUUGGAUGAGAGAUUUAGGUUUGAAUAUGCUCAAUUACACACAGCAGAAACGUAUAUAUAUACACAGCAUAUAGCCGUUGCAAAAAUAUUUUCCUGAAAUACCCCUGACGACCGUUACUUCGAUUUAAUGGAUAUGAUGCGGAGCCCCUAAUGUGUUAAAAAAAAAAUAAGUUCAGCAACACAAUUGAUGACUUUUAAAGGUCGGUCACUAACGUGCAAAUUUGAAAUAAUACAAGCCAUCAAAGUGCCAAAAAGUCUAAAUACUAACAGUUUCGUUAGUAAUUGAUUAUUAGUUUUACAUGGACAAUUGAUAUACACCACAUGAGCACAUACACGGAUACAAUGCCAGGCUCUUAGUUGAAAUGUGUGUACUGCUAAAGCUCAAGGAGAUUUAGUUGACUAAAUUGAUUUGAGUUGUAGAAAAAGGUUUAAUAAUAUAAUGGACUUUGAUAUAUGUAUUGUAGAUAUUAAGUAAUUCUCUUGAAUUUAUAUAUGUAACAUAAUUGUUAAUUGGCUCAUCCUUAACUAGAUAUUUUAUAUUACAUUCUUAACUACAGAUUUUGUAUUUAAAAUUUUUUUAAAAAAUUAACCUUUAUUUGGUAUGUGGAUUUUGUAGUCAAAUGUGGUCAAUUUACUUAGCCUUCGAUCGAAUACCUACCCAAAACAUAAAAAUAUUUUUUAAUCAUUUAUUUUCGACGAUCCAACUAUACGGAUAUUAUUGUAAUGUGAUAAUAUUGUUUACAAAUUUUUUUUAAAAAAAUUAGCCUUUUAUUUGGUAUGCGCAUUUUGUAGUCAAAUGCAAUUAAAUUACUUAGUCUUUAGUGGAAUCUUUACCCGAAACAUAAAACUUUUUUUUAAAAAAAAAUUUGGACAAUCCAACCGUACAGAUGUUAUUGUAACGUGUUAAUAUUGGUUAAAAUAAAUUUUGAGAAAAUAUGUCUUUUAUUUGGUGUGUGGAUUUUGUGGUCAAAUGCGGUCAAAUUACUUAGCAUUUAAUCGAAUACUUACCCAAAACAUGAAACUAUUUUUUUUAAAAAAUAAUUUCGGACGAUCCAACCGUACGGGGGUAUUGUAACACAAUAAUAUUGAUUAAUUUUUUUAUAGGAAAAUUAUAGCCUUUUAUUUGUUGUGUGGAUUUUGUUGUCAAAUGCAGUCAAAUUACUUAGCCUUUAAUGAAAUACUUACAUUAAACAUGAAUUUAUUUUUUUUUAAAAAUCAUUUGGAUGAUCCAAUCGUACGGAUGUUAUUAUGACAUGUUAAUUGAUUAAAAAAAUAUUUAAAAAAAAUGCCUUUUAUUUAGUAUGUGGAUUUUGUAGUAAAUGCUACUUAGCCUUUAAUCGAAUACUUACCCGAAACAUGAAACUAUUUUUCUAAAAAUCAUUUUGGACAAUCCAACCGUACGGAUGUUAUUGUAACAUGAUAAUAUUGAUUGUUUUUUUAUAUAAUAACCUUUUAUUUGGUGUGUGGAUUUUGUAGUAAAAUGCGGUCAAAUUACUUAGCUUUUAAUCGAAUACUUACCUGAAACAUGAAACUAUUUUUAAUAAAAUUAUUUUAGAUGAUCCAACCAUACAGAUGCUAUUGUAACGUGAUAAUUGAUUAUUUUUUAAAAAAAUUAGCCUUUAAUAUGGUGUAUGGAUUUUAUAGUAAAAUGAGGUCAAAUUACUUAGUCUUUAAUGGAAUAUUUAUUAGAAAUAUAUUUUAAAAAAUUAUUUUGGACGAUCCAAACUGUAUGAAUGUUAUUUUAACAUGUUAAUAUUGAUUAAAAUUGUUUUUAAAAAAAAAUUAGUUGUAUUUUAUGUGUGAAUUUUUAGUCAAAUACGAUAAAAUAUUUAUUUAGCUUGUAAUGAAAUAUUAAAACCCUACUUCAAAAGAAACUUGUCUAAAACUACCUAUAAGUGUUAGAGAAUCAUCGAUUUAGUUAUCAAAUUAGUUAUCAUAAGGGUUUUACUCCGCUUUUCUCUGGUAUGAUGUUGAUUUUUGGGGUUUGAUUGGUCGAUUUUCAUGUUUUAUAAGUUAUGUGAGUUCGAUUUUGAUGUUUUUACAAUUAGGUUUAUGUAUGUUCUUAUACAGGUUUCAUGUUCAUGUUUUGAUUUGUUGAUUUCCUAUUUUUCAUAUUUUGUUGAUUAGUUAUUUGUGUGGGUUUUGAACUUUGAUGAGUGUGUAUGUAAUCUCCUGUUUUUUUUUUUCAUUUUUCUGGUUCGAACACUUCGAUUAGUAGCUGGAAAAACAGCUGAUGCGGCAGUAGCGGCUAGUGAGAUGGAUAACAAGAAAAGGAUGAUUUCGAGGUCAUCUCGUGCAAGUCUUCAGAUAUAGUUUUGUUCCUUUAUGUUUUUAAUUGACAUAAAUUUUCACAUUUGAUGAUUAUAUUAUGGGGGAUUCUGGGUAUACUUGUAUAUAAUCUAGCAAGUUAUUAUAAUUCUGGACGGGGGGCUUAUUGUGAAAUUAAAUUGAGGGAUAAGUUGUGUUAUUGGUUCUAGUGGAUUAAAUUUAUGUUGACACUUGAUAUAUGCAUUGAUGUCGUAAAAUAAGUUGCACAUCAAACUAUUUGGCUUGUUUAAGUUGUAUGGAGUAAGGCUGUACGCGGAUCGGAUCGGUUCGGUUGGAGGGUAAUAACCAAACCAAACCGCAACUUACGGUUUUCUAAAAUCUCAAACCGCGACCAUACUGUUGGUUAAAAAAACCCAACCAAAUCCAUCCACGUAAUUGCGGUUGGUUGCGGUUCAACUGCUAAAAUAGUUAUAACAAAGAAAAUAUAUAAGUUAUUGCUUAAAAUCUUGCAUAAAGUACAGACUUUAACUCAAAAAUAUAUAAUUUAUCACUUAAAAUCUUGAAUAAAGUUAAUACAAUAAAUCUGAUUACAUAUUACAAAAGCAAACUACUCCGGAAAUAUAUAACUUGAAGCAGAGCUUCAAGUUAAUGGUUAUUAAAAAUUUCAUCCGCGACUGCCCACAUUUUACGGUUAUCCAUAAUACACGGAUCGGUUGCAGGUGGUUGUUGCGGUUAAUGCGGUGGAGCGGAUUGAACGUACAGCCCUAUGAAGUAUGGUUGCCAAGCAUUGGUUGGUUGUACACGUGUAAACAAAAUGAUAUUUUAAUAUUUAAACAAAACAAUACAGUCAUAAACAGAUCGUGUCGGGCUGGACUGAUUGUGAUUUUCCUUUUUGGAACUCGUACUCGGCAUCUUCCAAGCGAAUGAUAUUUAGAAGUUUGUUGCUAGUAUACUCCAUGUCAUAAUAAGAGUUCUUUAGAUUUUUUAUAUGUAAUUCGAAGUAUAAAAAACAUAUUUUAACAUAUUAUUUUUAAAUUUUUUAUACAUAAAAAUAUAACAUCUAUAUUUUUAUUUAGAAAAAAAUUUGAAAUAUAAUAUAUAGAUGCAUGUCUUUUUUAUACGUGAAAUUACAUGUAAAAAAUUAAAAGACUCUUAUUUUGAGUAAGAGAGAAUAUGAUGUACCAUAAAGUCAUCGAUCUUUUGUUAUCAAAUAAAUGUGAUAUUUAAUUAUUUAAGAGCAAGUCCAAAAGUAUCUUAGUUAAAGUCCUAAAUAUAAUAUAAAAUAUUACGUUCUGGUGAUUUAGGAUAUAUUUUACUAACUUGGACUCCAACAAUGUGUCUUAUUCUCAUAAGAAGUUUAAUAUUUUAUUAUUAAAGACUCUCUUUCAUCAUUAAAGCAUAAUAUAAAAGUAGAGAGAGAAAAAGAGUGUUGAUAAGAAUUAAUAAUAAAAUAUGGGAUAGGGUUAGGAGAGAUGUGCCUCAAAAAUAGGGUUUGAGGAGUUUCAUUAGGUGUGGACACGGAGACCAAGAAGUAAAAGAUGAGUACAGUUAAAUGAAGAUGUGGUAAAAUAAUGUGACCCAUUUAUAUUUAAUAAUACAUUUGAAAUAGUGGAGGAAAGUAACGAGUGUAAUAACGUUUAUAUUAUUAUAGCAUAUAGAUAGCAGAAGAAAGCAAUGGGUAUAAAAGUGUAUUAUAUUAUUAAAGUUUUGAAAUGUUUAGAAAUAAUGGGGCAAUCAAAAAGAAAACUGUAUAAAAAUGGACGAGAGAAUACAAUUCAAGAAGUAAUAUAUCUCAAUUCAAACUAGGUAAUAUAUUUAUGAAUUAUAUUAAAAAAAAUUUGACAUUCAAAUAUAAAAAUUUAUUUUAUCAUCUUAACAAUGGAAUAUUCGAUUAUUAACUUUCGUAAAUAACAUUAAUUUUUCAUUAUAAUAUACUCUAAACUUUUAUUUUAUGUGCCUGUUUGUUUACAAGAAGCUGGAGUCCUACUUCUCUUGACUCGUUUGUGUAAAAACGUAAAAAGUGCUUUUAAAAAGUACUGAGAAGGAAAUGGAAGUAGAAAAUGCUAGUUUUUCUUUAUAAUAUCUAUUUCUUUUCUAGACACUUUAAUAAUUUAUAUAUAUUAAUUUAUUUCUCACUUAUACUCCAUUUUUUUAUAGAGAACUUCUUUUAAACUAAUCGGCUCCUAUAAUCAGUAGUUUCUCAAUUUUAAUAGGAAUAAGAGCAUGUUUAUCUGAGCUUAAAGCCCGGGGUUUAUAUCAUCUCUGGCUUUAAGCUGAAAAAUGUAUGUUUGUGUAUUAAGUCGGAAGUCGGCUUAAAGUCGGAAAUAAGUCAAAAAUUGACCUAAAACCAGAAGUUAGUUUGAGAUACUUUUCUCGGUGACUAAUUUUUUUUUUAGCCAUUUUUUGAUAAAAAUUAUUCCUAAAUCACAAAUUACUCAUAAAUUACUUUUAUUAUUAUUAUUAUUAUAUUUUUAAUAACUUAUAAAUUAUUAAUAAAUCAAAAUUAAUCAAACAAAUAUUUUAAGUUCUCAUAUUAUGAGAUAACUAACGUUAAGUCAUGAAUCAACUGAACGGGAUGUAAGUCUUCUUCUCCCCGAGUCAUCAGCAGACUUUUUCCAUGUCUUCUGAGCCCCCAUUGGCUCACAAUUGGCCCAAAAAAUAUUUGGUUAUGCAUUGCUAUUCACACACUUAGACAUCAAAAUUUAUCAUCCGACAGGCGACAGCUAACUGCACACUAUUUUUCCCACAAGCUGAAAAAUCAACGAUCAAUUAAUUUUUCUUAUCAAUUAAUAAAGUUAUGAUUUCACGUACACGGCAGGCAAAAUGCUAAUAAAUAGACGAGUGCAGUAUAGUAUGGGUUCAUGAUCACCUUGAGAUUUAAUUGAAAAAUAUUAUGGUGAUAUAGAUUAAAUUAAAUUAUAAUAUCUUGAAAAGUUAUAAAUAAUUUUAAUUACUAAUAAUAUUUAUUUGUACAUUUAAAUAUUUUUAUAAAAACACAAAAAUAGCAUUAUACUCAUUUAAGUUUCUCGUAUCCGCCUCUCUUCUUGGAGAUUGUGGAUUUGCGAUAUUUAUAUUGAUUAUUAUAGGAAAAUGUUAUUUCCAGAGCAAACAUUUUUAUUUCCGGAGCAAAUUCAAACAAAUUUUUCCAAAUUGUUCUGGAAAUUAAAAUAUUGAUAUGGAUAUAACAAUUCCCUUAUUAUAUCCUAUGUAUAUUACAUUAAUGCAAUUAACAUGGUUGAUUGUUUUAGUAUAUAAUCAUAUUACUGUGACCUUUUAGUAUAUAAUUAUAUUAUUUUUGUUAUAUUUUAUGCAUCUAGAAACAAUUUUUUUAUGAUAUUUAUUAUAUUAAUUAUAGUAAAAGAUAUAAUUUUGUUUAAAAAAUUGAAUAAAACUAAGAGGGAUAGCCUACGUCUCUCCGAGUCUUCGAGGACUCAUUCCAAGUCCGAGAGGACCACAGCCUCAACCUUUAAGAGAUGUGAAAGUAGCUUGAGAGUGAUAUAAAUUUAUUUUUGACAAUAAAAUUUAAUAAUCAAAUAAAUUAAAUUAAAUUAAACUAGUUUAUAAUCGAUUAAAAAUAUAUAAAUCAAAAUUAUUCCCGAAUUAUGAUAACAAUUAAAAUCAUUUUAAAAGUUGCAUAAAUCAAAUCCAAAUCGAACAAAUUCCCCUAACACUAAAAUGUAGUUGCUUUAUUGUAGAUAAAAACAGUAUAAUAAUAGUAUUGAUGAAAAAUCAAAUUCAUCAAAUAAGUUUAUAAAAAAUACAUGAUUUUAAUUUUAAAAAAAAAACAUGAUUUUAGUGUGUUGUAUUAGUAGUGUGUCCACGCAUUUAUAUAUUAAAAUCUAUCCUCUAAAAACUAUCGAUCUAUUUACACAACUAUUGAUCUGUCGUGCAACAAAUUCCAGGGCGAAGUUCCAAAGAGAGCUUAAAUGGCUUGCAUUGCUCAAUCUAUCUCAUAAUAGUCUUAACGACAUAUGUUCUGAAUUAUUAUUAUGAUUUCAACAAUAUUUUCAAACAUUUCUUAAUAUGUAUUUUCAAAGAAUUCUCAAGCACUUGAACAUUUGGACCGGUUCUUUCGAAGCCAGGCAAUGCACAAAAAUGUCCAAAAAUGAAUAAAUUAAGAGAGAGUAGCUCACCCUUUCAAAGCCUUCCAGGACUCAUUCCAAGUCUUCGGAGGACCACUGCCUCCCCCUUUCAAAGAUGUGAUAGUAGCUCGAGAGUGAUAUAAAUUAUUUUCCCGACAUUAAAAAUAAAAAAUCAGAUUAAAUUAAUCAAUAAUAACUUAAGGAUGAAAUCCAAAUUAAUCCUAAAUUUUGAUAAUAUAUAAAAAUUAUAAUUAUAAAUUAUAUAACCAAAUCAGAAUUGAAUUAACUUACUUGGCACUAGAAUUGCUAAAGACAGUAUAAUAAUUUAAUUGAUGAAAAGUCAAAGUCUUCUAAUAAAUCCAUAAAGAAUAUGAUAAUAUGAAAAUUAUAAUUGAAAAAUCAAAAUCAAUAGUGUAUUGGAAUAGUGUUCACACACUUAUAUAUCAAAAUUUGUGGUCCAAAAACUAUAGCACAAUAUCCUAAAUACAUCACAUUAAAUAAUAGCACAAAAAUAUUCAAUAAAUAAUUGAUUUCAUUCAUAAAUUUGUUAUUUUAAAAACUAAUAAUUUGGUUGAUGUUAACCUAUAUUUUAUAUAUAAUUUCGUCUUAUUUUAUUUUACUAGAAACAAUAUUUUUAUAAUAUUUAUUACAUUAAAUAUAUUAAAAGAUAUAAUUUUAUUAAAAAAAUUGAAUAAAAUUAAAAGGAUAAGUCUCGGCCUCUCCAAGUCUACAAGACUCAUUUCAAGUCCACCGAGGGCCUCAACCAUUGAGAGAUGUGAAAGUAGCUUGAGAGUGAUAUAAAUUAAUUAAAUUAGUUAAUAAUGAAUCAAGACUAAUCAUGAAUUAUGAUAAUAAUUAAAUAAAUUAUAAAAUUAAAUUAUACAAAUAACACUAAACCUUAGUUACUUUAUUGGUAAAUAAAUAUAAUAUAAUAAUCAAAUUGAUGAAAAAUCAAAAUCAUUUAAUAAAUUCACAAAAAAUAUAUGAUCAUUAGUAUGUUAUAUUAGUAUCCACACACUUAUAUUUCAAAAUCUAUCCUCCAAACUUAUCAUCUCUGUAAACUAGCCACAUAAAAUAAAAAUUUAAAGAUAUUAGAUAUUUAGUUAUUUUCAUUAUAUAAUUUUUCCACACGAAAUAACAAAAUAUCUUUAUCAAAUUAUUAUUUAUGAGUUAAAUAUUCAAUUUAUAAAUCCAGUAUGCAGCGUAUAAAUAGAAGUGUGCAGUAUGAUAUCAGAUUCACAUAACCCAGUUGAUGAGGAGAAACAUGGCAUACUCUGCAAAGCCUUCUCACCUUCUUCUCUUUGUUUUCUUUCUCUCAUCACUUGAAUCCAUUCUUGCAACAACACGAGAGGGAGAAGCUCUUGUGAAGUGGAAGAAUAGCCUAGCCCCUUCUUCUUUUCUCGACUCUUGGUCACUCACCAAUCUCGAUAAUCUUUGUAACUGGACUGGCAUUACUUGUAACUCUGCAGGUUCAGUCUCUGAGAUUAACCUUAGUGAGAAACAACUUGAUGGAAUGCUGUCCGAGUUUGGUUUCACUUCAUUUCCAAAUCUCAACAAUCUCACCCUCGCAUACAACUUCUUCUCGGGUCCAAUACCGCCAGCCAUUGAGAAUUUAACACAGCUUCAAUACCUUGAUUUAAGCUUUAAUUAUCUCGAUGGUCCCAUUCCGUUCCAGGUUAGCCAUCUUCAGAGGUUGCUCAUCUUAAACCUGUCACAGAAUGCAUUGCAAGCUCCAAAUUGGUCCCAUUUCUCUCCCAUGCCUUUCUUGCGCAUCCUCGACCUUAAUAGCAAUCAUCUUGCGUCGAACUUCCCAGAAUUUAUAUCCAAUUCUCAUAGCUUGGCUAUCCUUGACCUUGGAUAUAACAACUUUACAGGUGACCUUGUGCGUGAAUUUACUAAUCUACAAAAUCUUGAAACCCUCUACCUAGAUGAAAAUUCUUUUGAGGGGCCAUUUCCGCCGGAUGUAUUCAGGCUUUCCAAAUUAAAACAUCUUCGCCUGUCAGGUAACAAAUUCUCAGGUUCAAUUCCCAAUGACAUAAGGUUGCUUUGUGAUCUUGAAUCCCUAUAUUUAAGCAACAAUUCCUUUAAAGGACCCCUUCCAUCAAAUAUAUUCAAGCUUUCAAAAAUAAAACAUCUUGUUCUUUGGAGUAAUAAGUUUUCUGGUUCUGUUUCCAAUGAUAUAGGUUUACUUUCUGAGCUUGAAACCCUCGAUCUUAACUCUAAUUUUUUUGAGGGGCCGCUUCCGUCAAAUAUAUUCAAGCUCUCCAAACUAAGGUAUCUUUCCCUUUGGGGUAAUAACGUUUCAGGUUCUAUUUCCAAUGAUAUAGGUUUGCUUUCUGAGCUUGAAACCCUCGAUCUUAACUCUAAUAUUUUUGUGGGGCCGCUUCCGCCAAAUUUAUUCAAGCUCUCCAAACUAAAGAUUCUUUCCCUUUAUAAAAAUAACUUUUCAGGUUUUAUUUCUAAGGAUAUAGGUUUGCUUUUUGAACUUGAAACCCUCUAUCUUGGCUCUAAUUUUUUUGAGGGGCCGCUUCCCCCACAUGUAUUUAGGCUCUCCAAAUUAAGAGAUUUGGGUCUCAGAGACAAUAGAAAUUUAUUUCAAGGAAGUAUUCCUAUUGGACUGGGACUCUUGACUAAUCUCAGGUACUUGAGUCUAUUUUCCAAUGAUCUCAGUGGCUAUAUUCCAUCUGAGAUUGGAAACCUGAAGCUACUAAAAGUUCUUGAACUCGGUUCUAAUCAAUUGACAGGACCGCUUUUAAAGAUAGUUUCUAAUCUCAAAAAUCUUAUAUAUCUUGGUGUAAGUGGUAAUAGUCUUAGUGGAAAUAUUCAGAGUGACUUGUGGAAAUAUAACGAUCAUCCAACUUUGGAAUACAUCAAUUUAAGUGGGAACCAUUUUACGGGUAUAGUUUCUCUCUAUAGAUCUUUGUCAUAUGUAACUAAGCUAGUAAUCUGAUUAUUGCCUUUUCACCAAAGUUUCAACAAUCUUGACAGGUGAGCUUCCAACAACAAUUUGCAAUGUCACAUCCCUUUUGCUUCUUGAUUUGUCAAAUAAUGAAUUAAGUGGUGCACUUCCAAACUGUUUCGGAAAUCUUGCUGAUAGAUUGCUUUACGUUAAUCUUGCUAAUAAUCAGUUUCGAGGAACAAUACCAACUACUUUCUCCAGGAGUUGUCAGCUGAAAUAUCUAAACAUGGAUAAUAAUGAGUUUGAAGGAUUGUUGCCCCCGUCUUUGGAAAACUGUAAGCACUUGAGAAUUCUUGAUAUUGGCAAUAAUAAAAUAGGUGGUACAUUUCCGUCAUGGCUUUAUGUACUUGGAGAGCUAGAAGUCCUUGUCUUGCAAUCAAAUAAACUCUAUGGUACAAUAAGUGGAAGGAGCAUAGAAGAUCCCUUCCGCAAGUUGCGGAUUGUGGAUCUGUCCAACAACCACUUCACAGGCCAUUUGCCAAUUCAAUACUUUAAGAAUAUGAAAUCAACUGAUAAUUUGUAUAGUUAUCAGCUUUCCACAGCAGUUUUUUCUUUCCAUUAUGAAGCAGCAGUCUCAUUAAUUGUGAAGGGAACAGAGUAUGAAGUAGCAAAUAACCUUCAUAUUUACACAGCCAUUGAUCUGUCGUGCAACAAAUUUCAGGGAGAAAUUCCAAAGGUUACUGGAGAGCUUAAAUGGCUGGCAUUGCUCAACUUAUCUCAUAAUAGUCUAACAGGACCUAUCCCGUCAUUGCUGAGAAAUAUGAAAGAACUCCAAUCUUUAGAUUUGUCCUCAAAUCAACUGACGGGGGCUAUUCCACCUCAGUUAACUGCGCUGACAUUUCUAGAGGUCUUAAACCUCUCGGGAAACCAUCUUAGUGGAGAGAUUCCUCAGAAAGGACAAUUCAGCACAUUCAACAAUGAUUCGUAUCUAGGAAACUCCGCUUUAUGUGGAUCACCAUUGACGAAGAAAUGUGCAAACACAGCAUCACCUCCACAAGAAGUCGGAAAUGUUGAUGAAGAUUAUGCGGGUGAUGAAUUGACAUGGGAAGCAAUCAUGAUCGGAUAUGGAUGUCGACUGAUAUGUGGAUUGUCAUCUGCAUACAUUGUUCUCAAACUAGGAAAGCCUUGGUAGUUUGUGAGAUAUGUCGAAGUACUGCAACAGAAGUUGAUGAAAAGAUGCUUGAAGAAAGGUACUGGUCGACCAAUAAGAACUUGAAAGUUGUUGUCCUGGUAGACAUUUCUGAACCAGUAGUAUUUGGUAUUAUGUGAUAUUCUGUUUGGUCCGGACUCAUAACGAUUUCGCUUGCUUCAGGAGUAUUAAUAUUAACCUUCCUAUCUUGAUCAAUGUUAAUGCAAAUUAAAAUGAAAAGGCAAAAAAUAUGCAUCAAAUCCCCUCCUGUUGUACCAAGAUUCAUUAAUUAAGAGGCAUGGCUUUUGUCUCUCCAAGUCUUCGAGAAAUUAUUCCAAGUCUUCUUUGGAGGCCUACUGCCUCAACAACCUUUCAAAGAUGUAGCAGUUGCUCGACAGUGAUAUAUAUAUUAGAUAAAGACUAUGCAACAACCAACGUGACAGAAAAAUCAAAAUAGGACAAAAUCCGUACGAAUCAAAAUAGUUUAUUUCUAAGGGGAAUAGCUGAAUUAAAUUGUAAGAGAAGUAAAACAGAUUCUUUUAUAUUUUGGAAUAUAACUGAAAAAGAUUUUGAGAUAAUUUUCAGAAAUCAAACCAGUCAAAUAAAUAUUCGCUGAAGGAACAGAGUAAAGAUACAACGAAUAUAACAAGUUGUAAGAUGAAUAUCGCUGAAUCAAACAGGGUAGAACCCGUACAAAAACGCCAAACAGAAAGGAUCAAAACAGAGUAAUCAAAUUUACCUAACACUAAUAGAAGUAGUGCUGAAUAAAAGAGAACGAAAUCUGUACCUUAAAAAUAGCAAACGCAAACACUAACCAACCUCACAAGGGACCAUCUAAACUCCCUAACCCCGACUUUAUCUUAAACUCCAAAUAUCUCCCUGACUCCAAUAUGCCCAGAACAAUAAACGAAUGUUUUGACCUUCUAAACGAUGUUUUCUGGAAUAACGCAAAACACGAAAAUCGUAGAGAACGAAAAGACCUUUCCGAAAAGGUAAGGCUCGUCAAGAACGGAGUCAUAACGAAUCGGGAAUUAAAUAAAACGUCCGCUGAUUCAGAACUCAAAGCGAGAACAGGAUCUGAUUAAGUUUUGUAAUUUUGAGAACAGUUUGAAACAUAAUCUGAGAAAACAUUAUAAACGAAAGUAUAUGAGAUUGAAAGAGCUUUCCGAAACAUCAAGAAUCAUCAAAUUCCGAUAAGAAUUGAAUUUUCUACGAAUUUUACAAGACAGCUGAUUUGUGAGAAUAAAGCCCUACGAAUUUUUGUCAUAAAAAUGAAGAGAAGGUUGAGUAGCUCUCAAAAGUAUAUAAAAAGAAUGAGAGAACAAAUCAAUAUACUCCCUUUGUCCCUCUCGUUUAUUUACAGUGUUUGACACGCAUUUUAAAGCGCAUAUAAAACAUAGUUCUAUGAUUUAUUUUCAAAAUUUUUCUUUUUUGUAUAAAAAUUUAAACAUCAAAUUUUUAUCUAGAAAAAAAGGAAGUUCAAAAUAAUUUAUUGAACUACGUUUUACGAGAGCAUUAGAAUGCGUGCCGAGCCCCCGUCCCCCAAUGUAAACAAAUGAGAGGGACGGAAGGAGUAUAUAUACAGAGUCUUGAGACCCUAAUUCUAAACCUAUCCAUUAUCUGAAUGCAAGGCUGAUCUAUAUUUUAAGUACACUAUCCUAAUUCAAUUUUAAAUCCUAUUCAUAAUCUAAUUUUAAUCCUUUAUUAUUAUUACUAACCAAUUAAUAUUAUUUUAAAAAAAUACUGGAUAUUACAUUCCUGAUCAGACUAGUGAUCGGAUUGCAACCGCAAAGCAGCCUAUAUAUAGUGACAAUUAAAUACACAACAAAACAACUUCUUUCUUCUCUCUUGGGUUAUAAUACUCAGACGGACAAGCUAUAUCUGAGGCGAUUUUCUGGGCGAUUAAACACACAAUAAAAGCAGCUUCUUCUUCUUCAAUUAAGGUUUAUUCUACACCCAAUCACAUACACACACACACUUUAAUAUGACUAGUGAGUUCAAUUUUUGGUGGUAUUAUAUGAUUAUCAUGUUCUCUUUUUAAAUAUUAGUAACGUUAUUUUCGGAGUGGACUCUGUUGAUGUUUAAAUUUGAUAUAGAUAUUGUAAUUGAAAAUUUAUGUUGAUUUGUUGUUCAGAUUUCAAGUAUUAAUUUGUGUGUGAUCAAAAUUUUGCUUCUACAUCGAUUAUCAGGAGGAAAUAUGAGGCCGAUCUUGAUCAAAGGACACGAAAGGCCAUUAACAUAUCUAAAGUAUAACAAGGAGGGUGACCUCCUCUUCUCCUGCGCAUUAGACAGAAACCCCGCUGUUUGGUACGCUGAUAAGGGAGAGCUUUUAGGCACUUACCGUGGGCACAUUGGUUCUGUUUGGGGUUGUGAUGUUUCUAGGGAUUCAAAACUUUUAAUAACUGCAAGUGCGGAUCAAACAGCAAAGGUAUGGGAUGUUCAAACUGGGUCUGAGCUGUUCACGUUUGAAUUUAAGUCCACUGUGAAAUCAGUAGAAUUUGGUGUCGGAGACAAGCUUGCUGUCAUUGCAACAGACUCCUUUCGUGACAUGUCUUCUGCAAUUCAUGUCAAACACAUAGCCAGAGAUCCUAGUGAACAGUGCGGUGAUUCUGUGAUUGAAUUCUCACCUGGAGGAAGAAUCAAUAGAGCUGUUUGGGGACCUUUAAAUAGGACCAUAAUAAGUGGUGGUGAACAAGGCGUUGUUCGUGUGUGGGACGUUGAGACAAAGAAAGUGAUUUAUGAGUCAGACAAGGAUACUGGUCAUCAGAAGGCCAUUACAUCACUUGCAAAAUCAAGAGACGGUUCACAUUUACUUACUGCUUCCAUUGACAAAUCAGCUAAGCUUUGGGACAUCAGAUCAAUGAAACUUCUCAGGACAUACAAGGCUGAAGCCCCAGUUAAUGCAGUUGCACUCUCUCCACUACUUGAUCAUGUCGUGCUCGGAGGUGGUCAAGAUGCAUCGACUGUUACAAACGAUCCUCGUGCUGGCAAGUUUGAGGCCAAAUUUUAUUCCAAGGUCCUUGAAGAAGAAAUUGGAUCUGUGAAAGGACACUUUGGUCCGAUAAAUGCAUUGGCAUUCAACCCUGAUGGAAAAAGUUUCGCAAGUGGAGGUGAAGAUGGUUAUUUGCGAUUACAUCACUUUGAUCAUGACUACUUCAACAUGGCGAUUUAAUUCGAAUUACUUACAUUGCUACGUCUUUUUUUUUUUUUUUCCGGUUUUAUUCAAGUUAUUUUCUGGUUUUUAUGUUGAUCUUAUGUUCUUUGUUAUAAAUAGAAGUGUGGUUCCUUUUAAAACUAUUUACAUAAGUUUUUGGCUUUUCAUGUAAUUUAAUCAAAGUAAAUGCCAUGAGAUCCUGAAUAUAUCUACUUAUCUAUCUAUCUACUUAUUAAAGCAGAAUCAGGGGAAAAAUAUACCAGAAAUUGGAUGAAAAAUUUACAUACACACCCUCAAUUAUUCAUCAAUUCCGAAAUUGGCCUGUAGUUUAGCUGUUAACUUGCAGGAUUUUUGUAAAAGUAGGAAUCAGCGAUUCUUAGGUACCCCAGUGACCCCGAAUCGGUUUCUCAGAUUCUUGGAAAUCCUCGGUCAGUUGAUUUAGAUUGUGGGCAUAUAUACACCUAUAGUCAGCCUCCGGCGGUGCAAUCUUUUGGUGGUGUUUUUCAGCCUUUUCUGCUAUAGCGAUUCUUGUUAAAACAUUCAGGUGCUAGGGUUGUUUUGUUGGUAAAGGGAAUUGGAUUGUUGUAUCUGCGGUUGUGGCAAAGGUAAUUUUCUUGCCCUUGCUAUUCUUUUGGGAUGUCUGAUUAUAAAUAGCCCUUCUAACUUUGUUCACCUGUUCUGUAUGAUGUGUGUCAUUUGUGAUUGAGUCGAGCAGUAUAUCAUUUUGAUGCAUAUUGUUAAUUUCACUCUGGGAAAUUUUUAUGCUGAUGUUUGGGCAAUUAAUUCUGGUUAUUUCGUUGAUUUUGUUUGUGGUUUGUUUCCACCUGCCAUUAGAACUGUAAAGUAAAGUGUAUUUAUUGAUCAUGAUUCAAGUGUUUGUAGAUAAUCGAUGUGGGUGACAAAGAAGCUGCAAAUGAUGAUGGUUCUUCACAAAUUUUAUCUGCUUUGCUUCCUUUUGUUGUGGCUCUCACCAUGGUUGUCAAGUCGACGACUGCUGUUGCUGCUCUUGCUCAGCCCUCAACUUUCACCUGGUAACAACUUUUGUAUGUUUGGUAAAAUAUUUUGAUUUUUUUUUUUUUGUAAGGGUAAAAUAUUUUGAUUGUGAUAAGCUAAUUUAUUGUUUUUUAAUGAUUCCAACACUACAACAGAUUUAGCAUCACACAACGGUUUUUGCCCGUUGUCUGAGACCACGGAAAACCGUGGUCUAUCGAGACGCCGUCUGAUAUGCGUAUCAGACAACGGUGCGCACCGUUGUGUGAUAGUGCUAAACACGAUGGUUUACGUUAAAAAAAUUGUUGUGCAACACCCAGAACCAACAACGUUUACUCUUAAACGUGGUGUUGUUAGAAACACUCCUUAACAAUAGUCGAUUUCAAAAAUGGUGUUGUUAGAGAGACUAUCCACAACAGUUUUAUUAGCUCGCAAGACUUGUUGGAAAGAUGAUCAUACAACAGUAGUUGAAAUAGAGAAGCUCGUUCUUUCCUCUCUUGUACAACGGGUUUCGAACACCAAGCCACUUGUGUAAGGCCCCUUCUAACAAUGUUUUAAUUAGUGAGGUUGUUGUGUUUAGUUACGUCAGACAAUGGUUUUCUUUCAUAGUUGGUUGUCGUUUACAUGUUUUAACAAUUGUUUCUGUUUCAUCAUUAUUGCAAGUCAUUUGUUUGGACAAUGGUUUUGUGACAAUAAAUCAUUGUUUCCAGUUUUAUGAGACAAUGUUUUUAAUGAAUAAUGAUUAUUGUAUCAUGUUCAGUAUGACAAUGGCCCUGUAUUAUCCCAUUACCUAAAUACAUAAUAGACAAUGAUUAACAUAACUCGAUUAAACUAAGCUAGAGAAUGUAAUUAAAAAGCCAAAAAUUUGUAAACAAAAAAUUUCAUUAUGCACUAAUAACCAUUGUUACAACCAAAUCAUAUAUACCAUCCAAUAUCCAGAAAUAUUUCCCCCGAGGAUGGCAAAUCUCAAAAAUAUAAAUACCUACAAUAAAUGGUAGCAUCUAGAGAGGCAUAUGUGACUACAAGAGUCUUUUGUGAGCUUUUCAACUACCCAGCCCAGGAACAAUCCUCUGAUUGCAUUCUUUUGAUUCGGAUGGAGCCCUCCUGCUAUCUCUUUUGGAAGUGACUCUACUGCAACCACCUGUAAUACAUAAAAAAGUUCUUGAUAUGCUUUUCGUACAAAGAAAUUAAUGUGGUUGAGGAGUAUGUUUCGAGUUCAAAAUAUACCAGUGUGCCAUCUUCCAUGGUUUCACGUCAUUCAUACACAAUAAAUUGUAGCAAUUGUGAGCCCUAUCAACAUACCAGUCUUUCUGUAUUUAGAGUUGGAGCAGCUAAGCCAAAAUCAGACAAAUGGGGAUUGAGUUCAUCAAGUAAAAUAUUUGCUGACUUUAAGGUACUAUUAACAACAUAAGGAACAACAUCAGCAUCUUGCUUCUAUCAUCAGUGAAGUAUAAAAACUCUUGCAAGCUACUAUUUGCAAUAUAAUCAUGGACCAGAAGACGUACCAUGUUCAGCGGAAUAUCAUUCAAAUCUCUGGCAUGGUUGUUGUGAUGGAUAAAAAUAAGUUCCUUUAUGACCUGAAUUAAACAUUAAAAGAUACCAAAUUAACCGAAAUGCGUAGAGAUGCACAAAAAGUCCAGGCCCGAAAAUAUGGUCAUAGAGAUUUAAAAAAAGUCGAAAAUAAAGACAAACCAUGUGAGUAAAAAGCAGAGUAAGGAGGAUUGAUGGUAGUGUUUGAUAUAGAUGCCAUGUGGGUAGAUCCAUAUGAGCUGCUGGAAGCAGAGAGAUUUCUUCCAAACUCUCUUACAUUAUUGACAACAUUUGUGUUAACAUAUAUGUGUUGUAUAUGAAAUUUUAAAGAUUAGAUACAUAAAUAUAAUAUUAUUCGGAAAAUAUAACAUACCAUCUCGAGUCAUUUUCUUGCUUGGUCAUUAAAAUAACCUACAGCAAGUAAUGUACCCUCACUCUAUAAGAAGAAGAUGGACAAAAAGAAGUCAGUUGUAUGGAUGCCUCGGAAUAUAUACAAGAAUGUCCCAGGGAUAUUUAUUCAGUUGAUGAAGCAUGUAUAUCUAGAAAUUAACAAACCUCAUCAGCCAAAACAAAUAUAAAAUUAAUAAAAUCAUCUGUCUCCAAACACACAGAUUAAAAUCAAAGCACAAAUGUUAUCACACAAAACCAAGACAACACAAGAUCCAUCACUAAAACACACAACUACUACUAAAAUCAAACACACAAACAAAAAUCUCAUAUAGAUUCAAACUUUAUCCCCAAAAUCAAGUAUAAUUACACAGUAAAAAGCAUUCGUUUACCUCUUCAUAAGGUGAAUUGUUGUUAAACUAAUCAGCACGGUCAACACCGGCAUCAAAAACUUGAAUGGCCUUUGGGGUUAUCGCCGACAGAACAGAUCUGAGUAAGCUUUGUAGAAAAUGAGAUAGAGACGGGGGAGGGAGGGGAGAGUUCAGAGGAGGGUGAGGGAGAGACAGAGGGCGAGAGGGAGGGGAGGGGCGAGAUGCUUUAACAAAUCAAUUGCGGCAAGAGUGGGGAAGACACAGCCGCACCAGAAGAGGAAGAGAUAGAUUCAGAAGAAGAGAGAUUUACUCUCACUUACAAAUUUUAGGUCAAAAUAGAGGGGGGGAAAUGAAAAUUUGGAUAAACAAGUAGAGAGGGAAUUGAAAAUUUUUGUAAGGUGGAAAUCAUUCGUUCAUCCCGUGUAAAUAACAAAAUCAAUGUAUUAUAAUAUCCAUAUAGUUGAAUUAUAAAUAAAUGAAUUUUUUAAAUUAUAUUUUUGUAUUUGAUUACAAAUAUUUCAUAUUAAAUAAAUUUUAAAAACAAUUUUAAUGUAGAUGUCAAUAUCUAAUUAUUUUAGUUAUUUGUGAAAAUCUUCAAAAAAUUAAAAAUUAAUCUGGUAAAUCUUUUUGACAAAAUAUAGUUGAAAUACAACUAUUUAAUAAAAAAUUAAUAAUUCUUUAAAAGUUAAAAUUCUCAUUUUCUCGAUGUAUUCCGUUUUUGUACUCUUUGUCUAAAUAAAAUAUACACAAAUUUUUAUUAUUCAUUUGUAAUAAGAAGAUAUUUGUGUGGUUCAAAUGUCAAUAUUAGUAUAAAUUUCAUAUUUACAAUAUAGGAUGUACUUAAUAGAAGUUUUGUGAUCUAUAUGAUUAACCCCGUAUUAAUUUUGAAAUAUUUUCGAUCAUCCAAACAUAUAAAGAUCUUAAUAUCUAUCAAUAUUAGUCAUGUAUAAUAUUUUUAAAUUUUUCUAUAUUUAUUUAUAUCUUGUUGUAACAAAACUAGUGAUGAUCGUUGUUUUUAUGUCAUUUCUUAUUUUUGUACUUUUUAUCAAAAAAUUAUAUUUAUAUUAUGCAUAUGUCCAAAUUUGUAUUAUUCAUUUGUAAUUGGAAGAUAAUUUUGUUGUUCGGACCUGAGUAUUACUAUGUGUUUUAUGUUCACAAUUUAGGAAGCACUAGAUAGAAUUUUUGUUAUCUACAAAAUUUGCUCUGAAUUAAUUUAUAAAUAUUUUUUUCGAUGAUAUAACCGUACGGAUGUUAAUAACUAACAAUAUUAGUCAUGCAUAAAAAAAUUAGAUUUUUUUAUGCUUAUUUUAUAUGCUUUUUUUACAAAACUAGUCAAUUGUAAAUUUUGUCUUAUUGUAAAAAGGUAAUUUUUGUCUUGUAGUGUCCAACAGACAACGGUACUUAUAGGCACGUGUGUUGUAUGAGUUAAAAUGACACAACUGUUAUGGACAUUAUACAGUCAUAACAAAAUCUAUUGUCUAAAAUAGGCUCAAACAAUGUUUCGGGAAAAACUCGUUGUGUGUAAGUAGUGUAGACAAUGGUUUCUGGGAGGCAAACCGUUGUAUAAUAAAUUUUCAUUUUUAAGAGUUAGAAAUUCACAUUUUCUUGAUUAGUUCUUGUUUUUGUACUCUUUGUCUUAACAAAUAUACUUAUAUUAUGUAUAUAUGCAAAUAUCAAUUGUCAUUUGUACUAUGAAGAUAAUUUUGUAGUUCGAACAUGAGUAUUGGUAUGUGUUUUAUAUUUACAAUUUAGAAAGUACUGAAUAGGAUCUUUGCUAUAUAUAAGAUUAGCUCCGUAUUAUUUUAUAAAUAUUGAUUUUGAUGAUCUAACCGUACGGAUGUCGAAAACUAACAAUAUUAGUCAUGUAUAAAAAAAAUCAAUUUUUUAUGUUUAUUUUGUAUGUUUUUUUUAACAAUACUAGUCAAUUGUAAAUUUUGUCUUACUGUAAAAAGGUAUUUUUUGUCAUGUAGUGUCUAACAUACAAUGGUUUUUAUAUGCACCUAUGUUGUAUAAUUGAAAAUGAUACAACUGUUACAGAAGUAUACCGUUCUAAGAAAAUCUAUUGUCUAAAUUAGGCUCAAACAACGGUUCACGGAAAAUCCGUUGUAAAAAAGUAGUGUAGACAACAGUUUAUGGGAAGGAAACCGUUGUAUAAUAAAUUUUCAUUUUUAUGAGUUAAAAAUUCGCAUUUCCUUGAUCAAUUCUUGAUCUAAUGCAAGAAAAACAUAUGACUAUCAAGAAAUUGAUUGUUUUGUUAUAACUUUGGUUAGGACUUUGAAUCUUUGCACUCUCUUAUGUACAUCCAUUUUCUUAAAAUUCAUUCAAUCAUACAACAUUUUAUUAGUUAGUAGAGGCUUGUCUAUAAUGCCAUGCUACAAUGCUAACAAAAACACUUGUAUGUUAGCUUCCCAGUCACACAACACUAUAUAAAACCCUUGUUUGAACUCCUCGUAAACAACACAACAAAUAAAACACUUGUCUAAUUACAACGACGGUUUCUUGAACUAUUGUCUGAAGUUUCUUCACACAUCGGCUCUCAAAACAGUUGUCUAACAUGCAUCAUUACACAAUACCACAGUUAAGAAACCAUUGUCUAAUUGAAUUUACUAGACAACAAUUUUUUAACCGUUGUAGGUCGUAGAUGUUAGACAAUAGUUUUUCGAGGCCGAAAAGAAAGUGUUGUGUCUUUUUUCCAAACAACGCUUUUUUCACCGUGCGUUGUCUGAUCAGUGUUGUCUAAUGGUGUUAUUGUUGUAGUGCAAGUUGGAUUUAUUUAAUGCUAAUAGGUACUUGUUCAAGUGAGGAGAUUUAACUGAGAUUCAGGUUCUGGCAUUUGUCUUGUGUUGUUAUUUGUUUAUGUACCGGUUUUGAGAGUCAUUAGAGAUAUGUAAGGUAUUUAUUCCUAUUUUUUAUUAUUAGUAUUACAUCGUUUUCGGGUAAAAUAAUCGAUGAUUGUUUGUUUUAACUGUGUAAUAGCCUUAUGAUCUGCCAACUUAUGUAGACAUGUGAUAAACAUGUUGACUGUGGUCAAUAUUUUAGAUGAGGUAGUGUGUUUGUUGUUAUUGCAAGACUUUUUGGAAUAAUCAUUGUCAAAAAGAACUAACGAUGAAUGGAAAUGAAGUUCUGAAGAAGUGAUGAUACAAUGUUAAAGAGAUUGCUUUUUGUUGAAUUUUUCUGACUCUGGAAUUAAACUGCGUUAGUAUCUUCUUCUCUGAUUUUCCUUAUUUGGUAGACCUACUACUUUCAGAAGAUACAUGUGGUAUUUGUUUGGUUGAUUAAUUUUGGUAAGAUACAGUUUCCGUUUGGAAUCAGACUAUCCAUUGAACAAUCAGACUAUCCAUUGAAGAUUUUAUGCUCGCUCUUAAAUGGUUGAUCCACUGAUCUUAUUCUUACUUCAUAUGAGCUAAAGCCAGCUCUAGGGGUGUUUCUCGCAUACAAAAAAAUUAAAAAAAAUAUUAUGAAACUAUACUUUGCAGGAGUCUCAAAAUAAAUAAGUGUAAACGAUAAACUUAAACACCUAACUUCUUAAACACCUAGCAUAACACGGGUGAGCAUAUGGUCAAUCAUACCAAAUUGAAUAAAUCGAAAUUAAAAUUUAAAUAUUUUUAGACUGGACCAAACUGAAAUAUUUUGUCCGAUCCAGUUCAGUAUGAUCGAAAAGAAUUGAUUCUUUUGGAAAAAGUAACUUAAUAUUAUAAAUAAAAUUAAGAUUUAUAAUUUAUUUAAAAACUAUCAAUGAAUCAUCAACACUUCUUCAAAAAUAGAUACAUUUGAAUUUAUACAUUAGAUAUUAUAACUUCUAAAAAGUAUAUAAAAAUAUAUAAUAUAAAUAUAAAUUUAUAGUAUAAUUUUUUUGACUAUUUAGAAUAUAUUUUUAACCCAAAUAUUUUUUUUUAAAAUCAAAUUUUAUUUCGAUGAACUUUUCUAGAAAAUUAAGAUAGAAACGAAACUCAUUCCUACAGUAAGGUUUCAGUUUUUCGGCUGCAAUACGGUUUUGCUCAUCAUUAGCAUAAAUGGAGUAUGUAGUAAAUAUGAAUGAAUGGCAUGGGAAUUCUUGGAAUGGUAUCAAGAAUUAAGAUUAAAGCACAUUAGAAGUUUAGAACCAUGAAUGUUAUUUUUGAAAAUAGUAAUCCCUCCGUUUCUUAUCACGUUUCUCGUUUGAUAUGUCGGAACGGUUCAUAAUAUGAGACAAAUUAGUAAUUUAUGUCCAAUUUAUAAAAUUAAAUAUAGUCAUGAGUGAUCUUGUUGGAUUCGUAUCUAUGAGUACUUUAAUAAGAUGAAAUUUUUAUAUUUAAUGUUAAUACAAAAUUAAAAUAUAUUAAUUAAAAAUAUAUAUUGACAAACGUGAUAAAAACAAACAGCAAAAAUAUUAAGAAACGAAGCGAGGGAGUAAUAAAUAUGCUUUAUGCUGAACUGAAUUGAGUGCGUGGAAGCUUGGGGAGGCAGCUUACUACAGUAUCUACGUGUAUCUGUAUAUGCAAUAAAGACACAAAUACUCACAGGAGAUUAUUUUUCAAACACUUAAUUUCCCCCUUUCCUUCUCGUAAUAUUCAACUCAAUUCAUCACAUCAUCUUCUUCAGACAAACAACUAUACUCACUUCAGAUCAUCACAUCAUCUUCUUCUUGACUUCAGAUCCACAUUUCAAACCCUAAUCAUUCGCUUGGUCCCCUCCCUCUCUGUAAUAAUACAAUUCUUUCUACACACAAACAAUAACAUCAUCAUCAUCGAGUGAAGCUUCAUAUCCACAUUCCAAGACCUAAUUACUCGCCAAACCACUCUCGCUCUCAUGGAGGAGGCCUUAGAAAUGGCGAGAUCGAAUGAUACCAAGAAGCGAAGGGCGGGAGUGGAUCGGCUGCAACAGCUUCUUGAAGAUUCAAGAAAGUGCUUGUCAUCGUCGGAAGUGACGGCGCUAGUCGACACGUGUCUUGAGCUUUUGAAGGACACGUGUGUUGCUGUCGUCGGCCGCGGAGUUGUUUAAGUUGCAUUCUGAUAGAAUUAUGACGGCGGUUGUUGAUAGGUUGUGGGAUGGGGAGCAGCGGGUUCGAGACUCGGCGAGGAGGCUGUUGAUUACCCUUAUGGAGGUAAUUUAUUAAUUUUCUUGGGGAAUGCCAGUUGAUUUUAUGGAAUGUGAUAUAGUAUAGUUUCUAUCAAUCGAGUAUCUUAAAUUGAUGACUACAACAAGUAUUAUCGUUUUGCACGCAAGUGGCUAAACUUUUAUGCAUGCCAAAUUGCCAAUCGGGUUUCAAUUUCAGAUCUCUGCCUUCACUUGCAUACGAACACAUUUGAGUUUAAAAAGAUGAAUCACCUCAUAAAUAUCAUUAAUAAUUAGUUGGUGUUAAUAGUGCACUGAAAAAUGGGAGAGAAUGACAAGACUAUAGACAGUAGUAGGGCUGAGCGAGAUGUUAAUUGAGUACUUAUAUGAUGCUUCACUAUGUUCAGGGAGUUAGUUUAUUGCUUCUUUCCUACACUUUCACUUGAAUUAGUACUAAUUAAUAAUUCCUUCUCUAUCUUGUAAAAUUUCUCCUUCAUUGCUAAGCAUAUCUACUCUGAUUAAUUUUCAAACAAACUUUACUACUGAGAUAGGAUUGUUUGCUGGGUAGGAGCACCAUAGAAUGAGUAGCUCUAUUGCUAUAUACUGAAGGGUGCGGUGGCAUCCUCGGUUAUAUUUUAAGUGCUACUUCGAAUUUAGUUGUUGGCUUUUGCAAUUUAUUUUCAUUCACAAUGUUUUAAUAAUGAUACCCCAUAUUAGGUGAGAGAUAUUAGUGCCAGGCUGGAGCAGAUUCAGAUUCAACCAGCAACUUCCGUCUCUUCCAUCUCUGAAGGACUUAAUAGUAAUCUUCUCCACCAUGCACCUGAUUUAGAAGUAUAAUGUAUUAAUGUGAACUUUUUAUUUAUAUUUAUUUCCAUGUGUAGUAAAACGAUCACAUCUUUUAAGAGCUUAGUACAAUGUUAUGUACAAUGUGUAAUUAAUUAAGAGGUUUGUACAUAGUUUAGUAUGAAAUGGAAAAAGUUUGUACAGAAGUUUAUUUGUUCACAUUACAGCUGAGACGAGCAAGCAAAAACCAUCAGAGAAUUCAAAGGAUAAUGAUAAAGGAAUUGAGCCCCUACUGGAACUGCCGGAAGAUAUUAUCUUUCUACAAAUUCUGCCUAAGUUGAACAGCCUAGAUGUUCUUCCCCUGGUUUUGGUGGCUAGGAGUUGGGCCUCCUUUCUUUUGCAUGAGGGACCCAGACUGAUGUUAUUCAACCCACCUAAAAAUCCUACACCUAAACACACUUCAAUUUUAUUUGAUGUAAGCCCGAUUCCGUACUCUGUUUCAGUUUUGUUAUCCCCAGAGAGCCGCCAACUGUGUCAGUCUAGGUGUAUAAUUGUUCCAAUCUUGAAUUCUGGUAUAAAACAUGCUGUUCCAAUUUUCACUGACUACCCAGAUUUUUUAAAGCAGGGGGAAGUCCCAACUGUAGUGGGAUCUUCCAGUGGUAUUAUAUGCCUCUAUAUCACCAGUUCUCCCUCUAGAUACAUCCUGCUAAACCCCUUAACAAAACAUUAUAAAGAGGUUGGGGCCCCUUAUAUUUUUGUACCAGAUUGUGAGCAAGCUUCUGUAACUUCUGGAUUCUUUUAUGAUGAAUGGACUGAUGACUUAAAGAUCGUACAAUUGUUGAGAUGGGAUCAAAGGCUUACGAGCUUGGAUGCUCCGGGACCCAAAAAGAUACAUGCGCUUCGCGUUUGUUCUGUAAAUUCUGCAAAUUGGGAAGUUGUUGACUUGGGGCCAAUGAAAGUCUCCGAUCGUCUUGGUGGUGUGUUAUUUUUGCCGAAAGCUCUCGUCACAUUUGUAGAUGCGUUUGCUACAGAGCCGGAGAUUAACUUUUGGUUGGAUUUUCGUGAUUGCCGUCUAAAGGCAGUUCCGGAAUUAGAAGGGGCUGAACUCAGUAUGAAAUCGGUUUGGUGGAAUAACCAGGUUGGUGUUAUUGUUGGAACUGACAGCAUUUAUGUCCUUGAUGAGGAGUUUGCAGCCUGGUAUUACUGCACAGUGCUUCCGGACGUGGGAAAUUGUGUAUUCUGUUUAGAUGAGAACAAAAUUGUGGGGAUGGGGGCUGGGGAAAGCGGAAGCGUAAAUGAUUACAAUAUUCUUAAUUCCACAAGCGGCGAAAUCCAACAUAUAAUCUCGUUGCCUUCUUGCAGGGUUUUUCCGUAUGUUCCUACAUUCUACUAUAUCGAGGGAAUGGCUAAUUUUUAGACUUUUGCAAGUCACAAUGUAAUAAAAGAAUGUAAACAGUACAUAGCAGCAAUACCUCUCUAUAGCAUAUAGUUUCAGAUACAACAUGUAUUGUGAUGCCAGCUUGUAGAGUACAAGUAUUAUUCUAGGUGAUUGAUUGUUGAGAAUAAUAGAGGCAACCGGUUGCAUGAUGGUAUCCUUGAAACUUUCAUAAUUACUAAUAUCGAACUCAGAUAGCAUGCAAUUUUUCCGGAGAUCAUAUUCUUUAGCUAUCAACUAACUCUACAUUAUAUAUUAUGUCCCAGAUCAAUGAGUUUGUUUGCUAUAAUGUCCUAUUUUAUAUGUGAUUUAGGAAUAUGUUCCAUUAACUUGUUAUCACCCUCAAAUCUAAAAUCUAAGACUACCAUGUCCUUAGUUUAUUUUGUUUAAUAUUUGUGAAUAGACUCUAAUCUGAUCAUAUCAAUUAUAUUUUAGUAACAGAUGUUUAAAUGCAUAUGUUUUUGUUAUCUAGUUAUUUCAAUGAUGAUGGGAUUAAAUUUUUUUAUUCUUGUAAUAUGUACAAUGAUUGGUUUAGCUUUAAUAUUUAUUUUUAUUUUUAUUUACCAAUUUUAAUGUAGGUAAAGUUUUAUCAGCAAAUUUUAUUUUUUGUAUGCAGUAAUCUGUUCUAAUAUCAAAUUUUGAUUUAGAUCGAGUAUUAGUAUGUUGAAUUUGCAUUCAUCUAGUUAGAUGAGUGAAACUGGCUAAUUAAUGGAAAAUCAUAAGUACCUGAGUUGUUUUCAAAUUUUUUUCCCAAAUUUUAAUUGUUUGAUUGGUUUCUUCAAAUUAAUAUUAAUGGAAUCAUGAACGCACAUAAAUAAUUUAAUUAAAAAUUAUUUAUUUAUGUGUCAUUUAGAAAAAAUUGGGGACAAAAUUUGGGAUAGUAAUGGGGACGAAAUAUGUGUUAGCGUUAAUGGUUUAGCGGCAGUGGAGAACGCAAUUUAAGAGCAAAUCCAAUAGUGUCCUAAACUAGUAUCCUAAAUUAAAAAUUAAGGUAUUUAUAUAAAUGAGUGCUCCACCUAAUGAGUGCUCCACCAAUGUCCAGUGAUACCUUAAAAUACUAGGAAAUCCAUCAAGCGUCUCGUUUUUAAGACAUCACUAGGCAUGCCCUAUUUCACUUCUAUCAAUAAAAUAUAUCUUUCCCUCGUUUUUUACAGAUCUCUUCUCUCUCAUUUUUUCCAUUUAUGCCCAAUUAUAAUUCAAAUAUAAUACACCUUCAGUCCCUUUUUAGUUGUGAAAUUUACAAAAAUAAUUUGUCCUUAAAUAAUAUUCUCAUCCUUGUUCCAAUACAUAUUUAUACAUAUUUUUUCAUGUUUACCCCUUGAUUGUUGGUUCAAAUGUUUGACUGUACUACUAAUAUAUACAGUUUUGACUUAGUAUUUAAUAUAAUAAAUAAGGGCAUGCGUGGAAACAACUUACAACAUUUAAUUUUCUUUAAUAUAUGUAUUUUUGCAAAUGUGACAACUAAAAAGGAACAGAGAGAGUAUUAUUUUAAUCAUAAAACAUAUUGUUGGAGUUAAUAUAAAAAAAUCAUGUCUUAAAUCAUAAGAUUACUAUAUUUAAUUAUAUUUAUAAGGCAUCUAAUAGUACAAUAUUGGAUUUGCUCUGAUCACAGAUCAAUCAAAUGAUCGGCAACUUAAGCGAUCAAAUGAGAUGACUCGCAUAGUCCACGCUAAUCGAUAUCCUUAAGAGGAUGUUUGCCUGGGCUUAAAGCCCUUGCUUUAAGCCAUCUUUGGCUUUAAGCUGAAAAAUGUCUGUUUGUGUAAUAAGUCAGAAGCCAGCCUAAAGUCAGAAAUAAGCCAGAAGCUGACUUAAAGCCAGAAGUUAAUUUGAGGUACUUUUUUCAGUGGCUAAAUUUUUUUGAACUUUUUUUUUGAUAAAAAUUACUCCUAAAUCAUAAGUUUCUUAUAAAUCACUUUUAUUUUUAUUAUUAUAUUUUUAAUAACUCAUAAGUCAUUCAUAAGCCAAAAUUACCCAAACAGACAUUUUAAGCUAUCAGCUUAUCAGAUAAGACACGUUAAGUCACAAGUCACAUUAAGUCAUAAGCCAUAAGCUCAGCCAAACGGGCAAGUUUUCUAAGAGACAUUCCUGCUUAGUGCAUUUUUAAUAGGGUUGCCUAAAUCGUUGACGAAAUUGGACAUGUGAGACAUUAUAUAAAAUUUGUUAAACAUGUAAGUGAUUGUGUUUCAAUAAUGUUAACUACAUUGAUAGAUUAUAACUUAAAAAUAGUAUGUUAUUAAUAUUUAGAUUGUUAUAAAAAAAUAUAUGAGUUUAAUAUGAUAGGAAAUGAUGUGUAAAUUACCCCGAUUAUAUAUAUAUAUAAAUAAUAAUAUAUUUAUAUAUAUUAUACUAAAUAUAUUAUUAAAAAUAGAUAAAUUUUAUAAUAUAAUCAAAAGUAAAAAAUAAUCUUUAUUUUUAUUGAUUGAUUAUAAAUAUAUUGUAAUAUAAUAUAUUUUAUAAUUUUAAAUUGUUGUUUAUUUAUAUUAUAAAUCAAUUUUAAUAUGAUUUGAGGUUGAAAAUAUAAGAUAAUAUUAUUUUAUUAUUAUAUUAGGAGUUUGUAGUUUGUUUUUUAAUUAAAAAAAUAUAUUAUAUAUUAUAAAAUUAUUAUGUUUUUAUUAAAAAAUAAAAUUCCCCGAAACCCCGCGGGGAUCCCCGUUCCCCGUUCGGGGCGGGGAUCGGGGCGGAAAAUAAUCCCCGUUCGAGGUUCGGGGCGGGGUCGGGUAGGGCCGUAGGGGUAUUGAAUUCGGGGAUCGGGGUCGGGGAUAGCACUCCCCGCCCUCGAAGUCUCCCCGUGCCCAUCCCUAGUCGAACCUCUAGAGGUCCGUAAAAAAUCUCCAAGAAGAUUACACUAUGUAAUCUUCUUGGAGAUUUUUUACGGACCUCUAGAGGUUCGACAAAUAUAGUGGCCGGUAGGAUGUUGGUUAAAAUUAUAGAUAAGUGGUGUCUAUGGUUGAGUGUGAUUUUUUUGAAUAGAAUGGCUAUAUAUUUUAUUUUUGGGAUGCCAACUCAAUUUUUAAACUAAGGACUUCUCAUAUUUGGAGAUGCUAUAUGAUGGCAAAUCCCGCAAAUCUUCAAUUUUGACAUAUAUUAUCCUAAAUUCUCUUUCAACAAUGAUUGAUUCAAAUUUGGAUCAAGAUUGUUGGAUCCCGCUGACGUGGCAGUGACGUCAUGUUGACGUGGCGCCCUGGGGUGGACCCCGGUGCUGACGUGGCAGAUGACGCGGCGGUGACAUGGCGCCUGGUUGGGGUCCCAUUACUAACGUGGCAUUUGGGUAGAAAGUAUAAAUUACGGAAAAUUGAUGACAAACUGAGAGGUGCAUAUUAUAAGUUUUAAAAAGUAUGAGGAGAUAUUUGAUCAGUUUAAAACUAGUUUUUAGGUUUUUAGGCUAACCGUGGUUUGUAUAUUCGAGCAUCCCCGUGUAUAUUGACAUAUAGGUAAACUCCUUGCAAUACUUUGAGCUGCAAAAUCCAUCAAAAUUUUGAUUUAUCAUGUAACUGUUUGACAGAGUACUUCCAACUUUCAAGCGUAAGUAUCAAAAUCACUACCUUCAUAUGUUCCAUUAAGCGUGAAAGGUACAGAAUAAGAAGUGAAAGAAAUCCUUUAUAUUUACACGGCCAUUGAUCUUAUAGGAUCACCUAGCCCAUCAGUGCUAGGGAAUACGGAACCAUCUUAUCAAUUAACGAAGAAAUGUAUGCAUGCAGUGUCACCACCACAAGUCAGAAAUGGUGAUGAUGCUAAUGAUAAUGAACUCAAUUGGGAGUGAUCCUAAUGGGAUAUGGAUGUGGAUUGGUAUGCGGAUUCUUUGGGGUUUAUUGUUCUUACAAUGGGAAAGCCUUGGUGGUUUAUGAGAUACAUUGAAGUAAGUUGAUAAUGACAUGCACGGCUUAAUUAAGAUUAAUUAAGACAAACACCUUGACAAAAUGUUGUCUUAGAAUGAUAUGUAUUCUGAUUUUUCCUAAUUUAAAAUCAAAUUUAUUACAAUUAAAGUUAAAAUCUGCGUAGCACAUACUAUACUUUGAUUAAAUUUUUAUUGAAGUUGUCCAUAUUAACCUAGUGGCCGAAAGUGAAUAAAUUAAAUUAGUGGGGUCUAAUAUAAAAAUUGCAUUAAUUAAAAUUUGUAAUGUAUAGAUUAUGCUAAAGCUAUUCAUUAUAAAGAACAUAGGAAUGUUAAUCUCUUUAUAUGUUUGCAUGCGGAUAGUCUCUCGGGAGUGUGGUAUAUUGUCAUGGCUGGAAAAACGGCUAAUUUCUACGGUUUUUUUUUGACAGAAAUUAAUUUUGACGGAAUACUGUCGAAAUAUCGAAAGUCGAAAAUAAGCCGCAAAAUUACUUUUUUCAAUUUUCAAUUGAAAACUGUCAAAAAAGUCUCUGGCAAAAUUAUAUUUAUUUCUACAGAUAAUGUCGAAAAUAUUUUCCUGCAAAUUUCCCGCACCUUAGUUGUGAGCGGAAAUAGAUAGUUUGGACAGAAUUCCGUCGAAAUUACGCGAGUUCUUUGUAGUGUGUUUUCACACAUACGCUGAUAAUCUUUGGGGACUGGGGUAUAUUGUUUUCGCAAAGCACUGGUAGUUUGUGAGCUUGUCCAAUUUUUCCCCCCAUGCCUAUACUGGUUGGUCUCAGUCUUAGUGGUAAUAAGCUGGCGUCAAAUUUUCCAGAAUUCAUAUAUAAUUGCUAUAACAUGAUCCGAUGCCUGAAUCAGCAGCUAACAAUUUACGUAAUCUUGAAGAACUAUAUCUUGGUGCCAAUUCUUUCGAGGGCUCAUUUCCAACGAAUAUAUUCAAGCUUUCCAAAUUAAGGGUUCUUGACCUAUCUGUGAAUAAUUUUUCAGGUUCCAUUCCCAAUGGUAUAGAGAUGCUUCCCGAUCUUGGAAUAAAUCGUAUUUAUAAUAAUUCAUUUGAAGGAAUUAUUCCUUCUUCAAUUAGUCUACUUAAAGAUCUUCAACACCUAGACUUCGGUGACGACAACCUUGUGGUUUCAAGUAUAAUGUCUUACGGGUCCAAUCUAACCGAUCAUUACAGGCAACCCCAUUGGAGAUGCUCUUAAUAACAUUUUAACUAGAGAGUAUUUUCUAUCAAUUGCAUUUGUAUUAAAUUUGAUUUAGAUGAAGAGAAACAGAAUACAUAUGAUCCCGAGACAACAUUUUGUCAAUGUUUUCGUCUUGAUUGAACAGUCUUCUUCAUGCGUGUCCUUGUCAACUUCAGUUGCAGUAAUUCAAUGUAUCUCAGGAACCACCUUGGCUUUCCCAUUUUGAUAACAAGUAUCCUGAAGAUAAUCCGCAUAUCAAUCCACAUCCGCGCGUAUCCCAGUUGAUUUAUUAAUUUAUUCAUGAAGUGUUGCGAACGACAUUCCUGCAAAAGUAAAAGUCAGUGGAAUUUGUAUGAUAGCAUGAUGAAUAUUUAAAGUUUCAGUUAAAAUUUCACCAAGUAUUUUAUUUCUGGCUUAAGUCCCGGAUUGACGAAUUCUGCUGAUCACAUUUCUAAUCGACCAAUUCUGGUCGAAUAAAUUAAAUGGCACACUUCCUGAGUUGGUGGUAGGGGCGUUCUUCUUGUGUUUCUUUCUUUUCAUUAUUGACAUUGUUAUCCAGGCCCUUGCUUCUGGGCUUUUGUAAAGCACCCAUUUACGCCAUUGUCAUGAUCAUAGCUAGUCUUCCAUAUCCAAGAUACGCGCAUUAUAGUGGAUUUAUCUUUAUUAGUGAUUUCUGUGGAAAUGCAUAAUCUUAAUUAUAAGCUCCAAUAUUAUAAAAUAAACCUAACUUAUUAGAGUUAACAGGGCAUUUGUGUUGAUAAUUUGCGCAAUGUUAAUGGGGAUCGCUCCCAAGUCUUGGACGGACUCUUUCCAAGUCUUCUGAGGACCCAUCUGCACACUAAUUUGUCCGCCAACUAAAAAUUUAUAUAUAUUUUUCCAUAGAAUAUAAAUAGUUGGGGGUACUAACAGAACCUCUAGUAAAAUUAAUUAAUACCGUUAUGAUUUCGCAAACACAGCAGACAGCAGGCAUAAGGCUUAUAAAUAGAAGUGUCGUAUUUGGUUGAUGGUCAAGUUGAGUGGAAAUAUGGCACACUUUGUAAAGCCUUGUUAUCCUCUUCUCUUUGUUUUCUUUCUCUCAUUACUUCAAUCCAUUCUAACAACACAAGAGGGAGAAGCUCUUGUGAAAUGGAAGAAUAGCCUAGCCCCUUCUUCUUUUCUCGACUCUUGGUCACUCACCAAUCUCGAUAAUCUUUGCAACUGGACUGGCAUUACUUGUAACUCUGCAGGUUCAGUCUCUGAGAUUAACCUUAGUGAGAAACAACUUGAUGGAAUGCUGUCCGAGUUUGGUUUCACUUCAUUUCCAAAUCUCAACAAUCUCACCCUCGCAAUUAACUACUUCUCGGGUCCAAUACCACCAGCCAUUGAGAAUUUAACACAGCUUCAAUAUCUUGAGUUGAGCAAUAAUUAUCUAGAUGGUCCCAUUCCUUUCCAGGUUAGCAAUCUUCAGAGGUUGCUCAUCUUAAACCUGUCAGAGAAUGAACUGCAAGCUCCAAAUUGGUCCAAUUUUUCCCCCAUGCCUUUUUUGACCAUCCUCGACCUUUAUAAAAAUAAUCUUUUGUCAGAAUUUCCCGAAUUUAUAUCUAACUCGUGUAACCUUACGUACCUUGACCUCUCAUCCAACAAGUUUAGAGGGGAUCUUGCGCGAGAAUCAGUAUUAACCAAUCUAGGUGAUCUUGAAACCCUCUAUCUUAUUAGAAAUUCUUUCAAGGGGUCAUUUCCGUCAGAUUUAUUCAAGCUUUCUAAAUUAAAACGUCUUCACCUGUCGAGCAACAAAUUUUCAGGUUCAAUUCCUAAUGCCAUAAGGUUGCUUUGUGAUCUUGAAUUCCUAUAUUUAGGCAACAAUUCCUUUGAAGGACUGCUUCCACCAAAUAUAUUUAAGCUUUCAAAAUUAAAACAUCUUGUUCUUCGGAGUAAUAAGUUUUCAGGAUCUGUUUCCAAUGAUAUAAAUUUGCUUCCUGAACUUGAAUAUCUCGAUCUUAAUUCUAAUUUUUUUGACGGGCCGCUUCCUCCAGAUGUAUUCAAGCUCUCCAAACUAAGGUUUCUUUACCUCUCGGGUAAUACCUUUUCACGUUCUGUUUCCAAUGAUAUAGGUUUGCUUUCUGAGCUUGAAACCCUCGAUCUUAACUCUAAUUUUUUGAGGGUCCGCUUCCGUCAAAUAUAUUCAAGCUCAAAUUAAAAAUUCUAGACCUCUCAAACAAUAGAAAUUUAUUUCAAAGAAGUUUUCCUAUUGGACUGGAACUCUUGAGUAACCUCAGCUACUUAGGUCUAAGUUCCAGUAAUCUCAGUGGCAAUAUUCCAUCUUACAUUGGAAACCUGAAGCUACUAAUAUCUCUUGAUCUCAGUUCUAAUCAAUUGACUGGACCGCUUUCAAAGCUCGUUUCUAAUGUCACAAAUCUUAUAUUUCUUGAUUUAAGAGAUAAUAGUCUUAGUGGAAAUAUUCAGACUGACUUGUGGAAAUAUAACGAUCAUCCAACUCUGGAAUACAUCAAUUUGAGUGGGAACUAUUUUACGGGUAUAGUUUUUCUCUAUAGAUCUUUUCUUUUGUCAUAUGUAACUAAGCUAGUAAUCUGAUUAAUUGCAGUUUUACCAAAGUUUCAACAAUCUUGACAGGUGAGCUUCCAACAACAAUUUGCAAUGUCACUUCCCUUUCGGUUCUUGAUUUGUCAAAUAAUAACUUAAGUGGUGCACUUCCAAAAUGUUACGGGAAUCUUGCUGAUGGAUUGCUUUACAUUAAUCUUGCGAAUAAUCACUUUCGAGGAACAAUACCCACUACUUUCUCCAGGAGUUGUCAGCUGAUAUAUCUGAACAUGGAUGAUAAUGAGUUUGAAGGAUUGAUGCCCCCAUCUUUGGCGAACUGUAAGCACUUGAAAAUUUUUGAUAUUGGCAAUAAUAAAAUAGGUGGUACAUUUCCGUCAUGGCUUUAUGCACUUGGAGAGCUAGAAGUCCUUGUCUUGCGAUCAAAUAAACUCUAUGGUACAAUAAGUGGAAGGAGCAUAGAAGAUCCCUUCCCCAAGUUGCGGAUUGUGGAUCUGUCCAACAAUCAAUUCACAGGCCAUUUGCCAAUUCAAUACUUUAAGAAUAUGAAAUCAACUGAUAAUUUGUAUCGUUAUCAGAAUGACACAGGAGUUUUUUCUUUCCAUUAUGAAGCAUCUGUCUCAUUAACUGUGAAGGGAACAGAGUAUGAAGUGAAAAAUAUCCUUCAUAUUUACACAACCAUUGAUCUGUCCUGCAACAAGUUUCAAGGAGAAAUUCCUGACGUUAUUGGAGAGCUUAGAUGGCUUGCAUUGCUGAACUUAUCUCAUAAUAGUCUAACAGGACAUAUCCCAUCAUUGCUGAGAAAUAUGAAAGGACUCCAAUCUUUAGAUUUGUCUUCAAAUCAACUGAAAGGGGCUAUUCCACUUCAGUUAACUGCAUUGACAUUUCUAGAGGUCUUGAACCUCUCGGGAAACCAUCUUAGUGGAGAGAUUCCUCAGAAAGGGCAGUUCAGCACAUUUAACAUUGAUUCUUAUCUAGGAAACUCCGCGUUAUGUGGUUCACCUUUGAUGAAGAAAUGUGCAAACACAGCAUCACCUCCACAAGAAGCCGGAAAUGGUGAUGAAGAUGAAGCUGGUGAUGAAUUGACAUGGGAAGCAAUCGUGAUGGGAUAUGGAUGUGGACUGAUAUGUGGAUUGUCAUCUGCAUACAUUGUUCUCAAACUAGGAAAGCCUUGGUGGUUUGUGAGAUAUAUCGAAGUACUGCAACAGAAGUUGAUGAAAAGAUAUGCAUGAAGAAAGGUACUGGUAGAUCAAGAUGAACUUGAAAGUUGUUGUCGUGGUAGACAUUUGUGAACCAGUAGUGUACUAGCUGCAUAAGUAUUUGGUAUUAUGUAAUAAUCCGUUUGGUCGGGACUCAAAAUGAUUUCUCUUGCUUCAGGGGUAUUAAUAUUAACCUUGCUAUCUUGAUCAAUGUUAGGGCAAAUUAAAAAGAAUAUAAAAGCAAAAAAUUUGCAUCAAACACCUGUUGUACCAACAUGCAUCCAUUAAUUUGCUUUCAUCUAUUAAGUAACAAUUUAAGAGCGCUUCCACUCUGUUUAAGCAUGGAGAUAACACAAAGAAGGCAAGUCCAUGGACUAAUAUAUUAACACGUAGUCCACAUCUAUGGUAUGAACAAUUCAUAUUGCUCUUCUAUCUGUUCAACAGUCUCCCGAAGAUAGGCCAAAAAUGUCAUCUGUGGUUCUUAUGUUUGUCAGUGAAGGAGAAUCUCUGAUGCCUACACAACCUGGUGUUUUUACAGAAAGGAAUGUAGGUGAAACCAGGGGCGUAAAAUGAAUCAGGACUAAAAUCUGCUAAAAUGAUAAUUAUUUACUCAUCAUUCAAGAUUAGUCGGGCUCAAAGAUUUAUAUGGAUUUUAAGAACAAACUAUGACUAAAUAUGAAAAAAUCAUUAAUUUUUCCGACUCAAUAUUUUUUAGCCUCCCCCGGCCCUGGGUGAAACCAUAAGCUUCUCUGGUGCACAUCCAAAUCAUUCAGUUGGUUCUACUUUCAGCUCACCCACAGGAACAUCAUUCUGCAGGUACUCUUUUAUCUGUACUUUCUUAUAUUGUAUGCCAGUAAAUUUUAUAUCGACAAACUGCACAAUACACCUCGAUCUCAUAUUAUUGACAGGUGAGCUCCUCUCAUAAUGCUCACAGGCGAACCCCUGCAUAUAUACUUUGUGAUGUCAUUGAUGAUCGAUAGACUUGAAAAAAAAUUAUGACAAAGAUUCAUAAAAUAUCUACUUCCAUCCUAAUUCAGUAUUCAAUAUUAUUCAUUCGUAUCAUCAUCCAAUCAAUUCUAAUAGUUCUUCUUUAAAUCAGUACAAAUAUUGUUAAAUACCUGGAUGAUGGUUGUCUUUCCGCGAACCAAUCAUGAAAUUACCUCUGUAUAAAUCCAUCGGAAAUAAGACAGUUAAUAUCCCAAUCGAAUACACCCCGUCAGUUGUCAAACUCCUCGAAACGUAUUAAUCACUUUAGAAAAUUUGUUCCACUGGCGCUAGUCAGUCCCAGAGUUGGUGGUGGGUGCUUCUGGGCUUUCGAAAAGCACCCAUUUACUCCAUUGUUUAGAGAAGUAAAACCCCACCUUCCGCUCAUUUGAUUGAUCAGCUGAAUUAGGCAGAGUUUACAUGGUCAUGAUCAUAGUCUCCCAUNUUAAUAGUCUGACAGGACCUAUCCCAACAUUGCUGAGAAAUAUGAAAUAACUCCAUUACUCCAAUCUUAGAUUUGUCCUCAAAUCAACUGACAGGGGCUAUUCCACCUCUGUUAACUGCAUUGACAUUACUUUUCUCUUUAUAUUCUUUCCUUUUGUAUGUACCUAUGCUAAUUAUCUGAUUAUUAAAAUUAUAACAAAGCUUCAAGAUUUUUAACAGGUGAGCUUCCACUAAAAAUUUGCAAAGUCACUUCCCUUUCGCGUCUCAUUAUGUUAGAUAAUGGGUCAAGUGGUGCACUUCCACAGUGUUUGGGGAACCUUUCUUUGCUUGGUUUCAAUAAUCUUGCUAAUUAUCAAUUUCAAGGACCAAUACCAACGACUGUCCAAGACUUGUCUGUGCAUAUCUAAACAUCCAUAACAAUCACUUUGAAGGUUUGUUGCUCCAAUCUUUGGCAAACUGUAAACACUUACAAAUUCUUGAUAUUGGAAACAACGUUGGAGAGCUAGAUGUCCCAGUUAGGGCGGUAAUUCGACUAGAGCAAACCGAGUUUUGAGCGGAGCCAAAUUCGAGCCAAGUUUAAUCGAGUCGAGCCGAGUCGGCUCGUUUAGCUAAUCGAGCCUAAAACUUAGCCCGAACUCGACUCAUUUAAUUUCACGAGUCGAGUCGAGCCAACUCGUUUAGCUAAAUGAGCUGAUUUUAACAAGUCGAGCGAGCGAGCUCGUAUAAUUUUAACUUAGUCGAGCCUGAAUCUCUACCCAAACUAUUGGCUCGUGUAAUUUCGCGAGUCGAAUCGAGCCGGCUCGUUUUAUUAAACAAGCCGAAAUUUUUGCCCGAAUUUGCUCGUUUAACAAGCCGAUCUGAGCCUAGUUAAAUGAGUUCGAGUUAGUCGAGCUCGCGAGCUGCGAGCUCACCUGCCAGCUCUAGUCCUAGUCUUGCAAUCAAAUAGGUUUAACGGUAUAGAAAGUGGAAGGAGCACAAGGCAUCCAUUCCCCAAGGCUAUUUACCAAUUCAGUACUUUGAGGAUACAAAAUCAUUCUGCAGGUACUCUUGUAUCUGUACUUUCUUGUACUGUAUGCCACUUUGACAGUAGAGUAAAAUUUAUAUCGACAAACUGCAUAUGUUCUGAACUACUCCUCUAUCCCAAAUUAGAUGAGCUAGUUGACUUUGAGCACGUAACUUAAGGUACAUUGACCAACUAGUUCCGAUAUUUAUUUUUUUAAUUUUUCUUUUGUAAAUGAAAAUUUCAUAUUUAAAUUUUUAUUUGCAAAACUAAAAUUUAAAAAUAUGUAAUGUGGCUAUGCGGUCAAUGUCAACGAGCUCAUCUAAUUUGGGAUUGGGAUGCAGGGAGUAUUACGUACUAUGUUAUGCAAGCUGUUUACAACUUUCAUCAAAAUUUUCAAACAUUUCUGAAUAUGUAUUUUCAAAGAAUUCUCGGGCACUCUUAAGGCCUAUAAUUAUUGGAACUCUCACGUUAUGGACCAGAGGACCACUAUGUAUUUUACAAGCACGACGAAUCAUGUGGUCAUUAUGGACUCCCCAAGCCUUAGAGGACUCAUUCCAGGUUUUAGGAGGACCACUGCCUAGCUCACCCUUUCGGAGUGAUGUAAAUUAGUUUCCAGACACUAAAAAUAAGUAAUCAGAUUAAUCAUUACAAAAUUUUGAUAUAAAAUCAGAAUAAAUCCUAAACUUUGAUGAUACAAAAAAAAUUAUAAUUGUAAAUUAUACAAUCAAAUUAAGAUCGAAUUAACUUCCCUCACACUUAAAAUUUAUAGCGAUCAAAUCAAAAUCGAAUUAACUUUCCUAUUACUAAAAUUUAAUUACAAUAUUAUUAGAUAAAGAGAAUAUAUAAUAAUCAAGAGAAAAUAGAUUUUUUUUUGCCACUCAACUUAUUGUGUUUUAAGAAACUUACCACCCAACUAAAUUUUUUUCCUUUUGCUCACUAAUGUUAGGUUUGGAUUUGUUUUUAGCCACCAAAUAAGGUUCGGAUUUGAUUACCAGCAUUAUGAUAAUUUUUUUUGUCACUAAACUUAUUGCGUCUUUAGAAACUAACCACUGAACUAAAUUUUUUUUAUUUUACUCACUAAUGUUAGAUUUAGUUUUUUUUGUCACUAUAGUUAGGUUCAGAUUUGAUUAUUAGCAUUACAUUAAUUCUGUGUAGCAUUUUUAAAAUAUGGUAGUAGUCUGUGAUAUUUAGAUGAUUUGAUAUAUGUCUGUAUUUUUAUAUAUAGUAUAUUUUAUGUCCCCAAGGUCGUUUACCUUGGGUCAUAAAAAUUUUACACUCAUUUUAUGACUUUUAAAAGAUGUAGUUUCAUAAAUAAUUUUAUUUUUUUCUUUCGAAUUAAAAUUCAGCAUUUGAAUUUUACACACAAAAAAAUCGCAAGAAUAAGAUAUGAAACUAUGCUUUACAAGAGUCUUAAAAUACGUGCUAAACGGUAGAAAAAACUGUAAACUAAUGAGAGGUACAUAGGGAGUAAUAAUAACAUAAAAUGAUGCACAAUCAUCGAAUUAAGUUUUCCUCUCUCUAUAUAUUUAUUUUGUAAAUUUUAAUAAGAUAAAGUUAUUAAAAUUUAUGAUAUAAAUUUAAGAGAUAUCUUAGAUUGAGUGGCAAAAAUUUAGUUGGGUGGUAAGUUUCUAAAAACACAAUAAAUUGAGUGGGAACAAAAUCUAUUUUCCCAAUAAUGAGUGGGAAUAAAAUCUAUUUUCCCAAUAAUCAAAGUGACGAAAAAUCAAAGUCAUCUAAUAAGUCCAGAAAAAAUAUGACCAUUAGUAUAUUGAAAUAAUAUUCACGCAUUUAUAUACGAGAAUAUAUGGUCCACAAGUUAGUGCACAAUGUCCAAGAAUCUUUAUCAAAUAACACGGCAAGCAUGCAGCAUAUAAAUAAGAGUGGGCAGUAUGGUAUUGCAUUCAUAACCCACUUGAGCAGAAAUAUGGCACACUUCCUAAAGCCUUCUCACCUUCUUCUCUUUGUUUUCUUUCUCUCGUUACUUCAAUCCAUUCUACCAACAAGACCAGAGGGAGAAGCUCUUGUGAAAUGGAAGAAUAGCCUAGCCCCGUCUUCUUUUCUCGAUUCUUGGUCACUAACCAAUCUCGAUAAUCUUUGUAACUGGACUGGCAUUACUUGUAACUCUGCAGGUUCAGUCUCUGGGAUUAACCUUUAUGAGAAACAACUUGAUGGAAUGCUGUCCGAGUUUGGCUUCACUUCAUUUCCGAAUCUCAACAAUCUCACCCUCGCAUACAACUUCUUCUCGGGUCCAAUACCACCAGCCAUUGAGAAUUUAACACAGCUUCAAUAUCUUGAUUUAAGCAUCAAUAGUCUCGAUGGUCCCAUUCCUUUCCAGGUUAGCCAUCUUCAGAGGUUGCUCGUCCUAAACCUGUCACAGAAUGCAUUGCAAGCUCCAAAUUGGUCCCAUUUCUCUUCCAUGCCUUUUUUGCGCAUCCUCAAGCUCAGUAGGAAUCAUCUUGUAUCGAAAUUUCCAGAAUUUAUAUCCAAUUCUCAUAGCUUGGCUAUCCUUGACCUUGGCCAGAACAACUUUACAGGUGAUCUUGUGCGUGAAUUUACCAAUCUACAAAAUCUUGAAACCCUCUGGCUUUAUCGUAAUUCUUUUGAGGGGCCAUUUCCGCCGGAUAUAGUCCAGCUUUCCAAACUAAAAGAUCUUGCCCUGUCAAGUAACAAAUUUUCAGGUUCAGUUCCCAAUAACAUAAGGUUGCUUUGUGAUCUUGAAUACCUAUAUUUAGGCAACAAUUCCUUUAAGGGGCCACUUCCACCAAAUAUAUUUAAGCUUUCAAAAUUAAAACAUCUUGUUCUUUGGAGUAAUAAGUUUUCAGGUUCUGUUUCCAAUGAUAUAGGUUUGCUUCAUGAGCUUGUAACCCUCAAUCUUAACUCUAAUUUUUUUGAGGGGCCGCUUCCGCCAAAUGUAUUCAAGCUCUCCAAACUAAAGUUUUUUGCCCUUCAUGAGAAUAACUUUUCAGGUUUUAUUUCUAAGGAUAUAGGUUUGCUUUCCGAACUUGAAAUCCUCUAUUUUGGCUCUAAUUUUUUUGAGGGGCCGCUUCCUCCACAUGUAUUUAGGCUCUCCAAAUUAAGAGGUCUGGACCUCUCACACAAUAGAAAUUUAUUUGAAGGAAGUAUUCCUAUUGGACUGGGACUCUUGACUAACCUCAGGUACUUAGAUCUACAUUCCAAUAAUCUCGGUGGCUAUAUUCCAUCUGACAUUGGAAACCUGAAGCUACUAGUACUUCUUGAUCUCGGUUCUAAUCAAUUGACUGGACCGCUUUCAAAGAUCGUUUCUAAUCUCACAAAUCUUAUAUGUCUUGAUGUAAGUCAUAAUAGUCUUAGUGGAAAUAUUCAGAGUGACUUGUGGAAAUAUAACGAUCAUCCAACUUUGGAAUACAUCAAUUUAAGUGGGAACCAUUUUACGGGUAUAGUUUUUCUCUAUAGAUCUUUUCCUUUUCUCAUAUGUAACUAAGCUAGUAAUCUGAUUAUUGCAGUUUCACCAAAGUUUCAACAAUCUUGACAGGUGAGCUUCCAACAACAAUUUGCAAUGUCACUUCCCUUUCGGUUCUUGAUUUGUCAAAUAAUGAAUUAAGUGGUGCACUUCCAAACUCUUUGGGGAAUCUUGCUGAUGGAAUGCUUUACCUUAAUCUUGCUAAUAAUCAGUUUCGAGGAACAAUACCAACUACUUUCUCCAGGAGUUGUCGGUUGACAUAUCUAAACAUGGAUAAUAAUGAGUUUGAAGGAUUGUUGCCCCCAUCUUUGGCGAACUGUAAGCACUUGAAAAUUCUUGAUAUAGGCAAUAAUAAAAUAGGUGGUACAUUUCCGUCAUGGCUUUAUGCACUUGGAGAGCUAGAAGUUCUUGUCUUGCGAUCAAAUAAACUCUAUGGUACAAUAAGUGGAAGGAGCAUAGAAGAUCCCUUCCCCAAGUUGCGGAUUGUGGAUCUGUCCCACAAUCAAUUGACAGGCUAUUUGCCAAUUCAAUACUUUAAGAAUAUGAAAUCAACUGAUAAUUUGUAUCGUUAUCAGAAUGACACAGGAGUUUUUUCUUUCCAUUAUGAAGCAUCUGUCUCAUUAACUGUGAAGGGAACAGAGUAUGAAGUGAAAAAUAUCCUUCAUAUUUACACAACCAUUGAUCUGUCCUGCAACAAGUUUCAAGGAGAAAUUCCUGACGUUAUUGGAGAGCUUAGAUGGCUUGCAUUGCUGAACUUAUCUCAUAAUAGUCUAACAGGACAUAUCCCAUCAUUGCUGAGAAAUAUGAAAGGACUCCAAUCUUUAGAUUUGUCUUCAAAUCAACUGAAAGGGGCUAUUCCACUUCAGUUAACUGCAUUGACAUUUCUAGAGGUCUUGAACCUCUCGGGAAACCAUCUUAGUGGAGAGAUUCCUCAGAAAGGGCAGUUCAGCACAUUUAACAUUGAUUCUUAUCUAGGAAACUCCGCGUUAUGUGGUUCACCUUUGAUGAAGAAAUGUGCAAACACAGCAUCACCUCCACAAGAAGCCGGAAAUGGUGAUGAAGAUGAAGCUGGUGAUGAAUUGACAUGGGAAGCAAUCGUGAUGGGAUAUGGAUGUGGACUGAUAUGUGGAUUGUCAUCUGCAUACAUUGUUCUCAAACUAGGAAAGCCUUGGUGGUUUGUGAGAUAUAUCGAAGUACUGCAACAGAAGUUGAUGAAAAGAUAUGCAUGAAGAAAGGUACUGGUAGAUCAAGAUGAACUUGAAAGUUGUUGUCGUGGUAGACAUUUGUGAACCAGUAGUGUACUAGCUGCAUAAGUAUUUGGUAUUAUGUAAUAAUCCGUUUGGUCGGGACUCAAAAUGAUUUCUCUUGCUUCAGGGGUAUUAAUAUUAACCUUGCUAUCUUGAUCAAUGUUAGGGCAAAUUAAAAAGAAUAUAAAAGCAAAAAAUUUGCAUCAAACACCUGUUGUACCAACAUGCAUCCAUUAAUUUGCUUUCAUCUAUUAAGUAACAAUUUAAGAGCGCUUCCACUCUGUUUAAGCAUGGAGAUAACACAAAGAAGGCAAGUCCAUGGACUAAUAUAUUAACACGUAGUCCACAUCUAUGGUAUGAACAAUUCAUAUUGCUCUUCUAUCUGUUCAACAGUCUCCCGAAGAUAGGCCAAAAAUGUCAUCUGUGGUUCUUAUGUUUGUCAGUGAAGGAGAAUCUCUGAUGCCUACACAACCUGGUGUUUUUACAGAAAGGAAUGUAGGUGAAACCAGGGGCGUAAAAUGAAUCAGGACUAAAAUCUGCUAAAAUGAUAAUUAUUUACUCAUCAUUCAAGAUUAGUCGGGCUCAAAGAUUUAUAUGGAUUUUAAGAACAAACUAUGACUAAAUAUGAAAAAAUCAUUAAUUUUUCCGACUCAAUAUUUUUUAGCCUCCCCCGGCCCUGGGUGAAACCAUAAGCUUCUCUGGUGCACAUCCAAAUCAUUCAGUUGGUUCUACUUUCAGCUCACCCACAGGAACAUCAUUCUGCAGGUACUCUUUUAUCUGUACUUUCUUAUAUUGUAUGCCAGUAAAUUUUAUAUCGACAAACUGCACAAUACACCUCGAUCUCAUAUUAUUGACAGGUGAGCUCCUCUCAUAAUGCUCACAGGCGAACCCCUGCAUAUAUACUUUGUGAUGUCAUUGAUGAUCGAUAGACUUGAAAAAAAAUUAUGACAAAGAUUCAUAAAAUAUCUACUUCCAUCCUAAUUCAGUAUUCAAUAUUAUUCAUUCGUAUCAUCAUCCAAUCAAUUCUAAUAGUUCUUCUUUAAAUCAGUACAAAUAUUGUUAAAUACCUGGAUGAUGGUUGUCUUUCCGCGAACCAAUCAUGAAAUUACCUCUGUAUAAAUCCAUCGGAAAUAAGACAGUUAAUAUCCCAAUCGAAUACACCCCGUCAGUUGUCAAACUCCUCGAAACGUAUUAAUCACUUUAGAAAAUUUGUUCCACUGGCGCUAGUCAGUCCCAGAGUUGGUGGUGGGUGCUUCUGGGCUUUCGAAAAGCACCCAUUUACUCCAUUGUUUAGAGAAGUAAAACCCCACCUUCCGCUCAUUUGAUUGAUCAGCUGAAUUAGGCAGAGUUUACAUGGUCAUGAUCAUAGUCUCCCAUAUAUCCCUGAUACGCACAUUAUAGUGGAUUUAUCUUUAUCAGUGAUUUCUGUGGAGAUGCAUAAUCAUUAUAAGCUCCAAUAUAAAAUUUUAAAGUUAGUAUGGGAAUUUGUGUUGAUAAUUUGCGCAAUGUUAACAGGAUUGCUCCCAAGUCUUGGACGGACUCUUUCAAAGUCUUCUCAGGACCCAUCUGCACACUAAUUUGUCUGCCAACUAAAAAAUCAACAAUAUGUUACUCCCUCCGUUUUUCUUAAACUGAGGUUAAAAUUUUUGACACAAGAUGGGUUGACAGUAUAAAAUUAAAAUAUUUGUGAAUAAAAAUUUUGGUUAUAUUUUUUAUUUAAAAAGAAAAUCUUGAAAAUAAUAUUAUUAACUACCAGUCAGAUCACUUAAGUGUAUGUCCAAAAUUAAAGCGGCAUAUAAAAAAAAGGGAGGAAGCAUGUACUAACUGUUUCCAUAACAGUUUACAAGUAUAAGCUAUACCCCCUCUCUAUUUUUUUCUAUGACAGCUUUGAUUUUGGGCACACAUUCUUAAGUGUUUUGACCGGAUAGUUAAAAAUUUAUCUUCUAAAAUUUUUAAAAAAAGUAAAAUCGCAAAAAAAAUUAGAAAGCUGGUAUUUUUGAUAAAUUUCCAAAUAUGUAAUCAAGAAAAAUAACUUUUACUAUCCAAUCAACUCAUUUAAAGAUGUGUGUCAAAAAUCAAAAUAUCAUACAAAAAAUAGGUAUACAUUUUUUUAAUAGAUUAUACUCCCUCUGUUCCAAAAUAAGUGUCAGCUGGGGGUAAUAACAAGACCUUAGUCAACCCAAGCACAGCAGACAGCAGGCAUAAGGCAUCAGGAAUUUCACAGGACCAUUAUCUUUCUCUUAUUAACUGUGAAGGGAACAGCGUAUGAAGUAGCAAGAACCUUCAUAUUUACACAGCCAUUGAUCUGUCGUGCAACAAAUUUCAGGGAGAAAUUCCAAAGGUUACCGGAGAGCUUAGAUGGCUUGCAUUGCUCAAUUUAUCGCAUAAUUAAUAGUCUGACAGGACCUAUCCCAACAUUGCUGAGAAAUAUGAAAUAACUCCAUUACUCCAAUCUUAGAUUUGUCCUCAAAUCAACUGACAGGGGCUAUUCCACCUCUGUUAACUGCAUUGACAUUACUUUUCUCUUUAUAUUCUUUCCUUUUGUAUGUACCUAUGCUAAUUAUCUGAUUAUUAAAAUUAUAACAAAGCUUCAAGAUUUUUAACAGGUGAGCUUCCACUAAAAAUUUGCAAAGUCACUUCCCUUUCGCGUCUCAUUAUGUUAGAUAAUGGGUCAAGUGGUGCACUUCCACAGUGUUUGGGGAACCUUUCUUUGCUUGGUUUCAAUAAUCUUGCUAAUUAUCAAUUUCAAGGACCAAUACCAACGACUGUCCAAGACUUGUCUGUGCAUAUCUAAACAUCCAUAACAAUCACUUUGAAGGUUUGUUGCUCCAAUCUUUGGCAAACUGUAAACACUUACAAAUUCUUGAUAUUGGAAACAACGUUGGAGAGCUAGAUGUCCCAGUUAGGGCGGUAAUUCGACUAGAGCAAACCGAGUUUUGAGCGGAGCCAAAUUCGAGCCAAGUUUAAUCGAGUCGAGCCGAGUCGGCUCGUUUAGCUAAUCGAGCCUAAAACUUAGCCCGAACUCGACUCAUUUAAUUUCACGAGUCGAGUCGAGCCAACUCGUUUAGCUAAAUGAGCUGAUUUUAACAAGUCGAGCGAGCGAGCUCGUAUAAUUUUAACUUAGUCGAGCCUGAAUCUCUACCCAAACUAUUGGCUCGUGUAAUUUCGCGAGUCGAAUCGAGCCGGCUCGUUUUAUUAAACAAGCCGAAAUUUUUGCCCGAAUUUGCUCGUUUAACAAGCCGAUCUGAGCCUAGUUAAAUGAGUUCGAGUUAGUCGAGCUCGCGAGCUGCGAGCUCACCUGCCAGCUCUAGUCCUAGUCUUGCAAUCAAAUAGGUUUAACGGUAUAGAAAGUGGAAGGAGCACAAGGCAUCCAUUCCCCAAGGCUAUUUACCAAUUCAGUACUUUGAGGAUACAAAAUCAUUCUGCAGGUACUCUUGUAUCUGUACUUUCUUGUACUGUAUGCCACUUUGACAGUAGAGUAAAAUUUAUAUCGACAAACUGCAUAUGUUCUGAACUACUCCUCUAUCCCAAAUUAGAUGAGCUAGUUGACUUUGAGCACGUAACUUAAGGUACAUUGACCAACUAGUUCCGAUAUUUAUUUUUUUAAUUUUUCUUUUGUAAAUGAAAAUUUCAUAUUUAAAUUUUUAUUUGCAAAACUAAAAUUUAAAAAUAUGUAAUGUGGCUAUGCGGUCAAUGUCAACGAGCUCAUCUAAUUUGGGAUUGGGAUGCAGGGAGUAUUACGUACUAUGUUAUGCAAGCUGUUUACAACUUUCAUCAAAAUUUUCAAACAUUUCUGAAUAUGUAUUUUCAAAGAAUUCUCGGGCACUCUUAAGGCCUAUAAUUAUUGGAACUCUCACGUUAUGGACCAGAGGACCACUAUGUAUUUUACAAGCACGACGAAUCAUGUGGUCAUUAUGGACUCCCCAAGCCUUAGAGGACUCAUUCCAGGUUUUAGGAGGACCACUGCCUAGCUCACCCUUUCGGAGUGAUGUAAAUUAGUUUCCAGACACUAAAAAUAAGUAAUCAGAUUAAUCAUUACAAAAUUUUGAUAUAAAAUCAGAAUAAAUCCUAAACUUUGAUGAUACAAAAAAAAUUAUAAUUGUAAAUUAUACAAUCAAAUUAAGAUCGAAUUAACUUCCCUCACACUUAAAAUUUAUAGCGAUCAAAUCAAAAUCGAAUUAACUUUCCUAUUACUAAAAUUUAAUUACAAUAUUAUUAGAUAAAGAGAAUAUAUAAUAAUCAAGAGAAAAUAGAUUUUUUUUUGCCACUCAACUUAUUGUGUUUUAAGAAACUUACCACCCAACUAAAUUUUUUUCCUUUUGCUCACUAAUGUUAGGUUUGGAUUUGUUUUUAGCCACCAAAUAAGGUUCGGAUUUGAUUACCAGCAUUAUGAUAAUUUUUUUUGUCACUAAACUUAUUGCGUCUUUAGAAACUAACCACUGAACUAAAUUUUUUUUAUUUUACUCACUAAUGUUAGAUUUAGUUUUUUUUGUCACUAUAGUUAGGUUCAGAUUUGAUUAUUAGCAUUACAUUAAUUCUGUGUAGCAUUUUUAAAAUAUGGUAGUAGUCUGUGAUAUUUAGAUGAUUUGAUAUAUGUCUGUAUUUUUAUAUAUAGUAUAUUUUAUGUCCCCAAGGUCGUUUACCUUGGGUCAUAAAAAUUUUACACUCAUUUUAUGACUUUUAAAAGAUGUAGUUUCAUAAAUAAUUUUAUUUUUUUCUUUCGAAUUAAAAUUCAGCAUUUGAAUUUUACACACAAAAAAAUCGCAAGAAUAAGAUAUGAAACUAUGCUUUACAAGAGUCUUAAAAUACGUGCUAAACGGUAGAAAAAACUGUAAACUAAUGAGAGGUACAUAGGGAGUAAUAAUAACAUAAAAUGAUGCACAAUCAUCGAAUUAAGUUUUCCUCUCUCUAUAUAUUUAUUUUGUAAAUUUUAAUAAGAUAAAGUUAUUAAAAUUUAUGAUAUAAAUUUAAGAGAUAUCUUAGAUUGAGUGGCAAAAAUUUAGUUGGGUGGUAAGUUUCUAAAAACACAAUAAAUUGAGUGGGAACAAAAUCUAUUUUCCCAAUAAUGAGUGGGAAUAAAAUCUAUUUUCCCAAUAAUCAAAGUGACGAAAAAUCAAAGUCAUCUAAUAAGUCCAGAAAAAAUAUGACCAUUAGUAUAUUGAAAUAAUAUUCACGCAUUUAUAUACGAGAAUAUAUGGUCCACAAGUUAGUGCACAAUGUCCAAGAAUCUUUAUCAAAUAACACGGCAAGCAUGCAGCAUAUAAAUAAGAGUGGGCAGUAUGGUAUUGCAUUCAUAACCCACUUGAGCAGAAAUAUGGCACACUUCCUAAAGCCUUCUCACCUUCUUCUCUUUGUUUUCUUUCUCUCGUUACUUCAAUCCAUUCUACCAACAAGACCAGAGGGAGAAGCUCUUGUGAAAUGGAAGAAUAGCCUAGCCCCGUCUUCUUUUCUCGAUUCUUGGUCACUAACCAAUCUCGAUAAUCUUUGUAACUGGACUGGCAUUACUUGUAACUCUGCAGGUUCAGUCUCUGGGAUUAACCUUUAUGAGAAACAACUUGAUGGAAUGCUGUCCGAGUUUGGCUUCACUUCAUUUCCGAAUCUCAACAAUCUCACCCUCGCAUACAACUUCUUCUCGGGUCCAAUACCACCAGCCAUUGAGAAUUUAACACAGCUUCAAUAUCUUGAUUUAAGCAUCAAUAGUCUCGAUGGUCCCAUUCCUUUCCAGGUUAGCCAUCUUCAGAGGUUGCUCGUCCUAAACCUGUCACAGAAUGCAUUGCAAGCUCCAAAUUGGUCCCAUUUCUCUUCCAUGCCUUUUUUGCGCAUCCUCAAGCUCAGUAGGAAUCAUCUUGUAUCNUUUUUAUUUAAAAAGAAAAUCUUGAAAAUAAUAUUAUUAACUACCAGUCAGAUCACUUAAGUGUAUGUCCAAAAUUAAAGCGGCAUAUAAAAAAAAGGGAGGAAGCAUGUACUAACUGUUUCCAUAACAGUUUACAAGUAUAAGCUAUACCCCCUCUCUAUUUUUUUCUAUGACAGCUUUGAUUUUGGGCACACAUUCUUAAGUGUUUUGACCGGAUAGUUAAAAAUUUAUCUUCUAAAAUUUUUAAAAAAAGUAAAAUCGCAAAAAAAAUUAGAAAGCUGGUAUUUUUGAUAAAUUUCCAAAUAUGUAAUCAAGAAAAAUAACUUUUACUAUCCAAUCAACUCAUUUAAAGAUGUGUGUCAAAAAUCAAAAUAUCAUACAAAAAAUAGGUAUACAUUUUUUUAAUAGAUUAUACUCCCUCUGUUCCAAAAUAAGUGUCAGCUGGGGGUAAUAACAAGACCUUAGUCAACCCAAGCACAGCAGACAGCAGGCAUAAGGCAUCAGGAAUUUCACAGGACCAUUAUCUUUCUCUUAUUAACUGUGAAGGGAACAGCGUAUGAAGUAGCAAGAACCUUCAUAUUUACACAGCCAUUGAUCUGUCGUGCAACAAAUUUCAGGGAGAAAUUCCAAAGGUUACCGGAGAGCUUAGAUGGCUUGCAUUGCUCAAUUUAUCGCAUAAUUAAUAGUCUGACAGGACCUAUCCCAACAUUGCUGAGAAAUAUGAAAUAACUCCAUUACUCCAAUCUUAGAUUUGUCCUCAAAUCAACUGACAGGGGCUAUUCCACCUCUGUUAACUGCAUUGACAUUACUUUUCUCUUUAUAUUCUUUCCUUUUGUAUGUACCUAUGCUAAUUAUCUGAUUAUUAAAAUUAUAACAAAGCUUCAAGAUUUUUAACAGGUGAGCUUCCACUAAAAAUUUGCAAAGUCACUUCCCUUUCGCGUCUCAUUAUGUUAGAUAAUGGGUCAAGUGGUGCACUUCCACAGUGUUUGGGGAACCUUUCUUUGCUUGGUUUCAAUAAUCUUGCUAAUUAUCAAUUUCAAGGACCAAUACCAACGACUGUCCAAGACUUGUCUGUGCAUAUCUAAACAUCCAUAACAAUCACUUUGAAGGUUUGUUGCUCCAAUCUUUGGCAAACUGUAAACACUUACAAAUUCUUGAUAUUGGAAACAACGUUGGAGAGCUAGAUGUCCCAGUUAGGGCGGUAAUUCGACUAGAGCAAACCGAGUUUUGAGCGGAGCCAAAUUCGAGCCAAGUUUAAUCGAGUCGAGCCGAGUCGGCUCGUUUAGCUAAUCGAGCCUAAAACUUAGCCCGAACUCGACUCAUUUAAUUUCACGAGUCGAGUCGAGCCAACUCGUUUAGCUAAAUGAGCUGAUUUUAACAAGUCGAGCGAGCGAGCUCGUAUAAUUUUAACUUAGUCGAGCCUGAAUCUCUACCCAAACUAUUGGCUCGUGUAAUUUCGCGAGUCGAAUCGAGCCGGCUCGUUUUAUUAAACAAGCCGAAAUUUUUGCCCGAAUUUGCUCGUUUAACAAGCCGAUCUGAGCCUAGUUAAAUGAGUUCGAGUUAGUCGAGCUCGCGAGCUGCGAGCUCACCUGCCAGCUCUAGUCCUAGUCUUGCAAUCAAAUAGGUUUAACGGUAUAGAAAGUGGAAGGAGCACAAGGCAUCCAUUCCCCAAGGCUAUUUACCAAUUCAGUACUUUGAGGAUACAAAAUCAUUCUGCAGGUACUCUUGUAUCUGUACUUUCUUGUACUGUAUGCCACUUUGACAGUAGAGUAAAAUUUAUAUCGACAAACUGCAUAUGUUCUGAACUACUCCUCUAUCCCAAAUUAGAUGAGCUAGUUGACUUUGAGCACGUAACUUAAGGUACAUUGACCAACUAGUUCCGAUAUUUAUUUUUUUAAUUUUUCUUUUGUAAAUGAAAAUUUCAUAUUUAAAUUUUUAUUUGCAAAACUAAAAUUUAAAAAUAUGUAAUGUGGCUAUGCGGUCAAUGUCAACGAGCUCAUCUAAUUUGGGAUUGGGAUGCAGGGAGUAUUACGUACUAUGUUAUGCAAGCUGUUUACAACUUUCAUCAAAAUUUUCAAACAUUUCUGAAUAUGUAUUUUCAAAGAAUUCUCGGGCACUCUUAAGGCCUAUAAUUAUUGGAACUCUCACGUUAUGGACCAGAGGACCACUAUGUAUUUUACAAGCACGACGAAUCAUGUGGUCAUUAUGGACUCCCCAAGCCUUAGAGGACUCAUUCCAGGUUUUAGGAGGACCACUGCCUAGCUCACCCUUUCGGAGUGAUGUAAAUUAGUUUCCAGACACUAAAAAUAAGUAAUCAGAUUAAUCAUUACAAAAUUUUGAUAUAAAAUCAGAAUAAAUCCUAAACUUUGAUGAUACAAAAAAAAUUAUAAUUGUAAAUUAUACAAUCAAAUUAAGAUCGAAUUAACUUCCCUCACACUUAAAAUUUAUAGCGAUCAAAUCAAAAUCGAAUUAACUUUCCUAUUACUAAAAUUUAAUUACAAUAUUAUUAGAUAAAGAGAAUAUAUAAUAAUCAAGAGAAAAUAGAUUUUUUUUUGCCACUCAACUUAUUGUGUUUUAAGAAACUUACCACCCAACUAAAUUUUUUUCCUUUUGCUCACUAAUGUUAGGUUUGGAUUUGUUUUUAGCCACCAAAUAAGGUUCGGAUUUGAUUACCAGCAUUAUGAUAAUUUUUUUUGUCACUAAACUUAUUGCGUCUUUAGAAACUAACCACUGAACUAAAUUUUUUUUAUUUUACUCACUAAUGUUAGAUUUAGUUUUUUUUGUCACUAUAGUUAGGUUCAGAUUUGAUUAUUAGCAUUACAUUAAUUCUGUGUAGCAUUUUUAAAAUAUGGUAGUAGUCUGUGAUAUUUAGAUGAUUUGAUAUAUGUCUGUAUUUUUAUAUAUAGUAUAUUUUAUGUCCCCAAGGUCGUUUACCUUGGGUCAUAAAAAUUUUACACUCAUUUUAUGACUUUUAAAAGAUGUAGUUUCAUAAAUAAUUUUAUUUUUUUCUUUCGAAUUAAAAUUCAGCAUUUGAAUUUUACACACAAAAAAAUCGCAAGAAUAAGAUAUGAAACUAUGCUUUACAAGAGUCUUAAAAUACGUGCUAAACGGUAGAAAAAACUGUAAACUAAUGAGAGGUACAUAGGGAGUAAUAAUAACAUAAAAUGAUGCACAAUCAUCGAAUUAAGUUUUCCUCUCUCUAUAUAUUUAUUUUGUAAAUUUUAAUAAGAUAAAGUUAUUAAAAUUUAUGAUAUAAAUUUAAGAGAUAUCUUAGAUUGAGUGGCAAAAAUUUAGUUGGGUGGUAAGUUUCUAAAAACACAAUAAAUUGAGUGGGAACAAAAUCUAUUUUCCCAAUAAUGAGUGGGAAUAAAAUCUAUUUUCCCAAUAAUCAAAGUGACGAAAAAUCAAAGUCAUCUAAUAAGUCCAGAAAAAAUAUGACCAUUAGUAUAUUGAAAUAAUAUUCACGCAUUUAUAUACGAGAAUAUAUGGUCCACAAGUUAGUGCACAAUGUCCAAGAAUCUUUAUCAAAUAACACGGCAAGCAUGCAGCAUAUAAAUAAGAGUGGGCAGUAUGGUAUUGCAUUCAUAACCCACUUGAGCAGAAAUAUGGCACACUUCCUAAAGCCUUCUCACCUUCUUCUCUUUGUUUUCUUUCUCUCGUUACUUCAAUCCAUUCUACCAACAAGACCAGAGGGAGAAGCUCUUGUGAAAUGGAAGAAUAGCCUAGCCCCGUCUUCUUUUCUCGAUUCUUGGUCACUAACCAAUCUCGAUAAUCUUUGUAACUGGACUGGCAUUACUUGUAACUCUGCAGGUUCAGUCUCUGGGAUUAACCUUUAUGAGAAACAACUUGAUGGAAUGCUGUCCGAGUUUGGCUUCACUUCAUUUCCGAAUCUCAACAAUCUCACCCUCGCAUACAACUUCUUCUCGGGUCCAAUACCACCAGCCAUUGAGAAUUUAACACAGCUUCAAUAUCUUGAUUUAAGCAUCAAUAGUCUCGAUGGUCCCAUUCCUUUCCAGGUUAGCCAUCUUCAGAGGUUGCUCGUCCUAAACCUGUCACAGAAUGCAUUGCAAGCUCCAAAUUGGUCCCAUUUCUCUUCCAUGCCUUUUUUGCGCAUCCUCAAGCUCAGUAGGAAUCAUCUUGUAUCGAAAUUUCCAGAAUUUAUAUCCAAUUCUCAUAGCUUGGCUAUCCUUGACCUUGGCCAGAACAACUUUACAGGUGAUCUUGUGCGUGAAUUUACCAAUCUACAAAAUCUUGAAACCCUCUGGCUUUAUCGUAAUUCUUUUGAGGGGCCAUUUCCGCCGGAUAUAGUCCAGCUUUCCAAACUAAAAGAUCUUGCCCUGUCAAGUAACAAAUUUUCAGGUUCAGUUCCCAAUAACAUAAGGUUGCUUUGUGAUCUUGAAUACCUAUAUUUAGGCAACAAUUCCUUUAAGGGGCCACUUCCACCAAAUAUAUUUAAGCUUUCAAAAUUAAAACAUCUUGUUCUUUGGAGUAAUAAGUUUUCAGGUUCUGUUUCCAAUGAUAUAGGUUUGCUUCAUGAGCUUGUAACCCUCAAUCUUAACUCUAAUUUUUUUGAGGGGCCGCUUCCGCCAAAUGUAUUCAAGCUCUCCAAACUAAAGUUUUUUGCCCUUCAUGAGAAUAACUUUUCAGGUUUUAUUUCUAAGGAUAUAGGUUUGCUUUCCGAACUUGAAAUCCUCUAUUUUGGCUCUAAUUUUUUUGAGGGGCCGCUUCCUCCACAUGUAUUUAGGCUCUCCAAAUUAAGAGGUCUGGACCUCUCACACAAUAGAAAUUUAUUUGAAGGAAGUAUUCCUAUUGGACUGGGACUCUUGACUAACCUCAGGUACUUAGAUCUACAUUCCAAUAAUCUCGGUGGCUAUAUUCCAUCUGACAUUGGAAACCUGAAGCUACUAGUACUUCUUGAUCUCGGUUCUAAUCAAUUGACUGGACCGCUUUCAAAGAUCGUUUCUAAUCUCACAAAUCUUAUAUGUCUUGAUGUAAGUCAUAAUAGUCUUAGUGGAAAUAUUCAGAGUGACUUGUGGAAAUAUAACGAUCAUCCAACUUUGGAAUACAUCAAUUUAAGUGGGAACCAUUUUACGGGUAUAGUUUUUCUCUAUAGAUCUUUUCCUUUUCUCAUAUGUAACUAAGCUAGUAAUCUGAUUAUUGCAGUUUCACCAAAGUUUCAACAAUCUUGACAGGUGAGCUUCCAACAACAAUUUGCAAUGUCACUUCCCUUUCGGUUCUUGAUUUGUCAAAUAAUGAAUUAAGUGGUGCACUUCCAAACUCUUUGGGGAAUCUUGCUGAUGGAAUGCUUUACCUUAAUCUUGCUAAUAAUCAGUUUCGAGGAACAAUACCAACUACUUUCUCCAGGAGUUGUCGGUUGACAUAUCUAAACAUGGAUAAUAAUGAGUUUGAAGGAUUGUUGCCCCCAUCUUUGGCGAACUGUAAGCACUUGAAAAUUCUUGAUAUAGGCAAUAAUAAAAUAGGUGGUACAUUUCCGUCAUGGCUUUAUGCACUUGGAGAGCUAGAAGUUCUUGUCUUGCGAUCAAAUAAACUCUAUGGUACGAUAAGUGGAAGGAGCAUAGAAGAUCCCUUCCCCAAGUUGCGGAUUGUGGAUCUGUCCCACAAUCAAUUGACAGGCUAUUUGCCAAUUCAAUACUUUAAGAAUAUGAAAUCAACUGAUAAUUUGUAUCGUUAUCGGAAUUCCACAGGACCAUUAUCUUUCUCUUAUGAAGCAGCAGUCUCAUUAACUGUGAAGGGAACAGAGUACGAGGUAGCAAAGAACCUUCAUAUUUACACAGCCAUUGACCUGUCGUGCAACAAAUUUCAGGGAGAAAUUCCAAAGGUUACUGGAGAGCUUAGAUGGCUUGCAUUGCUGAAUUUAUCUCAUAAUAGUCUGACAGGACCUAUCCCAUCCUUGCUGAAAAAUAUGAAAGAACUCCAAUCUUUAGAUUUGUCCUCAAAUCAACUGACAGGGGCUAUUCCACCUCAGUUAACUGCAUUGACAUUUCUGGAGGUCUUCAACCUCUCGGGAAACCAUCUUAGUGGAGAGAUUCCUCAGAAAGGGCAGUUCAGCACAUUUAACAAUGAUUCUUAUCUAGGAAACUCCGCGUUAUGUGGAUCACCUUUGACAAAGAAAUGUGCAAACACAGCAUCACCUCCACAAGAAGUCGGAAAUGGUGAUGAAGAUGAUGCUGGUGAUGAAUGGACAUGGGAAGCAAUCGUGAUGGGAUAUGGAUGUGGACUGAUAUGUGGAUUGUCAUCUGCGUACAUUGUUCUCAAACUAGGAAAGCCUUGGUGGUUUGUGAGAUAUAUCGAAGUGCUGCAACUGAAGUUGAUGAAAAGAUAUGCUUGAAAAAUUGUACUGGCCGAUCAAGACGAACUUGAAAGUUGUUGUCCUUGUGGACAUUUCUGAACCAGUAGUGUACUAGCUGCAUAAGUAUUUGGUAUUAUGUAAUAAUCCGUUUGGUCAGGACUCAUAAUGAUUUCUCUUGCUUCAGGGGUAUUAAUAUUAACCUUGCUAGUUAAUUCAAAUUAAAACAAAUAUAAAAUCAAAAAAUUUGCAUCAAACACCUGUUAUACCAACAUCCAUUAAUUUGCUUUCAUCUCUUACGUAACAAUUUAACAGCGAUUCCACACUGUUUUAGGCAUGGAGAUUACACAAAGAAGGCAAGUCCAUGAACUAAUAUAUUAACCCGUAGUCCACAUCUAUGCUACGAACAAUUCAUAUUGGUCUUCCAUCUAUUCAACCGUCUCCCGAAGAUAGGCCAAAAAUGUCAUCUGUGGUUCUUAUCUUUGUCAGUAAAGGAGAAUCUCUGAUGCCUAUACAACCUGGUUUUCUUACAGAAAGGAAUGUAGGUGAAACCAGGGGCAUAAAAUGAAUCGGGACUAAAAUCUGCUAAAAUGAUAAUUAUUUACUCAUCAUUCGAGAUUAGUCGGGCUCAAAUGAAGAUUUAUAUGGAUUUUAAGAACAAACUAUGACUAAAUAUGAAAACUAGACAACCUGGUUUUCUUACAGAAAGGAAUGUAGGUGAAACCAGGGGCGUAAAAUGAAUCGGGACUAAAAUCUGCUAAAAUGAUAGUAAUUAUUUACUCAUCAUUCAAGAUUAGUCGGGCUCAAAUGAAGAUUUAUAUGGAUUUUUAAGAACAAACUAUGACUAAAUAUGAAAAAAAUCAUUAAUUUUUCCGACUCAAUAUUUUUUAGCCUCCCCCGGCCCUGGGUGAAACCAUAAGCUUCUCUGGUGCACAUCCAAAUCAUUCAGCUGGUUCUGCAGGUACUCUUCUAUCUGUACUUUCUUAUAUUGUUUGCCAGUACAUUUUAUAUCGACAAACUGCACAAUACACCUCGAUCUCAUACACAGGUGAACUCCUGCAUAUGCUUUGUGAUGUCAUUGAUGAUCGAUAGACUUGAAAAAAAAUUAUGACAAAGAUUCAUAAAAUAUCUACUUCCAUCCUAAUUCAGUAUUCAAUAUUAUUCAUCCCGUAUCAUCAUCCAAUCAAUUCUAAUAGUUCUUCUUUAAAUCAGUACAAAUAUUGUUAAAUACCUCGAUGAUGGUUGUCUUCCCGUGAACCAAUCAUAAAAUUACCUCUGUAUAAAUCCAUCGGAAAUAAGACAGUUAAUAUCCCAAUCGAAUACACCCCGUCAGUUGUCAAACUCCUCGAAACGUAUUAAUCACUUUAGAAAAUUUGUUCCACUGGCGCUAGUCAGUCCCAGAGUUGGUGGUGGGUGCUUCUGGGCUUUCGAAAAACACCCAUUUACUCCAUUGUUUAGAGAAGUAAAACCCCACCUUCCGCUCAUUUGAUUGAUCAGCUGAAUUAGGCAGAGUUUACAUGGUCAUGAUCAUAGUCUCCCAUUUCCCAGAUACGCGAAUUAUAGUGGAUUUAUCUUUAUCAGUAAUUUCUGUGGAGAUGCAUAAUCAUUAUAAGCUCCAAUAUAAAAAUUUAAAGUUAGUAUGGGCAUUUGUGUUGAUAAUUUGCGCAAUGUUAACAGGAUUGCUCCCAAGUCUUGGACGGACUCUUUCAAAGUCUUCUCAGGACCCAUCUGCACACUGAUUUGUCUGCCAACUAAAAAAUCAACAAUAUGUUACUCACUCCGUUUUUCUUAAACGAGGUUAAAAUUUUUGACACAAGAUGGGUUGACAGUAUAAUAAAAUUAACAUUUUUGUGAAUAAAAAUUUUGGUUGUAUUAUUUUAUUUAGAAAAAGAAAAUCUUGAAAAUAAUAUUAUUAACUACCCAGUCAAAUCACUUAAAAGUAUAUGUCCAAAAUUAAAGCGGCAUAUAAAAAAACCGAGAGAGAGUAUGUACUAACCUGUUUCCAUAACAGUUUACAAGUAUAAGUUAUACUCCCUCUCUAUUUUUUUAUAUGACGCUUUGAUUUUGGGCACAUAUUUUUAAGUGUUUUGACCGGAUAAUUAAAAAUAUUAUUUUCUAAAAUUUUUAAAAGAAAGUAAAAUUGAAAAAAAAAUAGAAAGCUGGUAUUUUUGAUAAAUUUCCAAACAUAAUCAAGAACAAUAAUUUUUACUAUCCAAUCAACUCAUUUACAGAUGUGUGUCAAAAAUCAAAAUAUCAUAUAAAAAACAACAAUAUGUUACUCCCUCCGUUUUUCUUAAACUGAGGUUAAAAUUUUUGACACAAGAUGGGUUGACAGUAUAAAAUUAAAAUUUUUGUGAAUAAAAAUUUUGGUUAUAUUUUUUAUUUAAAAAGAAAAUCUUGAAAAUAAUAUUAUUAACUACCAGUCAGAUCACUUAAGUGUAUGUCCAAAAUUAAAGCGGCAUAUAAAAAAAAGGGAGGAAGCAUGUACUAACUGUUUCCAUAACAGUUUACAAGUACAAGUUAUACUCCCUCUCUAUUUUUUCUAUGACGCUUUGAUUUUGGGCACACAUUCUUAAGUGUUUUGACCGGAUAGUUAAAAAUUUAUCUUCUAAAAUUUUUAAAAAGAAGUAAAAUCGCAAAAAAAAUUAGAAAGCUGGUAUUUUUGAUAAAUUUCCAAAUAUGUAAUCAAGAACAAUAACUUUUACUAUCCAAUCAACUCAUUUAAAGAUGUGUGUCAAAAAUCAAAAUAUCAUACAAAAAAUAGGUAUACAUUUUUUUUAAUAGAUUAUACUCCCUCUGUUCCAAAAUAAUUGUCAGCUGUGACAUUUUGCAAAAGUAGCUGGGGGGUAAUAACAAGACCUUAGUCAACCCAAGCACAGCAGACAGCAGGCAUAAGGCAUCAGGAAUUUCACAGCACCAUUAUCUUUCUCUUAUUAACUGUGAAGGGAACAGAGUAUGAAGUAGCAAGAACCUUCAUAUUUACACAGCCAUUGAUCUGUCGUGCAACGAAUUUCAGGGAGAAAUUUCAAAGGUUACUGGAGAGCUUAGAUGGCUUGCAUUGCUCAAUUUAUCUCAUAAUAGUCUCACAGGACCUAUCCCAUCAUUGCUGAGAAAAAUGAAAGAACUCCAAUCUUUAGAUUUGUCCUCAAAUCAACUGACAGGGGCUAUUCCACCUCAGUUAACUGCAUUGACAUUACUUUUCUCUUUAUAUCCUUUCCUUUUGUAUGUACCUAUGCUAAUUAUCUGAUUAUCAAAAUUAUAACAAAGCUUCAAGAUUUUUAACAGGUGAGCUUCCACUAAAAAUUUGCAAAGUCACUUCCCUUUCGCGUCUCAUUAUGUCAGAUAAUGGGUCAAGUGGUGCACAUCCACAGUGUUUGGGGAACCUUUCUUUGCUUGGUUUCAAUAAUCUUGCUAAUUAUCAAUUUCAAGGACCAAUACCAACGACUGUCCAAGACUUGUCUGUGCAUAUCUAAACAUCCAUAACAAUCACUUUGAAGGUUUGUUGCUGCAAUCUUUGACAAACUGUAAACACUUACAAAUUCUUGAUAUUGGAAACAACAAAAUAGGUGGUACAUUUCGGUCAUGGCUAUUUAUUUUGGAGAGCUAGAUGUCCUAGUUAGGGCGGUAAUUCAACUAGAGCAAACCGAGUUUUGAGCGGAGCCAAAUUCGAGCCAAGUUUAAUCGAGUCAAGCCGAGUCGGCUCGUUUAGCUAAUCGAGCCUAAAACUCUGCCCGAACUCGACUCGUUUAAUUUCACGAACGAGUCAAGCGAGUGAGCUCGUAUAAUUUUAACUUAAUCGAGCCUAAAUCUCUACCCGAACUAUUGGCUCGUGUAAUUUCGCGAGUAGAAUCGAGCCGGCUCGUUUUAUUAUAGAAGCCGAAAUUUUUGCCCGAAUUUGGCUUGUUUAACAAGCCGAUCUUUCAUCAAAAAUUUCAAACAUUUCUGAAUAUGUAUUUUCAGAGAAUUUCUCCAGCACUCUUAAGGCCUAUAAUUAUUGCAACUCUCACGUUAUGGACCACUGUGUAUUUUACAAGCACGACGAAUCAUGUUGUCAUUAUGGACUCCCCAAGCCUUAGAGGACUCAUUCCAGGUCUUAGGAGGACCACUGCCUAGCUCACCCUUUCGGAGUGAUGUAAAUUAUUUUCCAAACAUUAAAAAUAAAUAAUCAGAUUAAUCAAUACAAAAUUAAAGAUAUAAAAUCAGAAUAAAUCCUAAACUUUGAAUAUACAAAAAAAAUUAUAAUUGUAAAUUAUACAAUCAAAUUAAAAUUGAAUUAACUUCCCUCACACUUAAAAUUUAUAGCGAUCAAAUCAAAAUCGAAUUAACUUUCCUAUUACUAAAAUUUAGUUACAAUAUUAUUAGAUAAAGAGAAUAUAUAAUAAUCAAGGGAAAAUAGAUUUUUUUUUUUUGCCACUCAACUUAUUGUUUUUUAAGAAACUUACCACCCAACUAAUUAUUUUUUCCUUUUGCUCACUAAUGUUAGGUUUGGAUUUGUUUUUAGCCACCAACUAAGGUUCGGAUUUGAUUACUAGCAUUAUGAUAAUUUUUUUUGUCACUAAACUUAUUGUGUCUUUAGAAACUAACCACUCAACUAAUUUUUUUUUAAUUUACUCACUAAUGUUAGGUUCAGUUUUUUUUUGUCACUGAAGUUAGGUUCGGAUUUGAUUAUUAGCAUUACAUUAAUUCUGUGUAGCAUUUUUAAAAUAUGGCUCAUAAGAAUUUUACACGCAUUUUAUGACUUUUAAAAGAUGUAGUUUCAUUAAUAAUUUUAUUUUUUUCUUCCGAAUUAAAAUUUAGCGUUUGAAUUUUACACACAAAAAAUCGAAAGAAUAAGUUAUGAAAGUAUGCUUUAUAAGAGUCUUAAAAUACGUGCUAAACGGUAGAAAAAACUGUACACUAAUGACAGGUAAAUAGGGAGUAAUAAUAACAUAAAAUGAUGCACAAUCAUCGAAUUAAGUUUUCCUCUCUCUAUAUAUUUAUUUUGAAAAUUUUAAUAAGAUAAAGUUAUUAAAAUUUAUGAUAUAAAUUUAAGAGAUAUCUUAGAUUGAGUGGCAAAAAUUUAGUUGGGUGAUAAAUUUCUAAAAACACAAUAAAUUGAAUGGGAACAAAAUCUAUUUUCCCGAUAAUCAAAGUGACGAAAAAUCAAAGUCAUCUAAUAAGUCCAGAAAAAAUAUGACCAUUAGUAUAUCGGAAUAAUAUUCACACAUUUAUAUACGAGAAUAUAUGGUCCACAAGUUAGUGCACAAUGUCCAAGAAUCUUUAUUAAAGUAACACGGCAAGCAUGCAGCAUAUAAAUAAGAGUGGGCACUGGGCAGUAUGGUAUUGCAUUCAUAACCCACUUGAGGAGAAAUAUGGCACACUUCCUAAAGCCUUCUCACCUUCUUCUCUUUGUUUUCUUUCUCUCGUUACUUCAAUCCAUUCUACUAACAAGACCAGAGGGAGAAGCUCUUGUGAAAUGGAAGAAUAGCCUUGCCCCUUCUUCUUUUCUCGAUUCUUGGUCACUCACCAAUCUCGAUGAUCUUUGUAACUGGACUGGCAUUACUUGUAACUCUGCAGGUUCAGUCUCUGAGAUUAACCUUUAUGAGAAACAACUUGAUGGAAUGCUGUCCGAGUUUAGUUUCACUUCAUUUCCAAAUCUUAACAGUCUCACUCUCGCAUACAACUUCUUCUCGGGUCCAAUACCACCAGCCAUUGAGAAUUUAACACAGCUUCAAUAUCUUGAUUUAAGCAUCAAUAGUCUCGAUGGUCUCAUUCCGUUCCAGGUUAGCCAUCUUCAGAGGUUGCUCGUCUUAAACCUGUCACAGAAUGCAUUGCAAGCUCCAAAUUGGUCCCAAUUCUCUCCCAUGCCCUUUUUGUGCAGCCUCAACCUCAGUAGCAAUCCUCUUGCGUCGAAAUUCCCAAAUUUCAUAUCCAAUUCUCAUGGCCUGACUCACCUUAGCCUUGAUCAAAACGAGUUUACAGGUGAUUUAGCGCGUGAAUCAAUAUUUGCCAAUCUGCAUAAUCUUGAAGUCCUCAGUCUUGUUGGCAAUUCUUUUGAGGGGCCAUUUCUGCCAAAUAUAUUCAAGCUUUCCAAAUUAAAACGUCUCACCCUGUCAAGUAACAAAUUUUUAGGAUCAAUUCCCAAUGACAUAAGGUUGCUUUGUGAUCUUGAAUUCCUGUAUUUAGGAAACAAUUCUUUUGAAGGACCGCUUCCACCAAAUAUAUUCAAGCUUUCAAAAUUAAAACAUCUUGUUCUUUGGAGUAAUAAGUUUUCAGGUUCUGUUUCCAAUGAUAUAGGUUUGCUUUCUGCGCUUGAACUUUUGAAUCUUCACUCUAAUUUUUUUGAGGGGCCGCUUCCGCCAAAUGUAUUCAAGCUCUCUAAACUAAGGUUUCUUAACCUCUGGGGUAACAACUUUUCAGGUUCUGUUUCCAAUGAUAUAGGUUUGCUUCCGGAGCUAGAAAUCCUCAAUCUUCACUCUAAUUUUUUUGAGGGCCGCUUCCGCCAAAUAUAUUCAAGCUCUCUAAACUAAGGUUUCUUAACCUUUGGGGUAAUAACUUUUCAGGUUCUGUUUCCAAUGAUAUAGGUUUGCUUCCUGAGCUAGAAUUCCUCAAUCUUCACUCUAAUUUUUUUGAGGGUCCGCUUCCGCCAAAUGUAUUCAAGCUCUCUAAACUAAAGUUUCUUCAUCUUCGAGGUAAUAAGUUUUCAGGUUCUGUUUCCAAUGAUAUAGGUUUGCUUCCUGAGCUUGAAAUCCUCAAUCUUCGCUCUAAUUUUUUUGAGGGGCCGCUUCCGCCAAAUGUAUUCAAGCUCUCCAAACUAAGGUUUCUUUCCCUUAAGGAAAAUAAAUUUUCAGGUUCUGUUUCCAAUGAUAUAGGUUUCCUUUCUGAGCUUGAAUACCUAUAUCUUGACUAUAAUUUAUUUGAAGGAAGUAUUCCUAUUGGACUGGGACUCUUGACUAACCUCAGCUACUUAGAUCUAAGUUCCAAUAAUCUCAGUGGCUAUAUUCCAUCUGACAUUGGAAACCUGAAGCUACUAGUAUUUCUUGAUCUCAGUUCUAACCAAUUGACUGGACCGCUUUUAAAGAUCGUUUCUAAUCUCACAAAUCUUAUGAAUCUUGAUGUAAGUGAUAAUAGUCUUAGUGGAAAUAUUCAGAGUGACUUGUGGAAGAACUCUAUAUCCUUACGUUACAUUAAUUUUGCAAAUAAUUAUUUGUCUGGGAACAUUCCUAAGGAAUACAACGAUCAUCCAACUUUGGAAUACAUCAAUUUAAGUGGGAACCAUUUUACAGGUAUAUUUUUCUCUAUAUAUCUUUUCCUUUUCUCAUAUGUAACUAAGCUGGUAAUCUGAUUAUUGCAGUUUUACCAAAGUUUCAACAAUCUUGACAGGUGAGCUUCCAACAACAAUUUGCAAUGUCACUUCCCUUGCGGUUCUUGUUUUGUCAAAUAAUGGAUUAAGUGGAGCACUUCCAAAUUGUUUCGGGAAACUUGCUGAUAGAUUGCUUUCCAUUAAUCUUGCUAAUAAUCAGUUUCGAGGAACAAUACCAACUACUUUCUCCAGGAGUUGUCAGGUGAAAUAUCUAAACAUGGAUAAUAAUGAGUUUGAAGGAUUCUUGCCCCCAUCUUUGGCGAACUGUAAGCACUUGAAAAUUCUUGAUAUUGGCAAUAACAAAAUAGGUGGUCCAUUUCCGUCAUGGCUUUAUGUACUUGGAGAGAUAGAAGUCCUUGUCUUGCGAUUAAAUAAACUCUAUGGUACAAUAAGUGGAAGGAGCGUAAAAGAUCCCUUCCCCAAGUUGCGGAUUGUGGAUCAAUAGACAUCGGCUAAAAAGCGAUGUCUAUGUAAAAUCAGACCGAUGUCUUCGUGGGUGAUGAGAAAAGUAAGUGCAUUACACAUCGCUUUCUAGCCGAUGUCUAUAACCUAUUUACACAUCGUUUAAUAUGACAAUCUGAUGUAUUUUUUAACAGUAGAUACCUUCACUAUAAUUUCAGUUCCUCAUUCCUAUGCCCUCUAUAUCAUUUUAAACUUGUCACAUGCUUAAUAAAAUGAUACUUUAACAUCUUAAAACUUGUAAAAUAGAUGUAUAUGAUAACCUUUUACAUCAUGCUUUUAUAGGAAGUGAUGUGGUACCCUUCUUUUCUUUAAGAAAGCGAUGUCUUUGUUCUUGUUUUACAUCAGUGAUUUUUAUACUCUGAUAUCUAUUAUAUAGUUUAACAUCAGGCUUUUUCUUGUUAACUGAUAUGUAUUCAUUCUUAUGACAUCGCUUACUAAGUGAUGUAAAUGUUAGUUUUAAAUUGCCAUGAAUCCUCCUGUUUCUUAUGAAUCCCCCUGUUUCAUUUAAAUUUCCAACAAAUUCCAAAACAACACCAAAGCUAUACUAAUUAAACAACCAAUUACCAAUGUCUAGCCUACCAUAACAGAACUAAAACAAAACUAGCUAGCAAAACAAUACUUCCGCAAAAGCCAAAUAUAUUACCAUCAAUCAUUACCAAUCAAAUUACAUCCCACAAUCAAAGAAACUGCACAAAUCCUAAAUAUUAACCAAGCAACCAUAAUUUACAAGCAGUUCACCACGUACUCCAGCAACCAUAAUUUACCAACUACAUUUCCCUCCAUUUAUCAACAAAAUCUACUUAGCUAGCUAGUGUCACUGUCUUACAUAAACUGAACUAAUUAAAGGAAACCAAAGUUCUCCAAUAAACCAAAGGCCUGUUUAUAAGAAGGACUCGAUAUGGCUAAGUGUCUCAAACCGAACCUCGUCAAGCUCAGCCUUGGAACAAAUCACUUUUCGAUUCUUGGAUGCCCACUGAAAAAUGUAAAACAAUAACAUUGAAUUAUACCUAAAUUUAUAUGUACACCAUUUAAUUAUAUCAACAAUGGAUUAGGCAAAGAAAAAUACCCUUUUAAAAAAUGUCAUUUCAUUGUCCAUGACAAUCUCUUUCAUAUACCGCAUAAUAACAUAGCCGCAUUCAGUUCCACCGGGCUGUUUAGGACAUCCCUAUUUAACCAAAAAAAACUCAAAAUAGUAAGUAAAGUAAUGCCCCUGGUUCUAAGCAUCAGUAGCACAAAUUGUUAAAAAUAAAUACGAAAGCUUACUGUAAUAUAUUUGAAGCUUGGGGCUUUAUUUCCCCUUCCGGCCUGAACAUUGAAAGUAAUCACAGCCCUGUCAUCUUGGCAGUGUUAAUAAUGCACAUGCAUUUAUAUCUCCAUAAGAAAGAUAAUCAAUAAAAAAAUAAAUGAAAAUACCUUGAUAUUGCUUUUUCCAAGUUGGGGAAACUAGUUGAACGAGGCAGAGGAUUAAGUAUGAAAACCUCGCCACCCCAAAACAGAACCAAUACCCAAUGGAAACUAUUUUUAACAAAUAUUUAUGAAAAACACAAUUACUAUCAAAAUCAUAUAAAUUUUAUUUUCAGUCAUGUAAAAAACUAAAUAAAAGAGAUUUAUAAUAAAUAAGAAAACACUUAAGCUACUUACUUGCUAUUAUGCGGCAUCAAAAAGAGACGAUCAGGAUUACCCUCUUUAAAUCGAUUAACCAAGUUAUCUUCAAAAGAAUUGUUCAUCAAGUUCAGCGAGGCUCCAGGAUCACAAAAAGCAAAUUGAUCCUUAGUGCCAUUUUCACGAACCACGCAAUGCAAGUAUCUACAUUGUAAAUGAAAUGAAAUUAUAUAAAAUUACACGAAUAUGAAUUAUAACUAAACAACAGUCAUGAUCUAGAAGACAGUAAUUAAAAAAAGUUUACUCACGCCAUGUAUGCAGCAAUUGCUGCUUGGCCAAUCAUAUUAAACUCCAGCAAGGCGACUAUGUUUUCAUACAAGAUGAAGAUUCUUUUCUCGAUACCAAACACCUCAGCAUCACACGGGAUUUGAAUUGAGUCUCCGGAGGAUUGCAUAAAUGUUGUUGCAUGUUUAUACAACAACCGAAAGCGUUUUGGAACAUUUUUAUUGAUCUCCAUGUUAUGAAACAAGGACUGGACUUUAUCUAAAUCGGUUUUAGGUUCCUUUACUUUCCGUUUACCUUUCUGAAAAAUGAACAAAAUUAAUUUAAAACAAAAUAUAACAAAAUAUAGGGGUAACAUAUAAUAGUACAAUCCAGUACAACAAUUAUGUUAAAGUACACACCAUAGUAGGAAUAGUAGGAGGGGCAUUUGGGAAUAUGAUCAAGUCGCGGGGCCAUGAGACGUACGAGCCAACAGCUUGCUCUACUGUUUCAAUCUCACCUGGUACCGGUUUAGGAAUCUUGGCUUGUCCUUGAAUUGGGCCAUCCACUGAGACGCGAACACAUCCAGGCUCUAUCGGCACUCCAUGUAUAGAUUUGUUCAUGUUAUCAUCAUCAAACAACAAACCAAAUGCCACUUUAUUUUCUAUUGUGCCUACAGCCAACUCACAUUUUCGUGGACCGGCCUACACACAUAUAUUUAAACAAUUAUGACGAAUGCUUGAAAUAUGUUGAGCUAAAUUGAAUAAAUGUGCUAGUUAUUUUACCUUAUUCUCUGGUGGAUUAGGUUCCAAGUCAACUUCAAUCAUCUCUGGUUCCAGUUUUUUCACCACCUCUGUCUUAGCUUCUUUGACAGUGUUUGCCUCACAACUUGCUUUAUCAGAAGCAAUAGGAGAUGAAAUAUUUGCUUUGCUGAGCAAGGCCUUCAUUUCAGCCAUCUCCUGCCUUGUCUUCUCCAUUUCCAUGGCCAUCUCUUUCUUGGCUUUCUCCAGCUCCGCGUCCCUCUCUCGAUCCCUCUCCAACAACUCAGCUUUGGUGAUUCUAUUUCUUCUUCCUGGUGGUAUAUUAAAAAAAAUUGACGGGCUCACAAAGCCUCCAACUCCUCGAACCCUCCCCGAAUGUUCAGGAGUUUGUAGGGCCGUAGUCAACACAUCUCGACUCCCAGAAGGAGUGAAUUCCCCCUUACUUUGCUGCUCUAGUAAAAUAUUCUGACAUGAAAAAUAUGAACAUACAAAUCAUCAUCUAGUGAACCUCAUCAUCAAUAUUAACUUUAAUUUUACGAGCCUUUUAAUUAUAAAUACUCACAAUUCUUUUUCCUAUUUCAGCUAGGUCUGAAUCCUCAUCAUCAGCAUCAUCAGCCUCAUCAUCAUCAUCAACAUUAUCAUUAUCAUCAUCAAUUUUAAUUUUACGAGCCUUUUGCCACAUGAGAGCCCGAUCAGGUUCUUCAUCGGCAGCCAAAGUUCCUUUCUUGAUCUGAUUAAAAUCAAAAAAAAAUUAAAAAGGCCAAGAUAUGUAAAAUACAAUUAUUUAGGUUCAAUGCUUAAAAUACAACUAUUUUUAUACCUCUUCUUCCAAUAAUCCAAUGUAACCCUUUCUUGAUGUCCGGUGAGGAUAUUUUCGAUUACUCACCCUCAGCUUUUGUUUUUCACUAAAAGACUUCAAAUAUUUUAAAUAAUAUUAGAAUACUAUUUUUCAGAAUAUAAAAAGACAUUUAUAUCACAAUAAAGCAGAACAUAAAAUAUAUUUCAUACCAGAAAUUUCGAGGUAGUCCUCUCAGCAACAAAAUUUUUCCAAGCCUCCUUUCCAACAAAAGCAUACUUCUUUGGAGGCUUUCGUAAUUUCUUCUUCUGCCCAAGAUACGGCCUCACAUAAUCUCUUGUUAAAUUUGCUUUAAAAUUCCUCCACUUUGCUCCUGCAGACCUGAUCAACCCCUUCUCAAGUUGCUUAGGAACUUUAAAUGUCUCCUGCAACCAAUGUUAAUUGACAAAAUUUACAAAAUUAUACUCUAAAUGAGUAGAAGAAAAUGCAAAAUUUACAAAAUGCAUAGGAGAUUACUUAUUUUUAUACCUUCACAUCAAUCCAUAUUUUCUCCUUUAGUUCAUCAGGUACCUUUGACCAGUUAGGAUAAUCAAUCGGAAUCAUUGUCCUAGCCAACAUUCCAGUGUAGGAUUGUAGACUGUGCCUUGCAUCCCCUGUAGGAACUCCAUGUGCAUUACAUGAAACCUUUGUUUUCUUGCCCUGCGCCUUCCUCACCACCACUUUAUACAUAGCAGAAACCCCUCGGGCACCCCCACGCUUUUUCUUUGCUGUUUCAGAUGUUGUAACUGUUGCAUCCGUUUCCUCCACAGAAUUCACAUUUUCUCCCUGAGGUUCUGUUGUCAGCUCCAACCUUUUAUCUGAUGCCUCAUCCGACUUUUUGGAGUCUUCAUGGAAUUGUACUUUGGUUUUUUGCUUUUUAUUUGCCAUUUAUCUUCUUCAAUCUGAAAAUGAAACAUAUAUAAUCCAUUAGUCACAGGCAUAUAUACGAGCAAUUACAGGAUAAGCAGUUAUAAAGUUACAUAAGCCUACAUAAGCCGUUACAAAAUUGUAAAAAUGCAUAACUAAACAUUUACACAGAGUGAAAAUUACAGGAGUCUAAUUACACAGAGUAAAUUACAAAGUUGCAUCACAUAUAUUACAUGACUUGAAAUAAUGUUAUCACAGAGUAAAUUACAAAGUCUCAUCACAAAAUUAACUAUUACAUGACUUGAAAUAAUGUUAUCACUUCUUAACCCAAGUGCCCUUAAUAUUUUCUCUAAUACUUUUCUCAACAUCAUCACCGACAUCACAUGUAGGAAUUUGGCAGCAGAAUGGAGGAUUUUCCAUGGUUGUGUCUCCUAAAUCAUCAUCGUUAUACACCUCUUGGUAGUCUCGAGUUGUAGAGGUUAAUACGACGGACCACUUGGCAUCCACCGGAUCUUCAAUAUAAUAAACUUGCUUUACUUGAUCUAUAGACACGUAUUUAUCUCUCUUGUGGCCUUGUCGACUUAGAUCGACAAGUGUGAACCCAAGAUCAUCCACCUUAAUUCCCUUGUCAUUGUCCGCCCAAUUACAUAAAAACAGUGGGGCUUUGAAUGCAUGAUAAUCCAGCUCCCAUAUAUCUAGGAUAACACCAUAAAAUGUCAAGUCACUUUCUACGGGGUUUAAAUCUUUAGCGCUAGACACUUGGACAGUUUUAGCAACUAAAGACACUCCGCUGUUUUGAACUACCCUCACAUUGUCUCGCUGUUUUGUAAAGUAUCGGACCCCGUCUACUAGAUAAGCUUCGUAAGUCAUAACUGAAAAUGAUGGUUUUCCAGCUAUCCAUCUUACUGUCUCUGAAACUCCUCCAGGAUUCUCCACCAUUUCACUACUGACCUACACAUUUCAUAAACAGAAAUUAUCCUAAAUUACUAUAGAGAAAAUAAAUUAGGCACAAAUGAAACUAUAAAAAUACUAACUUUUUCUAGAAACCAAUCAGCAAAACUGUUAUUGUGCUCUCUCAAGAGCCAAUGAACGCUUUUCUUUUUCCCACGAUGGAUUUCCUCUAGAUACUCCUUAUGCAUUCUGCCAAAAAUUAUAUAUUCAUUAAAGAAGUAGUUUAUACAGAAUGUAUAUAUUAAUUGAACAGCCACAAAAUUAAAAAAAUCUUACAAGAUAUAUGGCUGUACUUCAAGGUUGUUUAGAAGAACGUGUAAAUGAGCUUCAUCCCUCUCUUUUUCUUCGAUUGAUUUCAUUACCGCAACAGAUAAUGGACCACUUAACUUGCCUUCAUCUUUGCGAAGACCAGCAGUGGUGCAAGUUUGCUUGACAAACUCUUGGCAGAAUUCAAUCGAUUCUUCUCCAAGAUAACAUUCUGCUAUACAACCUUCGGGGUAGUAACGAUUGCGUACGUAACUCUUCAACACCUUAUUAAACCUCUCAAAUGCAUACAUCCAUCUAUAGAAGACUGGCCCACAUAACCGUAAUUCCCGAACCAAGUGCACUAUGAGAUGUAUCAUUACAUCAAAAAAUGAUGCAGGAAAAAUUUUUUCUAGCUCGCACAAAGUUACUAUUACAUCUGAUUGCAAUUUAUCUAGUUUAGAUACGUCGACAACUUUGCUGCAUAAAGCAUUAAAGAAGAAACACAAUCUAAUUAUUGUGACCCUGACUUUUUUUGGAAGUACCGCGCGAAUUGCAAUAGGAAGUAAUUGUUGAAGUAGGAUGUGGCAAUCGUGGGACUUCAACCCAAACAUUUUUAAUUCUUCCAUGGAAACACAGUUUUUAAUGUUUGACGCGUGUCCAUAAGGAAGUUUCAUGUGCAUUAACGAUGACAACAUCUUCUUCUUUUCUGCCUUGGACAAAUUAAAAAUCGAAGGAGGUAAAUAGGUCUUUCUUUCUCCUUUUUGUGGAGCUAGAUCAGCCCUAACCCCCAUGUCAAUCAUGUCAAGACGAGAAGCUUCACUAUCUUUAGACUUAUGUUUCAUAUUCAGUAGUGUGCCAAUCAAGCUAUCACACACGUUUUUCUCCACGUGCAUAACAUCUAGACAAUGACGGACAUGGUGAAAUUUCCAAUACUCUAACUCGAAGAAAAUUGACUUUUUCUUCCAUGGACAGUCAACCUUCUUUGACUUCCUUACUUCUUUCCCAAACUGAAAUUCAAUUUUUUCUUGCUGCAAUAAAACCUCUUCUCCCGAAAGAGGUUGACGUGCCUGCCCUAAUUCUUGUUGUCCAUUAAAAGCAGCUUUUUGCUUCCUAUAUGGAUGAUUUCUAGCCAAGUAACGUCGAUGACCUUGGUAACACAUCUUCCUACUAUGGCUUAAAUACUUUGCAACAGUAUCAUCACCACAUAUUGGACAAGACAUAUAACCUUUAUUAACACAUCCGGACAGAUUUCCAUAUGCGGGAAAGUCGUUUAUUGUCCACAAUAAAAUUGCUUUUAAAGUGAAAUACGACUUAGUGUGUGCAUCAUAGACAUUUGGUUCACCUUCCUCCCACAACUUCUUUAAAUCAUCGAUUAGAGGCUGUAAAUAUACAUCAAGGUCAUUACCAGGCUCAUGAGGACCGGGAACUAAAACUGUUAGCAUCAUAAACUUCCUCUUCAUGCAUAACCACGGAGGAAGAUUAUAAGUCACUAGUACUACUGGCCAACAAGUGUAUCUAUUGGUUAGACCGUUAUUAUGCGGGUUUAUACCAUCUGCAGACAACGCCAAGCGAAUAUUUCUUGCCUCACUACCGAAGGCAGGCCACCUAUAGUCGAUAUUUCUCCAAGAAGGAGAGUCGGCUGGAUGCCGCAUCUUUCCAUCUUCUAUUCGCUGCUUUGCGUGCCAGGUAAUCAGUUCAGAUGUAGAAGGAGAUUUAAACAUUCGCUUCAAUCUCGGAAUAAUUGGAAAAUACCACAUUAUUUUAGCAGGAACAUUAAUCCUUACUUUACCAUCCUUUCCUAACUUCCAGCGAGAUAGACUACACUUAGGACACUUAGAAGCAUCAACAUAUACCCCCCGAUAUAGUAUGCAAUCGUUUGGACAUGAGUGGUACUUUAUGUAUUCUAGGCCUAAGUUGGAUAAUGUUUUCUUGGCUUCAUAUGCAUUAGGUGGCAUCACAUUUUCCUUAGGAAGGAGAGAGCCAACAGUAGACAAUAAAUCUGUAAAGGCGCUAUCACUAAUUCCAAACCUUGCUUUCCAAUUAUGCAGUUUUAGCAUCGACUCCAAUUUGGUACAUUCACUACCCUCAUACAAAGGCUGUUGAGCAUCAGCCACAAAUCUCCUAAACUGAUACGACUCAUUAUUGUACUCACUCGAAUUAUACGCAGCAUCACAAACAUUGACUGUUUGUGAUGCAUGACCAGGGGAAUGCAUCGAUGCAGGGUCAAGCGUAGGUGCAGGGCUAGGGGCAUUGUCAUGAACUGUUGAUCCAGUGAUUCCACACCCUUGUGUGUGCCAAAUCCAAUCAAGGUAUCCCAAACUAAAACCGUAUUCAUAUAAAUGUCCCCUAAUAAUCUUAACUGCAAAUUUUUUAAAGUUAACACAUCUUUUGCAGGGGCAUGGGAUUUUUUUAGUAUCACUAGCAUUUUCCUCGGCAAAUAUUAAAAACUCUUCAACCCCGAUUUCAUAGUCAAGUGUAUCCCUAUCUUUGAAAAUCCAAGACUUGUCCAUGUUAUUCUCAAACUACCUGAUUGUCAAAUAUGAUAUCAAAUUACAUGGUAACAAAGAUCCAAACACAAUAUACAAUUACAUUUACAAACUAAACAAACACAAAUAUAUUUACACAGCUGUGCAUAAAACAUAAAAAACAAAUCCCAAGCUCUAAACAUAUAUAACACAGUACAUAAAAAAGAAACCCCAAGCUCCAAACAUAUAUAAAACAUAUAUACAACUACACGUUUAAUUUUCACAUGCAUACAUAUAACUACAAAAAGUUAUACUUGCAACCGAAACAUUUAUAUAAAUAUAAAGAAGAAUAUAGAAGAAUAUAUAUACCUAAAACCCAGCAGCUUCGAAACCCAGCACCUCCAAAAUCCAGCAGCUAUCCAGCAGCUUCGAAAACCCAGCAACUACCCUAAUCUCCAAGCUUCAAAUCUCCAAGCUUCAAAGAACCCUAAUCUCCAAGCUCCACUCGACCCUAAGCUUGAAGAUCGAACCUUAAGCUUGAACACAGCAGCUUCGAAUCGCGCACAAAUCGCACCUAGGGUUUAGAAGAGAGGGAAUCAGUUAAUAGAACAUUUGAAAGGGGGUUUAGAAGAGAGGGAAUCAGUUAUUAAACCAAGAACGAGGAUUGAAGGACUGAAGGAUUGAAGAAAAUCGCAUACCUAGGUUUAGCUGUCGAGAGAAAGGGGGAAGAGCUGCUGUCUGAAAGAAAUAUGUAUAUAUGUCCCGAUUGUUUUCUUUUGAAUGCUUUUGUUUUAAUUUUGAUUUAUUUUUAAUGUUUUUUUAUUGUUUUAUACUGAGGCGGGAGUGAAUGAUAUGUUAAAGGGGGGGAAAACAGUAGGGGGAACUAAUUAAAAAAUUGACUAAGGGCGGGGGAGCGGAGGGCGCGGGCUUUAAUAUUUUUAAAAUUGAGAUUAGACAUCGCUUAAUAAACAAUGUGAUGUGAAAAAAUUUUAAAGUGAGAGCUUAGACAUCACUUAUGUUAAGGACUGAUGUAAAGAUACCAGAAAGACAUCACAUAUAAAACGAGCGAUGUAAAAAAGGCAUUUUACAUCGGUGACACUUCCGACUGAUGUCUAAUGUGCGAUGUCUAUUGACGAAUUUCUAGUAGUCUCCAAAGGAUAUUUAUCUUUCCAUCAUGAUGCAGCAGUCUCCUUAACUGUGAAGGGAACGGAGUAUGAGGUAGCAAAGAACCUUCAUAUUUACACAGCCAUUGAUCUGUCGGGCACCUAAUUUCAGGGUCGAAUUCCAAACGUCACUGGAGAGCUUAGAUGGCUUGCAUUGCUCAAUUUAUCGCAUAAUAGUUUAACAGGACCUAUCCCAUCAUUGCUGAGAAAUAUGAAAGAACUCCAAUCUUUAGAUUUGUCCUCAAAUCGACUGACAGGGGCUAUUCCACCUCAGCUAACUGCAUUGACAUUUCUAGAGGUCUUGAACCUCUCGAAAAACCAUCUUAGUGGAGAGAUUCCUCAGAAAGGACAGUUCAGCACAUUCAACAAUGAUUCUUAUCUAGGAAACUCCGCGUUAUGUGGAUCACCUUUGACGAAGAAAUGUGCAAACACAGCAUCACCUCCACAAGAAGUCGGAAAUGGUGAUGAAGAUGAUGCUGGAGAUGAAUUGACAUGGGAAGCAAUCGUGAUGGGAUAUGGAUGUGGACUGAUAUGUGGAUUGUCAUCUGCGUACAUUGUUCUCAAACUAGGAAAGCCUUGGUGGUUUGUGAGAUAUAUCGAAGUACUGCAACUGAAGUUGAUGAAAAGAUAUGCAUGAAGAAUGGUACUGCACUACAACAAAAACAGCAUCACACAACGGUUUUUGCCCGUUGUCUGAUACCCAAGAAAACCGUGGUCUAUUGCGAUGCCGUCUGAUACGCGCCUCAGACAACGUUUUAUUAGUUAAAGGCUUGUCUAUAAGGCCAUGCUACGAUGGUAACAAAAACACUUGUAUGUUAGCUUCCUGGUCACACAACACUGUAUGGAACCCUUGUUUAAACGGCUCGUAAACAACACAACAAAUAAAACACUUGUCUAAUUACAACAACGGUUUCUUGAAAUAUUGUCUGAAGUUUCUUCACACAUCGGCUCUAAAAACAGUUGUCUAACGUGCAUCAUUACACAAUAUCACAGUUAAGAUACCGUUGUCUGAUUGAAUUUACUAGACAACACUUUUUAAACCGUUGUAGGUUGUAGGUGUUGGACAAUAGUUUUUCGAGGACGAAAAUAAAGUGUUGUGUCUUUGUUUCGGCCAACACUUUUUCCAGCGUCCGUUGUCUGACUAGUGUCGUGUGAUGCCAGUUUUGUUGUAGUGCUGGUUGAUCCAGACGAACUAGAAAGUUGUUGUCCUGGUAGACAUUUCUGAACCAUUUGUGUCCUGGCUGAAUAAGUAUUUGGUAUUAUGUAAUAAUCCGUUUGGUUGGGACUCAAAAUGAUUUCUCUUGCUUCAGGGGUAUUAAUAUUAACCUUCCUAUCUUGAUCAAUGUUAAAUCAAAUUAAAUGAAUGAAAAAACAAAAAGUAUGCAUCAAAUCCGCUCCUGCUGUACCUAACAAUUUAACAGCACCCUUCCACACUGUUCAUACCUAAUUUGCGUGUAAUAUGAAAACUAAGAGGCAUGGCUUUUGUCUUUGAGAGAACUUAUUCCAAGUCUUCUUCGGAGGCCUACUGCCUCAACAACCUUUCAAAGACUAUGCAAUAAUCCACGUGACAGAAAAACCAAAGUCCAAUUAGUAUUAUAAGUUCAUAAAAAAUACUAUAGGAUCAUUAGCAUUAGCAUUACAUUAGCAUACAGCAUAUAUAUAAAUAGAAGAAUGCAGUGUGGUAUUGGAUUCAUAAUCCAAUUGAGCAGAAACAUGGCACACUUUGUAAAGCCUUAUGACCUUCUUCUCUGUGUUUUCUUUCUCUCAUCACUUGAAUCCAUUCUUGCAACAAGACGAGAAGGAGAAGCUCUUGUGAAAUGGAAGAACAGCCUAGCCCCGUCUUCUUCUCUUGAUUCUUGGUCACUCACUCAUCUCGAUAAUCUUUGUAACUGGACUGGCAUUACUUGUAACUCUGCAGGUUCAGUCUCUGACAUUAACCUUUUCAACAAACAACUCACUGGAAAGCUUUUCGAGUUUGGUUUCACUUCAUUUCCGAAUCUCAACAAUCUCACCCUCGCAGAUAACUUCUUCUCUGGUCCAAUACCAUCAGCCAUUGGGAAUUUAACACAGCUUCAAUAUCUUGAUUUGAGCAAUAAUUAUCUCAAUGGUUCCAUUCCGUACCAGGUUAGCCAUCUUUCAAAAUUACACGUCUUAAACCUGUCAGAGAAUGAACUGCAAGCUCCAAAUUGGUCCAAUUUCUCCCCCAUGCCUUAUUUGACCAUCCUCGACCUUUAUCAGAAUAAUCUUAUGUUGGAAUUUCCAGAAUUUAUAUCUAACUCGCGUAACCUGACAUACCUUGACCUUUCAUAUAACAAGUUCACAGGCGAUCUUGUGCGCGAAUCAGUAUUAGCCAAUCCAGGUGAUCUCGAAACCCUCUAUCUUAAUGAAAAUUCUUUUGGGGGGCCAUUUCCACCAGACAUAUUCAAACUUUCCAAGUUGAGAGUUCUUGCCCUGUUCAAUAAUCUUUUUGAGGGGCCGCUUCCGUCAAAUAUAUUCAAGCUCUCUAAACUAAGAUUCCUUUUACUUUGGAGUAAUAAUUUUUCAGGUACUCUUUCGAAUGAAAUAGGUUUGCUUUCUGAGCUUGAAGACCUAGAUCUUCACUCCAAUUUUUUUGUGGGGCCGCUUCCGCCAAAUAUAUUCAAGCUCUCUAAACUAAGAACCCUUUUCCUCUUGGGUAAUAACUUCUCAGGUUCUAUUUCCAACGACAUAGGUUUGCUUUCUGAGCUUGAACACCUAUAUCUCGACUCCAAUUCUUUUGAGGGACCUUUUCCAACAAAUAUUUUCAAGCUUUCCAAAUUAAUACAACUUGGUCUCGCAAACAAUACAAAUUUAUUUGAAGGAAGUAUUCCUCCAGGACUGGGGCUCUUGACUAACCUAGAGGACUUGUCUCUUGCUUACAAUAAUCUUGGUGGCUAUAUUCCGUCUUCCUUUGGAAACCUAACACUACUAGUAUAUCUUAAUCUCGCUCGUAAUCAAUUGGUUGGAACACUAUCAAAGACCAUUUCUAAUCUCACAAAUCUAUGGUUUCUUGAUGUACAUCAUAAUAGUCUCUCUGGGAAUAUUCAGAGUGACUUCUGGAAAAACUCUACAUCACUGCGUUACAUUAAUUUGGCAGACAAUAAUUUUUCUGGGAACAUUCCUAAGGAAUAUAAUGUUCUUCCAAUCCUGGAUCACAUCAAUUUUAGGGGGAACAAUUUUACAGGUAUUUUUCUUUCCAUAUUUUUUCCUUCUGUUGUAUUCAAUUAUGCUAGAAACUACAGCCUCUGUUUUUUCAAAUACAUAUCGUUUAACUUUUUGGCACAAAACUUUAUAAUAAUUCUAACUAAAAGGUCAAUGAACUCAAAAAUGUGUGUCAAAAAGUCAAACGUCAUUUAUCUGAAAUCAGAGGGAGUAUAUAUUACUGUUUUACCAAAGUUUCAACAAUCAUGACAGGUGAGCUUCCACCAACAAUUUGCGAUGCCACUUCCCUUUCGAUUCUUGAUCUGUCAAAUAAUGGAUUUAGUGGUGCAGUUCCACAUUGUUUGGGGAAUCUUGCGGAUAAAUUGAUUUCGAUUAAUCUUGCUAAUAAUCAGUUUCAAGGACCAAUACCAACAAAUUUCUCCGAGAGUUGUCGUCUGACGUAUCUUAACAUCUAUAACAAUCACUUCAAAGGUUUGGUUCCCCAAUCUUUGGCAAACUGUAAGCACUUGCAAAUUCUUGAUUUUGGAAAAAAUGAAAUAGGUGGAACACUUCCGUCAUGGUUUUUUACUCUUGGAGAGCUAGAAGUCCUGAUCCUGCGAUCAAACAGAUUUUUCGGGAGAAUAACUAGAAGGAGCAUACCACGCCCCUUUCCCAAGUUGCGGAUUUUGGAUCUAUCCAACAAUCAGUUCACCGGCUAUCUGCCAAUUUUAUACUUCAAGAAUAUGAAACCAAAUGAUAAUAAUUAUGAUUAUUUCAACAACACAAACGAAGCCUAUUACGUUUAUCAAGUUUCUAUCACAUUAAAUGUGAAAGGAAGCGAGCAUGAAGUGACAAAUAUUCUUCAUAUUUACACGGCCAUUGAUCUGUCGUGCAACAAAUUUGAAGGAAAAGUUCCAGACAUUACCGGAGAGCUUAGAUGGCUUGCAUUGCUAAAUUUAUCUCAUAAUAGUCUUUCGGGGCCUAUUCCAUCACAACUGGGAAAAAUGAAAGAGCUCCAGUCUCUAGAUUUGUCGUCAAAUCAAUUGACAGGUGUUAUUCCGGAUCAACUUACUAGUAUGACAUUUCUUGCUAGUUUGAACCUCUCAGAAAACCAUCUUUCUGGGAAAAUCCCUCGGAAAGGACAGUUCAGCACUUUUGGCGAAGAAUCUUACUUAGGUAAAUCGGCCUUGUGUGGAGUUCCUUUGACAAAGAACUGUAUAGACGAUGUGCCACCUUCACAAGUUGGAAAUGGCAAUGAUGAAAAUGUUGAUGAAGAUGAUACCGUUGAUGAAUUCAAUUGGAAAGUGAUCCUGAUGGGAUAUGCAUGUGGAUUAAUAGGCGGAUUGUCUGCAGGAUACAUUGUCUUCACAGUCGGAAAGCCUUGGUGGUUUUUGAGAUACAUUGAGACACUGCAGCAGAAGUUGAUCUGAUGCGCAACUAGAAACAACGUUAUAAUCUUAGAAUGACUUGUGUCUUUAAACAGAGUUAGGAACUUAGGAUGACUUGUGGUGCUAUAUUUUUUUUUUGAAAAAAAAAAACAUAUUUUUGUAAUUUUUUAGAUACAGAUGUUAAGAAGGUGUUGUAUAUUCAUUUUUUACCCAAAAAAAAAAAGAGGGCUUAUUUCAUGAAAAUUAGAGUUUUAUGUAUUUUCUCCAGAAAUUAGUCCUUAUUUCUGAAAAUAAGGUUAGUCAAAACGGUCACUACACGAUUGGUAGCCUUUCAGUUCUUCCUAGUGUCCACUACAGUUUCAUUCCUUACCAGUUAUUUUAUGCUCUGCACUGCAUUAUGCAGCUUUCAUAUUACUGACAGCUAAUCUCCUUCCAACACUUUGCGAUGCGAAGCAGGGACGCAUAAGUAUUUUUAUAUGUGUAUUAGUUUUGAAGAUUAAAGUUGCAUGGACAAUUGUGUUGAUAAUUUGAGCAAUGUUAACCGGGAUAGGUCUUCUUCUCUCUCCCAAGUCUUCUGAGGACUCAUCGGCUCAGAUUAGUCUAUCCAAAAAUUAUGAUCUGACGGCUAUUGGCACACUAACGAUUUACAUAUCACUUGAAUAUUACUGGAUACCCGCAUCUUGUUUUAAAUGGCGUAUAUCGGCUAAUAGUUCAACGAUGGUGACAAAUCCCGGUGAUCCAAAUAAUUGAUUGUCGCAAAAUUUUCCGCUUACAUCCAACUAACACGUAUUAGGAAAAAAAAUUAUAUAAUUAAACACGCUCAUGUAUCUAUAUCUUUUACAAGAUUGUAAGUCCCCAAUUCUAUGUGAUAUUAGCUAUAUGUGACUAGAAGGUUUAGAAAUACUAGAUUAUCAAGAUUUCUUUUUAUUCUAGCUAGUGUUGAGUUAUAUUUAUUUUCUUCAAACAAUCAAUACUUAUUUUUUAUUAAUAUGUGAAACUCCAAUAUAUAUUAUUAUACGAUAUAUUAUGAAAACACUAUAUUUUGUAAUGUUCAUCUUAUCCUACCAGCAAAAUUACAUCGCUAACAAAAUUAUAUCAAUUUUAUUUUAUAAACUCAAAUAAUUUAAUUUAUGAAACAACUCUAUGAGAUUCUUAUCAUGAGUUAGAAUUCAAAUAAAUAAAGAGUUCAUAUUGAUAAGUGGAAUUGAUGUGCAAGUAAGGGGUAUAAAAAAAUCUCAAAAUAACUCCAAAAAGCACAUGACAUGUUUGAUUUAAUAGAACUGGUACAUAAACAGGGGGACCAUUAUAUUUAUAAGCAAGUGACCAACAAUAGUUUACUACUGAUAUUUUGUGAUAUUUUUUGUGAUAUUUUUUGAGACCUUUAACAUUAUUCUGUGAAGUGGUAUACUACUGUUACUAGUUCUGAAACUUCAAACAAAGUAGGCGCAACAUUGUAAGAGUGAUUAAUAAAGUUGAGAAACAGUGUGUACAUUGAGCAGUAUGACAAUCAGGUUCAGCAUAUAAUACAAUCAGAUUCACAAUCAGGUUCACGAGAAACAUGCUGCAUUCCAAAAAGCCUUAUUAUCUUCUUCACUAAAUAACAAGGCAAAUACAGCAUAUAAAUACAAGUUAUAAGUACAAGUGUGGUAUUAGAUUCAUAACCCAGUUGAGGAGAAACAUGGCACACUUUGUAAGGCCUUCUCACCUUCUUCUCUUUGUUUUCUUUCUCUCAUCACUAGAAUCCAUUCUUGCAACAAGACGAGAGGGGGAAGCUCUUGUGAAGUGGAAGAAUAGCCUAGCCCCUUCUUCUUUUCUCCACUCUUGGUCACUCUCCAAUCUCGAAAAUCUUUGCAACUGGACUGGCAUUACUUGUAACUCUGCAGGUUCAGUCUCUGAGAUUGACCUUUGUGAGAAACAACUUGAUGGAAUGCUGUCCGAGUUUGGUCUCACUUCAUUUCCAAAUCUCAACAAUCUCACCCUCGCAGACAACUUCUUCUCAGGUCCAAUACCACCAGCCAUUGAGAAUUUAACACAGCUUCAAUAUCUUGAUUUAAGCAUGAAAAGUCUUAAUGGUCCCAUUCCGUUCCAGGUUAGCCAUCGUCAGAGCUUGCUCAUCUUAGACCUGUCACAGAAUGCAUUGCAAGCUUCAAAUUGGUCCAAUUUCUCUCCCAUGCCUCAGUUGCGCUUCCUCAAGCUCAGUAGCAAUCAUCUUGUGUCGAAAUUCCCAAAUUUUAUAUCCAGUUCUCAUAGCCUGACUUACCUCAACCUCUCAUAUAACAUUGGAAACCUCAAAAAAUAUAUAUUUAUAUAUUUAUAAUUAAAAAAUUGAAUUACUUAAUAUAUUAAAAAAUUGAAUAAAAUUUUAUAUAUUUUAUUAAAAAAUUGAAUAAAAAUUGAAUAAAAUUGAAUAAAAUUGAAGUACACGAAAAGGUACACGACACGAAAUACACGACUGAGAAGUCGUGUCGGUUUUGUGUUUACCCUUCGGGUACACGACACGAGGUACACGAAAUAAAUAAAUAAAUAUAUAUAUAUAUAUUUACCCUUCGGAUUAAGAGUUGGUCGCGGACAAAUUCAAAGUUUCCCAAUUAUCCUUUAUUUUAUGUAACUUUGCUUAUGUUUAAGCCUAAAUUUGGACAAUAUUUGUAAAAUAUUAAUAUUUCGUGUACUAAUUCGUUACCAGUUUCGUGUAUUUUUUCGUGUAUAUUUCGUGUUUUCGUGUUUUCAUGUACUAUUUCGUAUCGUGUCGUUUUCGUGUACAUGAAAAAAUUCGUGUACUACAGUUCGUGUCGUUUUUACCUGUUUCUAAAUCGUGUCGUGUUCGUGUUUACAAUCGUGUACACGAAUUGAAUUCGUGUCGUGUUCGUGUAUACCCACCAGAUACACGAAACACGAAAGUACACGACACGUUUAUACACGACACGAACGAUUUGCCAGGUCUANGAAACACGAAAGUACACGACACGUUUAUACAUGACACGAACGAUUUGCCAGGUCUAUUCAAACCUAGCAAGUAACCAAGAGGGGGCAAACUCCACCAGAGACAAAUCAAAGACCAUACCUGAGUAUUGCCAACAUAACAUUACAAACUGGCAGGUGAAAAAUAUGUGAAUAAGGUCUUCGUCACCAGAGUUACACAUGGGACAGUCAAGAGAAAGAUUUACUCCCUUAGAUUGUAAUCGACUUUUCACAGGCACAUUAUUCCUGCAAAAACGCCAUAAAAACACUUUGAUCUUAAGAGGAACCUCCAACUGCCAGAGUUUCUUCCACCCACUAGAUUGUGUAACAGUGCCAGUGCCAAUAUUUUGGGCAUGCCAAAACUGGUAACCUGUUUUCACAGAAUUUUGGCCGUUAGUAGUCUUUGACCAAGCUAGAUGAUCCACGGUCGACCUAUAGGGAACAGAAGUUUUUAAAAAUUAUGUAAUUCAUUCAAUUCCGUAUCAGACAAUACAUCUUAUCAUCGGUGAUAAUGGAAAUAGUGUAGAUGUUUGACCUAGUCCAUGUUUGACAACCAAUAUAAUAAGAAAUAAAUUCUUAUUUUUCUAAAAAAUAUAUUUUUGUAUAUAAAUGUUAAAGAGAUAUUUCUUAUUUGUUGUUUGAAAAAAGUAAAGACUUAUUUCAGAAUAAAUAAAAAUUAUUGUACAUUCUCUUUAUUUUUAAAAAUAAGUUUGGUCAAAUCGCCCAUAAUUCUCGUAAUUCAAAAGCCCAUUAUUUUUUUUUUUCUUGCUAAUUGAUCAGCACACGCACACGUUUCCAACUUCCCGCAAAGGGUACCGGAGUACCACCACACCGACGCUUUGUUGGGCCCAAUAAUUGGCUGAAGUUGAACGGGGCUUUCUGCCUCCGCUGGACCCCAGUUGGGAGGACUCUUUCCAAGUCUUUCGGAGACUCUUUCCCAUUGACUCCAACUUUCCAGGGUGUAUACAAAUUUUUUGAAAGAGGGUGUAUACAAAUUAUUCACGGCCAUCAAAUUAACCAGCGUAGCUGGUGAACAAAUAUUAUUGUUUAUUAUAAUUUUAUUUAAUUUAAAUGUGAUUAUAAAGAACAUAAGAGGACGUUUGAAAGUGUGGGUCUUAUUUCAAACAGUAGAUUUCAAAAAAUAUGAUUUCAAUUGUUAUUUAAAAUUCUUAAAUUUAUAUUAUAUUAAAAUGUUCUUAUCUAUACUAUACUAUUAAAACCGAAACAUUAAAAGUUUGGUCGGUCGGUACUUGGGCCGAUAUAUGGGCCUAUCUAUAUAACUAAUUAUUUUUUUUUAAUUUUGGGCCGAAAUACAGGCCUGUCUAUAUAAUCAAUUAUUCUUUUUAACUAAAAUAUGUUAUCUUUUUUACUAUUAAAGCCAAAACAUUAAAAAUUUGAUCGGUCGGUACUUGGGCCGAAAUAUGAGCGUAUCUAUAUAACUAAUUAUUUUUAUUUUUUUUUAUUUUUGGCCGAAAUACAGGCCUAUCUAUAAAAUCAAUUAUUCUUUUUAACUAAAAUAUGUUAAUUUUUUUUACUAUUAAAGCCGAAAUAUUGAAAGUUUGGUCGGUCGGUACUUGGGCUUCUAGGCCGAAAUAUAGGCCUAUCUAUAUCAUCAAUUAUUCUUUUAAACUAAAAUAUGUUAUCUUUUUUACUAUUAAAAUCGAAACAUUGAAAGUUUGAUCGGUCGGUACUUGAGUCGAAAUACGGGCCUAUCUAUAUAACUACUUAUUAUUUUUAACUUGGGCCGAAAUACAGGCCAAUCUAUGUAAUCAAUUACGCGGUAUUCUUUUUAACUAAAAUAUGUUAUUUUUUUAACUAUUAAAGUUGAAAUAUUGAAAGUUUAGUCGCUCGAUACUUGAGCCGAAAUACGGAUCUAUCUAAAUAACUAAUUAAUUUUUUUUAACUUUGGAUGGAAAUACAGCCCUAUCUAUAUAAACAAAUAUCUUUUUAACUAAAAUAUGUUAUCUUCUUUAUACUUUCUAACUAAAAACUCAAUCUUCUAAAUGAACAUGGAAGAAUAUAGUAAUUAUCUUUUUAACUAAAACAAAUUAUCGUCUAUUAAAUCAAAUUAUAACAAACUAUCCAUAAACAUCCUUAAUUUAUAACAAAUUAUUAAAUAUUUUUUAUCAUCUACUAAAUCAAAACAUUAAAAAUUAGAUUACCAUUAUGGAUCAGUAUUUGAAUUACGCUUCUCUUUAACUUAUAAUAUGUUUUAUACUAUAUUAUUAACUAUUAAUAACUAAAUAUUAAAACGCUGAUUGGGUUGUUUCUAUCUGGGUUUACGGGUCUCCUCAAAUUAUAAUCCCUCCGUUCUUAAAUAUCUGCCUUUUGACUUUUUGGCACGCAUGUUAAAGUGUUUUGAAUUUAUAGUAAAAAUAUUAUUUUUAAAUUUCUUUUUCUGAAUAAAAAUUUUAUAUCAAUACUUUUAUUCAUAAAAAGAAAUAUUUGAAAAUAACAUUUCUAGCUAUGUGGUCAAAAUAUCUUAAAAUGUGUGCGAAAAAGUCAAAAGGCAUAUAUUCAAGAACGGAGGGAGUAACAUGUAAAAAAAAUUAUUUUAACAUUAUCAUUAAAAAAUUAUAUAUUUGACCUAAUUAUAAAUUAACUAUUUGAAGGAAUAAACUAUUAAGAAUUUAUUUAGCUGCUAAAUAAAAGUUUUUUUAAUAACAUUAUUCUAUCACAAUUUUACUUUCAAUAAAAUUCGUUAAAUCUAAAAUAUAUGCGAUGAAAUAACAAAUAUUAAAACCGCCCGUGCAUUGCACGGGUUUUAAGCUAGUUCUAAUUAAUGAGUCACUAUUCGUAUUCUCAAGCAUGUUAGUUUGUUAAAAUUUAAAAUUUCAAAUGAAAUUAGGCUAAAAGACCAUAAUAUCAAAUCAAAAUCUCAUUAUCCAAUAUAUUGGUGGGCAAAAAUAUUAAACCUGGCUAUUCAUUAAUAUUGGUUCUUUAUUCAAAUUAUGUCAAAUUUAUAUAAAAUUUCGAAAAUUAUUUAUGAAUAAGAGUCGGCAUUCAUAUAUUUAUUAAGGAUACAAGUGAGAAAAUGUUAUUAAAUUAAUAUUUUUUAAUAUACGUAAGUUUUUUAAAAUAAAUUUGUAGCGUGGGACGGGAGUAUUAGACUGAUUCUGGCUUGGAGUGAAUCAGCCCAUAAAGUUUACAGGGUAGAUGACCAUUCUUAAAUCUUAAAGAAUCUUACGGUGACAGCUAACUGAACGACUCGGUUUCAGAAGUGCUGAAAAGUUUCGACGUAAACUACAAUUUGCCUAGCAUGUAAUUUCCAUGCAUUUUCUCGUUACGAGUAGGUUUGUCCGGAAGUACAAUUCAAAAUAGAGUGCUGUUAAAAAAAAUUGAGUUACUUAUUCAAUAACUUUUUUGAUAUUUAUAUAUUUUUAAUUAUAAUAAAGAUACUAGUGAUUAUGGUUAGCUUUUGGAGUACUUUUGGAGUACUUGGAAAUUUUCUUUUCGAGAAAAACGAGAGUACCUAUUUCAAUUUUUUACCAAAAAUUAUAAUUGAAAACAACGGACUUUUAUACUUAUCAUAACAAUUUUUAACAUCUUGUUUAGAAAUAACCUGUUGUUGUAUUAUGCAAAAGUAAUAUCACUAGUUUCUAUAUCCGUAUUCUAAUGAUAAUAAAAACAUCUCUAAUUCAUUAAAACUCUUACAUAGAAAUUGAUAAAAAAAGAAGAUAUAAAAUAAUUUAUUAAAAAUAUAUCAAAGUUUUUGCACUCGGUUAUAAUUAUUGUGUAAUUUUUUUUUUCAAUUCCAAGAUAUUGUUAUAAGAAAAUUUUACAUCAUAUAUAUAUUACAAAAAAAAUUAAUGUAUUAUAUAUAUAUAGGGUCCUACUCUGGUACAAACCUUUUUAGCGUACAAACUACAAACCAAAAUUAAAAAGUCUCUAAAUCAAAUCAGAAUAUAGCACAUAUGGUAUGGAAAUUGAUCGUUGCGAGAUGAACAAAAAUAAUGAUUAUAAAGUUUGUAUUUGAGCCAUUAUAUAUAUACUUACAAUAAAAGUAAUAAUAUAUUAUAUUCUAAAUAUAGUUAACCACUGCAGUUGGUCGCUUAUAAAUAGAAGUGUGCAUUAUAGGAUGAAACGUACAUCAAGCUGAGGAGAAACAUGGUACACUCUGCAAAGCUAUAUCAUCUUCUUUUACUUGUUUUCUUUUCCUCCUUACUUCCAUCCAUUCUAUUGGCAACAAGACGAGAAGGAGAAGCUCUUGUGAAAUGGAAGAAUAGCCUAGCCCCGUCUUCUUUUCUUGAUUCUUGGUCACUCUCCGAUCUCGAUAAUCUUUGCAACUGGACUGGCAUUACUUGUAACUCUGCAAGUUCAGUGUCUCAGAUAAAUCUUUCCCAAAAACAGCUCGAUGGAACGCUGUCCGAAUUUGGUUUCACUUCAUUUCCGAAUCUCGAAAAUUUGACUAUAAGAGACAACAGCUUCUCCGGGCUAAUACCACCAGGCAUUGCGAAUUUAACACAGCUUCAAUACCUUGAUUUAAGCUACAAUUAUUUCAGUGGUUCCAUUCCGUACGAGGUUAGCCAUCUUCAGAGAUUACGUGUUUUAGACUUGUCGUAUAAUGAAAUGCAGGCUCCAAAGUGGUCUGACUUCUCUCCCAUGCCUUUUAUGAGCAUCCUCAACCUACGGGCCAAUCAUCUUGUGUCGAAAUUCCCAGAAUUUAUAUCCAAUUCUUUUAGCCUGACUUUCCUUGACCUUGGAGACAACAAGUUCACCGCUGAUCAUCUUGUGCUCGAAUCAGAAUUUACCAAUUUGCAAAAUCUUGAAACGCUGUUUCUUGAUGGUAAUUCUUUUGAGGGGACGUUUCCACCGAAUAUAUUCAGGCUUUCUAAAUUAAAAUACCUUUCCCUAUCUGCUAAUAAGUUUUCAGGUUCUGUGCCGGAUGACAUAGGGAUGCUUCGUGAUCUUGAAUCCCUUUAUCUUGGUAACAAUUCUUUCAAAGGGAUGCUUCCACAAAAUAUUUUCAGACUUCCCAAAUUACGGGAUCUUUCCCUCUGGGGUAACAAUUUUUCAGGUCUUAUUUCAGAUGAUAUAAGGAUGCUUUCUAACCUGGAAUCUCUUGAUCUUAAUGGUAAUUCUUUUCAGGGUCCGCUUCCACCAAAUUUCUUCAAGCUUUCCAAAUUAAGACAUCUCGCCCUCUCAAAUAAUAAAAGAGUAUUUAAAGGAAGUAUUCCUCUUGGGUUGGGGCUUUUGACUAACCUUGACUACUUAUGUCUUAAUUCCAAUUAUCUCACUGGCUACAUUCCAUCUGACAUUGGAAAUCUAAAGCUACUAGAACAUCUUGAUCUCAGUUUUAAUCAAUUGACCGGACCGCUCCCAAAGAUCAUUUCUAACCUCACUAAUCUAACGCGUCUUGGUCUGAAUGAUAAUUGGUUUUCCGGCAGUAUUCCAAGUGACUUCUUGGAAAACUCUACAUUAUUAUUUUACAUUGAUCUUUCAAACAAUGAUCUGUCUGGAAGCAUUCCUAAGGAAUUCAACGUUCAUCCGACAUUGGAUUAUAUCAAUUUAAGUGGAAACCGUUUUAGAGGUCUACUUCUCUCUUUAAAUUUUUAUGUUCGUUUUGUAUAUGCUAGUAACCUGAUUAUUACACUUUUACUGAAGCUUCAACAAUUCUAACUGCAGGCAAGCUUCCAGCAACGAUUUGCAAUGCUACAUCCCUUUCGACUCUUGUUCUGUCAAAUAAUGAAUUCAGCAAUGCACUUCCACAUUGUUUGGGGAAUCUUGCUGAUCAACUUCUUUCCAUUAAUCUUGCUAAUAAUUUGUUUCGAGGACCAAUACCAACAACUUUCUCUAAGAGUUGUCGGCUGACAUAUCUAAACAUGUACAACAAUCACUUUGAAGGGUUGUUGCCGCAAUCUCUGGCAAACUGUAAGCACCUACAAAUUCUUGAUAUUGGAAACAAUGAAAUAGGUGGUAAAUUCCCGUCAUGGCUGUUUACUCUUGGAGAGCUGGAAGUCCUAGUCUUGCGAUCAAAUAGAUUCCACGGUCCAGUCAAUGGAACAAGCUCAGCAAAUUUAUUCCCCAAGUUGCGGAUUGUUGAUCUCUCCAACAAUCAAUUUACAGGCGAUUUACCAAUUCAGUAUUUUAAGAAUAUGAAACCAACAGAUAACCACUAUAGUUAUUUUUAUACAGAAAGUGGUUUUUACUAUCAUCAAGCAUCGAUCUCAUUAACUGUGAAAGGAAGAGAGUAUGAAGUGAAAAAGAUCCUUCAUAUUUAUACAGCCAUAGAUGUGUCAUGCAACAAAUUUCAGGGAGAAAUUCCCGAGGUUAUUGGAGAACUUAAAUGGCUUGCAUUGCUCAAUCUAUCACAUAAUAGUCUUAUUGGACCUAUCCCAUCACAGCUCGGAAAUAUGGAAUCACUUUUAUCUCUAGAUUUGUCUUCAAAUCAUUUGACAGGGGGUAUUCCCGAUCAGUUGAUUAGGUUGACAUUUCUAGAGGUCUUGAACCUCUCGGAAAAUCAUCUGACAGGGCCUAUCCCCCAAAAAGGACAGUUCAGCACAUUCAACAAGGAUUCUUACCUAGGUAACUUUGCCUUGUGUGGAUUACCUUUAACUAAUAACUGUACACACACUGUGUCACCACCACAAGAAGGCGGAACUGGUGACAAUGAUGCCUAUGAUGAACCCGAUUGGGAAGUGAUCCUCAUGGGAUAUGGAUGUGGACUAAUAUGCGGAUUGUCCACAGGGUACGUUGUCUUCACAUUCAGAAAGCCUCAGUGGUUUAUGAGAUACACUGAAAGCGUGCAACAGAAGUUGAUGAGAUGAUGCAUGUUGAGUACCGUUCAAUCAUGAAGCACAACUGGAAACAAUGUUAUCUUAGGAAAACAUGUGUUCUGAACCAGUAGUGUUUGCACAAAAUUUGUGGUGCUAUGUAAUACUUAUAUAAUUGUACGUAUGAUUAUUGAUUAGUCGUUGAGAAAAUGCAUUUUAUUUCAGUGUCAAUGAUAAUCUACAUGUUUUGGAUACUUCCAGCUUCUCAUACUAAUAUAGGAACCACUUGAAAAAUUUUGGACAGGCUCUGAGGAUGCUAAUGCUGCUGUUUAGUUUCUACCGCGGAAUUGACUUUAGCAUAUACUCGUAUGACAUAUUACUAGAUAUAUGGUUGUUAAAUAAAAUUAUCUUUUUGUGGAAUAAAUAGGAAAGCAAAAUCAUAGAAUAAUGUAUGUUAUAUAGGAAGGUAUUGUCCUCUUAGAUAGGUAUCAUUUAUGCCUCAUUGGCAUGUCUCAGAAAACUUUUGGGUUAACACAAUGUUUACUUAGAGCAUUGCCAUUCCUUAAAUAUAAUAUAAAAUAUUGGAUCUUAGUGACUUAAGAUGAUAAUAGCUAUUCGCACCUCCAACAAUAUUCCUUAUAUUCAUUCCUUAUAUACUAUUUUAUUAUUAAAAGUUACCAUUAUUGCAAUAGGUGAAAAGAGAGAACAUGUUUGUAUUCAAAAUUUAUUGUAAAAUAAUAUUUAGGAGAGGAGAGAGGUUACCUAAAGAUAAGGCAUGGCUAGUUAUUUAGAGAAUCACUAGGAUACUGUUGGAGUGGAUUAUUUUCCCAUAUUACUCAUAUUUUGGUUUAAGAUUCCUAAUAGGGAAGCUGCUGGAGUUGCUCUUAGAGCAUCUCCAAGAGAUUCUUCAUUUAAGCUCCUAACUUGAGAUUUGAGUAGGGAGAGGAAAAAUGUUGCUCCAAGAGACUCUUAAGUGGCUCUUAAAUCACUAAGAGCCUCUUGUUUCUCUCUCCUCUCUCCUCAAAGUUAAGAGCCACCACAUUGCUCCUAACUUAUUUUUUCACAAUAAAAAAAUCUUUUCCUCCAAUUCAGCUCCAUCUUUCCAUCUCUUUUGUUAUAGUGGAGCCCAAUAUAUGAAUAAAAUAUGAAAUAGAGAAGAGAUGUAGAGAGUAUUGUUGGAGUUUACACUCUUAACUUUGUCUUAAAUUGCUAAGAGCUAUUUUUUUAUAUUAUAUUUAGGAGCCAAUAAGGAGGCUCUUGGAGAUGCUUUUAGUACUAAUUGUUAGAAUAUGAAAAUGCAGUUAUGAACUAUUAUGCUAGAGAGAGAAAAAUUCAACAAACUUCAUUUCUGUAAACUACAACUAUUAGUCUGUUACAUUGCUGAAAGCUACAUUUAUACAUUUACAGUUUACAACAAACUAUGAAACUGAUUUUCCCGCGUCCUCCUCACUUGUCCACGUGGCCUGACUGGCUUGGUGUCCUUGACACUCUUUAUUAUUGCUAAUAUAUACUUAACACUAAUACCUCAAAGCAGGGUAUAAAUUCAAUAGCACAGCUUCUGGAUAAUGGAAAUUUAGUUAUCCAGAGGUCUUGGUUUUACAUAUCACUUGUAUAUUAUGUCUCGGUCUCAUUGAAGCAUACCAAACGAGAUUUUGGGUUUGUUAAUAUUUUUUUAGUCCAAAUUUGAAUAAUACUGUUAUGCUUAUUCACACGGUAGACGUGUUUUUAUUAAAAUACUGCAACUGAAAUUGAUGAAAACAUGCACAAAGCAUAGCAGACGAAAGACUUGAGGAGAUAUUGUCUUAGGCGAUGCAAUACGUUCUAAUAUAAUGCUAUAUUAUGCAAUCUCGUUUAAUACUUUCAUCAUUAUUCUCCAAGAUGUCUGAACAUGUAUUUUCAAAGAAUUCUCAGUUCACCUUUAGUCUUAUAGCGACAUUUUGAAGGCACUCUCAACUUACACCCUAUAUAUACACGUACGGUUCACUUCAGUACAAAGAUUUUAUGAUACAACUCUCAUAUUAUGAACUAGUUCUGUCGAAUACAUGAAUAUUGAUCAAUCAUUUGAACUCGAGUUUCCCAGCUGGCCAGAUACCCAGAUUAUUAGCCAUGCAAAACAUGCAGAACCACUAGUAAUGCAGAAAAACAAUAUAUUAGUUUUCUCCGGUGUUACAGAAAUCAGGAAUCGGACCUAAUCGGUUUAGCUACCGAUUUAGGGAUUAAUAGGAAAUAGGGGAUUAAUCGGAGUGAAAAUCGGAUUUAUUUUAAUAUUAAAAUAUUAUUUAAUAUUUAGUUAUUAUUAUAUUAGCUAUUUAGUAACUAAUAUAUUUACUAUAUUCAUAAACUCUAUAAUUAUUCGUAUUGAAAGUAAUAUAGUAUUUUAAUUUUAAUAAUUUACUAUAUAUACUUCGAUUAAGAAAUAUAUAUAUAAGGAUUAAUCGGAUUUCAAAAAUCGAAUCGGUGGCCAACCUUGCAGAGGAUUAAUCGGGGAUUAAUUGGUUGAAUCGGGGAUGUUUAGAACACUGGUUUUCUCCAAAUAUCACUACAACAAAACUGCCAUUUUACGACGGAAAUCUAAUAUUCUAAAGGGUUACGACCAAACUAUGUCGGUGGACUUUAUUUUAAUUUACCGUUUAACAGUAGUUAAUUUUGGAUAUCUACACUUGCGAUGGAAAACAUACGACAGUCUACUUCGUGAGAGAAAAUCAUUUUAUUUUAUUUUUUAGCGCCAGAAUUUUAAUACUGAAAUAUUAUAUAUAUGAAGGAAACUGAUCUCUAAUGUUUUCAGCUUGCUCAUCCAUCGUAAGUAAUCCGUCGAAAAAGUUAGUUUGUUGUGGUGGUGUCUUAUCAUGAGAGAAAAUGAUAAUAUCGCAAAAUAUUUGCAACUGAAAGAUAAAUUAUAAUUCUAGAAACCAUUUAGGUAACGAUGCACGAAGUUAUUUUCACUCACUUAGAAUUAAUGNUGAAAACAUGCACAAAGCAUAGCAGACGAAAGACUUGAGGAGAUAUUGUCUUAGGCGAUGCAAUACGUUCUAAUAUAAUGCUAUAUUAUGCAAUCUCGUUUAAUACUUUCAUCAUUAUUCUCCAAGAUGUCUGAACAUGUAUUUUCAAAGAAUUCUCAGUUCACCUUUAGUCUUAUAGCGACAUUUUGAAGGCACUCUCAACUUACACCCUAUAUAUACACGUACGGUUCACUUCAGUACAAAGAUUUUAUGAUACAACUCUCAUAUUAUGAACUAGUUCUGUCGAAUACAUGAAUAUUGAUCAAUCAUUUGAACUCGAGUUUCCCAGCUGGCCAGAUACCCAGAUUAUUAGCCAUGCAAAACAUGCAGAACCACUAGUAAUGCAGAAAAACAAUAUAUUAGUUUUCUCCGGUGUUACAGAAAUCAGGAAUCGGACCUAAUCGGUUUAGCUACCGAUUUAGGGAUUAAUAGGAAAUAGGGGAUUAAUCGGAGUGAAAAUCGGAUUUAUUUUAAUAUUAAAAUAUUAUUUAAUAUUUAGUUAUUAUUAUAUUAGCUAUUUAGUAACUAAUAUAUUUACUAUAUUCAUAAACUCUAUAAUUAUUCGUAUUGAAAGUAAUAUAGUAUUUUAAUUUUAAUAAUUUACUAUAUAUACUUCGAUUAAGAAAUAUAUAUAUAAGGAUUAAUCGGAUUUCAAAAAUCGAAUCGGUGGCCAACCUUGCAGAGGAUUAAUCGGGGAUUAAUUGGUUGAAUCGGGGAUGUUUAGAACACUGGUUUUCUCCAAAUAUCACUACAACAAAACUGCCAUUUUACGACGGAAAUCUAAUAUUCUAAAGGGUUACGACCAAACUAUGUCGGUGGACUUUAUUUUAAUUUACCGUUUAACAGUAGUUAAUUUUGGAUAUCUACACUUGCGAUGGAAAACAUACGACAGUCUACUUCGUGAGAGAAAAUCAUUUUAUUUUAUUUUUUAGCGCCAGAAUUUUAAUACUGAAAUAUUAUAUAUAUGAAGGAAACUGAUCUCUAAUGUUUUCAGUUUGCUCAUCCAUCGUAAGUAAUCCGUCGAAAAAGUUAGUUUGUUGUGGUGGUGUCUUAUCAUGAGAGAAAAUGAUAAUAUCGCAAAAUAUUUGCAACUGAAAGAUAAAUUAUAAUUCUAGAAACCAUUUUGGUAACGAUGCACGAAGUUAUUUUCACUCACUUAGAAUUAAUGCUAAAUAUUUGCAACUGAAAGAUAAAUUAUAAUUCUAGAAACCAUUUAGGUAACGAUGAGCGGAGUUAUUUUCACUCACUUAGAAUUAAUGAUAAAUAUUUGCAACUGAAAGAUACAUCAUAGUUCUAGAAAAGGAUCCACGAAGUUAUUUUCACUCACUUAGAAUUAAUUGUAAGUUAUUGUGAGUUUUUGAAUAUGAAUUAUCUCAAAUUUUAUUAAAACACAUGUUGAUUCUUAUAUACAAAUUUGCCUAUCUAAUAUUAUAAUAUUUAUGGAGAAGGUGUAUGAACAAUUGUGUAGAUAAUUAUACUUUACAAAGCAUACUUCUGCUAGCUGAAUUUUGAUUAAAAAAAUCGAAAGGGAUAGGUCUGGGUCUCUCCAAGUCUUUGAGGACUCAUUCCAAGUCUUCUGAUGAGGACAAAAUAUAUUGCUGGAAGUCUUUCAGUCCUUCCUAGAGUAUUUUGUGCUCUGCACUGCAUUAUGCAGCUCUCAUAUAACUGACCGCUAACCUCCUUCCAACACUUUGCGAUGCAAAACAGUGGCAUGUUAUAAGUAUUUCCGUAUGUGUAUUUAUUUGGAUAUUAAAGUUGCGUAACAUUUGUGUUGAUAAUUUGCGCAAUGUUGAUGAGGAUUGCUCCCAAGUCUUGGCGGACUCUUUCCAAAUCUUCUGAGGACCUAUGGGUUCAAAUUAGUCCAUUAAAAUGAAUACCAUUGUUUUGUGAUUAAGUUGUAUGGUUAAGAGCUUAUCCUCUGUCGUCCCAGGUCCUGGGUUCGACCCUGGCUCACCCCGAGAGUUUCGUAGAACAGAUACUCAUUAUAAGGCUAUAAGCCAUAUUUGUCAAAAAAAAAGUUGUAUAGGCAAUAUGCAUUGCAAAAUCAGCAACAGAAUAUAUACUAAUUAAUUACCUGAUAUCGGUUUGAACAAAUACUUUCUAUGUAGUUGUAAUAUUAGUCUUCUUUAAAAGUUAUCAUGAGGGAAGAUAUAUAUUGUGAUGCGGGGGAAAUAUUGUAACCGAAAAUAAUUAUAAUUCUAAAAAUUUCCAUUAUACACUUUUUUUAGUGUUCGUACGUGGUAAGUACUUCAGACGACAUUUCUCGCGUAUGCCUCCAAUUAAGAAUUUGAUGUUCAGCCUAGUCCUAAACUAAAAUUAUUAUAAAUGUGUAAUUCAAAAUUAUAUUGCUGGUAGGCUCUGAGAUUAACCUUAAACAAAAACAACUCAGUGGAACGCUUUCCGAGUUUGGUUUCACUUCAUUUCCAAAUCUCAACAAUCUCAACAUAGCACGAAACAACUUUUACGGUCCAAUACCACCAGCCAUUAAGAAUUCUAUUUUAAUAUGUAACAUUCUAUUUUCUAAAAUAAUAAAUAUUUUUUUUAAUAGUUGGUCAAAAAUUAGUCAAUUUGACUUCUCAAAAAGCAGAAAGGACAUGUAAAUUGAGACGGGGGAGUAUUUAACGGAAUUCAACGAAAGGUGUGCGUAUCGUUCUUGAAAUGUAAAAAUAGGUGGUGCAAUUCGAGUUUCCAAACCUAUGGGUACAAUAUCGUUUUUAAACGUAAGCUAGGGGGUCCAAAUUACAAUUACAUGUAUAUAUAGUGACUUAACGGAGUGCAUAUAGUUAACGGAAGUUAACGGCAGGGAGUGCAUCUCGGGCUUGAAUAGUAAAGAUAAAAGGUGCGAGUUGAGUUUCUCAAAGUAUGAGUACAAUAUCGUUUUUGAAUGAUAGUUAAGGGGUGCGAUAUGCAAUUACCUCAAAAAAAUAUGAUCAUUAGUAUAUUAUAUUAGUAUCCACACACUUAUAUCUCAAAAUCUAUCCUCCAAAAUUAUCAUCUAUAUAGGCUAGCCACAUAAAAUAAAAAUUUAAAGAUAUUAGAUAUUUAGUUAUUUCAAUUAUAUAAUUUUUCCACGCAAAAUAACAAAAUAUCUUUAUCAACUUAUUAUUUAUGAGUUAAAUAUUCAACUUAUAUAAUUCGGGCAUGCUGGGUAUAAAUAGAAGUGUAACGCCUAAUUUCCGGGGUCUGGGAGUAGUUAGCGGGGUAUGAGAGAGCAGGCUAUUUAGAAGUCUUGGUCAUGAAAACUUCCAAGCUAACUUCGACAACGGAAUCUUCUGAGGCUACUAUUCUAAAGCACGCAUAAUCAUUGUAUUCAUUUUCCUCUAACACUGGCAAAAAGUCUAUUUAAGCAAAUGAAAUACAAACAACUGAGUGGAAUGCUGACCGAAAGUCUUUUUGGCUGAGCUUAUGAUUUAUUAGUACAUGAUUAAUAUGAUAAGCUAAGCUGAGAGCAUAAGAUAUCGUGUGUAUAAUUUUGUGUUUAUUAAUGACUUAUAAAUUAUUAAAAAUAUAAUAAGAAAAAUAAAAAUGAUUUAUAACUAAUUUAUGUUUUAUGAGUAAUUUUUAUUAGAAAAAAGUUUUAAAAAAUUAUUUCACUGAAAAAAAAUCCUCCAACUAACUUUUGGCUCUAAGUCAGUUUUUGAUUUAUUUAUGAUUUUAAGUCGGAUUCUGAUUUUUACACAAACAGAAAAUUUCCAGCUUAAAGUUAAAAACAACUUUAAGCUCCGGUUUUAAACCUCUGAGUUUGGUUUCACUUCAUUUACAAAUCUCAACAAUUUCACCAUCAAACACAAUGACUUCUCCAAUCUCCGGUCCAGUUCACCAGCCAUUGAGAAUUUGGCACAACUUCAAUUCCAUACCAGGUUAGUCGGCUUCGGAGGUUACACGCCUUAGACCUGUCAAAUACAAAUUUCAAUCUCCAAACUGGUCCGAUUUAUCUUCUAUGCAUUUUGUUGAGUCCGGCUCAUCUAAAACCUGAAGGUGUUAGAAGAAACCCGAAUGAAUCUUAUAUAUGAAUCUUAUAUAUGCUAUAUUUAAACAAUUCUGAGCACACUCAACCUUGGUAUUAAUAAUAUCGUGUCGAUAAUUCCAGAAUUUAUAUCUAAUUCUCAUAGCCUAACUUUCCUUGACCUUUCCAUAUAACAAAUUUACAGUUAAUCCUGUGCUUGAAUCAGUAUUUGCAACCAAAAUUAUGCAAUUAUAGUGCAGGUAGUCUUCCAGUUCUUCCUACUCUAUGCUAUAAUUUCAUUUGAUACCAAUAAUUUUACGCUCUACACUCCAGGAUGAGCUCGCAUAUUAUUGACAGCAAUAAUCCUUCCAACACUUUGUGAUGCAAAGCAGGGGGGCGCCUGUAUUUUCAUAUGUCUAUAUUAUUGGAGAUUAAAGUUGUGUGGACAAUUGUGUUGAUAAUUUGCCCAAUGUUAACAGGGAUAGGUUGGCUUAAAAAUAUAUAAGGUCACUUGUGCAUCGCUGUUCACACACUUAGACCCUGUUUGUGUAAGCUUUAAGUCCGGGCUCAAGCAAUUUCGACUUAAUCACUUCCGAGGACCAAUACCAACAGCCUUCUCAAAGAGUUGCCAGCUAAGAUAUCUAAACAUGUAUGACAAUCAGUUAGAAGGACUAUUGCCCCGAUCUUUGUCAAACUGUAAGCACUUAAAAAUUCUUGACAUCGGGAACAAUAAAAUGGGUGGUACAUUCCCUUCAUGGCUAUUUAAUCUCGGAGAGCUAGAAAUCCUAGUCUUGCGAUCAAAUAGACUGUACGGUCCUGUAAGUGGAAGGAGCACAUCACAUCCAUUCCCCAAGUUGCGGAUUCUAGAUCUCUCCAACAAACAAUUCGCGGGCUAUUUGCCAAUUCUAAACUUUAAGAAUAUGAAACCAGCUGCUGAUGAUAACGCGUAUAGUUAUAAAAAUAAGUCACAAGGACUAAUUAAUUACAUCUAUGAAGCAUCUAUCUCCUUAAAUGUGAAAGGAACAGAGUAUGAAGUGAAGAACAUUCUUCAUAUUUACACAGCCAUUGAUCUAUCGUGCAACAAAUUUCACGGAGAAGUUCCAAAGAGAGCUUAAAUGGCUUGCAUUGCUCAAUCUAUCUCAUAAUAGUCUUGCCGGACAUAUGUUCUGAAUUAUUAUUAUGCUUUCAUCAAUAUUUUCAAACAUUUCUCAAUAUGUAUUUCAAAGAAUUCUCAAGCCCUGGAACAUUUGGACCGGUCCUUUCGAAGCCAAGAUGCCCAGGUUAUCAUGGCCAUGCACAAAAAUGAAUAAAUUAUUCCAAGUCUUCCAUGACUCAUUCCAAGUCUUCGGAGGAGACCCUGAGCACAAAGAUGCUCAGGGUCUCCCCAAGCCUUCCAGGACUCAUUCCAAGUCUUCGGAGCACGGCCUCGACUCGCCCUUUCAAAGAUGUGAUAGUAGCUCGAGAGUGAUAUAAAUUAUUUUCCGGACACUAAAAAUAAAUAAUCAGAUCAAAUUAAUCAAUAAUAAAUUAAGGAUGAAAUCCAAAUUAAUCCUAAAUUUUGAUAAUAUAUAAAAAUUAUAAUUAUAAAUUAUAUAACCAAAUCAGAAUUGAAUUAACUUCCUUGGCACUAAAUUGAUAAGGAAAGUAUAAUAAUUUAAAUUUAAUUGAUGAAAAGUCAAAGUCUUCUAAUAAAUCCAUAAAGAAUAUGAUAAUCAAAAUAACGAAAAUUAUAAUUGAAAAAUCAAAAUCAUUAGUGUAUUGGAAUAGUGUUCACACACUUAUAUAUCAAAAUUUGUGGUCCAAAAACUAUAGCACAAUAUCCUAAAUACACCACAUUAAAUAUUAGUUCAAAAAUAUUCUGUAAAUAAUUGUUUUCAUUCAUCAUUUUGUUAUUUAAAAAACUAAUAAUUUGGGUUGAUGUUAACCUAUAUUUUAAUAUAUAAUUAUAUUAUUUUCGUAUUAUUUUAUUUAACUAGAAACAAUAUUUUUAUCAGACAUCAAUUAUAUUAAAAGAUAUAAUUUUAUUAAAAAAAAUUGAAUUAAAUUAAUAGGAUAACUCUACGCCUCACCAAGUCUACAAGACUCAUUUCAAGUCUACCAAGGACCACUACCUCGGUCCUCAACCAUUGGGAGAUGUGAAAGUAGCUUGAGAGUGACAAAAAUUAUUUUCCUCACAAUAAAAUUUAAUAUCUGAUAUAAAUUAAUUAAAUUAGUUAAUAAUAAAUUAAAACUAAUCAUGAAUUAUGAUAAUAAUUAAAUAAAUUAUAAUUAAAUUAUAUAAAUCAACUCCAAAUGAUACAAAUGACACUAAACCUUAGUUACUUUAUUGGUAAAUAAAUAUAAUAUAAUAAUCAAAUUGAUGAAAAAUCAAAAUCAUCUAAUAAAUUCAUAAAAAAUAUAUGAUCAUUAAUAUAUAUUAUAUUAGUAUCCACACACUUAUAUUUCAAAAUCUAUCCUCCAAACUUAUCAUCUCUGUAAACUAGCCACAUAAAAUAAAAAUUUAAAGAUAUUAGAUAUUUAGUUAUUUUCAUUAUAUAAUUUUUCCACACUAAACAACAAAAUAUCUUUAUCAAAUUAGUAUUUAUGAGUUAAAUAUUCAAGUUAUAAAUCCAGCAUGCAGCGUAUAAAUAGGAGAAACAUGGCACACUCUGCAAAGCCUUCUCACCUUCUUCUCUUUGUUUUCUUUCUCUCAUCACUUGAAUCCAUUCUUGCAACAACACGAGAAGGAGAAGCUCUUGUGAAAUGGAAGAAUAGCCUAGCCCCGUCUUCUUUUCUUGAUUCUUGGUCACUCACUCAUCUCGAUAAUCUUUGUAACUGGACUGGCAUUACUUGUAACUCUGCAGGUUCAGUCUCUGAGAUUUACCUUUAUGAGAAACAACUUGAUGGAAUGUUGUCGGAGUUUGGUUUCACUUCAUUUCCAAAUCUCAACAAUCUCACCCUCGCAUACAACUUCUUCUCCGGUCCAAUACCACCAGCCAUUGAGAAUUUAACACAGCUUCAAUAUCUUGAUUUGAGAAAUAAUUAUCUAGAUGGUCCCAUUCCUUUCCAGGUUAGCCAUCUUCAGAGCUUGCUCAUCUUAAACCUGUCAGAGAAUGCAUUGCAAGCUCCAAAUUGGUCCCAUUUCUCUCCCAUGCCUUUUUUGCGCAUCCUCAACCUCAGUCACAAUCCUCUUGCGUCGAAAUUCCCAGAUUUUAUAUCCAAUUCUCAUAGCCUGACUCACCUUAGCCUUAAUUAUAACGAGUUUACUGGUGAUUUAGCACGUGAAUCAAUAUUUGCCAAUCUGCAUAAUCUUGAAGUCCUCAGUCUUAAUGGCAAUUCUUUUGAGGGGCCAUUUCCACCAGAUAUAUUCAAGCUUUCAAGAUUAAAACGUCUCUUCCUGGCAGUUAACAAAUUUUCAGGUUCAAUUCCCAAUGACAUAAGGUUACUUUGUGAUCUUGAAUACCUAUAUUUAGGCAACAAUUCUUUUGAAGGACCGCUUCCACCAAAUUUAUUCAAGCUUUCGAAAUUAAAGCGUCUUUUUCUUUGGAGUAAUAAGUUUACAGGUUCUAUUUCCAAUGAUAUAGGUUUGCUUUCUGAACUUGAAACCCUCAAUCUUCAAUUUAAUUUUUUUGAGGGGCCGCUUCCCCCACAUAUAUUUAGGCUCUCUAAGUUAACAGGUCUAGAACUCGGAGACAAUAGAAAUUUAUUUGAAGGAAGUAAUAUUCCUAUCGGACUGGGACUCUUGACUAACCUCAGGUACUUAGAUUUACAUUUCAGUAAUCUCAGUGGCUAUAUUCCAUCUGACAUUGGAAACCUGAAGCUACUAGUACUUCUUAGUCUCGGUUCUAAUCAAUUGACUGGACCGCUUUCAAAGAUCGUUUCUAAUCUCACAAAUCUUAUAUUCCUUGAUGUAAGUGAUAAUAGUCUUAGUGGAAAUAUUCAGAGUGACUUGUGGAAAUAUAACCAUCAUCCUACUUUGGAAUACAUCGAUUUUAGUGGGAACCAUUUUACAGGUAUAUUUUUUCUCUAUAGAUCUUUUCCUUUUGUCAUAUGUAACUAAGCUAGUAAUCUGAUUAUUGCAGUUUUACCGAAGUUUCAACAAUCUUGACAGGUGAGCUUCCAACAACAAUUUGCAAUGUCACUUCCCUUUCGGUUCUUGAUUUGUCAAAUAAUGAAUUAAGUGGUGCACUUCCAAACUGUUUCGGGAAUCUUGCUGAUGGAUUGCUUUACAUUAAUCUUGCUAAUAAUCAGUUUCGAGGAACAAUACCAACUACUUUCUCCAGGAGUUGUCAGCUGACAUAUCUAAACAUGGAUAAUAAUGAGUUUGAAGGAUUGUUGCCCCCAUCUUUGGCGAACUGUAAGCACUUGAAAAUUCUUGAUAUAGGCAAUAAUAAAAUAGGUGGUACAUUUCCGUCAUGGCUUUAUGCACUUGGAGAGCUAGAAGUUCUUGUCUUGCGAUCAAAUAAACUCUAUGGUACAAUAAGUGGAAGGAGCAUAGAAGAUCCCUUCCCCAAGUUGCGGAUUGUGGAUCUGUCCAACAAUCAAUUCACAGGCCAUUUGCCAAUUCAAUACUUUAAGAAUAUGAAAUCAACUGAUAAUUUGUAUCGUUAUCAGAAUUCCACAAAAGUUUUUUCUUUCCAUUAUGAAGCAUCUGUCUCAUUAACUGUGAAGGGAACAGAGUAUGAAGUGAAAAAUAUCCUUCAUAUUUACACAGCCAUUGAUCUGUCCUGCAACAAGUUUCAAGGAGAAAUUCCUGACGUUAUUGGAGAGCUUAGAUGGCUUGCAUUGCUCAACUUAUCUCAUAAUAGUCUAACAGGACCUAUCCCAUCAUUGCUGAGAAAUAUGAAAGGACUCCAAUCUUUAGAUUUGUCUUCAAAUCAACUGACAGGGGCUAUUCCACCUCAGUUAACUGCACUGACAUUUCUAGAGGUCUUAAACCUCUCGGGAAACCAUCUUAGUGGAGGGAUUCCUCAGAAAGGACAGUUCAGCACAUUCAACAAUGAUUCUUAUCUAGGAAACUCAGCGUUAUGUGGAUCACCAUUGACGAAGAAAUGUGCAAACACAGCAUCACCUCCACAAGAAGUCGGAAAUGUUGAUGAAGAUGAUGCGGGUGAUGAAUUGACAUGGGAAGCAAUCUUGAUGGGAUAUGGAUGUGGACUGAUAUGUGGAUUGUCAUCUGCGUACAUUGUUCUCAAACUAGGAAAGCCUUGGUGGUUUGUGAGAUAUAUCGAAGUACUGCAAUUGAAGUUGAUGAAAAGAUAUGCAUGAAGAAUGGUACUAGCCGAUCAAGAUGAACUCGAAAGUUGUGGUCCUUGUGGACAUUUCUGAACCAGUAGUGUUCUAUUCUCUUUGUGGCUGCAUAAGUAUUUGGUAUUGUGUAAUGUUCUGUUUGGUCUUGAAUCAUAAUAAUUUUUCUUUCUUCAGGGGUAUUUAUAAUAUAAACCUUGGUAUUGUGUACUAGCUGUAAUAUUCUGUUUGAUCAAUGUUUAUACCAGUAAUUUUAUGCUCCGCACUGCAUCAUGCAGCUCUCAUAUUAUCUUCAUAUGUGUAUUUAUUUGGAUAUUAAAAACAUAUGGGAUAUGUGUUAACAGGGACAGCUCCCAAGUCUUGGAUAGACUCUUUCCAAGUCUUCCGAGGUCCUAUAGGUUUAAAUUAGUCCAUUAUCUGCAUACUAAUUUGUCCAACUGAAAAAUCAAGGAUAUUAUGUAUUAACUGUUUUAAUAACAAUUUACAAGUAUAAAUUUCAUAUAUUUUUUCAUAGAAUAUAAAUUAGUUGACGUACUAAAAUCACUAGUCAAAUUAAUUUAAAUAAAUAUAUUGAAAAGAUGAUAAUAAAAUUAUGGUAAUUUAUCACUACAACAAUUCUGGACAUUAAUUAUAUGUAUACUUAAAUAUAUUGAAAAGAUGAUAAUAUAGUAGAAUACAAAUGGUUAUGAUUCCGUAGUAACUACACCGUCGUAAGUUCACAUAAUUAUAUAAUUAUAGUUAUUUGAAAACGAAAAAUAAAUGAGAAAAUAUAUAGUGACCAAAUAUGAAUCAAUCUAAAAUUUUCAUUAUGGAGAUCGUAAGAAACGUGAUGAAGAACUGGAAUGAGAAUUCCUUACAAAACAUUUGGGUUAUAUUAUCAAUGAUGAAUGUUGUAUAUUAUACCUAUGAUUUCAAGUCUCAUACAAAAUUAUAUUGCUCAUAGUCUUUCGAUCAGUUCUUACUAGUGUAUGCAAUAGUUUCUCAUUCCAUACCAGUUAUUUUAUGCUCUGCACUGCCUUAUGCGCGCAGCUAUCAUAUUACUGACAGCUAACCUCCUUCCAACACUUUGCCAUGCGAAGCCUGAAGAUUAAAGUUAACAGGGAUAGGUCUUCUUCUCUCCCAAGUCUUGGACGGACUCUUUCCAAGUCUUCUGAGGACCCAUCGGCUCAGAUCCGUCCAUUAAAAAUUUAUUAUUGAUUACUUAUUAUUAUUGAUUGAUCUAAGAUUCCAAAGACAUGUUCCCGUAAUUUUCAGACUUAGCCAGUUGGUGUGGGCAGAAGUUUUAGAAAUAGUAGAUUAUGGGGAUUUUAUUUAUUCUAACCAAUUUUGAGUUAUUUAUUUUCUUCAAAAAAAUCAAUACUUAUUUUUUAUUGUUAUGCGGAAUUCCAAUAAAUAUUAAAAUAUAUAAUUUUGAUUAUUAUCAUAAAUUUAUUUAUUCAAUAAAUAUUAUUAUACUAUUAUGGAAACAUUUUAUUUUGUAAUGUAUAGUACACCCUUAUCCCACCAACAAAACUACAUCACAAACAAAUUAUAUCAUAUUUAAUUUAAUAAACUCAAAUAAUUUAAUUUAUGUAACAACUCUAUAAAAUUAGAGUGAUUGAUACUUUGCACCCCUUAUGUUUAAGCGUUUUUUCAAUUUGGUUUCAAACAAUUUUUUUGGCAGUAUGCACCCCAAAAUUUGAAAAUUGCUUCGCUUUGCACCCUUUUAAUCGCUCUCCGUUUAAUUGAUAUUGACCGUUAAAGACUUAAAGUUGACAGAUAUGGGUUUACAUUUUCAACACCACAAUUUUAAUUUUUUUUCAUGGGUAUUUUGAAAUAUUCAGACGACUGGGAUGAUUCAAGUGUCUUCAUGUUAGACAGUGCGAUAGGUCGGUCGAGGGGUUUUCAGAAACUGGGACCAAAGAUUGGCGCCAUCAGAUUGGAUUUAUAUCAUUGGAAACUCUCUGUACACCUCUAUAGAAACUGGGACCAAAGACAAGAGGGAGAAGCUCUUGUGAAAUGGAAGAAUAGCCUAGCCCCGUCUUCUUCUCUCGACUCUUGGUCCCUCACCAAUCUCGAUAAUCUUUGUAACUGGACUGGCAUUAAUUGUAACUCUGCAGGUUCAGUCUCUGAGAUUAACCUUUGUGAGAAACAACUUGAUGUAAUGCUGUCUGAGUUUGGUUUCACUUCAUUUCCAAAUCUCAACAAUCUCACCCUCGCAGCUAACUACUUCUCCGGUCCAAUACCACCAGCCAUUGAGAAUUUAACACAGCUUCAAUAUCUUGAUUUGAGAAAUAAUUAUCUAGAUGGUCCAUUCCGUUCCAGGUUAGCCAUCUUCAGAGCUUGCUCAUCUUAAACCUGUCACAGAAUGCAUUGCAAGCUCCAAAUUGGUCCGAUUUCUCUCCCAUGCCUUUCUUGCGCAUCCUCAACCUCAGUAGCAAACCUCCUGCGUCGAAAUUCCCAGAUUUUAUAUCCAGUUCUAAUAGCCUGACUCACCUUAGCCUUAAUUAUAACGAGUUUACUGGUGAUUUGGUACGUGAAUCAGUAUUUGCCGAUCUGCAUAAUCUUGAAAAGCUCAGUCUUGUUGGCAAUUCUUUCGAGGGGCCAUUUCCGCCAGAUAUAUUCAGGCUUUCCAAAUUAAAACAUCUUAGCCUGUCAGAUAACAAACUUUCAGGUUCAAUUCCCAAUGACAUAGGGUUGCUUUUUGAUCUUGAAUACCUAUAUUUAGCCAACAAUUCCUUUGAAGGACCGCUUCCACCAAAAAUAUUCAAGCUUUCAAAAUUAAAAAAUCUUGUUAUUUGGGGUAAUAAGUUUUCAGGUUCUGUUUCCAACGAUAUAGGUUUGCUUUCUGAGCUUGAAAGCCUCUAUCUUGACUCCAAUUUUUUUGAGGGGCCGCUUCCGUCAAAUAUAUUCAAGCUCUCCAAAUUAAGGAUUCUUUUCCUUUGGCAUAAUAACUUUUCAGGUUCUAUUUCUAAGGAUAUAGGUUUGCUUUCUGGACUUGAAACCCUCUAUCUUGACUCUACUUUUUUUGAGGGUCCGCUUCCCCCACAUAUAUUCAAGCUUUCCAAAUUAACAAGUCUUGACCUCGCAUACAAUAGAAAUUUAUUUGAAGGAAGUAUUCCUAUUGGACUGGGACUCUUGACUAACCUCAGAUACUUGAGUCUAUCUUCCACUAAUCUCGGUGGCUAUAUUCCAUCUGAAAUUGGAAACCUGAAGCUACUAGAAGUUCUUGAACUCAGUUCUAAUCAAUUGAAUGGACCGCUUUCAAAGAUCAUUUCUAAUCUCACAAAUCUCACAGUUCUUGAUGUAAAUGAUAAUAGUCUUCGUGGAAAUAUUCAGAGUGACUUGUGGAAAUAUGACGAUCAUCCAACUUUGGAAUACAUCGAUUUAAGUGGGAACCAUUUUACGGGUAUAGUUUUUCUCUAUAGAUCUUUUCCUAAUCUCAUAUGUAACUAAGCUAGUAAUCUGAUUAUUGCAGUUUCACCAAAGUUUCAACAAUCUUGACAGGUGAGCUUCCAACAACAAUUUGCAAUGUCACUUCCCUUUUGGUUCUUGAUUUGUCAAAUAAUGAAUUAAUUAGUGGUGCACUUCCAAACUGUUUCGGGAAUCUUGCUGAUAGAUUGCUUUUCAUUAAUCUUGCUAAUAAUCAGUUUCUCCAGGAGUUGUCAGCUGACAUAUCUAAACAUGGAUAAUAAUGAGUUUGAAGGAUUGUUACCCCCAUCUUUGGCGAACUGUAAGCACUUCAAAAUUCUUGAUAUUGGCAAUAAUAAAAUAGGUGGUGCAUUUCCGUCAUGGCUUUAUGUACUUGGAGAGCUGGAAGUCCUUGUCUUGCGAUCAAAUAAACUCUAUGGUACAAUAAGUGGAAGGAGCAUAGAAGAUCCCUUCCCCAAGUUGCGGAUUGUGGAUCUGUCCAACAAUCAAUUCACAGGCCAUUUGCCAAUUCAAUACUUUAAGAAUAUGAAAUCAACUGAUAAUUUGUAUCGUUAUCAGAAUGACACAGGAGAUAUUUCUUUCCAUUAUGAAGCAUCUGUCUCAUUAACUGUGAAGGGAACAGAGUAUGAAGUGAAAAAUAUCCUUCAUAUUUACACAGCCAUUGAUCUGUCCUGCAACAAGUUUCAAGGAGAAAUUCCUGACGUUAUUGGAGAGCUUAGAUGGCUUGCAUUGCUCAACUUAUCUCAUAAUAGUCUAACAGGACCUAUCCCUUCGUUGCUGAGAAAUAUGAAAGGACUCCAAUCUUUAGAUUUGUCUUCAAAUCAACUGACAGGGGCUAUUCCACCUCAAUUAACUGCAUUGACAUUUCUAGAGGUCUUGAACCUCUCGGGAAACCAUCUUAGUGGAGAGAUUCCUCAGAAAGGGCAGUUCAGCACAUUUACAAAUGAUUCUUAUCUAGGAAACUCCGCGUUAUGUGGAUUACCUUUGACGAAGAAAUGUGCAAACACAGCAUCACCUCCACAAGAAGUCGGAAAUGGUGAUGAAGAUGAUGCUUGUGAUGAAUUGACAUGGGAAGCAAUUGUGAUGGGAUAUGGAUGUGGACUGAUAUGUGG
rnacentral:lncRNA from 1 species